rnacentral:lncRNA from 1 species
CAAGAGAAUGAGAGGACUUAUAUUUUCAAUUUUUUGAAAAAACUUCGCCGUCUUUAAAUAGUUUUUCACCUUUUUUAAAUGCAGUUUUAGUAUUAUCACUACAACAGAAUUAGAUUAUAGGGACACAUGUUUGGGACACUUUUGUAUAAGUGUCUUAUUUAUACUAAAAUUUUAAAAAAAAUCUACUAAUGUCUAAAUAUAAAACCCAAUCCAACAAAAAAUAAAAGGUUAUUUUAUUCAACACACUCCACCAUCCCAUUCGGCCUGAUUACAAACAGAAAAGAAAAAAAAGAAAAGAAAAAUCGAUUACUAUUUUUUUUUUCUCCCCUCACUCAAUCCACUGAAAUCUUAGACGAAGAGCCCUUCCCUCUUGUCCUCCUUUGCCACCGCAGCCAACGAGGUAGAGUUCCGACGGUUGCUAAAUGGUUAAAUAAGUGUUGGUAAAUUAGCAGUUUUUUUUUAGGUUAUAGCGACACUUUUUAACUGUCACUAUAUACCUAGCGACCCCAGAUAUAGUAACACUUUUUAAAAGUGUCGGUAAUUUAGACAACAAUACUUUUUUUGAAUUAUACCGAUAUUUAAAAAUGUCGCUAAAAAUUAUUUUUAUUAUAGUGCAUUUCGUAAUAAUUCAAAUAAUUUAUUAUUUUUUACGACAGUUUGAAUAGAAGUCUUUCUUACUAUCUUUUUAAUUCAUCAAUUUUUUAUUAUACAAGUUCACUCUAACAUUAAAUUUAUUAAACAUCCGGCAGCUUCACGCAAAGGAUGAAAUAUAAAGUGAAAAGUGAUGCCCGGACCGAUGUGUACCAAAAAAGCAUCCGGCUGCUUUCCUCACGGCGCAGAUGCCACGCAGCAUCCAUCCAUGGCGUUUCCAGAUAAUUUUAGACGGACAUUACAAUUAUAAUUUCCAUAAAAUUUUUGUCCGGUAAUCGGAUGCAUAAUAAUUCUUCAUUAAAUUAAAUAGCUCGCUAUAUAUAUGUUGCAGCUGCCGAACAGUUGUGGGAAAGGGGCAGAAGUGUGUGGAACGUCGCCAGUACGCCCACGUGAAGUCACGUGACAGUGUGAAGCUCCGCCACUAAGAUACUGCCACGUCAGAGGCAGAUGGAGUGGCCCCUACCGGGUCACGUCGGAUCACGUGGCUCCCAAAUUUCCUCCGUUUGCUUCCGAGGCAACGCGUCUCACCAACUUGAUAACACUUGGCAUCGCAGAUAAAUAGAAUAUCCGAAAUUUUAUACGAAUUUAUUUAUUUUAUCUUAAAUAAAUAUAAAUAAUAAAAAUUUAGCGGAGAUUUAGAUAUGGAUUUUGUUUAUAUUCGAUCCCAAUCCAAAUUCAUUAAAUUAAUUUUAUAUUAUAUUAUAUAUAUAUAAUAUUAUAUUUGAAUUUUUAUUUUAAAAAUUUAGAUUUAAUAUAUUAUAUUUUGAAAUAUAAUAAAAAAUAAUUAUUUCGGAUUCGAGUUCUGAUUCAGAUUUUAGAUUUUUGCUCGAAUUCAUGUUUAGAUAUGAAUUUUAAAAUUUCUGGAUUUCAAACUUGGAUUUGGAUUAUGAAUUUUAUAGCCGGGUUGGAAUUCGGAUUUAUGAAAAUUUUAUUUGGAAUCUAAUGAGUUAGACAUUAGAAGAGAUAGAGCAGCAGAUUAUAAGAUAUGGUUUGAUUCGGAUAUCAGCAAGAAUUACCUAUUUUACAAUAGGUAUAAGUUUAAGGAAUAAAAAAAUAACAUUUUAAUAGAUAAGAUAGAAUAAAAAAGAUAGUGGAUAGUUAUAAAUAAAAAAUAAUAAUAUUAUCCGCUCAUUAUAUUUGAAAUUUUAAAAUUUAAACUUUAAAUUUAAGGUCAAAAUUAAAUUUUAAAAAAUAUAAAAUAUCAAAUUUAAAANGGGAACAAUUAAUAAAAAUAAUUUAUUAUAAUAAAUUUAUAAAUUUUUUUAAAAUUCUACUUAAAUUUAAAUUUAAUAAAAAAAAUUAUUAUAAUAUUUAAAUAUAAUUUAUUAUAAAUUUUAUUAUAAUAUUUAAAUAUAAAUAAUAUGUAUUAAUAUAGUACAAUUAAUAAUUUUAUAAUAAAAAUAAUGUAUUAUAAUAUAUAACAUAUUAUAUUUAUAUAAUUUAGUUUAAAUUUAAUUUAUAAUUUUAAUAAGGUUUGACGUUAAAUAUUGAAAUAGCACUAUUUCACUAAAAUAGUAAAAUAGUAAAUUCUACACUAUCUUAGAAUUGCUGAGAAUAAUAAAAUUUGACCAAAAUAAAUUAUUUCAGUCAAAAUUUAUUGACAGAAUAACAAGCAUAAUUUUCGUUAUCACACCUUGUACCUACAACCAAACCAAACGGCCUAAUAAAGGAAUUGCCAUAAACUUGGAAGCAUGGAUGCGCGUGUUGGGCCCCAUGAGUACGAGAAGUUCUACACUGUCACGCUUGCACUACGUCAUCAAUAACAAGGCAAUCACAUUUUUUUUUUUCAAAUAAAAGUACAAUAAAAAUAUUUUUUUACCAUCAUGACGGGACGUAUUUUUAAAAAAUUUUAUUUGAUUGAUUUGUGACGUCAUGUCACUAGUAUAUCCGGUGUAUUCUAGAAUUUUUCCGUGAGUACACCCUUCCGAGAAAAAGGACGAUCAUCGUAAAAGGCUGAGAGUAAGUGUCACUUUGGUUCGACCUAAAUUACUCAAUGAAAAAAUAAUUUUUUAUGAAAAAAUCUUUUAACGUUCAAUUUAUAAAAAAAUAAAAUUUUUAAUCAUACUUAUUUAAUUGAAAGAAAACUAUUUGAAUAGAAUUUUAUGUAAUUUUAUGUAAUAGAAAUAAUUUUAUAUAUCAUAUAUUAUUUAUAUAAAAAAUAAUUUUAUUAUUAUAUAUUAUAACUAAACUUUAUAUCUAUAUAUUUAUUAUUAUGGAAAAAUUCUUUAUAUGCCCCUCUAAAAGCACAAAUUUAUAUGGAUGCCCCUACAAAAAUUCAAAUAUCUUAAAUGUCCUUCUAAAUAUAAAAAAAUUUCAAAAGUGCCCUUCAAAAUAAAUUUUUUGUUGAAAUCCACAUUAACGGCAACCAAAUACUACUUUUACCAUUUUCAAGUUGCGCUUUUAAAUGUUCCAACUAGUAGUAAUGAGUUACAACUUUUGUAAAUAUCCUAUAAUUUUAAAAGUUUUAUAAAUUUAAAUAUUAGCUUUUAAUAUAAUUAUUUAGGCCUGCUUAGGAAAUCUGUUUAUGUUAUUUAGUUAGAUUUUCAUUGAUUUCUAUAAAAUUUAUAUAUUCUUAGAGAAUAAUAUUUCUAUCUUAUUCAAUAUUAUUAAAUAUUUCUAAAUUUUUAAAAAAGGGAGAGAAAAAAGAAUAAAUUGGCUGAACAAUUACAAAGUUUUAUCAUUUUGCUUACCAAAUUUGAAAUUACAAUAAAAUGAUUUAACAUUCUUUAUAAAAUUACAUAAAAAAACUCAGAUCAUCUCAUAAAAUUUUGUAAUAAAGGGUCAAAGUGCAAAUAUACUAAAACAACGGAGUGGCUCAUUGGCGUUUAUUAAUAUUUUAAAAAUAUUUAAAUUGAAUAAUUUUACCUUUAUCUAAACUAAUGGGAAGGAGCAGUUUUAAAAGUCUAUUUAUUAUACAUUUCAUCACAUUAAAGUGCCCUUUAAAAAAAAAUAAAAAAUUCAACUUAAAAUGUACAUAUUUACUAAUUCAUGAUAAUCUAUGUAAAAUAGACGUAUGAUGGAGCGACAGACGACGAGAGCAUAUUUUUAAGAUAAUAAGUAUUUAUAAAGGCAUUUUUGAUGUAAUCAAAUUUACAGGGAUAUUAAUAAAACUUUGAACAUGUAGAGGGGUAUGAAUGAAAUUAAUCCCUCUUUGAUAAUAGUUGGAAUAUUUAAAAGGCAACUAUGAAAAGCGUAAAAUUGGUAUUUGGUUGUCGUUAGUAUGGAUUUUAACAAGAAAUUUGCUUUGAAGAAUGCUUUUGAAAUUUUCUAUAUUUAGAGGGGCACUUAAAAUAUUUCAAUUUUUAUAGGGCAUGCAUAUGAAUAUGUUUUUUUUGAGGGGUACAUAUAGGGGUGUAAUGUGGGCCGUGCCGGGCCAGCACGGCCCACAUUUCGUCGGGUCGAAACGUGUCAGAGGCCAGCCCGACAUGGCCCAGCCUCGACCCCCAACUAGCACGGUCAUGGCCAGGACGGCACGGCCCGUGCCGGGACGAGCCGGGUUUCAGGUCAGCCCUUUUUUAUUUAUUAAUUUUAUUUAAAAAUAUUUAAAAUUUUAAAAAAAUCAAAACAUUAUUUUUUAAAAUAUAAUAUAUGAGCAAAAUAUUUUCAAAUUUUAAAAUACAUUUAUAACAAUAUUAAAAUUUUAAAAUCAUUUAAAAAUUUUAAAUAUUUUUUUGAUCAAAUUAAAUAUCCUCCCAACAGUCAAAAAUUUGACUGUUGGGAGGGUAUUUUGGUCUGAAGGAGAUCAAAAUACCCAUCUAACUAUCUCCCAAUGAUUAGCCAUAGCAAAUCCUUGGGAAGCCCUAAGGCUGCACAUCCCAACUCCAAAAGCAUUGGGAGUUGGGGUCCUUAGGAGUUAGGUACAACCCAACUUCCUGACCGGCUCGGUAGACACUCAUCCCGGCCCACUCUCGUACCGGGCCGGGCGGUCAGCAGGCCCACCCGGCCCGUUUACACCCCUAGGCACAUAGAAAAUUCUUUCUAUCAGCAUCAUCAUUAUCAUCGUUAUCUAUAUUUAUAUUUUAGAUAUAUUCAAAAUUAUACUAUACAUUCAAAAUUAUAUUAUAGAAUAUAUAUAAUAUAAUAUAUAAUAAUUUAUAUAUAUAACAUAAUAUAUAAUAACACAUAUAUUAUAUGAGUAUAUAUUUACAAAUAAAACAUUAUAUAAUAGUAUAUCAAUACAAAUAAACUAAUUGACAGUUUCUACUGUACACGUGUCCGCUCUUUCUUUCUCCUCUUCCCCCAUCAUCUCUUCUCUCUCCUCCCUCCCAUUCCAAAUCUAAAUUUUAUGAUUAUACCUCGGAAAGGUACCAAAUUUUUCUAAAUCCACAUCGGAAAGGUACCAAAUCUAUCUAAUGAUUACACCUCGGGGAGGUGCCAAAUCUUUCCAAAUCCAUCUCAGAAAGGUACCAAAUCUAUCUAAUAAUUACACAUCGGAAAUGUAUCAAAUCUUUCCCAAUCCACCUCGGGAUGGUACCAAAUCUAUCCAAUGAUUACACCUCGGGAAGAUACCAAAUCUUCCCAAAUCCACCUUGGGAAGGUACCAAAUUUAUCCAAAUCUUUUCCGACAAAAUCUUCAUUUCCUUACUUCCAGAAGAGACAAAAUCCUCACCUUGAUUCGGGUGUGUAUAUAGGAGAACGUGUACUCAUGAGGUUGGAACCUUGAAAAAUUUUCCUAAUUGCUUCUUUUUCCUUUUUCCCACAUGCACUAAACUUCACCUUUCUUUACACUGAGUUUUACAUUUUUGUUGUAUUUUUUGUUGGAUCUCUAAGAGCUACUUGGGUUCUUGUUGCAUAACCCUAAGGACGUGCCGACGAGGUGGAAGGUGGUCGUUGUAUCGCUAUGAGUGAUAGUUGGAAUCUCGCACGUGGAGGGACAAUCUCGUUUCUAGGAACAGUGCUUUCGCAAACCUCGACUUACAGGCUUCAUCUAAACCUCUUUUCUCUAUAAUAUUUUCUACUUAAUCCAUCCUUAUAAUUUUUUGAAAAUAAAAGUUAAAAUUAUUUUCUUUUAGAAUUGUUUAAAAAUAAAUUGUUCACGCUAAGUAUAUGUUUGCAUAUUAGUGUUAAAACUAUCCGUCGCAAAGCACGGAUUCAACACUAGUAUUAUAUAAAGAGAAAGAGAGGAUAAGAGAGAGAGUUUUCGUUUUUAGCUAAAAAAAGGGAAAACGAAAACUUUAAUUUUUUCCUAAAUCCAUAAAAAUGCUUUGAUGGAAAAAUUACUUUACGUGGAACUAAACAAGCGAAAAUUAUCUUUCAUACUGAAAAUUAAUUUUCUGUUCAUUUUAUGCCAAACCAAAUGCCCCCAACGGUGAGCAUUAUUCUGUUCAUAUCGAUUUAUUGAACAAAAUUAAUCAAGAUAUCAACUCGACUCGAUUUUACAUACAAACUUGUGUAGGCACCCGCGUGAUGCGGCAGAUUAAAAUUAUAGUAAAAAUUUACGAAAUAAAUAAACAAAUAAAAAUAUAAAAAAGUAAGAAAUAACUACAUUUAAUUGGUUAAUAAUGUAAAAAAUAGUUUAAAAGUUUUUAUCUAGCGAAAAACAAAGAAAGAAAAUGAUGUACAAAAUCUUGCUUUGACGUUAACUUUGAGAAUACUUUCGCUUCAUCCGUUCUUGUCCCUCUUACCUUAAGAUCACAAUCUACUUAUUGAAAACACGAUCAACAAAGGAAAAAAUGAAAAUAAAAUGUUAAUAAUUCCGUACCAUGCAUUCCUCCGCAAAUUUAGAUAAUCUUAUGAUAAUAUAAAUUCAAUCAAGCUGUUUUUCUUCGCCAUCAAUAAACUAACACAUUUAUAGAUUUCUUUUUGACACUAUAAUUUUUAUUUGCUUAAAUCAAGCAAAAUGGACACCUGCUAGCAGCAAACAACAUGCUAUUAACUUAUAUUUUCUUUUUUGAAUAUGCUUACCAAACCUGAUUUGUUUAUCCAACAGGGCAUGUUUGCAAGUUCUUGUUGUGAUUCAGCUGAUCCUAAUGCAUGCUCUAGUGGAAUUGUUAGCAAGACGACUUUUCUUUCGUUUUCUUUUAAUCGUGACCAUAGCUCGGUUCAAAUAUCCUUCAACAACUUGCUCUGUUCACCACAGAAAAAGCCCUUCAAUAAGCAUCACAUUGUAGAGAAAGCAAAGAAAAAACAAUUCUCUCGAAUUUUAUAAAACUGCUACCUUCAUCUGGCUUAAACUUAAAAGGCUCCUCCUAUCAUGGCCAAGUUUGAGGACAAAGUGACACCCCUCAAAGUUUGAAGAACCAGUAGUGCAAUAUAACCAUUACUUUAUGAAAAUUUAGAGUCUAUUGAUACUUCUUUAUUUAUGAAUUAUUUUGUAAUCAUAUAAUAAAUUGUUACCAUCUAUGUGUAAGAGUCUGUGAUGGUUACGCAGUUUGUUUUCCUUUAUUACCUUGUAACCUGCCUCUCGCCGGCGCCCCGAAUCCAUCCCGCCAACUAAUAUUUUUCAUAAAAUUAUAAUAUUAUUAAUAUUUUAUAAAAUAUAAAAUAAUAAUUUUUAAUAAUAUUAUAUAUAUAAUUUAACAAUAUCAAUUAUAAAAAUCAAAAAUAUCAAUAACAAUUCAAAACAAAAUUCAAAAGUUUCAAAUAUAUUAGAAAUGAGAGUACUAACUUAUUUGUAUUUUAAACUUUUUUGUAAAUACAUUAUUUUUUAGGAAUAUUUUUUUUAAAAUAUAAAUGAUUUUCGGGGCGGAUUCGGGGCGGAUCAUGGCGGAGCGGAUUCGGGGCGGGUCAAAAUUUCUCCCGUUUCCUGCCCCGAAUCCGUCUCGGAUCGUAAACUUUACCCCGUUUUUCGCCCCAAAUCCGUUUAUUUUCUCCCACUUACUGCCUCGUCGGGGGCGGAUCUGGACGGGAGCUCCACCAACCCGGAUCCAUUUGCAUCCCUACUUACCAUCCAUUAAGUCACAAAACUAUUCAUAUUUAUAUUUUUAAGCUUUGAAUUCACAGUAGAGAUAAAUGAAAAAUUAAUGAAUUAAUGAUGUACAAAUAUAUAGAUAAAAAUUAAAAUAGCUUCAAACAAUAACUUUAUCUUAAAGUAAGGACUGUCACCAAGCUAUGUGCAAACAACACACUUGCAAUUUGUAAUAGGGUUAUCGCUAUAAAUGUUUUCAUUUUAGCUGAAGAACAAUCUUAUAAGCAAUUAGAAAAGUUUGAGGGCGUAUAAAAAGCUGCACUACUGAUUGUAUCUGCAUAUUGCAGAUUCUUUAUUGGUCUUAGCACCUCGUAAACUCUACACACCACAGGAAGUCUCUAACAACUACCACAACAACAAAUUGGGCAAUAUAAUACAUCCUCAUUUUAAGUUCAUAGUUCAUAAGAACACAAUAAACAACACUAUCAAUCUAUAAUACUCCCAUUUGAAUUGCAUGUCCCCUUUCUAUAUUUCUCCCAUCAGCAUCAUAUCAAACCCAUAUGGAAAAAAUAAAAAUAAAAAAAAAUAAAAUUAAAGAUAUAUCAAAGAACAAAUCAAUAGAUCCCAUAAUACAUAAGCAGAACACAACACACAAUCCAUCCACAGAAAUCCAUACACUGGACCAGUAAGAAAUACAUCCGGCUAGCAUCUUUUGUCGAAUCCCGCUCAAUGACUCCCCGCCUUGAGUCAGCAGCAAUAUAGGAUUUGCACGCAUGGUCGUAGUAGGGUUCAGAGAGUUUCCGGAAGCAAAAUGUGCUGCACACCAAAGGUCUGGAGCGAGGAGUUCUGGACAAAGAGGACGAGGCCGCACUUAGUGGGAUUGAAUCCAUCCCACAAAGCAAACUGAACGGAGCCGGAGAGGUUCUUCUUGGCAGAGACGUCCUUUACGGAGAGUAGCUUCUGGAGGUGGCGGACGACAUGGUCGUUGGGGAGGACGCGGCCCUUGUUCUCCCCCCGCGUGCAGUCCGUCACCAGCCCGUUCUCGUACAGUGCCACCAUCACGUCCGCGCCGUGGCUGUCCACCUUGGUGCGCAGCUGGCCACUGAAUGACACCUGCAGUGUUUCUGGAGAUGGCCGCUGGAACGUCGCCUGAGAUCACACAAAUAAUAGUGUUCAACUUAGGUUGGGUUGCAUUGAAAUAAAACUCGAUCAGAUUUUUAUUUUGAUGCUUCAUGAUCUGAAUAAUCUACAACUAUACGGAAUAGAAAAGAAUGAGUUUUCAUUUUCCAAUCCAUAAGCUUCAUUCUCAAAAUACUACUCCCAAUAAUUGCAGCUUUGGAACCUAUAAAAGAAUCUAUACAACUUAAAAUGCCUCCUCUAUAGAAGCAGUGCAAUAAUGUGCCUUUAUUAAUUUAACUUUACUGAUGUGAAUUUUAACAUCUCAAAAUUUGUACAUGAUUGAACUUGGGAAUAUGCCAAAAUUAACCAGGACAAAUUUGAUAUUUCAAUUUCGACAACUAUAGCCAAGCUAUCCAAAUUAUUAAAGGUACUGCAAAUUUAGCGGAGAGGAAUAAUUAUAGUCCAACCACAUAAAUGCAACAUUGCAUGGAAUCAGGACCCAACCAAUCAAACAUGCAGUCAUGUUGGUUAGUGCUACAUAAAAGACUUUUUCCUUAUAGGUUUUUGUUUUUUUUUUUUUUUUUUUUUUUUUGGUCAAGAAAAGUCAAACGUUUUCGAUUACUCUUGAUGCAUAAUGGUAUUUCAACCAUUGCAAAUGCCUUGACAAUAUUGGUCUGGGGUAAAUUUAAGGAUUUCCAUACUGUAAGUUUGUUAGGGAGAUUUGGGCCAUAACCUAGGCCCACAUGAGUCCAAGGAUGGGCCAUAUCUAGGAAAGCCUAUUCAACCUAAAAGAUAAAGCAUUUAGGUGUGAAGCCACUAAUAGCUAUAUAGAUCCGGUUACUAUACUACCAAUAGCACCAAGCGCUUGAUGCUACUAAGUUUUCUGCCAUUAGAUCUACCCUUUUGACCACUUCCACCCGUAAGAUUAUACUAUUCAACCAAUCACACACUCAACCUUAGGAGACCACUAUUAUCCUAACCACAUAUCCCUUGAUCCAAGGGCCGAAAAGCUAAUAGCAUCAAUAUACUAUCCGUAGUAUCAAGCUGUUGGUUCUAUCGAGUUUUCUGCCGUUAGAUCUAUUCUUUAAUUAUUUCCACCCGUUAGAUUAUACUAUUUAACGAACUACUCACUCAACCCUAGGGGACUACUAUUAUCCUAACCGCACAUCUUUUCAUCCAACGGCCGAAAACUCGAUAGUACCAAACGUUUGGUACUAUCGAUAGUAUAAUAGUAUAAUUCUCUCUACAUAUAAAAUAUUUACUCUCUUGUUAAUGAUCUAAUAUGGGACAAAUCUCAUGCGAAUUCUUAACAAAGUUGACAGAAACAGUAAAAACAUUCACUGACUUUUAUACAAUGUAAAGCCCUCCAACAAUAGGCUAUUGUGAACUAGACCUUCAAUUUUGAUUUGUUCCUUCGAUUGACACUCCACCAUUUGUUUUCUUGUAUUUACUAUUACUUUCUUUUUUCCGUUGCAAUGAGUCCCGGAUUCUGACAAAAAUUGAUAGUUCUAUUAGUUUCCAGUCAAUAGUUGUUGUAGCAAAUCUUUUGUGCAACAGAAGAAGGGUAGUGAUCACUUAAAUUUUAUCUCUAACUUAAAUUAACAAAUAUUUUAGGGAUAAUUGCUUAUAUAUCUCUCAAAACUUCUGAAAUAUUUCGUUUACCCUACUUUUUUGUUUCAAACAUACCCCUCAUAUAUAUUUCUCCAUUAUUCAAAAAAAUCUCUACUGUUAGUGCCCGUUAAGUCAUCUUGAAUUAAAUCUAAAUUAAAUUUUUAUCAUAUUUAAAAAAUAGUGAAAAUACCUAUUUUGUCCCUAACUUAAGGGCAAAGAAGAAAGUUGGUGACGGUGAAAAGAUAUAUUUUAAAAGGCAAAAAAUUAAAAUACUAUUUUUUGCCCCUAACUUAAGAACAAAUAAAAAAAAAAGUUGGUGACGAUAGAAUAGUAUAUUCGAAAGGACAAAAUGAUAAUUUUAUAGAGAUGAUGGUUGAUCCUAACCAUUUAUUAACAAAAUUUAACUCUAGCAAUAUAUUUGAAAGACUUUAGAAUUUUAAAAGAAUAUUUUUAAUAUUAGCCUUCUAAGAGGAAUAAUUAAGAAAGUCAAAAAUUUUUUAGGAAUAUAUAAGCAAUUGCUUCAAUAUUUUAUAUGAAGCGACCAUAUCCCAUGUAGAGUAUUGGCGUACCAAGCUAAUAAUAAAACUCUCUUUAUUACACACAAAAUAACUCUCAUUCACAUACACCCAUAAUACUACAAACCUCACACACUCACUUCACUACUUCACUACACCUCACAACACUUCCUCACCUCACACCACCACUCACACCCUUACUUCACUAUAUCUCACGGCUCACUCUCACUACACUUCCACCCUCUCACUCUUUCACACCACCUCACACUCACACUUGGUGUGGAGGCCUCACACCUAUUUAUAGGCCUCCAACCUACCUACAUAAGCACUCUAGAAUAUUUUAGAGUACUUGCUUUUAGAACUCACUAAAGUGCUCUAUUAGUAAGUAGAGAGCACUUGUUUCUAGAGUGUUCUAUAAAGAGAGAGAAUACUUAUUUCUAGAGCACUUUGUUCCUAGAGUUUUCUAGAAUGCUCAAUUAGCUAGUAGAGAAUUGGAAAGGGAUAGAGCAUUCUAGAAUGUUCUAUUAAAGAGAGAGGGAGAGUUGCCUCUUUCAAUACUCCCCCUCAACUCUAACUCUCUCUUAAUGUUGCUCUGCUGAGCAUUCCUAAUUGCUUCCGGAACUCUUCUUUGCGGUGCUUAGUCCUUUGGUGAAUAUGUUGGCUAUUUUCUCUUCUGUUUUGAUUCUGCUUCAGCACCUGGAUCUCUCCGUCCAUCGUGUUCCUCCACUCCUUGCUUGUAACUUCUUCUUCGUAGGAGGCCGGCUCUUUUGGAGUCUCUUCUUCUUCGGCGAUAGCAACAUUUGCAUACUUAGAAUUAGGUUUUCUUUGCCUAGAGGAUCUUCGUAACUGCAUACCUAUGUCUUCAAGCUGGCUUGGCUGAUAUUCUUCUGGGGUUUGAUAAUGCACGUCAGUUCGCCAAGGUUCUGGAGACUUCUGGAGUUGCUGCUCAUCACUGGUUGACUCUGUAGAAAGUUGACCACUUUCUUCUUGCUCUGACAUCGUCUUCUCUUCUUCUUGUACUUGCUCUCCAAGCUUUUCUUGUAGUUUGAUUUCUAUCUCUUUAGAGUCUGGCAGUAUAACUUCUAGUGAGGACCACCAGGACGACGCUUCAUCGAACACGACAUUUCUCGACGUGUAACAACGACCGGUUGUUGGGUCACAGCAUCUCCACCCUUUUCUUUCACUGUCGUACCCGACGAAGAUACAUCUUAUCGCCUUCUUGUCGAAUUUAUUUCGAAGAUGGUCCGGUACGAACACAUAGCACACGCAUCCAAAGACUCGAAAAUGACUUACUGUGGGUUUGAUUUUCUACAGUACUUGAUAGGGUGAGAUGAAUCCUAAUUUCGGUUGCGGCAGCCGGUUGAUGACAUGUGCUGCUGUUCUCAUACAUUCUGCCCAAAAUCUGCCUGGCACACUCUUUGCAUGCAGCAUGCUUCGGCAAGUUUCUGCUAGAUGUCUAUUCUCUCUCAGCUAUACCAUUUUGUUGCGGAGUGCGUGAACACGUAAGCUGUCUCCUUAUUUUGCACUCUCACGGGUAAGCUGAGAACUCUGCUGAGGUAUAUUCACCUCCAUUAUCCGUGCGCAGGCAUCGUAUUUUAUAACCGGUUUGGCUUUCAACUUUUACUUUAAAUUCUUUAAAUUUUUGCAGCACUUCAGAUUUUUCUUUAAUAAAGUAUACCCAGAUGUACCUUGAGAAGUCAUCAAUGAACGUCACAAUGUAGCGCAUGCCGCUAAUUGAUGUUUGCUUGACUGGUCCAAAAACAUCAGAGUGCACGAGCUCGAGCGGUACCUUGGCUCUUUAUUUGGAUUCAGUGUAGGGAAGUUGAUGAGCCUUACCAAACUGGCAUCCUGCGCAGAUUGUGUCUCCUCGUACUUCAAGUUGAGGUAAGCCAUUCAGCAUACCACGCUCCAUCAUGAUUUUCAGUUUGUGAUAGCCCACAUGUCCCAGUCUUGCAUGCCACAAAUCAGCAAUCUCACUUUUUCGAGUCUUUUCUACGUAUGCUAAUUCUGCAGACAUUACGUAGAUAGACUCUACUUUCUUUCCUUCCAUGAUUUGUAUACCAGAUAUCUUGGGACUACGAAAUACCUUGACAUCUUGUGACCCAAAUACUACAUAAUUGCCCGAUGCAGUUAGUUGUGAUACUGAUAAGAGAUUUUUCUUCAUACCUGGGACAUGGUAGACGUUCUGUAGUUGUACUUGAUGUGGGCUGAAUCUGGAUGUGAUGAUUGUCUUUCCUAUGUGAGUGAUUGGCAACUUCGAGUUGUUAGCUGUCACCACUACUCUUCCUCCUUUAUAUUCUGUUGUGCUGAGCAGCUUGUCUUUAUCACCAGUCAUAUGAUUGGAACAUCCAGAGUCAAUGAUCCAAUCUGUACUGUAAUUCACAGCUCUUGGAUUUUCUAUUGUUGUUAAUGCAUAUAUUGGUACCUGCUUUGGUAGCUUUUCCUUCUUAGCACCUGAUGUUGCCAUAUUGUCUUGUACUUGUUUCUUCUUGUGCCAACAGUCUCGGGCGAAGUGUUCUUUCUUGCCGCAAUUGUAACACUCUCCGCUACGUCGUCUGUCGCCUUUAAACUGCCAAAAAUUUUGCUCCUUCUGGUUGUGGACUCCCCUUGUAAGGUGGCUCUCUCCCGUCCUUUGUUUUAACCCACUGAACUCCUUCGGCAGCUUCAAAUUUCUUGGCCCUCCUGUUGCUCGACCUUUUCUUCUACUGCUGAAGAGUGCCUCCUCUUCAAUUUUCAGUGAGACUUCAGCCAUCUGUUUGGCUAGAGCCUCCUGAUUAGCCAGUAAAUUUUCUAACUCCACCAAUGUUGGUUGAGUGGGCCAGCCUCGAAUAGCAGUAAUGAACCCGUUAUAUUCGGGUUUUAGGCCGUGAAUAAUAAUUCUCUUCAUCCGCUGGUCACUAAUUUUUGACUCUGAAUCUAAUUGGGAAAUUUCACGGCAGAGAGAUUUUACCUUCAUGAAGUACUGGCUAAUCGUCAUGCUGCCCUGAGAUAUCGUCAUCAGCUCAUUCUCCAGAAGUUGAAGUCGAGCAUCAUUUUUCUUUGAAAAUAACGAGGCGAGGGUGUCCCAUACAGCCUUGGGUGUAUCUGCUUCCUGGAUAUGCUCCAGCAGCUCUUCUGCGAUUGUCGUCUUCAGGACGAACAUCGCCUUCCCUGCCUUAAUACGCCACUUUCUGAACACCUCUGCAUUCUCCUUUGGUGGUGGAGUUGUUUCAGCACCACCAAUUACCUCCCACAAAUCCUGCCCUUGUAGGUAAGACUCAAUGCAGGUUUGCCAAUAACCAUAAUUAUGGUUAUUUAGCUUCUUAAUUCCGCUAGUUGUACCAACAAGAUCUGCCAUAGUGACUUGGUGAUUGCCCAGCAGUCAACCAAGUAAGUCUGGUCCCAGACUGACCAACUUCAUAGUCCCAGACUGUGCACCAGCAGAAUCUCUGCUUAUAUCGGUAUUUAACUGCCUGGACUGGCAGAAUAUCACCGACUUAACUAGCAGAAUAUUUCCUACAAUCUGGCUUUGAUACCAAAUUGUAGAGUAUUGGCGUACCAAGGUAAUAAUAAAACUCUUUAUUACACACAAAAUAACUCUCAUUCACAUACACCCAUAAUACUACAAACCUCACACACUCACUUCACUACUUCACUACACCUCACAACACUUCCUCACCUCACACCACCACUCACACCCUUACUUCACUAUAUCUCACUGUUCACUCUCACUACAUUUCCACUCUCUCACUCUUUCACACCACCUCACACUCACACUUGGUGUGGAGGUCUCACACCUAUUUAUAAGCCUCCAACCUACCUACAUAAGCACUCUAGAAUAUUCUAGAGUACUUGCUUUUAGAACUCACUAAAGUGCUCUAUUAGUAAGUAGAGAGCACUUGUUUCUAGAGUGUUCUAUAAAGAGAGAUAAUACUUAUUUCUAGAGCACUUUGUUCCUAGAGUUUUCUAGAAUGCUCCAUUAGCUAGUAGAGAAUUGGAAAGGGAUAGAGCAUUCUAGAAUGUUCUAUUAAAGAGAGAGGGAGAGUUGCCUCUUUCAUCCCGCUGCGAUCUCAUUGCAUCACAUAAUUUUACCCCUGAUGAUUGAGCGGUCCGCUUAUUUCUUCUAUUAAAUCACGUCAAUAGCAGCAACUUCAGCUUUAUAGCUGUUAAGAAACCUUGCAGCUUCCUCAGCUAUAAAAUGAAACAAGCUAUUUAAUUUAAGUGAAAUUAUAUAGAGCAAACCUAAAUUUGGUGUCAUAUAAAAAUAGCUAUUGAACAACGAUUUAAGUGUCGUGACAUGGGGUCGCGGUAGAAAAUUACCGGCGCGGUGCGUGCCGGUGAGUACCGAUGAGUGCCGGUCAUAAAAAAUUUAUGUGUACCGACACGUAAUGGCAUUGAAUAUUUAUUUUCUAUAACAACAAAAUAUGUCAAUUAUUUAUUAUAAAUUUUGAAUCAAAUUUGUUGAAUUUUAUUGACAAAAUUAUUUACUAAUUUCAAGAAUUAGAGGGUUUUGAGUUUUGCCAUUGGCAAGAUGGCUGUAUCCUUCCAAUAUCUUGUCUUGCUAGCAUGAUACGGUACGAUGGAUAUCAUCCAUGCCGAUAUCAUUUUAAUCCUUGCUAUUCAAUUUUUAAAACUACUAAUUUCACUACUAUAUGAAUUUUCAAAUAGUUUGACUCGCCUUUCUACAUCUCUCUCCUAUUGUUUAUUCAAUAGCUCAAUUUCUAAUUAAAAAAAAAUGAAAAACUACAAAUACAAUAAUGUGAUUUCGUAUUUUCUCACUUUAGUAUCCUAUGAUUUAAAAUAUAUCACUUUAAUACUUUCUGACACGACAUCAACGAAAAAAAAAAAACCAUUUAAAGUUUAUGGCGGUGCACCAAAAUGUAAAAAAUGAAACCAUAAGAUAUUAAUGUAAAAAGAUAAAAGCAGUUAUAAAUGCGAUUGAGAAGCAAUUUAAUAUAUGUUUCUUUAAAAGUCUAUAAAUAGUAACAAAUGGCUUAAAAAUGAAAUCAUAGUACACCGAAUAGCUUAAAAAUGAAGUCAUAAUAUACCAAAAUUGAAAUAGUGUAUUAUUGCUUUUUUAAUUGCUUCACCGAUUGUUUUUCUCUUUUUGUUUUNAAUUUACCAAAAAAAAAAAAAGCAACUACAGCACAAUAGACGGUAAAGAUAUAUGAAUUAAAAAAAGGGGGAGAAAAAAAAAAAAGAAAAAAGAAAAAGCGGUCUGGAGUAAAUACCUGCAUGGUGGGGGAGGGGAAGCGGGGGGCGGAUUGGACGGCGGAGAUGAUGGCAUCGCGGUCGGCGCCGAGGCAGUGGGCGCGGCCGUGGACGACGGCCUGCGGGGUGAAGAGCGUGUCGAGGCGCAGCGCCUCCACGAAGGCCUUCUGCCGCACCGUCCACAUGCUCGACCCGAAGGGGUCCUUCCAGCCCCGGUAGUCCCAGUACUCCACGUGGAACGCCAGAGCCACAACCCCCAACCCCACCCCCACCCCCUCCUCGUCGUUGUCCUCCUGGCCUCCGCGGGCGAGGGCGGCGACCACGGCCUCUGCCUCGGGCGACGCGGCGCAGCCCUGCGACACGAACAGCUCCACCAGCACCGGCCCCAUCCGCCGCUGCUCCUCCGCCGUCAGAUCCGCCGUCGCGUUCGCCUCCGGAGACGCACCGCCGGUCGCGGACGACGCCCCGCCGCCGCGCCCGAAGCACGCGAAGAGGCGGCGCGGCGCCAUCGGGGUCGAAAGGGCGCAAGGGCCGGAGAGGGAGAGAUCGAUAUGUAGGAAUUAACACGAAUCAGCUAGCGACGACGACGACGACAAUAAUAACAACAAUAAUAACAAUACUGGUGGGAACGAAAAUGGAAAAGCGGGAGGGAGAGAAAUGGGCAAAUGGGGACGGGGAGGGAGAGAGAGAAGAGUCGGUCGGGGGUGGGUGUCGAGGGGGCGGUGGGUGGAGCGGAGAGGAACGUGCCGGAGGUGACGGGACAACAACAGCUGGACCACGAGUACGUACAGAUGGAAUGUCGUUUUCCGCCCUCCCUUUUUUAUUAUUAUUUUUUUUUAACCUUCCAGUCCCUCCACUAUUCUUAAAUUGCAACUCAAUCCCCAAAUCCCAUUGCUUUCACUGCAGGUACCGAAUCUUGGCGCUCUGGCUUUCUUAUUAAAGUGAGGUUAAAGGUGUCCAAAAUAUCCGAUAUUCUAUAUCCGACCCGGACCCUAUCCGGACCCGAACCAGACCCGAUAAAAAAUAAAUAGUAUACGGAUAAAAAAAAUUACCCAUUAAAGUUUCGGAUAUAGGUCCGGAUAUUUUAUACCUAUACCCGAUUUGGACCCGACCCGAACCUAACUUUUAAAUGGGUAGGGUCCGGAAUAGUUUUCAAUUUCGGACCCGACCCCGGACCCGAUGAAAUAUCCGAUAGUAAAUAAAAAAAAAUAAACUUUUGAAGUUGAAUAAUCAAUUUUAAUAUGACUUAUAGAUGAUGAGUCAUUACGUAUUUUCAUCCUAAUGAAACUCUAGCCGUCUCUUUUAAUCAUUACUUUUUUCUAAUUUUUUUACUCUUUAUUUUCUACUCUUUUUUUUUCAUUUUAUUUCCGUCAACAAUAUUUCAUUGUCAUCAUCAUCAUCAAUGUCAUCAUCAUCAUCAGCGACAAUAUUUCUUUUGAAUGAAUUUUAUUGGACGGUACAACUUAUUAGAAUGCGAGUUUUUUUAUGAUGGGCUUUAUAGUUUGUCUAUUGACUAUUUAAUAAAGUUUAUAAAACGAAUAUAUUUAUACAGAUAUCCGUACCCGAUCUAAACCCGAUCCAUAUCCGGUCUUGAACGGGUAGUAUACAGAUAGUCACUACCCAGACCCGCUCAAAUAGACCCGAUGGGUAUAUUAGUAACUUUAGUACCCAGAUCGGGACCCGACCCGAAGUUAAAUGGGUAGGGUAUAUAUAUUUUUUUGUAACCAUUUUUUUUUAGGGUAUGGGUACAGUAUAUUACUUACUCAGACCUGACCCGGUCCACGAACAUCUUUAAGUGACGUUAAUUUGUUAGGCCAACACAAUCUAAUUUUGAGUUGUAACUAGUAAGUUUAUAAAUAUUUUAUUUUAAAAAAUUUCUUCUUUUUUACAAGUUUUAUUAAUUUUUUACAAAAAAAACUUGAUAAAAUAUUAAGUAAAUAUUUAGAAUUUUUUUGCUUUUCUAGUUGUAGACUUAAUAAUAUCUCUCGUUUUUAGACAAUUAGAGUCAUAUGUAGUGCAAAAUUGGGUCACCAACUAGUGGCUCGUUUGUGUGAUACAUUGCAGCCUGUGAGACAAGCUAAAAGUGAGCAAAAUAUUUAAUGCGGCCGUUCUUUAAAAAAGAAAAAAAUAGAAAAUCAAAUGAAACAUUUUUUUGCAUGAAAUGCAAUUCGGCAAAAGUGGUGGAUUUCUCUGAACUUGGGCCAUAUCUGAUAUCUAUGAUUUUCAAAAGAUCAUCUAUUUACUUUGUUUUAUGCGUAGCAAUCAAGUGCCGUCCAUGGUCUUACGUACGGAUCAGAUGCGUGGGACAAGGAGGAAAAGGGUGUCGGUGCUCGGACAUGUGGCGGAUCAUGGGCGAACGCGUGUGAGGUGAUCGUCGAAUAAACCAGUGAUAGAGAUUGGGGAACGCAUGCGCGUAGAAUCCAUCAUCGGUAUUCGAUCUCAGCCGACCGUUUUGGCGGUAGAGAUUCGGCGAAGGAUACGUGGGCGGUGGCUGGAUUGGGCGUUCCAGCUCGAGUCCGCAUGCGCUACUUCCGAAGCGUACACCUGCCCAAAGGUACUGGUAGAUUACAAGAAAGUAUUCCUGGACAAGGUUCCCACCUCAUCAGUAGAAAAUAAUAAUAAUAACAAGGUUUAAAGUGUCGUGGCACGGAGGCAUGCCGUUAUGUUCCUGACACGGUACGGUACGGCACAGGCACGCUUACGUGUCGAUAGAUAUGCAUGACCUUCUAUUGGCACGCUUUGGCACGGAUUUAUUUCAGUUUUUUUGAUUCCAAUAAACUCUUAUAAUAUUAUUUUAAAAUAUUUAAAUAAAUAAUAAUGAAUAUUUACUAUAUAUAUCUUACUAUACUCAUUAAUUAACAUGCAUGUAAGCUUUUUGUAAGUAAAAUACAACUAUACCUGAUGUAGAAUAGAAAUUAAAAUACAAUAAUAAAAUUGACAAGUAUAAUAAUUAUUUAAAUUUACAUCUUUAUAUAAAAAUGACUGCUUAAUUCGAUAUAGAUCGUCGCGUUUGAUCAUAUGGCAUAUUGUCAUAUGAAGAUAUAAGAUUUAUUUGACAAUAUUGAUAUAAAUAUUGUUGGUAUUGUGAGAAAGUCAUAUAUUCCCGAUAUUACAUCCAUAUUUUUUAUUCUUUUAAAAAAUAUCUUAUCAAAAUUUGUUUAGGAGAUCGAUUUUUGUUCUCUUGAUUCACUGAAAGCUUCGCGGUGCGACAAAUUUUGAAAAAAUAUUUUGCGAAGAAAAAAUGGAUGUCUGUGGUGGAAACGGAGGGCUCGGGCCGACAGGCCCGAGCGGGGGGCUUUGCCCCCCGCGGUAUGGAUUGAAUAUGUCAAUUAAAAAGACAAUAUAAGUGGCCCGAGGGGUACUCGAUACCCCAGAGAACAAAAGAAAAAAGAAAAGGCCAAAAAAAAAAGCCAAAAAGGAAAAAAAAAAAUGAAAAAAAGAAAAAAAAAGCGGCACGCACGGUACGUGCCGCCGGCACGCACCUGCGUGCUGCUUUGUCUCGAGCGGCACGCAUGUGCGUGCCGCGAGAUAGAGGGGGGGUCUGAGACCCAAGGAUUUAAGUGCCGUGACACGGGGUAGUGCCGGAAACUUGCCGGCAUGGUGCCCCCUUCUUGGGGGCACGGUACGGCACGCCCCCGUGCCGCCCGGCACGGGCGGCACUUAAAACCUUGAAUAAUAAUAAUAAUAAUAAUAAUGCUAUGUGUGCAUCAACUCAUUUUAUAAUAAAAUAUAUUUUAUUAGUCAUAGCGAUGUGAUUAAUUUAGAAUUUAAAAUGAGAUAUGUUUUACUAGUCACAUCCUACCCUAGGAUGGAUGGAUAUACAUUAUACAUCCUUAUAAGAGUGUGUAUUCAAAAUUUUUCGUAGAAAAAAAAUUUUGAAUGUAGUAGUAAUGUAGUAUUCUUAGUUUUUGGAUUGCCCGCGAGAUUUCAGCAUCUGAGGCUUGUCGACACAUCUGGAGAGUGUCGGAACAAGUCGGAGUCGUUUUGGCACGAAAUAAACGCAAAAUGGACUCAGUGCGACGCAAGAGCAGAGUUUUAACAUUGAAAUCUGUAAAGUGCAGGUUUUCAAUGUUGAGUACCGGCACUACAAAAAAAUAGGCAUAUACCGGCAGCCAAAACCGCUGGAAAAUAAUACAAAAACUGCUGGUAAUAUUUGCUCCAGCAAUUCUAAAACUGCUGGUAAAAGUAUAGGUGACCGUUACAAUAUCCUUCCUGGUAUAGCCUUUUCCCAGCACUUUUGCUAACCAUUGGUGAAGAUGAUCUCUAGCAGCAAUUCUUAAACCGUCGUUAAAACUACACGAAAAACACUGGCGCAAGGCGCAUGUACCGACAGUUUUUGACCGUUGGCAAUUUGAAACUAAUAUGAAAAAAAAUACUAAUAUCAACAAAUUACAAUAGGACUUUUCCAUUUGAUAUUAAUUGUAAAACCAACAAUAUGUAAUAUCCGAAAAAAAAAUAAGAGUCAUAUUACUAAAUUGCAAUAAGAUGAUACAAUCAUUCUUGAAACAAAACUAUAAACAAUGAUCUAGAGCAGAAAAUAAAAUGCAACAAAAUAAGUUUUUAUAUUCUAAUAGAAAUUAAUGCAAUAGAAAUUUAUUUGAACCCCAAAUGUUAGAAAGCUAAGAAAAAAGAAAGUGAAAAGCUCCAGCUAAACGUCCUUGAAUGCGAACGUCAAAUUCUGCUUGUUGCUUCAAUCUGUAACAAAAAAAAUUGAAACAUUCAAGUUGCAUAAGCUCAUUCCAACUGAGAAUCUAUCAUAAGUAACAUAGCAAAAAAUAAAAGUAUAUAUAACAGUCAUAAGAACUAAAUCUUUUUAGUUCCAAUUAGUAGUCAGGUCAAAUUAAGCAGUUUAAUUGUCGUUUAAUUAGAAGUAUAAACUCAAAUUAGAAACUUGAUCCGAGUCUUUUAUUGUCCCCUUAUUGGGUUGGACUUCACUCGAUCGGAAAGUACGAGCCAACUGCACAUAGGGAAAGAUCUUUCUCUAUGCCAGUGAUUUCAGAAAGGAUUAACAACAAUCCAUAAACAUCUGGCCAAAUAAUUAUCAGUAGCAUCUUAUACCAAAAGCCUUGUUACUAGAAAUUACUAAGCACUUUUAAUCUGGCCUAUAUAGUUACUUUGUUAUCAAUCACAUGCAAAAAUCACCGAAACAAAGAGGUCUUUCUCGCACUUUCUCAGUUACAUUCAAAGGUACUUCUAGCAUUAACUCAUAUAUGCCACUUACAAGUGGGUGGUUAGGAGAGGCCAUAGUAAAUUUUUCCACAUUACUAUCAUUGCCAUAAAAUCCUUCAUCUUCAUGAACCAUACUAAAGGUAAAAUAGCCAUUAAACUUAAAAUAUUAGGAACUUCCACCGGUCAAGAAUUGUAUUUAAUUACAAGGUUUAUAUAAUUAUAAGGGUGGAUCAGUAUUUUCUUUUUAAACUUAUAAAAGCAUAUUAAUUAUUCUAAAGGUUUCAUAAAAAUAUGCUGGUAAUUGGCUAGAAAAGAGAAUGCUUUUGGGCUAUAACAAGUUAGUUAAAGAACAUUUAACAAUAUGCUUCUUUAGUUUCCAGUAAAUUAAGAGUACGUAUAUAUUUUAAUUAAUCUAAAUAAAUCUACGCAACUUGUUUUCACGUAGAGCAAUAAACAAAGUUAUCAAUAUAAUUAUGCACAUUCAUACACAUCACACUAAAGAUCGGGUAGGACUUUUAAUUCACUUGAACAGAAGAGUCGCCGAGACAAGACAAAGGGAAGCUUAAGAUAAAGCGCAAGCAAAUUUUGCAGUUACUUUCAACCAUGAAAACUGUUUCACCAUACAAAACUAAGUAGCAAAAUAUGACAGCGGAGGAAUAUAGAGAAAAUUACCUGGAACAGGCCUGAGAACUUGAAAGAUUGAUAAACUGUGCUAUUUAAACAAGAUCGAUGCGUUAGUAAAUAAACACCGACAUUACUUUAAAAGAAGAACUAAGCAAUAUAGUUCUCUAGAGUAUAGGGAUUAAUUAUUCUAGAAUAAACCAAAAUAGUACUCAAGUUUGAUAAAUUGGAACAUUCACAUGACGGAUAAUCUAUGCUGUUAUCCAAAAAUGAGUUUUAGAAGCAAAUGGAAAUCUACCUUUCAGUAGUUAUUUCCGAAAAUUUCUUCGGGGCCCACGACAUAAUUUUGUUUUCCACUACAUCUCAAGGUUCUAGGUUUCUCAAUCAUUGGCGGCAUUGGCCAAAAAGUCCUAUCUUAGCUAAUGAUAGAAGAGUAGAUUCAGGAAAACCAAACUUAUAAAAGCAGAGAUCUAUUGAUAGAUUUCAGGUUGAAAAAGAACAGCACAAUAAGAAUUUUUGUAUCAACAGUGAUUAAUAGAAAUAUAAAAUAAGAAGCAGAAAUUUUACCUGCUGUGCGGUAAUAUAACCAUUAUUAUUAUCCUUGAUAUUUGAUGCACUGAGAUCAUCAUUUCCACCCGAGCUUCCAUUGGCCUGUUGGGAUGAGGGAUUCAUCGACGGGGGUGAUGUGAGACGCGAAGAUUUGGACCGUGUUGGAGAGGAUGGCGCCACUGUUGUCACCGCCGAGGUUCCAGUAGGUGUGCUGCGCCAGGUUGACCGGCGUCGCCUUGUAGACGGCGGUGGCAUUCAUGUGGCCGCUUAGCUCAUACGGGCCCGAGAUCUUGUAGGUGACAUAAACGUCGAGAUCACCAAGAAAACCUAUUUUUAAAGUUACGUAGAAAACAAUAAGACAAAGCAAAAGUCAAAUGUUUGAUAAGCAAAAUUUCAAAUUUCUACAGAAUCUACUAGAAUUGCUCGAACUGCUUCGCUCUGAAGCAUUUCUACAUAAACUCCAUAAAUUUCACAUUUAUUUACAACGAAUAAACUAUGAAAAGAACUAAAGCAGAAAAUGUAUGAUUAAAUAUUUAAACAAAUGUUACAAAAUUAUGUUAUAUAUAGGCUUAAAAAUGUACCUUGUUCCCCAUCAAAACUAUGGUAAUACAAUGUGAUGUAAGGGUAAUCACCAUCCACUUUCUCCUUCACGGUCCAAAUUACCUUACUAAACCCUCUGUGACCACCUAAUUAAUCAAUAAUUAAACGACAUUAACGUAACGCAAUUAUAUAAUACAAUUAAUUAAUAUGGAGAAAAAAAAAGAAACGUACCAUGGAGUGAGUUGUUUCCAUUGUUAAUAAAUAAUCGAUAGGGUUUUCCAUUUAACACGAAACGCCCACGAGCAAUUCUAUUUGCAACACACCCCACCAAUGCCCCAAAAUAAGUAGUAUCAUUCUACAAAACCAUAAAAACAAUUAAGACCCAGGCACAACAAAAGGAGAGAAUCGACCGCCAGUACCGGCAGUGGGCUGAUAAGAAUGGGUAUAAUAACUUGAGGGCAUAUCGAAUGGUUGCUGAACCUGCAAAAUAGAAAAAUCAAAUUUAUAAUGUGAGCUAGCAGUUGUCUGAAUUUCGAGAAAUGCCAAUUAUGUCCACGAUUACAGUUGCGAAAUAGAGAAAAAAAACGCUUUCUCUGCUCUUCGCAGAAAACCAGAGCUGCAAUCCAUCAUGAUUACACUUUCUAUCUUAUUAGUUAUAUUCACAUGCUGACAGCAAGAAUUUUGAAUAGAGAAAAACACAGAGGAUAACACUAUGAAAGUUAGAUAAGAUAGGAAAGUUAGUGCUUAAGUGGGAAAAAUAGGGGAUCAUAGUGUAAUUUGUUAAAAAAUUGAGGAACUAUCAAUACAUUUGAGUCUAGAGGAAAUUAGAAAAUACAGUCAACUUCGCUCCAAUGAUAUCAUUCCAUCAGAAGAAAAAUAAGAAACCGAGAGGUUAAUCAAGGGAAGGAGCAGGAGGUGCCAUGACAUCUCAUGCCACCUGAUGGGUCAGUAGAAAAUAUCUAAAGAAGGGACAUUCUGCAUGAUUACAAUCACAUGCAGAACAAACUAAAUCCACCAACACAAACUGUUUAAUAGAUGCCAUAGGACUAGCAAACUUGCACAAAGGACCUCAGGAGCCGAGGCUGUAUGUUCUCUGGAAUGAUUCUCUUCUGCCUUCUCAGAAAUGUUGGGCCUCUCUGAAUCCCUCGAUGGUAAGUUUUCUGAUAUUUGUUUGGAUGACUGUUGAUGCCCCAAAUGCACAGCUCCUUCGAUAUUUGAGGAUCCGUUAGGAAUGCUGUGCAUGAGUACAGAAGUAACAAAGUAAGGACAAAGAAACUCUUGACUAUAGAAAAUGGACGGCGUUUGAAAAUUGAGAAAGUUUUAGAAUGUCAUCCACAUGAAAGAAGAGCUACUCUUACUCGAAGACAUCAGAUAAAAGAAAUUUCAUAGCUCUGAAUUUAUGCCUACAAAAUGUCUAAUAGACCAAACAUUCCAUACACAAGUCUCCUGAUUGCUACAAUUUUAGCACUAUAGCAAAAGAAUGUUUAGAGCUAACCAGUAUCAACAAUACUUCACCAGACUCGUUAGAGAAUGUGCACCCUUAUUUCUUUAUCAAUUGUAUUUCUCAUUUAAAUCACCGAUAAUGGGGAAUAUCUCACGAGUAACGGGAAGAAACCGACAAGCAAUAAAAACCAAAACUACAAAUACAGAUAAUUAGAACAAAAUUAAGUGAUCCAUCAGGCUGUUAUUCUAAAUAGGUAUUAAUCCUGUUUCAUUAUUUCCUCUAUUCCUUCUUAUUGCCAAUUCUAGCAUUUUAUGAAUAUAAAGACUAGAAGGAUAGUUUUGGUUCAUUCCAUAUUUGAUCAUAUCACCAUAUAGGCUAAAUUAACUGAAAAAUGAGACCAAGGGGACAUUUGGAUUGACGUAAUCGUNGCAAAACGGCAAAAACUGGCUCCUAGAGCCUAGGAUCGAGGCAUACUUGCAAGUCCAUGCCUCAAGAAGAUGAGGCAAAUAUUCACAGAUUUUAAAAAACACAGGAACUAGAAUUCAGCAUCUAUAUAUGAUCAAAUCAUUUAAUUGCAUUAUUACAUUGUUAAUGACAUUGGGGUAUACAUUACAUCAGGCUCCACCAAGAAAUUAAUGAAUCCUAAUUGAAUAACAAAGUGGAGAAACUAUAGUGCAGCCUAGCUCCAUUCAUAUUAUCCCCUGAAUCUCAAUUACAUUAAUUGAACCCAGUAUUCUACUUCAUAAAAAAUUAAGGGGAGAACUAAUUAUUAUUAUUAGUAUCAACAAUAUUAAAGAAUCAUCGUGCAGAUCGAGUACAAGAUAAAAUGAGGAAAUAGAUGCUACACUUUCGACAGAACCCAAAGAGGAGAGUAGAAACUUUGGAGCAUCGAGCAAACAAACAUUUGUAGGAACAGAUGAGGAUGUUGACAAUACUAAUAAGAUGUUCAGAAUCAAUCUCAAAAUAAUGCAUUCUAUCAACAUCAACCUUACAGAGAAUGAGAUGACCAAAUUACAGUGGUACAACCAAACAUGCUUCAGUACAAACUCGAGAACAAGAACAGAAAUUAUCAAACCAAUCAGUCCAAAGCUGAAUUUUACUAUCUCUUCCUAGGACAGUAAUUCAUUCCAAAGUAUAAAUGAACAUGCAGGAACUUUACCGCGCCGAUUACUUUUAACUUCAACUAAAUUUCGGUUUCGAAACAAAUUUAAAAGAGAUGAGAAUGUAGAUGAUUGAACAUUGUCAAAAAACUGGAUAAUAUCUCCCCCAAAUCGCAAGCGAAUCCAAAAAUUAACUCCUGAAACCCCCCAUUACGAACACUUCGGCUUAAUUGAGAAGCUAUUUGAGAUCUCUAACACUGCGAGAUCAAAGCCAAAAAUGAAAGAAAAAUUCGUUUUUCUCUCCUUCCAUUCAAACUAGCCCAAUUAAGGGCAUUUCUGUAAUUUUACUCAAUAUUUUUUUGGGAAAAAUUAUGGUUGGACCAAUAGUUAACGAGCUAAAUUGAUGAGCUAUAAUUUUAAUUAGUAAUUUUACCAAACUGCCCAUAACAGUUGGUGAAAUCCCGAACAAACUCGCAGCUCAGGGCUGUACCGACAACUAUUAGAAAAAUUGCAAUAACUCUUUCAUCCGAUAUCCGUUUAAGGUGAUUCAGGUUGCGUUAGAAAGAUAACUCGACGAUCUUUCCAACAAGACCAAUUUCGCCUGAAUCGGAUGUCGAUAACCUGGUUAAAAGUUUUCCCAAAGUGGCUGGUGGUGCAAUAACAGAUUAGACUCAACUGUUUCGAAAUUUUCGUCCUCAAAUAAUUCGUUUCGAAAUUUUCGUCCUCAAAUAACAUUUGUAAUUAAGCUUUUAAUUGUUGCAUAAAGAGUAGUCUGAUAAUUAAGCAAUGGAUAUUUAGAAAAAGAAAAAAAAAACUCAAAACAAUAACCUAAAACAGAAUCAAAUUAUACAAUUAGAAUGCUUAAUUAGUUCAAUGCAUACCACAUGUCAUAGUUCAAUGAACACCCUAUUUCAUAGAUUUCAACAAUUUUCUCCGAUUAAACUUGCGUGUUUGGGGUCAAAGAUAAAGACGAAAGUUGCCCAUAUCAAACAGAUUUGAGUCUAAUAUUGACAUUCUGGACUGAUUCGGCGAGAAAAUGGAUAUUGCGAAGUUAUCAUAUCCAAUCACAUAAAGCUGCAACGAAUCAUCAAAAUAAGAAAUGUGUAAGGAGAUAUUCAGCGAUUAGGGCAUACAUGCAAUCCGGAGAUCGUAUCCCAGCGGGAUAAGGCUUGAUCGCCUCAUCUUGUAGAGGUUUUGGCGGAGCGAGAGCUUCUUCAGGUGAGAGAGAAGCCGGACGCGGGUCGAGCUUGAAUAGGCGAUUGGCCGUGAGGUCCAGCUCCUCGAUGCUCUCGGAUCUCGACCUCUCCGAGAUCGUGGUUGGUAGCUCGUGAGAUCAAGGCACCGCACCUCCUCCUCCUCCUCAUCAUUGGCUCUUCGUCUCUAGCAGCUCGAGCUCANNNNNNNNNNNNNNNNNNNNNNNNNNNNNNNNNNNNNNNNNNNNNNNNNNNNNNNNNNNNNNNNNNNNNNNNNNNNNNNNNNNNNNNNNNNNNNNNNNNNNNNNNNNNNNNNNNNNNNNNNNNNNNNNNNNNNNNNNNNNNNNNNNNNNNNNNNNNNNNNNNNNNNNNNNNNNNNNNNNNNNNNNNNNNNNNNNNNNNNNNNNNNNNNNNNNNNNNNNNNNNNNNNNNNNNNNNNNNNNNNNNNNNNNNNNNNNNNNNNNNNNNNNNNNNNNNNNNNNNNNNNNNNNNNNNNNNNNNNNNNNNNNNNNNNNNNNNNNNNNNNNNNNNNNNNNNNNNNNNNNNNNNNNNNNNNNNNNNNNNNNNNNNNNNNNNNNNNNNNNNNNNNNNNNNNNNNNNNNNNNNNNNNNNNNNNNNNNNNNNNNNNNNNNNNNNNNNNNNNNNNNNNNNNNNNNNNNNNNNNNNNNNNNNNNNNNNNNNNNNNNNNNNNNNNNNNNNNNNNNNNNNNNNNNNNNNNNNNNNNNNNNNNNNNNNNNNNNNNNNNNNNNNNNNNNNNNNNNNNNNNNNNNNNNNNNNNNNNNNNNNNNNNNNNNNNNNNNNNNNNNNNNNNNNNNNNNNNNNNNNNNNNNNNNNNNNNNNNNNNNNNNNNNNNNNNNNNNNNNNNNNNNNNNNNNNNNNNNNNNNNNNNNNNNNNNNNNNNNNNNNNNNNNNNNNNNNNNNNNNNNNNNNNNNNNNNNNNNNNNNNNNNNNNNNNNNNNNNNNNNNNNNNNNNNNNNNNNNNNNNNNNNNNNNNNNNNNNNNNNNNNNNNNNNNNNNNNNNNNNNNNNNNNNNNNNNNNNNNNNNNNNNNNNNNNNNNNNNNNNNNNNNNNNNNNNNNNNNNNNNNNNNNNNNNNNNNNNNNNNNNNNNNNNNNNNNNNNNNNNNNNNNNNNNNNNNNNNNNNNNNNNNNNNNNNNNNNNNNNNNNNNNNNNNNNNNNNNNNNNNNNNNNNNNNNNNNNNNNNNNNNNNNNNNNNNNNNNNNNNNNNNNNNNNNNNNNNNNNNNNNNNNNNNNNNNNNNNNNNNNNNNNNNNNNNNNNNNNNNNNNNNNNNNNNNNNNNNNNNNNNNNNNNNNNNNNNNNNNNNNNNNNNNNNNNNNNNNNNNNNNNNNNNNNNNNNNNNNNNNNNNNNNNNNNNNNNNNNNNNNNNNNNNNNNNNNNNNNNNNNNNNNNNNNNNNNNNNNNNNNNNNNNNNNNNNNNNNNNNNNNNNNNNNNNNNNNNNNNNNNNNNNNNNNNNNNNNNNNNNNNNNNNNNNNNNNNNNNNNNNNNNNNNNNNNNNNNNNNNNNNNNNNNNNNNNNNNNNNNNNNNNNNNNNNNNNNNNNNNNNNNNNNNNNNNNNNNNNNNNNNNNNNNNNNNNNNNNNNNNNNNNNNNNNNNNNNNNNNNNNNNNNNNNNNNNNNNNNNNNNNNNNNNNNAGAGAGAGAGAGAGAGAGAGAGAGAGAGAGAGAGAGAGAGGUGAACAUGAAGAGCUCAGAGAUAGAGAUCGAGGUGAGAGAGAGAUAGAGAGAGAGGUUAUUUGAAAUAUAGGGAGAGCUAACGUGGAAAGUGUUUAUUGCCCAAGGUUGGCCCAUGGCCCAAUUGAUGAAAAAAGUUAAUAAAAUAUAGUUCUAUUGGUCCAAUAUUAUUUAUAAAUUUAAGAAUUAUCAUCAUUUUUACCAGCAGUUUAGUAACUGCUGCAAUAAAAAUAAAAAGCGUUGGUAUAAUAUACUUUUAACGGCAGUUAGCCUAAUUGCUGGUAAAAAAACUGUUAGAAGAAGCUCUAUUUGUUGUAGUGCGGUACCCUAUGUGCGAGCUUGUGGGUUGAGAGGCCAUUUGAGUUGAUAGAGGAUAUUGUAGUUUUUAUUGAGUUGGUGAGGGGUAUUAUAGUCAUUAUGUUGGAUAAGAUUGCCACCUAAGCUUCCAUAUCCUUAUCAACUUAAUUAGCUGAGAGCUCCUUUUCCCUUUAAUUUAGCUCGUGUGCAUGGUGAAGAGCUCGAGCUCGGGAGAUUUUCGUCGUCGUUUCGGAGGGCAGUUCGAGCGUGCGUGCGUCGUGGUAGCGCCGUUGGAGGCCAGGCGAGCGCGUGUUUUCCUCUCCUUCCGACUUCUCGCCGUCGUUGGAUUAGUUUUUCGAAGUGGGUUAAUGAUAUGUUUACCGGAUUCUAUGGAUUUCCUCCUAAGCCUAAUUGAUGUCAGCAUGUAUAUUUUUAGUCUUUGUAUAUCAUGUUAUUUAGCUCGAAUUCGUUGAUUUGCAUGCUAAUUGAAAUCUGAAUUUGGAGCAUACAGUAGUGAUUAGAUAAAUUAUACAUAUUGGACUUGAAAAUUGACUUAGGAAAAAACUAUCGAUUCUACACCGUCAUUUUCUGAAACUAUCAGAUUUAGCUCUAGAAGCCGUAGUUUGUUUAUAUCGCCGCAGUUUGUGAGCGGUGGAUACCCAGAAUAGUAUAGAAUGAUUUUACGCUCGUACUGGGAUGCCGAGAUUAAUUUUUACAAUAGUGUAUAGACUGUUCCGGACUGUCGGGUGCCGUUGUGGUUAAUGGUGGAUCCAGUUUGCAGUUUUUGUAUCGGAUUGUGCCAAGGGUUGUUAGACCAGUUAGACCUUUCUACUUUGAUUACAACAUGUGAGAGCCUGAAUGAACUUGGCAGAGACAUUUGUAAACUCGAUUGGGUUGCGCCCACGAAUGCCAUUCCGGAAUGAGGUUUCAGUGCGAUGAGGUCGCAGUUUCUGUUUGGACAGUUCUUGAGCCGGCUACCCCCGUGGUGUGUACGGCGUAGCUGGAUACAGGAAGGUUGGGUCCCUUUGGGCAGCCCGGGUAAGACAGUUAGUGACGCCUUUCUCUAACUUCAGUGAGGUUGUGACGUGAGUGGAGUCACUGCCGUCCUGUCGAACCUUGGUACUUGGACCGACUACUCUUGAGCUACGGUGUAGCCUAGUUGCGCUGGACGAGUUCACAGUCCCUAGAGAGUUUUCUCCACCGGCUACUCUUGGGGGUCGUAUGCGGGUUCGCUUCGACAGGCGAGACGGAUGUGUUCACAGUCCCUAGUGAGAUUGGGUCAGAAUUUGCAUUUUCUACAGAUAGUUAGCGUUGGAUCGCUAUAGUAUAGUGGAAUAUAGCUGUAGAUUUGUUCCAGCUUCAUUUACUACUUUUGCUUACCUCUGUAGACUUAGUGGGUGAGCCAUUGAGGUCGGUAGCGGUACCCACUAAGGACUACUUCUUUUUGCAGUAAUUCUCCCACCCAGUAGUGUACCCUUUUUGCAGAGCCCUCUUUUUCGGCUGCUGCUGUUGCGGAUACUGAUCGUGGAAAGGGAGUCGCGAGCUAGAUCCCUUCCCGUUUUGCUGCUGAUCUAGAGUUAUACUAGCUACAGGUAGUUUUGGUUCUGGGUUCUUAUACAUACUGAUGUUAGUACCUUGCCGGAACGAGUGUUUUGUAUCAGGAUACUAUGUAUCUAUGUUGAACAGAUGUUAUUUAUAUAUAUAUAUAUAUAUAUAUUUUUCUUUUUAGCAACUCUAUACUACUGGUUGUAGUAUUGUAUGAUUACAGGUACAGGUACAGCUAUCGCUUCGUAUACAGAAAAAAUUCUUAUGUAUACGGCGGGUCUGUUAGCGCGCUCGAGGAAACGAGUAAUCCGGGGUGUGACAGAUUAAGUUGGUAUCAGAGCUUAGCAUUAGGUCGUUGGGAACCUAGGAACCUUAAGUUUGGCAAACCUUAGGAAGGCAAGACACGAGAGGCGUGAUUUAUCGCGAAAGUCAGCGAUUGAUUAGUUCUAACUCCUCCUAGAGCGGAGUGAGUGAUUGAAGGAGUAUCUGUUUCGGCCAGGAAAAUUAUGUCGGCUGCAGACGACAUAAUUUUGAGGAGAAAUAGGGGCGGCCUUCUAGACUUUCGCUUCAUUGGGUCAAAAGCGUUUGUAUUUUGUAUCCGACCCUUGCUUUGUUUUCAUGUACCUAUGUAUCGACGUCGAGGUCGACCGGCGACGCGGGAUCGUGCCGCACAUCCUGAGAUGCCUGAGUAGGCAGGGCCGAGUGCACCCCCGGAUCAGAGAGAGCAGUUGACUGCCCUGAUUGAGUUGAUCAGGCAGCAGGUUGUGCUUUUGCAGAGGAUGUGCGAGAUGUUUACUCAGUGGUCGGGUGUCGAUCCAAGAGCAUUUAGGCAGCAGGCACUCUAGGAGGAGCGAGGAGCUAUAGCUGUUCAGGAGCUGAAAACAGUGUCGGGGCAGAGUCAGGAUAGGAAGCGCCCAAUCCCAGAGGAUGGAGGACAGGCGAGUAGCAGACGUCUGUCGAGGCCUCCACGAUCACGCUCACAGGGUUGUAGGUCUUCGGGGCGUCAGUAUUCCAGAGGAUCUCAUCCGCAGGGACAGUCACGGGGGACUCCACAGUGUGUGAUUUGUGGGGGACCGCACUGGCAUCGACAGUGUGAGACCCCAGAUAGUCCUAUAUAUGAGAUAUAAUAGGGCUAAACUCUUAACCCGGCUUAAGCAUUUUGGGUGGUGGCAAGGCCCAAGAGGUUAAGAGAGUUAAGCGUGCUAGGACGGGAGUAGUCCUAGGAUGGGUGACCCCCUGGGAAGUUGGGGCGUCACAGACAGUGUGAGCAGAGAGAGGGUCGAUGCUAUGGAUGUGGACAGUCUGGACAUAUGAGGGCAGCGUGUCCCCGAGAGGCCUCACGAGCACCAUCGACAGCGUUAGCACAGCCAGCACCUCAGCAGUGUUUUGGAGCAGCACCGAGUUACCGCCAGGAGGACAGGGGGUCCAUGCUGCGACAGGGUGAGCGGCGGCAGCAGGCUCCGAGUGGCAAGGCAUAUGCAGCUCAGGUGGAGGACUCUACAGCUGCCGACCGAGUAGUAGCAGGUAUUAUUUUGAUUUCUGGUAUUCGAGCUCGUAUCUUAUUUGAUACCGGUGCAUCACAUUCUUUUGUUAGCUGAGCAUUUGCAUAAUUGCAUGGUCUAGAGAUAGGGCAGUUGUAGGACUUUGACGUUGUGCUUGGCAUGGAUUGGCUGGCGCUGUACUAUGCUACGAUCGACUGUGGAGCGAGGACAGUGACGUUCCGCGAGCCAUGCUAGGAAUACGUUGCUUGCCACUUGGAUUUCGUCGGCGAGGGCUCAACAGCUGAUGAGUAGAGGAUGUAUCGCUUUUCUGGCGACGGUUGUGGAGGUGCCUACGGCGGCACCGGGACUCAAGGAUAUUCCUAUAAUCCGCGAGUUUCCGGAUGUUUUUUCCCGGAGUUGAUGAUGAUGCCGCCGGAUAAAGUGAUCGAGUUUGUGAUUGAUGUAGUUCCUGUAACUGCACCAAUCUCGAAGGCACCCUACCGGAUGGCACCGGCACAGCUAAGAGAACUAAAGGCGCAGCUUCAGGAUAUGAUGGAUAAGGGGUAUGUGAGACCUAGUGUAACGCCAUAGGGAGUGCCGAUGUUAUUCGUGAAGAAGAAUGAUGGAUCACUUAGAUUGUGUGUAGAUUAUCGGGAGUUGAAUAAAGUGACCAUCAAGAACAAGUAUCAUUUGCCGUGUUUUGAUGAUCUGUUUGAUCAGCUAUAAGGAUCUUGUGUCUUCUCGAAGAUUGAUCUCCAGUCAGGUUACCACCAGCUGAGAGUGAGGGCCGAGGAUGUUUCCAAGACAACUUUUCGAACUCGGUACGGGGAUUAUGAGUUUACCAUGAUACCUUUUGGAUUGACGAAUGUCCCUGCCACAUUUAUGAAUUUGAUGAACAGAGUGUUCAAGCCGUUCUUGGAUAAAUUCGUGGUUGUGUUCAUCGAUGACAUUUUAAUAUACUCCUGGAGUGAUGUUGAGAAUGAGGAGCACUUGAGGAUAGUGUUACAGCUUCUGAGGGAGAAGAAGUUGUAUGCUAAAUUGAAGAAGUGCGAGUUCUGGCUGCGGGAGGUUUCUUUCUUGGGCCAUGUGAUUUCUACGGGGGGAGUAGCAGUGGACCCGAAGAAGAUUGAUGUUAUUCGAGAUUGGCCCAGACCGACGACGGUGACUGAGGUGAGGAGUUUCCUUGGACUAUCAGGAUAUUACCGUCGCUUUGUAGAAGGCUUUGCGAAGCUUUCCAUACUGCUCACUCGAUUGACUCGAAAGGGAAUUAAAUUUAUCUAGAGUGAGGAUUGUCAGAAGAGCUUCGAUGAAUUGAGACAGAGAUUGAUGUCGACUCCUAUCCUUGCCUUUCUAGUGAUGGGGGAAGGAUUUGUGAUCUACAAUGAUGCAUCACACAAUGGUUUAGGUUGUGUGCUAAUGCAGCAUGAUAGGAUAAUUGCUUAUGCAGCUCAGCAAUUGAGGGAUUACGAGAAGAAUUAUCCUAGGCAUGACUUGGAACUUACUGCAGUGGUUUUUGCUUUGAAGUUGUGGCAGCAUUACUUGUAUGGCGAGCACUGCGAGGUUUUCACUGAUUAUAAAAGUCUCAAAUAUUUGUUCACCCAAAAGGAGUUGAAUCUGAGGCAACGCCUGUGGUUGGAGUUGUUGAAGGACUAUGAUAUUAGUAUUCAGUAUCACCCCGGCAAGAUAAGUGUGGUGGCAGAUGCGUUGAGCAGGAAGUUAGUGCAGAGCUUGAGCAUGAUGAUCACUCAGCAGAGGUCGUUACUUGAGGAGCUGCAGCGGUUGAGACUCGAGGUAGUGUCCCCUGGGUCUACUGCGACACUGAUGUCUAUGGUCUUGCGGCCCACUCUGUUGGACAGGAUCAGGGAGAAACAGAGUGGAGACUCUCAUUUGUUGAGGAUUCGAGAGCAGUUGGAGAGGGGACAGGCAGAGGCUUUUGAUGUGGAUAGUUCGAGAGUACUGCGGUAUAGGGACCGACUGUGUGUGCCUAUGGAUUUAGAGAUCCGAGAGAAUAUUUUGAGAGAGGCUCACUAUUCACCUUAUACAGUUCAUCCUGGUGGAACCAAGAUGUAUAAGAAGUUGAAGGCACACUUCACUUCUGGUGGAACGGUAUGAAGGGAGACAUUGGCAGAUUUGUGGCUCAGUGUUUGACUUGCCAACAGGUAAAGGCAGAGCAUCAGAUACCUACUGACAAGCUUCAGAGUCUGCCAGUGCCUGAGUGGAAAUGGGAGCAGAUCACGAUGGACUUUGUCGUGGGAUUACCGAGAGCACAGGGCGGUUUCGAUGCUAUUUGGCUGAUAAUGGACAGACUGACCAAGUCUGCUCACUUCCUAUUAGUACAGACCACUUGGUCCAGGGAGAGACUCGCUCAGUUAUAUCUGGAUGAGAUUAUGAGAUUGCAUGGUGUGCCGAUCUCAAUAGUAUCAGAUCGUGACCCGAGGUUCGUUUCGCACUUUUGGAGGAGUCUUCAGAUAGCCUUGGGUACACAGUUGUAUUUCAGCACGACGUUUCACCUACAGACAGAUGGUCAGUCUGAGCGAACCAUUCAGCUCUGGAGGACAUGCUGAGGGCAUAUGUCCUGGACUUUAGAGGAGGGUGCCAUCGACAUUUGAGACUGGCUGAGUUUGCGUACAACAACAGCUAUCAAACGAGCAUUCAGAUGGCUCCGUUUGAUGCGUUGUAUGGACGCAGGUGUCGAUCCCCUUUACAUUGGAAUGAUGUGGGUGAAAGGAAAACUUUGGGGCCUGAGAUUCUGAGAGAGACUGAUGAAAAGGUUAAAGCUGUACGACGUCACCUUUUGACAGCUCAGAGUCAACAGAGGAGCUACGCCGAUACCAGGAGACGAGACUUAGAGUUCCAGGUUGGAGAUCAUGUAUUUCUGAAAGUCUCGCCGUCUAGAGGUAUACGCAGAUUCGGAGUGCGUGGAAUGCUCAGUCCGCGCUUUGUAGGCCCUUUUGAGGUAUUGGAGUGAGUUGGACCAGUUGCUUACAGGAUUGCUCUACCCCCACGACUGGCCGGUAUUCAUGAUGUUUUCCACGUCUCGGCAUUGAAGAGAUACGUGUUCAACCCUUCACACGUGAUUGACUUCACUUCACUGGAGCUUGGCAAGGACUUGAGAUAUGAGGAGCAACCGGUGCAGAUUCUUGCUCGUGAGACGAAGGAAUUACGCAACCGAGUCAUACCUUAUGUAAAAGUGUAGUGGAGUCAUCACGAGGAGCGUGAGGCGACCUGGGAGCCGAAAACAGUGAUGCGGGAGUCCUAUCCCUACUUGUUCGAGACUCAGGUUUGAGGUAUGCUUUAAGUUUCGAGAACGAAACUUUUUGUAGUGGGGGGAGGAUGUAGUAUCCUUAGUUUUUGGGUUGCCUGCGAGAUUUCAUCAUCUGAGGCUUGUUGACACAUCUGGAGAGUGUCGGGACAAGUCGCAGUCGUUUUGGCGCAAAAUAGACGCAAAACGGACUCAAUGCGACGCGAGAGCAGAGUUUUAACAUUGGAAUCUGUAAAGUGCUGGUUUUCAGUGUUGAGUACCGAUAUCCUGUGUGCAAGCUUGUGGGUUGAGAGGCCAUUUGAGUUGGUAGAGGAUAUUAUAGUCUUUAUUGAGUUGGUGAGGGGUAUUAUAGUCAUUAUAUUGGAUAAGAUUGCUACCUAAGCGUCCAUAUCCUUAUCAACUUAAUUAGCUAAGAGCUUCUCCUUUUCCAUUUAAUUUAGCUCGUGUGCAUGGUGGAGAGCUCGAGCUCGGGAGAUUUUCGUCGUCGUUUCGGAGGGCCGUUCGAGAGUGCAUGCGUCGUGGUAGCGCCGUUGGAGGCCAGGCAAGUGCGUGUUUUCCUCUCCUUCCGACUUCUCACCGUCGUUGGAUUAGCUUUUCGAGGUGGGUUAAUGAUACGUUUACCGGAUUCUAUGGAUUUCCUUCUAGGCCUAAUUGAUGUCAGCAUAUAUAUUUUUAGUCUUUGUAUAUCAUGUUAUUUAGCUCAAAUUCGUUGAUUUGCAUGCUAAUUGAAAUCUGAAUUUGGAGCAUACGGUAGUGAUUAGGUAAAUUAUACAUGUUGGACUUGGAAAUUGACUUAGGAGAAAACUAUCGAUUCUACACCGUCAUUUUCUGAAACUACCAAAUUUAGCUCUAGAAGUCGUAGUUUGUUUGUAUCGCCGCAGUUUGUGGGCGGUGGAUACCCAGAAUAGUGUAGAAUGAUUUUACGCUCGUGUUGGGAUGCCGAGAUUAAUUUUUACAGUAGUGUAUAAACUGUUCCGGACUGUCGGAUGUCGUUGUGGCUAAUGGUGGAUCCAGUUUGCAGUUUUUGCAUCGGAUUUUGCCAAGGGCACAUAGAUUAUGGUUGUUAGACCAGUUAGACCUUUCUACUUUGAUUACAGCCUGUGAGAGCCUGAAUGAACUUGGUAGAGACACUUGUAAACUCGGUUGGGUCGCGCCCACGAAUGCCAUUCCGGAAUAAGGUUUCAGUGCGAUGAGGUCGCAAUUUCUAUUUGGACAGUUCUUGAGCCGGCCACCCCAGUGGUGGUGUACGGCGUAGCUAGAUACUGGCAGGAUGGGUCCGUUUGGGCAGCCCGGGUAAGACAGUUAGUGACGCCUUUCUCUAACUUCAGUGAGGUUGUGACGUGAGUGGAGUUACUGCCGUCCUGUCGAACCUUGGUACUUGGACCGACUACUCUUGAGCUACGGUGUAGCCUAGUUGCGCUGGACGAGUUCACAGUCCCUAGAGAGUUUUCUCCACCGGCUACUCUUGGGGGUCGUAUGCGGGUUCGCUUCGACAGGCGAGACGGAUGUGUUCACAGUCCCUAGUGAGAUUGGGUCAGGAUUUGCAUUUUCUACAGAUAGUUAGUGUUGGAUCACGAUAGUAUAGUGGCAUAUAACUGUAAAUUUGUUUCAGCUUGUUUUACUAUUAUUGCUUACCUCUGUAGACUUAGUGGGUGAGCCAUUGAGGUCGGUAGUGGUACCCAUUAAGGACUACUUCUUUUUACAAUAAUUCUCACACCCAAUUGUGGACCUUUUUUGCAGAGCCUUCUUUUUCGGCUGCUGCUGUUGCGGAUACUGAUCGUGGAAAGGGAGUCGCGAGCUAGAUCCCUUCCCGUUUUACUGCUGAUCUAGAGUUAUAUCAGCUAUGGGUAGUUUUGGUUCUGGGUUCUUAUACAUACUGAUGUUAAUACCUCGCCGGAGCGAGUGUUUUGUAUCAGGAUACUAUGUAUGUAUGUUGAACCGAUGUUAUUUAUAUAUAUAUUUCUUUUUAGCAACUCUAUACUACUAGUUGUACUAUUGUAUGAUUACAGGUACAGGUACAGCUAUCGCUUCGUAUACAGGAAAAAUUCCUAUGUAUACGGCGGGUCUGUUAGCGUGUCCGGAAAAACGAGUAAUCCGGCACGUGACAGAGUAAUAUUAGUAAUGUGAUAUUCUCUAACUAAUAAAAUUAUUUUUUAGAAUUUAUCCUUCUCAUUAUAAUUUUUUAAAAAAUAUUUGUAUUGUAUUUUUAUUUUUAAAAAAUUAUAAUUUUUUUGAAAAAAUUUUAGUAUAUUUUAUGCUUUAUUUAUAUAAAAAAAAAUAAACUAAAUUACAAGAGCAAGACAAUCAAACCGCCAAAAAAAAAUAAAUAAAAAUAAAAUAAAAUAAAGGUCAAGACAGUCGGUUGGCUUUUCAUAGACGGCUCAAGUCAACUCUCCGACCCUGGAGCUUUCAAUGUGAGGAAAAAGUUUAUAAUGUUUUAAUAUUUAAUUAUCAAGUGUUUUAAAUUGAAUCAUUUUGGCUUCGUUUGGUUCGAGUAUAAAUAAGAUCUAAUUUAUACCAGAAAUAGCUAUAAGUUUAGAUAUAAGUGAGAAUUAGACCAAUUUUACAUUUGGAUAAAAAUUUGGUUGUUUUCGAAAAUAAGAAAAAAUAGCGUUUGGAUAUAUAAGAUGAAAUAAGAAGAAUAGUUGAUUGUUAUAAAUAGAAAAUAAUAAUAUUACCCCUCUCAUUAUAUUUGAAUUUAAAUUUUUAAAUUCUAAAUUUAAAAUUUUAACUUUUAAAAUUUAAAAUUUGAAAUUAAAAUUUAAAAUUUUAAUUUUCAAAAUUUUAAUUUUCAAAAUUUUAAUUUUCAAAAUUUCAAUUUUAAAAAUUUUAAUUUUAAAUAUCAUAUUUUAAAUUUCUGAUUAAAUUUAAAUUUGAAAGAUAUAAAAAUAUCAAAAUUAAAAUUUUAAAAUUAAAAAUGACAAACUUAAAAAUUUAAACUUUAAAAUUUAGAAUUUUAAAUUUUAAAUUUUAUAUUUGAAAUUACAAAUUUUAAAUUUUAAAAAUUUAAAUUCUAAUUUAAAAUAAAAAUAUCUCUCUCACUCUACCGGGAGAGGAGCAACUUGUUCCCACCCAUACCGGGUUAUCCUACAUUUUUUUUAUUUGGGUACAAGAGGGGGGAUAAGCGGGUUAUACCCCCUCUUGUACCCAAUCCAAAGAGCACCUUCAUGUCUCAAUAAAAUUAAAUAAUCAAAUAUUUUCAGCUAAGUUUGAAUCCUAUUUGAUUUCUAGUGCAAGCAAUAAGGGGCUUGAUGAUAAAUAUUCGAGGUUUUAAAUUUGAAUCCUAAUUGAUUCACAUUUCCAACUAAAACUUAAUUUGGCAUUGAGGUCCUUUCUGACUCUAUUAGAUGAAAUGGAGUUGGCAUAAAAAUAUAUAAGAAUAUUCUUUUGCGUUCUCAGGUGGGACCGGAGAAAAUAUAUCAUAAUCGACUAAGCGGAACGCAAUAUUACGUACGAAAACAAACAGUAAAUUUUUUCAUCGUAUUUUCUCACCGCAAGUAACAUAAUUUUUUCACAAUUUUAAAUAAAGUCUAAAUUUUUUUUAAAAAAAUUAAACGAAAUAGAUAGAAUGCUAUUUUUUUCUAAAAAAAAUUGAAUAUUUCAUGUGAAAUAUGUAUUUUGUACAAUGAAUAAUUUCUUGUUCAGCGACAAACGGUGCUUCCACACAGGUGGACAAAUUAUAGUUUGCCUACUUUGUCACUUUUAUACUAAAUUACUUUUCUUUUUCUUUUUCUUUUUCUUUUUUUUUUCAUAAGAGGAACCGUAGAAUAGUUCACCUGUUUUGUUUUUGUAAAAUCAUUUAGCUUCUACCGAAGUUACUCGACCGGUGUUUUUUUAAUUUCAAUUUUUUUCUGCUAUUCAUAUUAGUUUUCUAAAAUUUAUAUAUUAUUUAUAGACUGAAUUAUAAAAAAAUUCUUUGUCUCUUAGCCACGGCCACCUUAAUUAUCCUCUAUAUUAAAAAUUAAUUCUUGAUCUCUCCCAUUAUUUCAAAUAGCUAUAGGUCAUAAAAUUUGUAGUUGUUGAAUUCAACGGUAAACCUAUAUAGAAACAAAUUGACAGAUAAAAUUUGUUGUGCUUAAUAUAGCAGAAUAUUUUAAAGUGUUAACCAAAUUAGAGAUCUCGUUAUCUGUUUUUUUUUUUUUAAUUUAUUUUUUAAGUUACAAACUAGAUGGACAUUGAAAUGUGAGACAAUAUGAUAUGAAAACUCAUUUUAUUUAAAAUUUUACAACCUAAUUCAUCAAUUAUUUCAAAAUUUUGGAUCUAUUUUAAAUAUUGGUAAAGUGCAGGGGGCUAAUUGAAUCACUUUUUAAUGAAAGGGAGGUAAAUGAGACAUUCUUAUUGUGCAAGGGGAUCUUUCUUAAUUAAACCUUAUUUAUAAGAGAAAAUGCUUUUUGUACACAUAAAAAGGAAGCGUAAAUCUAACACCUCCCAUCUUAGAGUUGAUAAAAAUUCUAAUAGUUUCUAGUAAAAUUUAAAAAAAAGUUAAUAGCCCCGAGAUAGAACGUGGGUCUAAGAUUUAUAUGCUAUUUUUGAGUGUAUCUAUAGUGUUACUCUAUUUAAUGGACUCUUAAACUUAUUAUUUGCACAAUAAUCCUUCAGAUCAUCCAUUUUCAAUUAGAAGUCCGUAGGUAAAUUUUGGAGAAAGAAAUUAAACGUUGUCGAGUACAAUGAAAAAGGGAAAAAAAAAAAAAAACAUAUAAAAACAGGGACGAAGCUAGAUUCAAUCUUGAGGGAGCCAAAAUAUAUUCAAAUAGAAGCUUUAGUAAUAAAUAAUAAACAAGAUUUUCCUUAAUUGAAAAAUUUUUAUAAAAAAAUUAUUAAUUAAAUAAAUAAUGUAAAAUAUUAACUUAAUUUUUUUUAUUUUCAGAUAUUUAACUUCUAAUUAUUUUAUUUAUAUUAUUACAUUAAAAUAACUUAAAAAUUUUACUAAAUCUAACAGUAAUUUCUUAGUUUUUUACUAACUAAAAUUAACAUAGCUAUUAAAUUUAGUGCAAUUCUUGAUUUAGUCAAAUAAAAGAGCUCACCUAAGAUAAAUAAAAGUUAAAAAAAUUAUUAAAUAAAAUUUUUAGAGUAGAGAAAUAUAUUAUAAAAUACUCUAUAAGUUAGAGGCUCUAAAUAUAUUUUCGCCCAUAAAAAGAGUAUACCGAUUAGGAGGGAGAGAGAGAGAAAGUUAUGUUGGCAUCAUACUAUUGAGUAAAUAUUGAAAAAUUAGUAGUGCUAAAGUAAGGCUAUCCAUGGCCUACCAAAAAAAAGAACUAUGAAGGAUCAUUGAAUAAAUAUUGAAAAGUUGAGGGGGGUCAUGACCACCUUGGGCCUCAGCAUAGCUCCGUUUUAUGAUAAAAAGUUUCAAAACUAAACUGAGGGACAAGUUAUAUACGGAAAGACUAUAUAAAUGAAUAGGAAGAGAAAAAGAAAAAAAGAUAGAUUACACUUUGGGUCCUCAAACUAUGAGACGCCUAACAUUUUGGUCCUCGAAUUUUAAUUUAUAUUAAUUUUUGGCUUGAAUAUUCUAAAUUGUUGCAAUUCAAGUAUAGCGACCCAAAUUUGCUUACUAAAUGUUGACAUGCCGCUAAUGUAGAAAUAAUAUUGUAAUGUUAUGAUUGAUGAUGUACUAAUGAUUAAGAUGUUACGUUACAUCGACAUUAAUAAUACAUUACUAUUUAGUCAACUAAAUUGGGUUGCAAAAAUUGAUUAUAACAAUUUAAAAAAUUCGAGCCAGAAAUUAUUAUAAAUUAAAGUUUAAGGGUCAAAGUAUUACAUGCCGUAUAAUUUGAAGAUCAAAAGUGUAAUUUAUCCCAAAAAAAAUAUAUGGAUGAGUUCCUAAAAUUACACAUCCUUGUUAUGCCAUAUCUCAGUAGGGCCACGACUUAUAGGAAGCGACUCUCACAAGCUUAAGUACUCAUUAAGCUCAUUUUGGCUUUCACAAGCUUAAGUACUUAGAUGAGAUUUUUUCACUGGUGGCUAGUCGAAACUCUAUUCGGGUUACUUUAUCGAUCGCGGUGGUUAUGGACUUGUUGCUUGAGCAGAUGGAUGUGAAGAUGACAAUUUUGCACAGUGACCUAGGUGUGGAAGUUUUUAUGACACAACUUGAAGGCUUAGUCGAAAAAGGUAAGAAGUGUCUAGUUUGACGCCUGAACAAACCAUUGUAUUGCUUGAAGCAUGCACCAAAAUAUUGGUAAACAAUUUGAUUCCUUCAUUGUGCAUUCAGAUUUUUAUUGGCUUGAAGUAGAUCAUUGUAUCUAUUUUUAUGGAUAUGAUGAUAAGAGCAUUUGCAUUUUGCUAUUACAUAUAAGUACGUAUUUCAAAUUUCGGUCUGCGGAUAGACCCAUUUCAAAAUUCUUAUUUUUUCGUAUACAAAAUAAAUAAUAUAAUGAUAGUUCAUCUUUUUUCUCCAACUAUUAAUAUUUUAUCUUUUUAUUUAAUAUUUUAAUCAUUCAAUACUUUUUCUUUUAAUGAUAUAUAUAUAUAUAUAUAUAAGCACGUAUUUCAAAUUUCGGUCUGUCGACAGACCCAUUUUUUGGCGGGAAAAAAAAUUAAUUCCUCUAUUCAUUACGUAAAAUAAAUAACAGAAUUAAACAAACUUUUAAUUCCUCUAUGUUUUUACAACAAAAAAAAUUUAUGCUUAUCCAACUUUUUUGCCUACCAGAGAAUAUCUCCUUAUCUCUCUCUCUCUCUCUCUCUCUCUCUCUCUCUCUCUAUAUAUAUAUAUAUAUAUAUAUAAUAUCUAUUUAUAUAUAUAUUUAUUAUUAUAUUAACUGUUUAAUUUUGAUACUUUUAGUUUAAAUAUUUAUUUAAAUUUUAAAUCUAUUAGAAUUUAAAUAUAUAUAAUGUAUAUUAUAUUUAAUGUAUAUCUAUAUCUACACUAUAUGUAAAUUUAUCAGACAUCUACACCCUCGAGAAGGAUAAAUUCACCUUGCGGCCAUUGCUUGAGGGGUCGGUGUGGCUAUGGUGGACACAAGCGAAGAAAAGUCACUCGUUGGAUCUGCUUAUACUUGGAGGCGUUUCGGGAGAUGCUAUUGAUGGAGUAUUUUUUCGAGAGUGACAAGCGGAAGAUCAAAGAAGAUUUUCGCAAGUUAAGGCAAGGUAGCCGGACGGUGCGGGAGUACGAGAGGGAGUUCACGCACGUAGUCAAUUGCGUGCCGAGCUUGGUUCACGGUGAUAGGGACCGAGCGGAGGCUUUUGAGCGCGGGUUGCGACCCGAAAUAUUUAAAGUCAUUCAUGCCUUUCGGUUGAAGACCUAUGAGGAGGUACUUGACCGCGCGCUUUGGGUGGAGCCCGGCAAUGCUAUUGCGCGAGAGGAGCGCGAGGCAUUUGAGAAGGACAAGGAAAGAGAUAAGUCCAAGAAACGGGCAGCUAGUGGAUCCACGGGGCAGUCGAGUUCUAAGCGACCCCCUCGACCUCAGUGGUCACAGUGGCGGGCAGGCAGGAGUCAGACACAGAGCCAGACUACCUACCCGUGCGUGAUUUGUGGCGGAGACCACAGGGUUACUGCUUGCCCUCAGCGGGAGGGGUGGUGUUUUCGAUGCGGCCAGGCAGGCCACAUAGGCCAAGAGUGCCCGCGCGGCGCAUCACCUGCUCCGUCAUCAGCUUCGGUUCAGUAUACUCAACGACAGCUGGUGGGACUGCCAACCGCUGUGUCUGCUGGACAUUCAUCAGCGCCUCGUCAACCGGAGGCCUCUCGAGCACCUAGUGGGCGGGUAUUUGCCAAUAGGUGGAGGAGCAGCCGGCGGUACUAGAUAAUGUGGUAGUAGGUAUUAUCCUUAUCAGAGGCACUAGAGCUAGGGCAUUCUUUGAUACAGGUGCAUCGCAUUCAUGCAUAGCGACAUCAUUUGCACAAGCUCAUGACAUAGAGGUCACGCAUAAUGAGGACUAUUGGUCGGUGAAUACACCAGGGCAUUCGUUUCGUGUUUAUGGCGAGUGCUUGGCUUGUUCAGUGCAGAUAGGUGAUUGGAUCAUGCCGAUCGACCUAUUAGUGUUAAAGCAGAUGUGGGGUUUCGAUGUAAUCUUGGGGAUCAAUUGGCUCUCCAAGUAUUACGCGGUCAUCGAUUGUGAAAGUAAGGUGAUCACAUUCCGUGAACCUAAUCAAGAAGAAUUAGUGUAUCGAGCAUGUAAAAGUAGGCGCUUCGCGGCGACCGUAUCGGCGGCGAGGGUGAAAAAAAUGAUAAAGGGUGGAUGUGUAGCCUACUUGGCGACAAUGGUAGAAGCCCAAAAGGAGCACCCGGAUUUGGGGAGCAUUCGAGUAGUGUGUGUAUUUUCGAAUGUGUUUCCGGCGGAGUUACCGGGAUUGCCACCGGAUUGGGAAAUCGAGUUCGUCAUUGAUUUGAUUCCCGGGGCGGCGCCAAUUUCGAAGGCUCCGUAUAGAAUGGCACCGGUGGAACUUAAAGAGUUGAAGGCUCAAUUACAAGACUUGCUCGAUAAAGGCUUUGUGCGGCCAAGCAUGUCUCCGUGGGGAGCUCUGGUGCUAUUUGUGAAGAAAAAAGAUGGCACGCUUCGACUUUGUGUUGAUUAUCGCGAGUUGAACGAAGUGACGAUCAAGAACAAGUACCCGUUGCCGAGGAUUGAUGAUCUAUUCGAUCAGUUGCAAGGGUCAAGGGUAUAUUCAAAAAUUGAUCUUCAAUUGGGGUAUCAUCAGCUAAAGAUACGGCCCAAGGAUGUGCGCAAAACGACGUACCGUACGCGGUAUGGCCAUUGCGAGUUCACGGUUAUGCCGUUUGGGCUUACUAAUGCCCCGACAGCCUUUAUGGAUUUGAUGAAUGGAGUCUUCCGUCCGCUAUUGGACCGGUGCGUCGUGAUAUUCCUUGACGACGUAUUAGUAUAUUCUCGAACCGAGGAAGAACACGAGGAGCAUUUGAGGCUCGUAUUGGACAUACUCCGAAAAGAGAAGCUGUAUGCCAAGGAGGUUACUUUCUUGGGUCACGUUAUAUCUGGUGAGGGCAUCUCGGUGGACCCAAAGAAAGUUGAGGCAAUUAAAGAUUGGCCUCGCCCGAUAAGUGUAGCUGAGAUUCGUAGCUUUCUUGGACUUGCGGGCUACUACCGGCGGUUCGUGGAGGGGUUUUGCUAAGAUAACUACUCCACUAACGCGCCUUACCCAUAAAGGGGUGAAGUAUGUUUGGAGCCCCGAAUGUGAGCGGAGCUUUGAGGAGCUAAAGAAAAGGUUGACAUCGACCCCGGUGCUUGCUCUACCGACGCCGGGGGAGAGCUAUGUAGUAUACAGUGAUGCUUCUUAUAUCGGUCUCGGAUGUAUUUUGAUGCAGAAUGGCCGAGUUAUAGCUUAUGCUUCGCGCCAAUUGAAGAGUUAUGAAAAGAACUACCCGAUUCACGAUCUCGAGCUAGCGGCGGUUAUUUUCACGCUAAAAUUGUGGAGGCAUUACUUGUACGGUGAGCAUUGUGAGAUUUACACGGAUCACAAGAGUUUUAAAUACUUGUUCACCUAAAAAGAGUUAAAUAUGUGACAGCGGCGGUGGUUAGAGUUGCUGAAGGACUAUUAUGUCACUAUUCUAUACCACCCCGGGAAGGCAAAUGUCGUGGGCGAUGCUCUAAGUAGAAAGUCGGCGAAAAAUUUGGCGAUGGCAAUUGCACCCCAACCGGCAUUGCAAAAAGAGAUGCAACGGUUUGGUCUUGAGGUUGUGGCGCCGGGAGUGCCGGCAACACUUGCCACGUUGAUUGUACAACCGACCUUGUUGGAGAAAAUUAAAGAAUUGCAAGUUUCCGAUUCAUUUCUCCAAAACGUGCGGGGUAAAGUUGAUAGCGGUAGUGCCGAUGAUUUUGGCACUGGGACCGACGGUGCACUACGAUAUCGGAAUCGUUGGUGCGUGCCCAAGGACGAUGAUCUUCGGAGGGCGAUUAUGUAAGAAGCGCAUCAAUCUCCCUAUAGCAUUCACCCGGGCGACACCAAAAUGUAUCAAGAUUUGAAGCUACAUUAUUGGUGGCCGGGCAUGAAAAAGGACAUAGGGGAGUUCGUGGCACAGUGUCUGACGUGCCAACAGGUAAAGGCGAAACGGCGAUUCCCUGCGGGGAAGUUGCAAAGUCUAUCUAUACCCAUUGGGAAAUAGAAAAAUAUCGCAAUGGGCUUUGUGACCGGUUUGCCUAGAUCCCAAGGUCGACAUGAUGCGAUUUGGGUAGUUGUGGACCGGUUGACAAAAUCGGCACACUUUUUGCCGAUCCACACUACUUGGUCGGGAGACAAGCUAGCUCAAGUAUAUCUCGACGAGAUUGUGAGACUUCACGGGGUUCCAGUAUCUACUGGGGUGGGAUAUCACGAGAAUUAUUGCGAUGUUGCCUAAGCCUGUGGUACUCCACCAGUGUUAUGGACUUGUUGAAUGAUACUUCCAAGCCCUCUGGAUGGAUUUAUGGAACUGGUCACGGAUGGCCAUGAGUAUUCCGAUGAAGAUUUGCAAGGAUCGACUGCAGAGGCAGAUUGACGUGAUCGAGGUGUGAAACUCUCACUGUUGGAUCGAGUAGUUGGGAAACUCGAGAGGGAAAAAUACCAAGUUGCUAUUUGUCCUUGUCUAGUUUAUGCACCAGGAAUUAAGAUCUUGAGAAUGGAAACUACGUGAAAGAGCUGCUUGGAUGGACGUUUUGGUUGCUGGUCACGUUAUGGUGACGUUGAUAGAGAGCUAUUAUUGAAUUGUGGAUGGAACCCUCUCUAUCACUUGAGUUGAGCUCGGUGACUAUGGACACCUGGAGCAUCUGAUGCUAAGGAAAGCGUUGAGGAUGAGAAUUUUGAGUAAUUCUUCAUGAGUAACUGAACGGUUAAUGUACGAGACAUUCUAUCGAAGAUAAGCCCUUGGCUUAGGCUUACGAAGAGUUUAAUUGAGGCAUUGAGUUGAGACUAAGGGAAUGACCUUAAUAGAUUGAGGAUGUUACUGAGCUUUAGUCCAUGACCAUAUUUAUAGUAGAGGAUUUGAGAGUACUACCUGCGUGGUGAAAGUGAGAUUGAUGUGGAGGCACUGUGGUGCAAUGCCGAUUGAGGAAUCAAAUUAUCACCUUUGGUCAGCAAAUUUGGAUGAUUCGUCGAUUUCCGUUGCUAUUGGAAGGAUUGUUGCCGCGGAUGUUGGUUGUAGAGCCGUUUGUGCCAAGCAAUUUGGAAUCGUAGCCAUGUGGAGAUUACACCAUACUUAAUUAUGGAAUAGAGUGGCACCCAGUUGUGCAAUCUCGUGACGGGAUUUGAUUUUGAGUUGUGAGAUCAUCGUUGGGAUUGAGUUGACGAUUAGAUAUUGCAUCGCCUCUCUUUGGUGAUCGACAUCAUGUGAGUACUCCGGUGGAGUUUUGAUGAAUUGGGCGACGGGUGUAACCCCCGGAUUCUUCCUAUGGACAGCGUCGUUGAAUCCGCCUCAGAAGGAUAUAUGAUAGAAUUCUAUAUUUAAGAGUAAAGUGAAGUAGAGCUAGGCUUUGCCCUCAACCUGGAUGAGGAAGUGAGAGCUGAAAUUUAGCCUUUGGGAGCACUUGGUUUUGUGAGGACCAACUGAUGGGCUUGUCGAACAAGCACGGAUUUGAGAUGGAACUUCCCGGUGAAGACUUGAGUUUGAGGAGCUUUUGUGGGUUUGGCUUGCAAUACGCCAAAUCCUUGGAGUCGCGAGAUUUUUGUUGUGUUGUACCUUGGAGCAAUCCGACAUGCUUGAGACCUUCAUGGUCUCGUUGGUACCCUGUUGGAGCGUCCCUUCCAUCCUCUUCGGAUGGGUCUGUUCCGUGGUUGACCCACAGUUUCGCUGACGAAAUUCCUUUUUAGGAGGAGAGAAUGUAACACACUGGACCUUUGUAAAUUGCGGGGUUCGAGUGUUUGAUCAGUAUUUCGAGCUUUUCCAUAUUUUCUGGAGGGUCGUUGACAGUGUUCCGACCUAUGGCUCGCAUUCCGAGAAUUGAGGUUUAAAACUUUGCACCAAAAUCCAAAAAGACGGAUUUUUGGUCUACUCUCGGGUUUGCCUCAGCAGGGCUGUAUACCGGUACAGCCUUGAUGGUUGUACCGGAACAGGUUUCGUAUUGGUACACCUUGAUGGUUGUACCGGUACAAAUGCGAUUUUCUACAAACCCGAGGCUCGGGUUUGUGUGUUCGGGGGAUUUGUACCGGUACACUUUCCCGUGUACCGGUACACUUUGCCAGACUGCAAACUGGCAGUUUUUCGGGAGUGUUAUUGCAUUAUUGCUUCUCUACUUAUAUCCCCACGCCCCCUAGGGCUUUUCCUGAGCUGGGAACACAGGAGAUUGAGGUAGGAGAGCUUCUUACUUCCUCUCUAUGGAUUUUAUCUCCAUUUCUCUUAGAUUUUCGUGGUUUAACUCCUCUCUUUUCUUCUUGGUGCAAUUCCACCAUUGUUGAAGGCUUGGAGCUUGAAAAGGAGCUUGUUUGAGAGGAAAUCUUCAACCCUAGUUGGUUUGGAGUCUAGUUUGGGGCUUCUUAAGAGGUUAGAAACUUGUUUCCUCCUUUUUAUCCAUGAUUUAGUAGAUUUCUUGAGAUGAAACCCUAGAAAUGAAAAUUUAGAGUUAUAUUGGAGAUUUUUGGAUUAGAAGUUUUUGGAUCUCAAUUGGUUGAGUUAGAACCUUUGUUUAGGUUGGAAUCGGAGAGAUCUUACUCUCAUUUGGAAUUUAAAAAGGGGUUUUUACACUAUAGGUGAGUUUUGGCCCAUUUGUUGAGUUAGUUAAUGUUUAACUAUUGGAUUGCUCGUAACGUUCGUUUAACUCUCCUUUUAUUACCUUUAAGGUGCUAGGAGAAUAGCCGGCAACUUCGUUCGGCGAAACGAAAGAGUUCGAAGUGUUUACGGUGGGUUUGAACUCACCGAAAUGGGUGAACUCCCGCUAAACCUCCUUUUGGUUUUUAGAUUUAAUUAAACACUUUUUCAUGCUCAAAAUGACAUGCUAGGAUUUAUGAGAAUACAUUACAUACAUGCUAUGUAAAGUUUAGUGAUGCUCUAUGUGGUAGAGGCUUUUAUGUGAACUUGUGCAUGAAUUAGCUCUAGUGGGUGAAUUCUCUUUUAUGCAACCUAGAAGACAUGUUAGAGCAUGAUUGACGGUGUGACCUUUGAGGGAUUUCGACUUAUGGGUUUAGUAAAGUGAUCAUCUUACAUGUUAAACGAGAUAUUUGUGUAGACAAGAAAAUAGGGCUUUGUGACCUAGUAAUUAACAAGGUGUUGACCUUGAGAUUGGUAGCAUAUCUACAUGACUUGGACAGGUGCAUGAAUGAGACUUAGCAAAUAUUUGCAUGAUAUUACCCUCUUGUUGUAGACAAGUAGUUGUGACAUGGUGACAUAGUACAUGUAAGAUCUAUAAGAAACCAAGUUGGGACAUUCAUUCUAGUUGAAUAAUUGCACGUGGCAUUAAUUGAAUGGAAUUACUACAUGAUAGCUUAUUGCUCCAUAUAGUGGAGGUCUUGUUGAUAAUGUAAAUGCAUGAUAUGCAUCAUGGACAUUGUUGUAUCAACGCAUAUGGCAUAAGAAAUUGACUAUCUUAGCUAUAGUGCAAUAGACUAAGGGUGAACUUUCAUUGAGACUUGAACAAUAGUGAACUAUCCUAGAUAGAAUAAUGACAUGUGUCAUGUGAAUAUGAACUAGAGACUUUUACUUGACAUAGUAAAUAUAAAUGUCAUGUAGUGACAUUCGAGUUAGUAAAUGAUAACCUUGACACUUGAUACUAUAUUGGGACCUUUGGGGUCGUGCUACAUAUUCCAUGUUUUAGACAUGAUGAUCGAGAGUUAGAUACUUUUGAUCAUGCUUGUUUGCCAUUGUGCUCAUUCGCACAUGCUUGUGAGGGUCGCUCCCAACAAGCCGGCACUCCGGAGAUAGCCUACGCGACACAAGCUCGCCCGUGCGGGAUUGGGCUCCAAAAUGGGAUGCCGUGGGGAAGGCUCAUUCCUAGAGUGGGGAUGUUGACUACCACGGGGCCAUUUUUGGCACAGCACAAGUCGGACUACACACGUGUAGAUCCAUGAUGAGAAUUGAAUUAUGAUAACAAAAGUGUAAUGAGAAAACUACUACUAGAAAGUGCAUCCUAGUUGGGUUUGUAGACAUGUAUGAUAGUGCAUAAUGUGAACUUAUGUUAGUCCUUUUUGGCAUUGACAUUCUAGGGGUAGUAUAUUACACCUUUGUGGAUUGGCAUAUUGUAUGGUUAGAAUAGUAAUGAAAAGUAUCAUCUUUCAUUGUAUCAUUAGGAACAUCGUGAACAUGCAUGGAAAUUAGCAUACAAUUGAAUAUGCUUGUAAACUGGCAUUGACAUCUAGUUGAUCAUUGACAAUAGAACUUCAUAUACAUGAUAAUUGAUUGAUUUUAGUAGAAGCAUGACUUUGAUGGAUACUUGUUUAUAUACCUGCCUUUCAUAUCUGCUUAUUAAUUUACCUUUAUAGCAUGCUUAUGUUAGCCUAGUGGAGCAUUUCGUUGAGAUCAAUAGUUGCCCACUAGGAACUAUUUUUGAUAGUUCUCACACCCUCUAUUUCUGUUGUUGUUUUCAGAGCAAUCCGCAUCGGGAGUGGCUAGAGAUUGAGGCAAGGGGUUAGCGGCUAGCUAGAGCCCUACGGAGUUAUUUUAGUUGGACCCGAUGUUAUCUUUUCUUUUUGUACCUUGAGAAAAGAUGUAUUAUGUAUUUGUUUCGAGCUUUAUGUUAGAUUCUGGAUUUAGUUGUAUACUUUUGUAUCUGUAUUGUGGAUCUCUUUAUGAUAGAACUUUAGUGAUUUUAUUAUACUCGCUCUGAUAGCCUUAUUAGGACUUCUAUAUUCAUUUCUUGUUUAGUAGACGCUUUGUGUGCAUUGUGUUUUUGGGUGUACACGAUGGGUCUGUGCACACGCCGGCGUGCUUCUGCUAGGCCCGGGGGGUGACAUAGUCACACUAUGCCACCCGACUCGGUCUUGAGUCAAUCAACUGCGGAUAAUCAGCGCUCUGUCCGGCUCGAGGUGAAGGAACUCCUGCAUGCACCUCAGCCAACCACAGCCUACCGCGCUCCAUGACUUAGCCACCUCGCGGCGAAAUCGUCGCACACGCCACGACAAUGGCUCAAGUCACUCGGCGGUAUAAUCCACAAAUCGGCAUAACCAUCCGGCAGCGAAAUCGUCGCACACGCCACGUCAAUGGUUUAGCCCCGGGCGGCUAAAUCGUCGCACACGCCCCACGUCCCUCUCGUUGUGAUUCAUAAGUUCUGGAAUUCCGGAAUCCAUUUCACAUAACUCAAGGGUUGGUCUUAACCCAUUAGUAUCGACCUAUCUAGGUCCAAUGUCCUUUCCAUCCUAGGUCCAAUUGACUCUAGGUUCAUUGCUCUUAUCACAUAACCUAGGUUUGCUUGACUGUAGGUUUAUUUCUCAACCUAUGUUCUUUAACACUAGAUUCAAUGUCACUCUUGACCAACCUUUGUUUAUUAACACUAGGUUCAAUGUCAUUCAUGUCCAACCUAUGUUUAUUAACACUAGGUUCGAUGCUACUCGAUCUAUUUGACGUCCUAGUUGUCCGUACCUAGAAAUCAUACUUGUUGAGUUCUUUAUCAACUUAGAGUUAUCGACCCAAUGUUACUUUCAUAUGAAUCUAGCAUAUUCCAUAAUUUGCCAACAUGCAUUUUAUCUAGCAAUCUUAUCUUAUAUGAUUAUGCAUUUCAUCUAGCAUAAAUUACAACAUGCACCUCUCAACUAGCAUCCUCUACGCAUGUCAUUAUACAUUCCAACUAGCACGUUCUUAUAAUGUUUAAAUGCAUAGGUCAUUUCUCUUAUGCUCUCAAACUUGCAUCAUUUGCAUUAUAUCAUCAUGCAAUCCUUGGUAGCCUAACAUAGCAUUCAACUCAUGCAUUCAUAUAUUUUAUCGCUAGCUACCAUUAUAUGCAUCAAUAUGAAACCAUAUUUUUUUCGACAUGAUGGCGACCUUGUCGCUUCGGUGAGAACAACCCACCUCAAAUCGCUUUCCGAUUGCUUGUAGUCACUUGCAAUCGGCCUCCCGCGGCACCCGUGACCUGGUUCGGCACGAACUUGCGCGGACCACCCAAACGGCCACCAAUCCACGAUCUGAAAAUUGAAGGUCUAUAACUUAAUGCUAAGAUGCUCCGGAUUCGUUCUCGUGAUUUUUGGACGUCGCCUCGGCCCUCCAGGCGGAAACGAAGCCAAAAUGUCCGUUUCUUUAAUAUCUUCACGUAGGCUCGACCAAUCGCCGAACCAACUUUGCAAACGCAUCGGAAAUACCUUCAAUUAGGUUUACAAAGGGUCAAUUUACAUUUAAACCCAUUUACGACAAAAGCUCCAAUUUGCGUGCCCUAACAAUGCCAUUUAGCAUCGUAUGCUAGAUUGCUAAGCUAAACAAGCUUAGAAUCAUCUAGAAACUCUUUUAGAACUAUUUCUAGGUCAUUCAAAUCAUUCCUAGGACAUCUAACACAAACCUUUGAAUUUCACCAUGAGAGCUCUUGAAGCAACCAUGGAUUUCAUGGAGUUCAAGCCUCUAGAGAGUUUCUAAUCUUGCAAGAAAUCCAAAACACUAAAUCUUAGGGUAUAAAUCCAAACCCUAGAAGUAUUCUUGCAAAACAACUCACCUUAGCCCAAAGCAAUCCCAAGUCCACCUUGUAGGAGAGCUUCUAGGUCCUCUAAUCCUCCAAAAUCACCUCUAAAACUCCUCCAACCCACCACCUCUAGCCUUGGUGGAGAGCCUCAAGAGAGAGAGAGAGGGAGAGAAAAUGAGAGAGAAGAGUAGGGUUUCUAUUUUGCUGUGAAGGGGAGAGGGUUUGGUUAUUUUAUAGUGUGUAACAAUAGCCACAAAACCCCCCAACCCUCCAAAAUUGUAGCAGAUUAUUUCUGUGCUGUCAGCCCAAAGUGUACCGGUACACUUGGGGUGUAACCGGUAACACGAUCACGCAGAGACAACCCAAGAGCUGCUAUUCGGGUUUUACCAAAGUGUACCGGUACACACCAGAGGUGUUACCGGUAACACACUCACGCAGAGGCAAACCCGAGAGCAAUAUCCUCUCGGUCUGCGAUGGUUGUACCGGUACAGCAUCAAUGUUGUACCGGUACACUUUUCGCAAAUUGCUGUUUUAGCUCCUUUUCGGCUCUAUUUCGCGCCGAUCGAUGCUAAAACCUUUCUAACAUCUUUUAAACUCAUUUUUAACCCUUCCAAUCUUAUUGGAAUGUUAAAUAGAACUUGUCUAACCAUUUCUUUUGCACGCUUUAGUCAAUUUGACUAAAGUCCGCAAUAGCUUACCAAGGUUUCAAUAUGUUACAUUCUCCAUCCCUUCAAAGAAUUUUAUUCGCGAAAUUCAAACUACACCUCAACAUCAGAUUACCGAGCUAUUGAGGGUACCAAUACACUUUCUCACUCUUUGGAACUAUCCAAGAGUCCUAUCCCAAAGGGCACGAUACUGUAAGGACUAAGAUUUUUGACAGUGCUACUAAACUCUCUGUUGAUGAUGUUUAUGUGUGUAAUUUAAUUACAUAAGCACUCGUCAAGUUUCGGGCGAAAAUGAGCUAAAAUGGAGAAGAUACGCGACUUUCAGUUUUCACUUAAGUGAAUAGUAACUCCGGUUUUCCGGGCCGCCGAGGCCGCCGCGUGCCGCUGCCACCCCCAGCCGCCACUGCCACGGCCGCCCCCACGGACCCAGCCCCGAGUGGAGUGAGCUCCGGACCGGCCGAGUCCCACCACGACCCAUGUUGGAGCCGGUUCCACCUCCCUCUCCCUCCUUACAACCUCGAAAAGGCCACCGGCCCCAACGAGCGGCCGCCGUCCCCACGCUCGUGCUGCUCCCGUCACUACGAGACUCCAGCCGACCUCGAUUGACCCCAUCGUUCCACCGAUCCAGAUCCCAAAGGUACGUACUUUGGGAUCCAUGUGAUAUAUAUGGUUUCCAAUGUAACGUGGUUUCAGGAGGCUUUAUCUUUUAAACGUUGUCUCUGGAAGUGUCGCGGUCAUUUAGCGCACAUGCGUGGAGGUGCAAGCUGGAGCACGCUAAGCCAUGUAUUUUACAGCGUUGAAAACGCUUUAAUGGCCAAACGGUAGUGGCUGGAGAGGAGCUAGUUGCGCGCUAGAGGCGUCUAGGCAGGCAGUCUAAACGCUUGCCUAACGUGGUCACGCUAGUCGUGGAGCCUCUGUUGUUUCGAUGUGAAAGCUAAGUAAAGCUAGCUGGUGCCUAAGUGUUGGUUUAGGUUGGAAGAAGGUUUUCUUCCUUUGUGUGUGUGUUUAUGUAUAUUUUGUACAUAAAAACCUAAAAGAGCUUUAAGCACGCAGUUUGAGUUUUAGGUAGUCGCGGUGAUCAAGGUCUUGUCGACUUGGCCAGCUUUGCUCGAUAACCUGACUAUACUUGCCUCAGGCUAUGCGUGGUCUUCGGUUGAGAUGAGGCACCGAAGGNUUUCAAACUAAAAGGGGACCCCGGGGCGUGACAGAUACCAAUUCAUGCAACCUUGCAAGGCACAUCUCGCAAAGUGCAUUACGAUCCCACAAGUCUCGGUGGUAGCGUAAGUCGACACUCGACAGCUCUACACGCUCCAACACUACUCACCACUUGGCAUGCAAGAACUCUUUCUUGCAUUAACCUCCCCAUCAUGGAAUAUACUCCGAUUCGAUCACCGGCAUUGCAUAGAAGCAAUAUCAUAGGUGCAUUGACCAAUCGCGAGUGCUCCAAUCCCAAUUGGACUGUUGCUGUACUACGAGAUGGCACACUCAGACACCUCUCCAAUUUCAAUCCUCAAAAGAGCAUUAUUCUCAAUUCCACGUGGCUAUCCAUUUUUCAAGUGUCUCCUAGAGACCACUUUACUUUCUCUUUCGAUUGCCAAGGCCAUCAUUGAUCCGUUAUCGCAACAAACUCACACGAAUACUCCGUUCGUGAAUCCAAGCCAAACUCAUCAACAGAGUUACCGGCCAAAUCGAUUACCUCUGUUUCCACAGGCGAACCCACAGUCACCAAUCCUACAUAGGCCUACCACUUAAACCUGUCUCAACGACGCACAACAUCUCUUACUCACCGGCGUAGACCCAAUUUUCAUCGGGCGAAAUUCUUACUUGGGAAUUUGCACGCAGUACAACCAGGAGCAACCAGGACCUCAAACCAAGUCACGUCCUCGGGUUGGGUCACACACACUCGGUGUAUCCUCGAUCUCAUGAUCCAAUAGUUGGCAUUCCACGCACCCGGGUCUAAGCUCGGACUACCGUCCUGACCAAAACUCUGCCCUACUCGUAGGUACCGGGCCGCUGUCACUCACAGCUGACUGCGCUUGCCCAAAGGGCCCAGGCUCCACAGUCCACAAGUGGUCCAGGCACGGGUCGUCUCUAAGCACUACCCGCCGUCGUCGUCCUACACGACAUACUCUAUCGAGUCACGUACCACUACCGGCUCCUAAGUACCUAGUGCGAGCCAUCAGCCCCACGAGUGAUCCCUGACCCGCUUCACACUUGGCAAGGCUGAAGUGCUACUGCCAACACACUCCCGGUUGAGUCAAUACCGCACACCACGAGUACCUAUACUUGAGCGCUCUACACGCCUCUAUAGCAUUCCAACUAUGUCAAGCAUUAGGCAACCUUCCCUAUGCAACUGGCCACACGAGCACGACUCACCCACCCCAAUUAGAGGUACUACUAAGCCAAUGUGCCCGGAUUCGGCAACUAAUCAGCUACUCUCUCAACAAUGUUUCUAAUCUCACUGCUCGAUCUACCGAACUAUAUCCGACACACUCGAACUAUUCGAGUAUUCUCCAUGUCACGACGCAACUUUCGCAAUCCAAUACUCAUUGCCUUGAGAGUCGCUUCACCGUUUCAUCCCUAUCACGAGCCCCACUUCUUGUCCGAGAACCAUUACUAGCCAUUUGCUAGUGCCACUCGGCUCUCUACCUGCUCCAGCAGGCGCCACACUAUCACAAUGCAAGCAUGCCCGGGUAUCUACCUACCCGUCCAAUGGGUCCCUACUAUGCAAUGUACAACCAGUUCCAACUGACCAUUUAACUAAUGCAUGCUAUGCAACAACUUGAUAUCAUGUAGCAGUAUGUACUUGCUUUAACUACUCAUACCUGCCAUGACGUCGUCAGCUGCGGUAGGUUCCACCGCUCAGGUCGCGUAUCCAUGGCCACUUGGCGCUCGCCACGAACUCUCCUGUUGCACCGUCCUCAACUGCCGCUCUCCCGACCAUGCCGCAGGUGGCACACCUGUAGGCUGUCCCAGAGAUGAAUAGGCCGUCGUGAGCAUCAAGGCCCGGCCGUCACCUUGCGGACAUUCGUCCCGCGAAUGACCCGGCAGCCCACACUUGAAGCACUUGCCCUCACGCUGCUCACACUGCUGUGGGUAAUAAGGGCCUCCACAGAUAAUACAUCUCGCCGAGGACCGAAUGUGGUAUAUCCCCGGAGCUCGGGAUCGCGAGCGCAAACUCAUCGAAGUCCGCUGGAAACUUGACCGACCACCGGAUCCACUCGUUGGUUGUCCUUUUCAUUUUUCCUUGUAAUAAGACUCGCGCUCCUCCUGUGUAAAUGCGUUGCCUUGUUCUAUCCACAGGGCUCGAUCCAAGACUUCAGCAAAGGUCUGUAACUUAAGUACAAGCACAGCCUUAUAAAGGUCUGGUCGAAGUCCAUGCACAAAGCAGUUGGCCUUAUCCUUGUUAUCCCGUACCACGUUCAGGAUACAAUGCACGAUACGAGAGAACUCCCGCUCGUAUUGCCUGACUGAGCGGUCUCCUUGCCGCAGCUUCCGGAACCUCUCCUAAAGCUUCCUUUUCUCACUGUCGGGAAAGUAAGCAGAGAAUAGCAUUCCCCGAAACUCCUCCCAAGUCAUAGGAGGGAGACUAGGCGAUCGAUACCGCCUGACGCCUUUCCACCACACCUUCGCCGACUGUUUCAAGUAGUGCACGGCUAUGUGUACCUUAUCCCGCUCCACCGUGUAUAGAUCAUCGAAGAGUGUUUCCAGGGAAUCAAUCCACAUGUCCAUGAUCCACGGAUCUGCAUCCUCUUCAUCAAAAGUAGGUGGAUCAAAUUUCUUGAAAGCCAUGAGGGCUGCUCGCCUCCACCUCUGAACUAACAGGAGUCGGAUCACAUGACCCCGACGGAAACGUCUCCGCCGUGACUCCCGGCCGUCCUCGAUGAGCUGCAGCUGGUGCAGCCACCAGUUGAUCCGCCGUCUCUUGGAGUCUUUUCAUUCGCUCCUCCUGGCGCAUAACAGCCUCCUGCUGCCGCUGCACGACAUUGGCUUGUUGCCUCAUCACUCCCACGAGUGUGGCCAACUGAUCACGAAGCUCUGAGUCUCCGCUCACGUCGGUUCGCUCAGGGACACCACUUGUCCCUUCCCGCGCCGAUCUAGAUGAAGAACGCCUAUGCGGUGCCAUCGUUUUCUGAAACACGACAACUCGAUUAGUUCUCGACCAUCCUGGGUCGAAUAUGAGACCACUAACACCGGCUCAAAAGCCAAUCAGGCGAAAGUCACGCAAGAGCGUCUAUUCUCAUCACUAAGUUUCAUGUUGUCGUACGCCAACUUGAACAUCCUCGUCUGAGAAUAAACCACACCUCGAGUCUACCUCUAAUAUCCGUCUUAGAGGUUUACCACAUAACCCAAUCCAUUAUCCUUUCGCCACAAGUCACAAGUGCUCGUCUCCCACGAGCCUUAUUCUCCUAUGGUUUAUACUAUCCUAGGGUCUCCUAGGUCCAUCUAAACCAUGUUCCCAUUCUCUACUUUAUGCUCUUAUACCAUCUUAUCAGUCACGCCCGUGCCCGCCUAUUUGGUCGGAUUCCGGCACGCCGACAGACCGCUGAACGGACAGAGUUUUCCUUGUAUGUCCUAGGCGUCGCAAUCAAUACAAUGUACGAGGUUCCAACCAGGAACACAUUUCAAUCAAAGAUUACAUAAGGAAAUAUCAAAAACAUAAAACUACUUGCUAUUACAAGCAUUCACACUAGAUACAUUCUUUCAUCAAAAUUUUCUUUUACAUUCAAAUUCCAAAUUACAAUCUAGAUAUUACAAUUUAUUACAACUUUAAUUCAUUGUCUUUUAACCCCUAAGCUAGACCACCUCGGGGUACUGCUAUGUCUAGUCUCUGGGGUAGGGUGCUAUCUACGGAGCUACUCCUUUGUCUCGUGCCGCCGCGCCGCUCACGAGUGAACCUGUACCCCCAAAAUCAACACGGGGGUGAUAACUAUUGUCCAUAGUUCCCAGUAGGUAUGGCCACCCAAGGGAAAAGCUCGACCCACCAGGUCCAAGGAGGCACUGCAACAUGUUAGUCCAACAGAUAUCUAUGUAAUUACCGAAAUACAUGUUAUGCCUCACAAUAUGCAAUAUGAAGUUCAUGCAACUAUGCAAGUAGAUUAAAUGAUUUAACUCUCUAUCAUUUGCCGUUCUUUAUUGUUAGCUAUUCUUUACUACUUACAAUUCUUUCUUAUUAGCCACUAUUUAUUCUUAGCCAAUCUUUAUUUUUUACUAAAGGUACUCACUCCUUAGCCAUAUUAUGCUCAUUUGCCAUUCUUUCCUAAGGUUACUUUUACCUUAGUCACACUAUGCCACCCGACUCGGUCUUGAGUCAAUCAACUGCAGAUAAUCCACGCUCUGUCCGGCUCGAGGUGAAGGAACUCUCGCAUUCACCUCAGCCAACCAUAGCCUACCGCACUCCAUGACUUAGGCACCCAGCGGCGAAAUCGUCGCAUACGCCACGACAAUGGCUCAAGUCACCUGGCGGUAUAAUCCACAAAUCGGCAUAACCAUCCGGCGGCGAAAUUGUUGCACACGCCACGUCAAUGGUUUAGCCCCGGGCGGCGAAAUCGUCGCACACGCCCCACGCCCCUCUCGGUGUGAUUCAUAAGUUCUGGGAUUCCGAAAUCCAUUUCACAUAACUCAAGGGUUGGUCUUAACCCAUUAGUAUCGACCUAUCUAGGUCCAAUGUCCUUUCCAUCCUAGGUCCAAUUGACUCUAGGUUCAUUGCCCUUAUCACAUAACCUAGGUUUGCUUGACUGUAGGUUCAUUUCUCAACCUAUGUUCUUUAAUACUAGGUUCAAUGCCACUCUUGACCAACCUAUGUUUAUUAACACUAGGUUCAAUGUCAUUCAUGUCCAACCUAUGUUUAUUAACACUAGAUUCGAUGCCACUCGAUCUAUUUGACGUCCUAGUUGUCCGUACCUAGGAAUCAUACUUGUUGAGUUCUUUAUCAACUUAGAGUGAUCGACCCAAUGUUACUUUCAAAUGAAUCUAGCAUAUUCCAUAAUUUGCCAACAUGCAUUUUAUCUAGCAAUCUUAUCUUAUAUGAUUAUGCGUUUCAUCUAGCAUAAAUUACAACAUGCACCUCCCAAUUAGCAUCCUCUACACAUGCCAUUAUGCAUUCCAACUAGCACGUUCUUAUAAUGUUUACAUGCAUAGGUCAUUCUCUUAUGCUCUCAAACUAGUAUCAUUUGCAUUAUAUCAUCAUGCAAUCUUUGGUAGCCUAACAUAGCAUUCAACUCAUGCAUUCAUAUAUUUUACCGCUAGCUACCAUUAUAUGUAUCAACAUGAAACCAUAUUUUCUUCGACAUGAAGGCUACCUAGUUGCUUCAGUGAGCACAACCCACCUCAAAUCGCUUUCCGAUUGCUUGUAGUCACUUGUAAUCGGCCUCCCGCGGCACACGUGACCCGGUUCGGCACGAACUUGCGCGCGACCACCCAAACGGCCACCAAUCCACGAUCCAGAAAUUGAAGGUCUAUAACUUGAUGCUAGGAUGCUCCGGAUCCGUUCUUGUGAUUUUUGGACGUCGCCUCGGCCCUCCAGGCGGAAACGAAGCCAAAACGUCCGUUUCUUCAAUAUCUUCACGUAGGCUCGACGAAUCACCGAACCGACUUCGCCAACGAGUCGAAAAUACCUUCAAUUAGGUUUACAAAGGGUCAAUUUAUAUUUAAAUCCAUCUACGACAAAAGUCCCAAUUUGAGUGCCCUAAUAAUGCCAUUUAGCAUCGUAUGCUAGAUUGAUCUCCUUGCUAAGCCAUUUAGCAUCGUAUGCUAGAUUGAUCUCCUUGCUAAGCUAAAACAAGCUUAGAAUCAUCUAGAAACUCUUUUAGAACUAUUUCUAGGUCAUUCAAAUCAUUCCUAGGGCAUCUUACACAAACCCUAGAAUUUCACCAUGAGAGCUCUUGAAGCAACCAUGGAUUUCAUGGAAUUCAAGCCUCUAGAGAGUUUCUAAUCUUGCAAGAAGUCCAAAACACUAAAUCUUAGGGUAUAAAUCCAAACCCUAGAAGUAUUCUUGCAAAACAACUCACCUUAGCCCAAAGCAAUCCCAAGUCCACCUUGUAGGAAAGCUUCUAGGUCCUCUAUCCAAAAUCACCUCUAAAACUCCUCCAACCUACCACCUCUAGCCUUGGUGGAGAGCCUCUAGAGAGAGAGGGAAAGAAAAUGAGAGAGGAGAGGAGGGUUUCUAUUUUGCUGUGAAGGGGAGAGGAUUCGGUUAUUUUAUAGUGUGUACCAAUAGCCACAAAACCCCCCAACCCUCCAAAAUUGCAGCAGACUAUUUCUGUGCUGUCAGCCCAAAGUGUACCGGUACACUUUAGGGUGUAACCGAUAACACGAUCAUGCAGAGGCAACCCGAGAGCUGCUGUUCGGGUUUUACCAAAGUGUACCGGUACACACCAGAGGUGUUACCGGUAACACACUAACGCAGAGGCAAACCCGAGAGCAAUCUGCUCUCGGUCUGCGAUGGUUGUACCGGUACAACAUCAAUGUUGUACCGGUACACUUUGCCCAAAUUGCUGUUUUAGCUCCUUUUCGGCUCUAUUUCGCGGCCGAUCGAUGCUAAAACCUUUCUAACCUCUUUUAAACUCAUUUUUAACCAUUCCAACCUUAUUGGAAUGUUAAAUAGAACUUGUCUAACCAUUUUUUUUUACAUGCUUUAGUCAAUUUGACUAAAGUUCGAAAUAACUUACCGAGAUUUCGAUAUAUUACACAAGCUGUAAUUUCCCUUUACAAUUCAAUCCUCUGGUCUGGAUACCGGUACUCCCCUGCAUUGGUACCGGAACCCAGUGCAAUCCCUGCACCUGGGCAGCAGCAUGGUUCCGAGGUCCAAUUCUCGCGCCUAACUUGUGCCAAAUACCUCUAAACACUUUUAAAUACCUUCUAACUCCUAAAUUCACUACUAACUAUCCCCAAGCCUCCAAAAUGAUUCGGGGAUACCACAAUUUACAAUAAUACCUCACUUUACUCAGCUAGAUCAAAGUUAACCUUAUAAUCCGGAGAUUCUCUUUCGAGUUCGUUUCGCGUCCGAUUUGCGCUGAAACACUCAAAUACCUCCAGUAAUCUUUCCCACACCUCCAGAAAUAUUCGGAAAAGAUACACAUCCAGCUCAAGCUUCACUUUGAUUCCCCAGAUCAAAGUUAGCAUUGCAACUCGAAAUUUCGGGAUAUUACAUUAAUGAUGUAAAAACUAAUUUUAUCAAUUAUAAAAUUUGAUUUUAAGAACAUUAUAUCCUAAAUUUUAUUAAAUAGUGUCAAUCAUUAAAUUGAUUGCUUCAUCAUAAAAAUGAAUUUGUAGCAUGAAGACCUUUAACAACUCUCACUACAACAGAAUUAGAUUAUAGGGACACAUGUUUAGGACACUUCUGGGUAAGUGUCCCAUUUAUGCUAAAACUUAAUUUUACUAAUGCCUAAAUAUAAGCCUAAUCCAAUAAAAAACAAAAGAUUACUCUACUCAAUCCACCACACCCAGUCUAUUUGGCCCGAUUACAAACAGAAAAGAAAAAAAAAAAGAAAAAUCAAUUACCAUCUUUUUUUCUCUCUUCACUCAAUCCAAUUAAAUUCUUGACGAAGAGCCUUUCCUGUCGUCCUCCUCCGCCACCGCAGCCAACGAGAUAGAGUUUCGGCGGUUGCUAAAUGCUUAAAUAAGUGUUGGUAAAUUAGCAGCACUCUUUUAGGUUAUAGCGACACUCUUUAACUGUCACUAUAUACCUAGCGACCCCACAUAUAGCAACAUUUUUUAAAAGUGUCGGUAAUUUUAGCUAGCAGCACUUUUUUGACAUGUACCUACAUUAAAAGUGUCGCUAUACACCGUUUUUGUUGUAGUGUCUAUUGGCAAAAUUCAUUGGUUUUAGAUGACAAAUCACUUUUAUUUAUAUAUAUGAAGAGGCAUGAUGAUCCUUAACUACUACUAAUUUUGGGUUAAUUGCAUACAGCUCCCUGUAAACAUAGUGAAUAACAAAUAUAUCUCUACAAAGUUUAAUUUUUAAUUCUUAUCCCUUCAAAAGCCCAGUGAUAUUCAUAUUUGUUCUUUUGGUUUGUUACCGUUAAAGAACUACUUAGUUUUUUAACAGCUGAUAAGUAAAAUGUCAAUUUUUCCAUCACAAAUAUGUCCAUCCAAAAACUCUAACUGCUAUAAUCAUGUAGAAAUGUCCCUCCAAAAAAAUUUCAAUGGUCAUCGUCUUCCUCAUCUUUUUCCUUUUUAAAAUCCAACCCAAUAUGCACCAUUGUUGCAACCUGUUCUCUCACUCUUUCUCUCCUAAACCUUUUUCUCUUGAGCAAAAUAAAAAAAAAAUCAUGGAGAAAAUUGAAUGGAAAAGCAACACGCGUUUGACAUGAGCGAAGUAAGACGUGUUGUGGAUGAAUGUGGAUGGAGAGAUUCUAUUUACGGGUUCGAAACUAACAUGAAGGAGAGAGAGGACGAGGAAGAGGAAAAAAAAGAAGAAGAAGAGUUUUCAUUGCUAGGGUUUUGAUUGAUAGAAGAAGGUAUAAUACAAGAGAGGUUAAAAUGUCAAUUUACCUAAUUGACUAAUCAAGGUUACGUAUUUUAUCUAUAAUUAACUAAAAUUUUCUAACGAAUCCUAACGGCAGAGGUAUAUUUGAAAACAUUAGGACUUUUGUAGGUAUAUAAUAUAAGAAAGUCGAACUUUAUAGGAAUAUUUUUAUAAUUUUCUAUAAUUACAGAGAGUUGUCUACAAUUAACCUACUAAUUUUUUAUGAAUGGACCAUGAUUAUUGUCUUUUGAGUUGAACACAAAAUUCAUAAUCAUUACCAUAUACAUUAUAACAAUAUUGUACUGUUUUUCUUAUUUUGUCAUAUUUGUGGAAGAGUUUUGUGGGACUAGACAUUGACGAUCGAAAAUUUUGUUCAUAAAUAUGGAUAGUAGGGCAAGGGUGAACUUGAUUGAAAUCCAAGAAAAAUGGAGAAGAAAUACUCGGUGAACAAGGGCACAAGUGCCAAAUCACUUUUGAAAAAAUGCACUACGUGUGCCUCCAUAUCUCAAAUCCUCUCUAUAUAUUAAUAUAUAUAUGUAUCAAAGCUAUCUCUGAGCUCGAUCUCUAGUCUAUAUUUAUUAUUCUUAUGCAUAGUAAUUAUGUUUAUGUUAUCAAUUUACUGAUUAUAGUAAAUCCUACUUGUGCUCUUUGAUAUAAUUUUUAAUUUCUUCUUGUAACUAUAAUUAUUUUAUGUCACAAUGUAGAUGUUCCACAAAAUGUAUUACUCCAAGGUUUUAGCCGGCCUUCGCAAAUUCCUAAGCUCUUCUUUUGCUCGCUUAUGGAUUAUGUUCUUUCCUGAAACUCUAUAAAAGGGAGGCAAUAUUAGAGCAUGCAACACAACAUAUUAAGUAAGGAGCUUCAUAUUAUUGCUAGAGGAUCAAGGAAAUUAAUAAAGAAAAAUGGCCAAGGCAAGACAAACUAUUCUGCCCAAUAUGGCUCUCAUUCUCUCUCUUCUUCUUGUUGCCAACAUGGUUGAUGGAAGGUCAUUGACUAGUAAGUUCAAUUCUACCCUUUCUAUUUCGACAAAAAAGCUUAAAAUGAAGGAUUGUAUGUGUACUAUUCUAAUCUAUCCCUGACUAAAAUAGAAUGUUGAAGCACAAAAUUAAUGAGAAAUAUAUACUAGUUAAACUCAUGCUUAGAAAAAAUAUUAUUAAUUCUGACAAAAUUGUGAGCUAAAUUUAACUUUUUACUAUCUUUAGAUAAUUAAAGUAUAUAUGUGCUAGUCUUUAAUUAGUAGGUUAAGCUUUUAAUAAUUUUUUUUUAAAAUUAAUUACAUAGUAUAUAUCUACACAUAGUAUAUAUCUAAUUAUGUGAGUUCAAAUCAUUUUGAACUACUAUUCUUUUUAAAUUUAUUUUCAUUUCAUUUAAUUCAAACCCUUGCAGUUGGCUUGUCCUCAAAAUCUGUCCACAUAUGAGAUGGAGUAUUAAGAAUACUUAACUUUAUUUUUUGUUCUUUCGAAAAGAUAAAAGUUAUCAUUCUUUAGCUAGUAUCUUAACCAUUUAUAAAUGAUUGCUACACACUUUCUUGGCGAUAGAAACUAGCUUGGGAUGAUGACAUUUUUCUUAGAACAUAUUAUACUAUUAAGUUGAAAAUUUUCAUUUAUACACUAAACGUUUAUAGUUGUACCGGUAUAUCUCAAACGAUCGAACGUACGUAUGUAUCAAUUAUCUAUAGUAAUAUAUGAAACCACAAUUCUAUUUUGCCAUGUGGCGGAGCAAACGAUCGAACGUACGUAUGUAUCAAUUAUCUAUAGUAAUAUAUGAAACCACAAUUCUAUUUUGCCAUGUGGCGGAGCAAACGAUCGAACGUACGUAUGUAUCAAUUAUCUAUAGUAAUAUAUGAAACCACAAUUCUAUUUUGCCAUGUGGCGGAGCAAACGAUCGAACGUACGUAUGUAUCAAUUAUCUAUAGUAAUAUAUGAAACCACAAUUCUAUUUUGCCAUGUGGCGGAGCAAACGAUCGAACGUACGUAUGUAUCAAUUAUCUAUAGUAAUAUAUGAAACCACAAUUCUAUUUUGCCAUGUGGCGGAGCAAACGAUCGAACGUACGUAUGUAUCAAUUAUCUAUAGUAAUAUAUGAAACCACAAUUCUAUUUUGCCAUGUGGCGGAGCAAACGAUCGAACGUACGUAUGUAUCAAUUAUCUAUAGUAAUAUAUGAAACCACAAUUCUAUUUUGCCAUGUGGCGGAGCAAACGAUCGAACGUACGUAUGUAUCAAUUAUCUAUAGUAAUAUAUGAAACCACAAUUCUAUUUUGCCAUGUGGCGGAGCAAACGAUCGAACGUACGUAUGUAUCAAUUAUCUAUAGUAAUAUAUGAAACCACAAUUCUAUUNAAUUUAGUUGCGAGAAUUACAUGAAAAAUAUUUACUAAAUCUAUAAAGGCAAACGAUGCAUUCAAAUUUUUAAGUCAAAAUUUUCUUGACUGACUGGAGUCUAACAUAUAGAAAAGUUGGAUAAUUUCAUAAUAUUCAUUCCUCAAGUAAAAUUACUAAUUGAACAAAAUCAAUCGAUGCUAAACUUUGUCGCAUGGAAUAAAAUUAAAAUAUAAAAAAGAUAAAUUACACAUUUUAUCCCAAAUUAUAAGAUGCGUGAUAUUUUAGUCCUCCAAUUUUAAUGCAUUAUAUUUUUUUGCUCAAACUAUGAGGCACAUGAUGUUUUAGUCCUCAAAUUAAUUUUAAUCAGUCGUAAUUUUUUGUUCGAACUAUGAGCCGUAUGACGUUUUAAUCCUCCACUUUAACUGCUACUAUAAAUACAAUUUUAUUAUUCUUAUAAAUUUUUUCUUAUGCUUUUUUCAUCCUCAUAUUUUUUACUCUUUCUCUUAUCGUUUCUUUUUUCUUUAGUUCUAUUUAUUAUUUGUUUCUACAGAAUCGACCCGCCACAACGCGCGGGUACCUUCCCUAGUAAUUAGCACUAUAUAUAAGGUUGAGUCAAACUAUGGUGCUUUAGGAAGCACAAGUCAUAUUGUGCUUCUAAUUUUUUAACCCUUAGAUCAACUCCUUUGAUUAUUUUUAAUUCUUGGAGGGAUCACUAAACCCUAGGAGGGACCACUCUCAUGAUCUUAUUAUAAUCCUAUAAAUUUUGAUCCAAGGGUCAAAAAGUCAAAAAGAUCAAUUCUUUUAUGCUUCCGAAAGUAUAGUAGGCCAUAAAUCCCGCCAAAAGUUAUUGCAUGACUAAUUUGGUUAAUUACUAUUAAAAUUGAAAAUAUUUUAUCUUGGACAUCUAAAGUAGAAAUAAAUAGGUCUAAAACAUGAUAUGUUAAUAUUUCUAGUUUGAACAAUAUCUGUAUUUAAGUUAUUUUUUGACAUAAAUAGGAUAAAGUUUUUUUUUUACACUCAGAUACAUUUGAAUCUACGCACACGAGGAUGAUCCCACCAUUCAUUAGUGCCAAAACGAAUCUGCGAUUUCCAAUUUUAUGCGUUCAGUUCAACCUCAUUAACUUGCGCACAAGUGUUCAGACGAAUAUAAUGUGUGGAUAAUUAUUUUUCAGAACCAUCGAAAUUGACUUAAAUGAACCAUAUUAAAAAACUCGUUGAUAAAAUCACAAUUUUCUAAAGCUACAUAGGGUUGUUUGACCAAGCUCUGACGUCCUACGUUUUAGGAGAAUCACCCAUCCGAAAACUAUUCUAACCCUACUAUACUUGUCCCUCUUAAUCUCUUAGCCUAGUCACCUUUCAAAAUAUCAUAUCUAGAUUAAAGAUUUAAUUAUAAUAUAUCUGAUAUAUAUAAAGCUACUCAAAAUUUUGGGAUUGUCACAUUUAAUUCUCUUUCUUUUAAGUCUUUAUAUCCUCGUCAGGCUCAAACACACUCAUAAGAUGUGAGACUCAUCUCUCUAACUUUAACUGACAUUGUCAGGAGACUUGUUUCGUAAGCCUUAGCCGAUCUUAUAGGGAGCCGCGCUCUACUCGUUUUAUAACCCUAGCUAUCUCAGUCAAGACCUAUUUUAUAUUUUUAGUUGCUUGUUGUAUGACUUUAACUCUGUCAAGACUCAUGCCACACUUUCAGUUGUUGAUAGGCUUUGAUACCAACUAUGACACGCUGCUUCCCGGGAGGUCAUCCAUCAUAUAUAGAAUUAAUUUAGCCCUUGCAUGCUUAAUUUUCUUAACCUUUUAGACCUAAUCACCAAUCAAAAUAAUAUAGUUGAGUUGAGAGGUUUAAUCACAUUAAUCCAGGGGUUGUCACACAAGUUAUAGAGCAUUUGGUAGUUCUGUCUUACAAGUGCUGUCUGCAAUCGAAUGUUGUUUGGCUAAUAUUCGUCUGAAAAGUGCUAUAAAAACUAACCGUUCUUAGCGCAAGUGGCAAAAGUUUUGGUGCUUAGUACUCGAGGUCCCAAGUUCGAAUCAUAGUUAAUUCACAUUUAUAGCUAAUUAAGUUUAUUUCUAAAAACAUAAACGAAGUGGGUAGCAUGCUACCUUUCUCUCAAAUAAAAAAAAAAGAAAAGUGCUGUAAAAUAUUAUAAAUUGAUAAAAUACUAUCAAAACAUGAUGAUAUAUAUAUAUAUAUAUAUAUAUAUAUAUAUAUAUAUAUAUAUAUAUAUAUAUAUAUAUAUAUAUAUAUAUAUAUAUAUAUAUAUAGUUAAUGCAAACAAUGCUACCCAUGCAUCAUGCAUAUAUGCAGCACAAAUUAGGAGAAAAUCUUAUUUGUCGAAGUUAUUCCAUAUAACAAUUAAUAAGGGUGCGUUUGGUUCGUGCUAUCUUUUUAAGAUUCCUAGUAAUUUAAUAGGAAUAAAAAAAAUAUGACGGUGUUUGGCUAAACGCACUAAGUAAUCUAGUUGGUAAUAUUGGAUUUACAUGGGAAUGGGAUUCAUCCCAAAGUACUAAUCUCAUUCCCUUGAGGGAGGGUGGGUAUCCUCAUAUUAAUAUAUUGGGGUAAUCAUAAUAUGUCUAAUCUCUUUCUUUCUUCUUACCACCGGCUAGUUGGUAUUAUUUUUCUUUACACUCUAACCUCAUAUCUCUCUUUAAACUUAUAUUUUUCUCUCUAAACUUCAAUUCUUUUUCUCUCUCUAAACUAAGCUCUCUCCCCCUCUUUUUCUAAAAUAUGAACUCUCUCACUCUCUCUAACCUCAACUCUAUUUCUCUUUCUAUUUCUUUAAUUAUGCUCUCUCUCUCUCUAACCUAUGUUCUCUCUCCCUUUUUUCUAAAAGAAUGUUCAAAUUUUUGGUACCAUUAUCUAAAAUUAAUUAAAGAAAUAAAUGAAUUGAUUGUAUAUUUUUUGUAAUCUUAAAUAACAUGACUAAAUAAUAUGACCGUGCGAAUCAAACACACGAAUGCCACACUCUUAGUAAUAAGAUGAAUAGGAAUAAAAUUCUGGGACAUCUUUUUAUUUCUAGUAAUCUUUCAUAGUGCGAACAAAACGCACCUUAAUGAUAAUCAAUGAGAUGUCUCCAUAUUGCAUAAAAGGAUAAAAGAAUAAGCACUACAAUAGAAUUAGGUUACAGGGAUAUAUGUUUGGGACAUUUUUGUGUAAGUGUCCCAUUUAUACUAAAAUUUUAAAAAAAAUCUACUAAGGCCUAAAUAUAAAGCCCAAUCCAAUCAAAAAUAAAAGAUUACUCUACUCAACCGACCCCACCCAGCCCAUUUGGCCCGAUUACAAACAAAAAAAGAAAAAAAAAGAAAAAUCGAUUACUAUCUCCCCUUCUCCUCUCACUCAAUCCACUAAAACUCUAGACGAAGAGUCCUUCGCUCUCCUCCUCCUCCGCCACUGCAGCCAACGAGGUAGAGUUCCGACGGUUAAUAAAUGUUUAAAUAAGUAUUGGUAAAUUAGCAGCACUAUUUUUAGGUUAUACCGGCACUCUUAAAUUGUCACUAUAUAUCUAGCGACCCCACAUAUACCAACACUUUUUAAAAGUGUCAGUAAUUUAGCCAGCAGCGCUUUUUUUGAUAUAUACCGACAUUUGAAAGUGUCGCUAUACACCGUUUUUAUUGUAAUGAAGAUUUGUUUUAGGCAUAAACUUUAUGUAAAAUUACUGUAUUAUUUCUGAUUAGACUCUCUACCAGCUUACUUGGCACAAUAUGAUUGAUUUGAAAUAUAUUUUUUGUGUUUUAUAUGCCACACAUAAAACUUUUUUGCAAAUUAUAGAGGAUAAAAUAGGUAGGCAAUAUUAAGUUUGUAUCCGACUCGAGCCUGACCCAAUCUGUGCAGUUUUUAUUUAAAAAAUUAUAAUUAAUUAAAUUUAAAUAUUGAAUUAGAGAGAGCAAGGGAAGGGGGAGGGAGACAGCUGGGGAGAGGACAACCCACCAUUACUCUCGACCUCAUGUCCCACGCUCCUCCUUUGUGCCUCUCCACCUGCGCCUCUUACAGUUAUUUUUUGCCCAACAAUUUUUGACAAUCGGAAACUCUGUUUGACCUAGCAAAAACUAGGCCAAACAUUUCCAAUAGGACCCGAAGUUCCUUUAAUUGUACAUCUUUUAACUAAUAUAAAAGUUUUAAAACAAUGUUUUGUAGAAAUUUAAGUUUGUUGAAAAAUAAAUUAAUUUCCAUGCAGUAUGAGAGCUCGAUCUCUUUAGUUUGAGUUUUUUUUUUUUUUUUUUUUUUUGAGAGAUAGGUAGCACGCUACCCGCUUCGUUUUUUUAUGCUCCUACUUUUAUUUAGUUUACUAUAAUUAAUUUAGUUCUAGUUUAGCCUUUGGUCCUGUGGAAGUCCUCAAGAAGCAAACAUUUUGAGCCUAUCAAAUGAUCUUGAGCAACAGAUACGAUACAAAGUGUUAAAAGUAAAAUAUUAAAUAUUAUUCUUUAUUGUCUUAAGUUUAUAGAAAAUAAUUAUUUUCGGACAAAGACAUUCUUUUUUCUUACUUUUUCCUCUUUUUUCCCUUUAUCUUUUAUGUUUGACAGUUGGGGUAAGAAAGCCACCAACAUUGGGCUGCAACUCAGUGUAUGGGGUGCAAAGUGGCGACACGUGCUUUGCCAUUACUCAGAAGUUCAAUUUGACCCUUGGAUCCUUCAGUGACAUCAAUCCUAAUCUCGAUUGCGAUAAGCUCUUUGUUGGCCAGUGGCUAUGCAUCAAUGGUGUUCUCGUUUGAUGCAGAGCGGCUUGUUUCUCCUAGAAGUGAUGGAGCACUUAUGUUUUAGUUUAUAUUUUUAGUAUUGGAGUACCUAUGUUUUGCUUUGAAUAAGGAGAGAUCAAUUUCCUCUCUCCAAGAAGAAUUUGUGUGGAUUGAUGUUGUGUUCUCGAGUCAUAUAUAAUUUAAAUUAAUUAAUUAAGAAUGUUCUUUUUUCGCCAAAAAAAUAAUAAUAAUAAUAGCGUGCCAUCAUGUCAUGCCCCGAGAUCAGUUGGGAGAUCUAUUUCUCGAAAAACUCUAAUUUUUUCUUUUUUGCUUAAAAUUUAGUGUAGAACACAAGAUUCUUUACAGUAAUUUUCAUAAUUAAAGAUGGAGGAUUAUUGUGUAAUUGGACUGUUUUUUCAACAAAAAAAAAUCGUCACUAUCGAGUUCUGUCAGUGCUCACAAGGGGGAUUUUGAUGCAGUUUCGUGUGAUAAGGUGAGGUUUCGAAGAUAAAAUCGGGCAAAAGUGAAAUUGUUAAAUUAAAUAGAGAUUUUGUUCAAAAAGUGCGAUAUUUUAUAUAUCAAUUCAAGUUGCAUAGUUUCAGAGGUGGAGAAACUUAUGAGCACAACACAACUAUUGGUGAGUUUUCAGUAAGAAAUUAUAUAUGGACCAAAGAGGUUAAACUUCAAUUUUUAUAAAAUAAGAAAAAAAAGGCAACACUCAAAAAUACUAUCAUUUUAUGUGAGAAAUUUUUGAGUUUUGACGAGUGGAAAGACUCAUGUGAAAAUAGACUCUAAGAGAAAUACGUAGAUCCAAAUUCAAAGAUUUCUGUGCAAAAUAGCACAGAGAUGAAGACUGCGAAUUACAGUUGAUAGGGGGAUUUUCUUGCAAAAACUGGGACAUGUUAUGUGUAAAAGUUCACUUAUGGAAGGGCUUCUGUGUAAAGUGCACUGUGGAGUUGUGGGCAUGAGGGCAGCUGUUAGAGAUUAUAUUGCAAUUGUUCUAAAAUAAAAGGAAAUGAAAUAAUAAAAAACUAAACUAACAACUAACCUAACUCUCUCCUCUCCCCUUCUCUCCUAGUCGUAGCCAUCGCCCCUUCCUUGUGCCUCUACCAGCGCUGGCAUGCUCCGGCGAGCAUCUGAUCGGUGAGCAACCCCUGGGGUUCUUUCUCUCUCAAUCUCUCCCAAUUUCUCUCUCUCUCUCUCUCUCUCUCUCUCUCUCUCUCUCUCUCUCUCUCUCUAUCUAUAUAUNNNNNNNNNNNNNUAUAUAUAUAUAUAUAUAUAUAUAUAUAUAUAUAUAUAUAUAUAUAUAUAUAUAUAUAUAUUUCUCUUUUUCUCGGGCUAUUGCUGCCGCUGCUGCCGCCGCCAUCAUUGGCAUCGUUAUCGGCCAACGAACCUCUGGCACUACUGUUGCCUUUGUUGGCCACUCCGACUGAGUUAGUUCCUCCAGCCGCCACUACCAUUGUCACUGCCGGCCACUGCCAUUGUUGCCGACCAAUUCAAUCCCUAACAUCGCCCCACUCCACCCAACGUCUCUCAGCCCCUCGUCCGAUUAGUAGUCUUCCAAAAGAUUUCUGCUGGUGUUGCUGCUGCUCCCUGGGCCUUUCUUGUGGCCGAGAUCACUAUUCUGGCCAAUCGCCGUUUUCCGCCGACCCUCUUCCAGUAAGCACGAAUCUCCAUCAUACUUGUGCAUUUCUAUGCUCCCUCAAGUUGCAGCCAGAGUAGCCCCGAUCUGAUGGUUUGAGCAUCGCUCGCCCAGUGCUCAAAGAAACAUUUUGCUUUUAAGGUUGACUUUUUUCGUUAAUAUAGCUACCGGUGAUUGCUGUUCUUAGGAACAUGGGAAUCCUCUGGCCUUCUCUUACACUGUGCUCACCUCGCUUGUGCAAUUCGGACAACUCGUGGCACUGCGCAUCCAUUGUGUACCCAGAACUACUCUACGCGACCUUUUCCUGCUCUUUGAUCGUCGGUGAUCAUUGUCAUGUCUCCAGUGCUAGUCCUUUGCAGUUAGCAGCAUGUCAUCGACCUGCUUGCACCAUUGGUUGACUUCCAGUCCGUGGAUGUUUGGUACUGUACUCUAAUUCCUCUUUUAUUAAUACAAUAGAGAUUAUAUCCAAUUAUACUAUGAACAUAGCGUUUUCACACUUUUCACGUCAUAAGAUGUGCUAGGUAGCAUAUUCAUCAUUUUUUGAAUUUGUAUUAGUUGUCUGAGGUUUGAAAAUAUUUUGUGGUUGAUUUGGUGCAAAUUAACUCAAGUUGACCCAAAAUAGGAUCUUUAUUGUGGGUUGUGAUUCUAAUUUCGUAGAAUUGGAGUAGUUACUGUCCGGAAUGGUUGUCGAACCUUGCUGGUUGGCCUAGCCUUGCUAUUUGAGCCCUUUGUGGCAAGAAUGUGUCAUGGGUUGGUUCCAAUACCUAAAAACGUAUUCCAGAAUCGGAUUUGGUAUACUUUUGGAACCGUUGCUCCCCUUAUCGCGCACUUUGUGUGUAGCCGUCCCAACAUCUAUAAUAGGCAAUUUUGUGAUAGCGAAUGAGAUUUGGAGAUGUCUGGAAUUACUUAGGGCACUUGGUGUGUCACGCCCCAAGCCCAUAACGUAGGCACUCAUUGGGCGUGUGCACUAGACCUGCCAAACGGACAGAGUUUUUUCUAUCCGCCCAAGGUGUCACAAGAAUGUAUACAUAAUAUAUUCCAAACAGGAAUUGAAUACAUGAAUUGCAUAAGAAAAGUACUAAGAAAUAAAAGUAAAUACUUCUUCUAUUACAUCGCAUGUUUCAUUCAUUUACAUAGAUAAGCUUUUCACUCCAAUAUACAAUCCAAAAUGAUCUUUACACUUUCAUAUCCCGUCUUUACAUUGCCCAAAAUGGAGGUACAUCUAUAAAAAACUUCAAAAUGUGGAAAAGGGCACUAUCUAUUGUGCUACACCCUUUCCUCUCAACGCCGCCUCAUUUACGGAUGGACUUAAAAAAUGUGAGGGUGAGAACUAUAAACAUACUUUCUAGUGGGUACGACCACCCAAGCAAGAAGUUUGAUCCACCGGAUCCAAAAGAUCACAUAAGUAUAGGUUAGUUUAAUAUGUAUAGACAUGUAAGAAAUAACAAGCUUAUAUGCCUUUAAUCAUAGUAACGAAACCUACUCAUGUGACGUAAACUACAUUUACUCACUAGGUUUCACAUUCUAAUCAUGUCACCCGACUCACACUUGAGUCAAUGAAAAGCGGAGUACCGCUAUCCUCGUGGCAUAGAGUAGAGCACCGCCAUCCUUUUAGCAUAGAGUGGAGGACCGCUAUCCUCUUGGCAUAGAGUGGCGAGAUUGUCGAUCACCCCCGGACAUCGGGGUGUUAGGAGUUCCAAAAUUUCUUCUUUCAUAGUCAUAAUAGUUCAUUAUCUUUAUUCUAUAUUGUCAACCUUUCUAGGUUCAAGUCCUCAUGACUAUGUACUAUUCUACCCACUAUAUUUCCAACCAUGUUCUAAUAGCACACACUAUGUUUUCUACAUUCAUGUGUUGAGUUCUCUAAUGACCUUAGAGAAGUCAAUGUACAAUUUAGUACAUAACAUAGGUAUACAAUUAAUCACACAUAAAAUUAUUUAUAAGUCAUAAUACAGUAUAUAUGCUAGAAUAUCAUGCAUGCACCAAUAUAUUCACAAGAUAUAAUGUAUUAUGCUAAAAUAACAAGCAUGCAUCUAUUUAUUUAUGAGAUAAAAUGCUCUCGAUUCACAUGUACUACAUGCAACCAUAAAUAACUUCAUAUUGUUAUUCUACACUUAGACAUGGAAGUGGUCUAAUUACUUUGGUCAAGUACAACCCACCUCAAAAAGCUCCUAAUUGCUUGCAGUCACUUGCAACUAAGCCUCCAACUUGAAGCUAUAAGCUUGCUUCUAAGCUUCCUUAUCUUUGACAAGAAAACGAUUCAUUACCUCUUUUGAACUCUCAAAUAAUUUUAUUUUAAGAAAUCAAGUUGUCUCUUUUGAUCUCCUAUCUUUUAAUUAGGAUUUCUAAUAGUCAAAAGAUUUUUAAACCGGUCCUUCCAUGUCAAAAGUCCUCUUUUCACGUAGAAUUUUCCAAAACUAGGGCAAAACCCCAAAUCUCUUUAUAAAUCUCCACCAUUUGUGACCUAGAUUCAUCUAGGGUUUGCUAAAUCCCAAAAUCAAGCUCAAAAUACAAAGCCCUUGCUCAAAACUCCAAGAACUCACCUCUAUCCCGAGUUUUCCAAACUCCUUCUUGCUCCAAGAAGCCUUCUAGUCACUUCCUAAGCUUUCUCGUAGAUCAAUCCUUGAUCUAUUACAAGUUUAGGGAGUUUCUAGAGAGAAAGAGGAGAAGAGAAUGUGAGGAGUGAGAGAAAAUUUUUGGGAGUAGGGAAGAAGAAGAGCCUAGGUGCUCUUAUGGCUAGACCCAGCAACGAAAUGCCCUCAAACUAGGCAUUCUGCGUGGUGAGGGGCUGAAUCCGACAUUCAAGAUUCGGACACCGUACGUAGGUCAUGAUUUGCACAGGUAAGGUCCAGAUCCUACCUUAGGGUUUAGAACCUGUAAGGAACUCUUGCAAUUUUGUAGCCAAGGUCUGGAUCCUAUGCUAGAGUCCGGACUUUGAUACUCUAGCCCGUAUCAUGGUCCGGAUCCUCAAGGCAAUGUCCGAACCAUGAGAGUCUAGUAGCUAAAAAUUGAAAUUUUCAAAAAUUUCAAUUUUCACUCCUUGGAGCUCUAGUCCACUUCUAAUAGUUUCGAAACCCUCGAAACUUAUUUCCAAAUAUAUUCAAAUCACUUUACACUGUACUUUACCCAAUUUGGCUAAAAUUCAAUAUAGUAUACCGAAUUUAAGUACACUACAUCCCUCUUCCUAAAAAAGAGUUUCGUCCGCGAAAUUAAAACUUGACCUCUACUCAAACCAACGAAGAAGUAAGGCUAAUGCUCCCUCAUUGAGUUCUCCAGCUCCUAAGUGGCUUCACGCUCCUCGUGAUUGGCCCAAAGCACUUCAAUAUACGGAAUUGAGCAAUUUCGUAGUCCUUUCACCUCAUGACCGAGAAUGCAAAGCAGGGACUCCUCAUAUGACAUGUCUUAUUGGAGCUCAAGUGGUUUCAUAUUGGAGGACGUGAGUCGGAUCAUGCAUAUACUUGCGGAGUGUGGAUACAUGAAGCACAUUGUGAACUCUUGCAAGCUUCGGUGGUAGUGCGAGUCGAUAGACCAAAGACCCCAUGCAUUCUAAGAUCUCGCACGGAUCAAUGUAUCGGGGACUUAGCUUGUCUUGCAAUCCAAAUCACUUCAUCCCUCUCAUGGGUGAUACCUUGAAGAAGACACGAUCACCCCCCGCAAAUUCUAAGUCCUAUUGGCAUUUAUCCAUAUAACUCUUUUGUCAAGCUUGCGUCGUUAAUAGCCGUUGCCAUGCUAAAUGGAUCUUUUCCUCCGCAUCAAGCAACACAUCCAGCCCUAAAGCCAAUCUUUCACCGACCUCACUCUAAUGUAUUGGAGACCAGCAUUUCCUUUCAUAUAAGGCCUCAAACGGUGCCAUUUCAGUACUUGCCUGAUAGCUAUUGUUGUAGGCGAACUCUCUAUCGGCAAGUAAAUGUGCCAUGCAACCUUGAAGCCCAGAACACACUCUCGAUGCAUAUCCUUCAAAAUCUAAUUCGUCCUCUCCGACUGACCAUCUUAUUGUGGAUGAAAUGUCGUGCUAAAGUCGAGCUGUGUGCCUAAAGCCUCAUGCAAACUCUUCCAGAAGUGAGAUGCAAAACGGGGGUCCCUAUCCGACACGAUGGAUGCCGGAAUCCUGUGUAGCCGCACAAUCUCACCCAUAAAUAUUUGUGCCAAAUUAUCCCUCGAUUAAGUAGUGCGGACCGGCAAAAAGUGAGCUAACUUCGUCAAUCGAUCCACUACUACCCAAAUUGCAUUGUGACCUCCUUGAGACCGAGGCAACCCCACGAUGAAAUCCAUCGCUAUAUUCUCCCAUUUUCAAACUAGAAUCGACAAAUUUUGUAAUUUUUCCAUUGGGAGGUGCUCUUUCGCUUUCACUUUGCUGGCGCACUAAGCAUUGUGCCACGAAGUGCCCAAUACCUUUUUUCAUUCCUGGCCACCAAUAGUGCAUUUUAAGAUCUUUGUACAUUUUGGUGCUACCAGAAUGAAUAGCAUAUAGGGAUAAAUGAGUUUCCUUCAAAAUCUUCUCGCAAAUCUCCUUAUUCUUGGGCACACGCAAACAGUCUCGAAAACGAAGGGUGCCCCUUGAGUCUACACAAAGCUCACCAGCCCACCCACUAUCUAAAUCGCUCCGCACCUUUUGGAGUUCUGGGUCUGAGGACUAUCUUCCUUUUGUAUGCUCUAACAAGGUCGGCUGAAUCACAAGAGUCAUGAGCUUAGCAGGGGCACCCGAUGUCACGACUUCCAAGUCUCGGUGUCAUGACUUCCAAGUCGAGUUGCCGCAUCUUCGAAAUCAAUUAUGGCUAGGUUGUGAUCAUCGUUGCGAGGUUCUCCAUGAAUUUUCUACUGAGCGCAUUGGCUACCACAUUAACCUUGCCUGAGUGGUACAAGAUGGUUACGUCUAGUCUUUCAACAACUCCAACCACCUUCGUUUGCACAGAUUCAACUCCUUCUAAAUGAACAGGUAUUUCAAGCUCUUAUGGUCCGUGUAAACCUUGCAACAUUCACCAUACAAGUAGUGUCUCCACAAAUUGAGUGCAAAAAUCACCACCGGUAACUCCAAGUCAUAGGUCGGAUAGUUAAGCUCAUAGCUCUUCAACUGGCGGUAGGCAUAUGCAAUGACUUGCCCACGCUACAUAAGUACACACCGAAGACCCUGGUGCGAUGCAUCACUAAACACCACAAAGUCCUGCCCCACAACUGGCAAAGCAAGGACCGGAAUGGAGGUCAAUUUCUCCUUCAGCUCCUUGAAGCUUUGCAAUCAUCGCUCCACACGAACUUUACCGCUUUGAUGGUAGGGCGCGUCAGUGGACCGAAGAUCUUUGAGAAUUCCUCUACAAACCACUGAUAAUACCUAGCAAGACCGAGAAAGCUACGUACCUUGGUAAUGUUGGUCGAUCGAGGCCAAUCCUUAAUUGUCUCAACUUUUUUCGGGUCAACAGAUACCCUAUUCUCGAAAAUCACGUGACCUAAGAAGGCGACCUCACGAAUCCAGAAUUUGCACUUCUUCAACUUGGCGAACAACUUGUUCUCUCGAAGAACCUAUAGUACUACUCGUAGAUUGUCACGCCCCGACACCCGCCUAUUUGGUCAGAUUCGGGGACACCAACAGACCGCUGAUCGGAUAGAGUUUCCCCUAUACGUCCUAGGCGUCGCAAUCAGUAUAAUACAAGAGGUUCCAUCUAGAACAGUAUUCAAGCAAAGAUUGCAUAAGGAAGUAUCAAAACAUAAACAACUACUGCUAUUACAAGCAUUCACAUACAUGCAUUUUACAUCACAUAGAUGCUCCUUGUGUUUUUCAUCACUCCAGGAUGAACACUACAAAUUUAUCCAAUAGUGGUUUAAAUACAUAGUUCAUUAAAUCCAUGAAUGCUAUCAGGGCAUUAGUGAGCCUGAAGGGCAUAAUUCUGAACUCAUAGUGUCCAUACCGCAUCCUAAAUAUGGUUUUAUGCACAUCCUCUGGCUUAAUCUUCAAUUGAUGAUAGCCAGAUUGUAAGUCAAUAUUCAAAAACACCGGAGACCCUUAUAAUUGGUUGAACAAAUCAUCAACACAGUGUAACGAGUAAAUAUUCUUGAUGGUCACCUUGUUUAGCUCAUGGUAAUCAACACACAACCGUAGUGAACCAUCCUUCUUCUUAAGGAAUAGCACCGAGGCUUCCUAAGGCGACGCACUUAGUUUAAUAAAGCGCUUAUACAGCAAAUCUCGCAACUAAGCCUUUAACUUUUUUAGCUCAACUAGUGCCAUUCUAUAAGCAGCAUUCGAAAUUGACACGGUCCCAAGAAGUAGAUUAAUCGCAAACUCAAUCUCCCGAUCUGAUGGCAUUUGGGGCAACUCUGCCGAAAAUACAUUUGAAAAUUCUUGGACUAUUGAAAUGUCCUCCAGUGUUGGACUCCCUUUCCGGUCAUCCACCACUGUCGCUAGAAAAGCAAUACAACCACUAUUAAUUAGCUUUCUUACUUGAGACCUGGAUACCAUAGUAGCAAAGAGUGAGCUCUUACAUCCGUGAUACACAUACUCCUCAUGACCUGGCACCCCAAAGGUCACCACAUGACUCUCACAAUCAAUAGUAGCAUAGUACCUGGAGAGCCAAUCCAUUCUUAACACUAGGCCAAAUUCGACUAUUCGGUUCAAAACUAACAAGUCAGCCGACAUGAUCCAAUCCCUUACUCUGAUGGGGCAGGCACGACGUAUGCUACUAACACAAAAUGCAUUCUCAAGUACUUGUACCUAUCUAAAUAUUUUGGUGCCUACAAUGUCUAUUCCAUGAGUAGUAGGAAAUGACCAAUUAAUGAAUGAAUGCGAUACACUUAUAUCAAAUAAUGCUCUGCAUCUUAUAUCGCUAAGUAAAACAAUACUUGCCACGACGUUCUCUGAAGUGGGUUUCUCCACCUGAGUCUCAAAAACACGGCCGCUUGGUGCCUGCGGCGAUGCGUGCCCCUCAGACAUCACCGCAGGUGGAUGCCUGUGAGCCGCCUCGGUGAGAAGGGUGUCGAUGCCACCGAUGGAGCGCUGCCAUCACCUUGCGGGCACUCGAACAGCAUGUGGCCCGGUUGCCUAUACUUAAAGCACCUUACCUCCUGCUGCUCACGCACCUGCGGCCGAUAAGGACCACCGUAGAUAUUGCAUCUUGGCAUAGGCCGAGGGGGCUGGGAUCCCUAGGCUCGAGAUUGCGAGUGUGAGUGCCUUGGUGGUAGCUCAGAGCCAGACUGACAACCCAAGCUACCCGACGAUCACUUCUUCCCUUUUUUCUUUUCCUUCCGAAGGACUCGCACUUCUCUAAUGUGAAAACAUUGCCUUGCUCUACCCACAAGGUCUUAUACAAAACCUCAGCAAAGGUCUGCAACUUGAGAGAGUGCACUAAAAAUCUCUGAUCGAAGACCGCUCACGUAGCAAUCAGCUUUAUCCCUGUCGUUCCUAACAACUAAUGUAACAAUCCCAAAAAAGACCCCUCAAAAACUCACAAAUUACAAACUGCACGAAAUUACAUCUGCUGCAUUGAGUACCGGUGCACGAAUUGGAGUACCGAUACCCCACAGUUCCGGUACCAAAAGCCUAGCCCCGCAGAACCCGUACGUUGAAAUUUCGGGUUUAACACUACGUGUAGUGUCACGGGGGUUUGGUAUCGGAUUGGCUACAGUUUUAGCGACUGGUCGACACAUCUGGAGAGUGUCGGACUGAAUCAGAGUCGAUUUUGCACAAAAUGGAUGCAGAAACGGACUUGGCGCACUCAAAUAAGCAAAACUGGAGUUUUGCUAAUUUCGGGUGCCCAGAACAUAGUUUGGGUCACCCAGAUCUUGAGUGCCGAACUAAAUUGAAACUGGAAGCCAAUUCGGAUCCUGUUGUCGGGCGCUCGGAUGUGGGCCCGAAUGUUCACUUUGGAAUUAUCGAUUGUGUUGACACGUGUAUGGUUGUAGGUGAGGUACGCCGGAUCAUGUUAGGGGCACAGCAGACCGCAGGCGGAGGAACCGAAGAGGGUGUGUUGUAUGGUCUGGAGGAUUCAGACGCCCAGUUGUUGAUUUCGGGCGCCCGAAAGUGCAGACUUCUGCAGGGACAGCAGGUUUGUAAUUUUGUUCUUGAGACUUAUUGCACCCUUCCACCUCCUUAUAAAAGCUUGUGAUCGACCCCUUGAGAAGGUUUUUCACCCUCUUUCACAGAGAAGCUCAUAUUUUGCAAUUAAACCCCUCCAAACUCUCCAAAUUACACAAAUUCACCUUGAGGACUGCAAUUCCAGCAGAUUUCCAGCAGCGACUUUCGGCGUUUUGGCUCAUGUGCGACGUAGGAAAAUUGGAUUGCUGCGAAACUUGGUUUGGUGGUUAGUAGCCUCUUGAAGUUUUCGUGGAGCUAAUUUGACAGCUUUUGAUUGAGGUUAGCAUGGUCAAUGUGAUGUUUCUCUGAGCUGCUGGUGUAUUUAAGCUGAAUUUGAUAUUUUCUUGGUUUUCUUGGAUCAAAUCUUGGAGGAAGCUGGAUUUUUGACCAGAGAGUGUUACUCCAUCAUUCUCCACUAGUUUUGGGACUUUUCUUCACCUGAAUUGUAGAUUGGAAGGUGAGUUUGACAUUAAGGUUUUGGAGGAAACCUUGGUGUUCUUGUGUUAGAUCCUUAGAGAAGGUUGUUGUUGAUUCGAGGCUGAUCUUGGAAGGGCUUUCCAGCGACUUCUAGCCUUGUCGAACUCGCGCUAGAGGUGGGUUGAUAUUAAGCUAUCGAAAUUUUCGGAUUUCCUCCUAAGCCUAGAUGUUGUCAGCAUGUGUUUUUAGCUUCAUAUAUCAUGUUAGUAGCUCGAUUCAUAGAUGUGCAUUAUUUUUAAAUGAAAUCUGAAUUGGAGUUUAAAAAUGUUAGUUUUAUUAUACAUGUUGGACUUGAAAUUGACUUAGUAGAAAACCAUAGGUUCUAUACUGUCAUGUUCUAAAAACUACCAGAUUUAGUUUUAGGAGCUGUAGUUUGUUUGUAUCGCCGCAGUUUGUAGGCUGUGGAUACCCAGAAUAGUGUUGAAUGAAUUUACGCUUGUGUUGAGAUGCCGAGUUUAUUUUUACAGUAGUGUAUAGACUGUUCCGGACUGUUGGGCGCCGUUGUGGUUGAUGGUGGACCCGGUUUGCUGUUUUGCAUCAAAUUGUGCCGAGGGCAUAUUUAUUAUGGUUGUUAGACCAGUUAGACCUUUCUCCAUUGUUUAUAGCCUGUGAGAAUCUGAUUGAGCUUGGUAGAGAUACGCUUGCAUACUCGGUUGGGUAGCGCCCAUGAGUGCCACUCCGGAGUCGGGCUUUAUACUUUUGCGUUAUUGUCGGUUUGUCCUAAUUGGACUUGUUCUCCACUGACGACCCAGCAUGGUUGUAGUUAGUGUAGCUUCGGCAGGCAGGACGGGUGUGUUCACAGUCCCUAGUGAGAUUGGGUCAAGACUUGCAUUUGCUACAGAUAGUUAGUGUUGGAUCACGAUAGUAUAGUGGCAUAUAGCUGUAGAAUUGUUCCAGCUUUCUUUACUAUCUUUGAGCAUACUUCUGUAGACUUAGUGGAUGAGCCAUGGAGGUCGGUAGUGAUACCCACUAAGGACUAAUUUUUUUGCAGUAAUUCUCACACCCAGUUGUGGAACCCUUUUGCAGAGCCUUCUUCUUCGACUGCUGCUGUUGCGGAUACAGAUCGUGGAAAGGGAGUCGCGAGUUAGAUCCCUUCUAGUGUUGCUGCUGAUCUAGAGAUUUACCCGCUACAUGUAGUGUUAGUUUUUUGUUCUUGUACAUACUGAUGUUAGAUUCUCGCUGGAGUGAGUGUUUUUGUAUCUGGAUACUAUGUAUGUCUUUGAACCGAUGUUAUUUAUAUAUGUUCUCUUUUUAGCAGUUCUAUACUGCUGGUUGUAGUGUUGUAUGAUUACAGGUAUAGGUACAGCUAUUGCUUCGUAUAUAGAAAAAAUUUUUAUGUAUACGACGAGUUUGUUAGCGCGCCCGGGGAAACGAGUAAUCCGGGGCGUGACACUACGUAUCAGUACCAGCCUGAUGCAGUACCGGUACUCAGCCCAGUACGGGUACUAGCAACCCGGUUCCUCAAAACUCGAGAGUUGCUCUUUUUGGCACUCUAUAGGGUUCCGGUACCUCACUUUGGUACAGGUGCUCAGCACUAAAAAAAUAUGCAGUUUGCAUAUUUUUAAUGUCAAGAACCCUUUCUUGCGCCCACAAAGCACAAGUAAUGGGUCGAUACUCUACCAACGACCCUAAACACAUCUAGAAUAGUUCAAUUUACUAUUCCUACACUAGAACCUUGCAAUUUGCAAAAAUUCAGUGUACUAAAUUCUUCCCUCCUAAAAAAGAGUUUCGUCCGCAAAACUAAGAAUCAAGUACCUCAAGAUUCCAUCUGAAAAAAAUGGGGAUAACGCUCCUAGAGUGCACUUUCCAACUCCUACGUAGCUUCGUGCUCAUUGUGGUUGCUCCAGAGCACUUCACAAACGAAAUUUCACAAUUUCGAAGCUUCUACACCUCAUGAGCCAAAACUCUCACAAGUUGCUCCUCAAAGCUCAAAUCCUCGUGUAACUCUAAUGGAGUGGAGUCCAAUACAUGAGUUGGAUCAAAAACAUAUUUCCAAAGCGCGGAAACAUGAAAUACAUUGUGUACUCCCGAUAGGUUCGGUGGCAAAGCAAGCCGAUAUGCUACUGGGUCUACACACUCUAAAAUCUCAAAAGGUCCGAUAAACCGAGAACUCAACUUUCCUCAAAUGCUAAAUCUCUUAAUUCCUUUCGUCGGUGAGACCUUCAAAAAGACGUGAUCGCUUUAAAAUGGGACCUACAUUUACUACUACCGAACAUCUAUACUAAGUGCAAGCUACCUGUAUUGUACAGUCUUACUAUGUAGUCCACGCUAGGUAAUCUAUGUAGCCCUUCCUAGAAAAUACUAGACAUAGUAUCUAGGUGAUUAGAAUAUGAUAAAGAAGAGUUAAUCACCAGUACAAAAAUCAAUACUUAAGAGAGAUAGAACUCUAAUUAGGGAUCCAAUACAACAAUUCAAUUAAUACCCAGAAUGGUUCCAAUGAAGCACUGUCAUGCGCUAUGCACUAAAUGCUAUGCCAUGACACUAUUGGUGCCCCGAAACAAAUUCACCCAAUUUGGAUCAUCAUCUCUAAUUCAUCCCAACAAUCCAACUCAACAACUAGAUCAUCAUCUCCUUAUCCAUGCGACUUACCUUCAAUCACCUAUGUUGUCACACCCGGGACCCAGCGGAAGCUUGCCCAACACGUGCCUAGACCCGCCAUAUGCCAAAAAUAUAUAAGGCGUCUACAACAAUAUGAUAAAUAAACUAAGAAUAUGACAACAUCUAGUAUGAUAUCAGAGCAUGAAUACAACUAAUCUCUAAAGACAAGUAGGAAAGUAAAACUAAACAACUAUAAUAAUCCAAGAAAUAAUACAUACAAUCUGGGAAUCACAUAAGAUACAACUAGAUACAAAAAUAGUGGCCUCUAUACAUCGAGUACAAAACAUCCCUCUUCAACAAAAAUUAAAGGAGAGAUGACCACCUAGUAGAUACCCUAAGCUAAGACUAACCAGAUGCGACCCUCUUGCCGCGAUCCCUAGCUUCUCCCGGUGUGGAUGGCUCUAUAAACAAAAACAUCAACAAAAUGAAAAUGAGAACUAUUAGUCAAUAGUUUCCAGGGGUAAGCCGCCGACAUCAGCGAAAAACACCACUAGGUCAUCAAGGCAUGAGUAGUCUAUAAGUAGUAUGAAAUAGACAACACGAUUAUUAAACAAAUAAUAAUUUACUAAGCUACUAUGCCUCCAAUUUAGCAUGAUGUUUCACAUAUAAUACAACUAUUCUAUCAUGAAUGAGCAUGUCCAACAAGUCCGACUAGUAUGCAUGUCUAACAAGUCCAAUGGGUAUGAAUGUCCAUCAAGUUCAACUAUUAUGCACUAUCUAGUAGUGAUUUUCACAUUAUACUUUUAAAUAUCAUUAUUCAACUCCAACUGGGACCUACACAAGUGUAGUCCGGCUUGCACCGCCUAAUGGCCCCGUGGUAGUCAACAUUCUCCCUCUAGGAAUGAGCCUGCCCCACGCGACCCAGUAGGCAUCCAAUCCCGCACGGGCGAGCUUAUGUUGCAUAGGCCAACUCCUGAUUACCGGCAUGUAGGGAGCGACCCUCACAAGUAUGUGCGAAUGAGCACAAUGGCAAGCAAGCAUGAUCAUCCAUAUCAAGUACUCGGUUAUCAUGUAUAAAACAUGGUACAAGUACUAGCGACCCAACGGUCGAUCUCUAUGUCAUAAUGUAAAGAUUUAAUUAUUUACUAAGUCAAGUGUCACUAUAUGACAUUCAUGUUCACUAUGUCAAGCACGGGUCAUUUGUCCAAGAGCAUGUAAAACUUGUCAUUUCACUAAAUAAACAUGAUUUCUAAUAUGGAUAAAAGGUGACAUUUCACAUAAAAGUUUACUAUGCAAUUUUCUCUCUACUACUGUAACCCCCGAGGUUUCGGAAGAAAUUAUCGAACUUUAGCCAAAUCGACUAAAAUAUACAGAGAAGAUGGAUGGACAAGUCCCAAUUAGCAUUCCAACACGGUUGGAAGGGCUAAAAGUAAGCUCAAAAAGAGUUGGGAGGGUUUUGGCAUCGAACGGCGCGAAGUAGAGUGGAAUCGAAGCCAAAAAUGACAUUCUGGAUGUCUUGUACUGGUACAAGCCCAAUGGUUGCACCGGUACAACCAGCGAAGUACUCGGCUUGGAGCUGCCAGGCCUUGUACCGGUACAAGGGGUCUUGUACCGGUACAAGCCCUGCGCAACCGAGAGAGCCAGCUCUCGGAUUGGGCUGUCUGCCAGGCCUUGUACCGGUACAAGAAACCGUGUACCGGUACAAGGAGCCCGAACAGCACAGAAUUGAUCUGUUGCAAAUAUGAAUGUUUGGGGGGUCUUUUGGCAAUUGUUAUAAUAUGUUAUAACCCCAGCUCUCUCUCUCUCUCCCUCUCAUGUCUCUCUCUCCCUCUCUCAACCGUGGGUAGCAAAGAGAAAAGAAGAGAAGAGAAGAAGAAGAAAGAGAAGAGGAACAAGAGAAGAGAAGAAAGGAAAAGAAGAAAAAGAUGGAGAAGAUGAAGCUCAUCCUCACCUUCAUCUUCCUCAUGCUUGGAGGAGCUUGAGAGGUAAGUUCCUAUCACCUCUCAUGGUAGGAAUAGGNUUGAUAUGCAAUGCGGUGGUCGAAAUCGGAGUGGAAAGGUAUGAUGGUACCCUCAACAACUCGGUAGGCCGAGUUGAUGUGGUUUGAAUUUCGCGGACGAAAUUCUUUCAAGGUGGGGAGAAUGUAACCCCUGAGGUUUCGGAAGAAAUUAUCGAACUUUAGCCAAAUCGACUAAAGUUUGCGAAGAAGAUGGAUGGACAAGUCCCAAUUAUCAUUCCAACACUGUUGGAAGGGUUAAAAGUAAGCUCUAAAAGAGUUGAAAGGGUUUUGGCAUCGAAUGGCGCGAAAGAGAGUGGAAACGAAGUCAAAAAUGACAUUCUGGAUGUCUUGUACCGGUACAAGCCCAAUGGUUGUACCGGUACAACCAGCGAAGUACUCGGCUUGGAGCUGUCAGGCCUUGUACCGGUACAAGGGGUCUUGUACCGGUACAAGCCAUGCGCAACCGAGAGAGCCAGCUCUCGGGUUGGGCUGUCUGCCAGGCCUUGUACCGGUACAAGAAACCAUGUACCGGUACAAGGAGCCCGAACAGUACAGAAUUGAUCUGUUGCAAAUAUGAAUGUUUGGGGGUCUUUUGGCAAUUGCUACAAUAUGUUAUAACCCCAGCUCUCUCUCUCUCUCCCUCUCGUGUCUCUCUCUCCCCCUCUCAACUGUGGGUAGCAAAGAGAAAAGAAGAGAAGAGAAGAAGAAGAAAGAGAAGAGAAACAAGAGAAAAAAAGAAAGCAAAAGAAGAAAAAGAUGGAGAAGAUGAAGCUCAUCCUCACCUUCAUCUUCCUCAUGCUUGGAGGAGCUUGAGAGGUAAGUUCCUAUCACCUCUCAUGGUAGGAAUAGGGUUAGGGUUGGUUUUUUAAACCCUAAAACCUAGAGUUUUGAAGCUUCUAAUAUGUUUAGAACCUUGUAGAGACCAAGAACACAUGAAAUCCAUGUUGUUCUUCAUGAGGCUCUAAUGGUGGAUUUCUAGGGUUUGUUUUAAACACCCUAGAAAUGGUUCGAAUGCUCCUAUUUGAGCUUCUAGAUGAUAAACAAGCUCUCUUUUGCUUAUUUUAUAGAUCAAAUCCGAAUUAUUGAGCAUAUGUCACAUUAGGGCAUCCCAAAGAGGGGUUUUGCUCAUAUGGUGUUUUGAUCUAUUUUGACUGCUUGGAAACCUAAUUGGGGACCUAACGAACGCGUUGAAACGCUCGGUUCGACAAUCCGACGAGUGUACGCGAAGUUAUUCACGAAACGGUCGAUUUUGGUACAGAUGGCCGUAGCACGCGGAAUAAGUGUCUAAAAAUCGUGAGAUCGGAACCGGAGCAUCUUGGAGUCAAGGAAUAAGCACCGGAAAAGACGGAUCGCGAUUCGAAGGUCGUUCGUUAAGUCGCGCAAGAGUUNGGACGACGUUGGCGGGUAGUGCUUGGGGACGGCCCUUGCCUGGACCACUUGUGGACUGUGGAGCUUGGACCCAUUGGGCAGGCGCAGUCAGCUGUAAGAGACAGCGGCCCGAUACCUAUAGGUAGGGCGGAGAUUGUUGGUCAAGACGGUAGUCCGAGCUUAGACCCGAGUACGUGGGAUGCCACGUGAUAGAUCAUGAGAUUGAUGACGCACCGAGUGUGUAGUGACCCAACCCAAGGUUAGAUGUGGAUUGGGAUCUUGAUAGCUCCUGGUUGGAGUGUGUGCGAGUUCUCCAAUGAGAAUGUCGCCCAAUGAUGAUUGGGUCUACGCUUGCGAGCGAGAGACGCUAGGCGUCGUUGAGACGAGUUUAGUCGGUAGGUCUAUGUAGGGUGGGUGACUGUUGGUCCACUCGUAGAGACUGAUGGUCGGUGCGACCGAUGACUCCGUGAAUGAGCUUAGGCUCGAAUUGCGAACGAAGGGUUCGUGCAAAUUCACCGUCGGAGUAGAGUGGCGUUGAUCGUGGCUUAUGGUAUUAAAGAAUAAAGAGAAACCGAAGUGCUCUUAUAAGGCCUCGAGUUAAUUAAAGCCACGGGAGAAUCGGAGUUUGUACGCUCAAGUUAGUGGAAACAAGUGGAUGAUGCUCUCAGGGGAGUUGAGGUUGAGACGUGCCGAAGUGUGCCAUCUCGUGAUAGGGCAAAGAUUCGAUUGAGAUUGAAGCACUCGCGAUUGGCCGAAGCACCGAUGAUAUGGUUGAUAUGCAAUGCUGGUGGUCGAAAUCGGAGUGGAAAGGUAUGAUGGUACCCUCAACAACUCGGUAGGCCGAGUUGAUGUGGUUUGAAUUUCGCGGACGAAAUUCUUUUAAGGUGGGGAGAAUGUAACCCCCGAGGUUUCGGAAGAAAUUAUCGAACUUUAGCCAAAUCGACUAAAGUAUGCGGAGAAGAUGGAUGGACAAGUCCCAAUUAGCAUUCCAACACGGUUGGAAGGGCUAAAAGUAAGCUCAAAAAGAGUUGGGAGGGUUUUGGCAUCGAACGGCGCGAAGUAGAGUGGAAUCGAAGCCAAAAAUGACAUUCUGGAUGUCUUGUACUGGUACAAGCCCAAUGGUUGCACCGGUACAACCAGCGAAGUACUCGGCUUGGAGCUGCCAGGCCUUGUACCGGUACAAGGGGUCUUGUACCGGUACAAGCCCUGCGCAACCGAGAGAGCCAGCUCUCGGAUUGGGCUGUCUGCCGGGCCUUGUACCGGUACAAGAAACCGUGUACCGGUACAAGGAGCCCGAACAGCACAGAAUUGAUCUGUUGCAAAUAUGAAUGUUUGGGGGGUCUUUUGGCAAUUGUUAUAAUAUGUUAUAACCCCAGCUCUCUCUCUCUCUCCCUCUCAUGUCUCUCUCUCCCUCUCUCAACCGUGGGUAGCAAAGAGAAAAGAAGAGAAGAGAAGAAGAAGAAAGAGAAGAGGAACAAGAGAAGAGAAGAAAGGAAAAGAAGAAAAAGAUGGAGAAGAUGAAGCUCAUCCUCACCUUCAUCUUCCUCAUGCUUGGAGGAGCUUGAGAGGUAAGUUCCUAUCACCUCUCAUGGUAGGAAUAGGGUUAGGGUUGGUUUUUAAACCCUAAAACCUAGAGUUUUGAAGCUUCUAAUAUGUUUAGAACCUUGUAGAGACCAAGAACACAUGAAAUCCAUGUUGUUCUUCAUGAGGCUCUAAUGGUGGAUUUCUAGGGUUUGCUUUAAACACCCUAGAAAUGGUUCGAAUGCUCCUAAUUGAGCUCCUAGAUGAUAAACAAGCUCUCUUUUGCUUGUUUUAUAGAUCGAAAUCGGAGUAUUGAGCAUAUGUCAUGUUAGGGCAUCCCAAAGAGGGGUUUUGCUCAUAUGGAGUUUAGAUCUAUUUUGACCGCUUGGAAACCUAAUUGGGGACCUAAUGAACGCGUUGAAAUGCUCGGUUCGACAAUCCGACGAGUGUACGCGAAGUUAUUGACGAAACGGUCAGUUUUGGUACAGAUGGCCGCAGCACGCGAAAUAAAAGCCUAAAAAUCGUGAGAUUGGAACCGAAGUAUCUUGGAGUCAUGGAAUAAACUCCGGAAAAGACGGAUCGCGGUUCGGAGGUCGUUCGCUAAGUCGCGCAAGAGUUCGGGCCCAAACGGGUGCCGAGUGCCGCAGGAGGCCGAUUGCAAGUGUCGACAAGCAAUCGGAACGCGAGUUAAGGUGGGUUGUGCUUACCGAAGCGACUAGGUCGCCCUUUAUGUCUUAGCAAUGUAAUCUCAUGUUGAUGCAUGUGCAUGUAGACAAGACUAAAUGGUGCAUUAAUAGAUAUGCAUAAAGUAAAAUGCUAACUAAUGUAAAGAAUGCAUGAUAAUGAUAAUGCAUAGAUGAAAGUGCUAAGUGGAAAUGCAUAGUGAGCAAGUUACAUAAUGCUAGUAACGCAUGACAAUAAUGUAAUGCUAGUAAUGCAUGAUAUGAAGUAAAUGCAUAUUAAUAACAAUGCACAGUGAAGCAUAAUGAUUAUGGCAUUUAGAUAAUGCUAGCUGGUGUAAAGAAUGCAUAUCAAUAAUGAUGCAUGGAUAAAGAUGCUAAGUAGAUAGCAUGACAAGUAAAGAAUGCAUGUUAGCGAGGAUGCAUAGAGUAAAUGCUAAGUAGAAAGCAUGAUGUAUGGUAUACGUAUAUAACUAGUUGAUAACUCUAGUGUGAGUAGUGAUGAUUGGACAACUAGGUUGCCAGGUAGAUCGAGUGGCAUCUAACCUAGUAUUAAAGAACAAAGGUUAAACAAGUGAACCUAGAGUCGAACGAUUUAGGUGUGUGGCAUCUAACCUAGUGUUAGUAAACCUAGGUCGAACUAGUAAACCUAGAAGUGGACAUCUAGGCAAAGAUGACAUGAACCUAGCAAGUGUAUCUAGGUUAAGUGACAUGGACAUAGAACCUAGAGUAUUGGAACCUAGGUUGAUGAGUACUUGAGUUCUCUCCCUCAAGAAUGGAACAGAGGAGUCCAAAUCCCGAGUUUCCUCGAGAGUUUCCCCGACCCCAACAAAUAUUUCCCCAACGUUGUUAACGUUUUUGUGGGGAGUGCUUUGACGGGUCUAAGACGUAACACAUGGCCAUGUGCCCUUUCACAUGGCCAUGUGGAAGACGCUUUGACGGGUUGGGCUCGGAGCCCAACCGUCUUUUGGAUAACUCAUGGCCAUGUUGGUAGUUCCGCAUGGCCAUGUUUAAGACAUGGCCAUGUUGGUAGUUCCGACAUGGCCAUGUGUCGGACCGACUCCGAUUAGGCUCUCGAUUGGUUUUUAGAUUGAAAAACCUAAAACCAUGUGACAAAGUUUGGUGUUAAAGCCCUGAGCUUGGUAUCCAGCCUUGUGACAGAUGCUGGGAAGUCUGUCAGACUCUACCGAGCAGUGCGUCUAGUUUGUGAGUUUGGAGCGUUAAACGUUUCCAGGUCACGCAGUGUGAAGGUAGGAUUUUCUUGUGUGAGAGAGAGAGAUCUUCGAGAAAGAGAGAGAGAUCUUAACCUUAGUUCUCCUUCUAUUCCACCUCUAACCUCGAACUUCCUCCUAGUGGUAACAACAGAAGAAGGAAUCGAACCUCUUCCUCGAAUCAUCUCCAUUCGAGAAACGGAAGAGUACCAUCUUACGAACCUAAUCCCAAAAUAUGAGAUCUUUACCUUGAAUUACUACGAGAUCUUCAUUAAUUAGAGUAAAUAACGAACCCUAUUACGAACAUACUUCGAUUAACGUUAUUAACCCUAAAUCCCGAGGUUUUUCUCCCGAAAACAAGCACCUCCCAAAGCUAGAGUUAACUGAGAAGAGAUUGGAUUAACGAUCCGUAUGCUUGUGCAACCACGUGAGCCAAACUCAUAAGCAGCUCCGAUGCACUUCUAUAACUUCUUUUCCGGCUAAAGCCAUGUCUAACGGCAUCGUGCGCCGUAUUCGAAGGUUUUUAGUGCUUUGACCUUAGCAUCGUAGCACUGUAGUGGUUUUCCACCCCCACAGGUAGGGCUUCGUUGACCCGAAGGAAGAUACAGGCUCAAUCUUAACAACUAGUACAAAGUAGAUAAUAAGAAUACGUAAUACCCUACUAACAACAUCAACGUAAAGAUGAAGGAACGUACGUACAGAUCAUCACAUCGUAACACCCGAGCUGUGAAUUUGGAUCUUACGUACUCCUAACCCAGCCCACUGUACUCUAGGAUAUCACUAUUCUUAUACCACUUGAACUUGAACCAUUACUCUUGGUUACCUAACACUUGAUCACAUUACUUUUAUGAACCUUGAACCUGCUCACCGUACAUUUGUUCUAAUUAUUGUACUGCUCACCGUAAACCUGAUCACAUUAUCUCUGUGAUAUUAUACCUGCUCACCGUACAGCUAAAUCACAUAACUCUGUGUAUGUUGUAGUACUGUAUUUACUCACCGUAGUUUAGAUCACAUCACCUUGUGAUACCGUAAACUUGGAUCCCUAUCAUCUAAAAAAGGCUAACAGUACAACACCUAUAAUACAUAAACCGUAAUCACGUCAACUCCGUAACACCGGGAUCAUCUAUCCCAUAGGAGGUCACACCCCUAACCUAGUAUGAGUGUAUCAGACACAUUGGAACCGCACCAGCGAGGUGGGUUCAUCACUCGAGGCCUCAUCAUCAGCGCAACCCCGUCUGUAUCAACAGGGCGUCUGCUCAGAGCGCACCCACAUAGCGUCUAAGAGGGGUGAUCGCUCUAAACUCUACACUCAGCCCCAUCGUUGGAAGCCCAACCGGGACCCCAUCGUUGGAAGCCCAACCGGUACUCUAACCUAUAAUAGCUCCGUAUCAACGUGCUGCGUGAUACAUCAUCGAGCAAGUAAGACUAAUAGCUCCAUAUCAACGUGCUGCGUGAUACAUCAUCGAGCAAGUAAGUACACUAAUGACUCCGGAUCACAGCACAUCAUCUAGUAUAUGAUCCAUCAUCGAGUAAAUAGCAAGUAACUCCGUAUCAUCGUACACAUCUCUGUAAUGAUACAUCAUCGAGUAAAGAAAUAACAACUCCGUAUCAUCGUACACAUCUCUGUAAUGAUACAUCAUCGAGUAAAGAAAUAACAACUCCGUAUCAUAGUACAACAUCUAAGUAUGACAUUCCUUGACUUAAGAGCUUUAGGCUCCUAAUCUGAAGCAGACCUUAGCUGAUUAACAGCUCCCAUAACCGAAGUCUUUCAGGCUUCCACUAAUUUUACGGAUUUCAACGUAAAACCUUCUCAGGCGCUCUCGACGUCACGCUUUAGACGUGACCUCGUCUCAACGAGAGCCCCUGGCCAGGGACCGUCCCUCCCUGGCCAGGGUAGUCCGACCCGACCGCUCCUAGGAACUCCGUUGGCCAGAGACCAUUCCUCCCUGGCCAAGGGCUUGCAAUUGGGUCGCUCUUCUCCGGCUUUAAACCGAUUCAGGGCUUUCAUGGUGAGAGCCCUUAGCCAGAGAGUCUGUUCCUGGCCAGAGGGCCCCUGGCCAGAGAGUCCGUCCCUGGCCAAGGGCUUGCGCUUUAGGGGAGACGGGCUUACCCUCCGAAAGCCCCUGGCCAGAGGGGCUCGACCCUGGCCAGGGAGUGACGCUUUUGUCGGGUCACUUCCAACAAAUUAUCUACCUUUCAACUCCCCGAAUUAACGUUUUACCGGAUACACUCUCCGACCCCCUGGGAGAGAGGGAGAGUCAACGAGAGAGGGAGAGAGUGUGAGAAAGGGUGAGAGAGAGAUCUUUCUUUUUCUUACUCUUCUUCUUCCUCUACUUCUUUUCUUUCCUUUCCUUCUCUUCUUUCUUCUUCUUUCUCUUCCUCUUCUGAUUCUUCUUCUUCUUCUGCAGAAGAAGAGAGGGAGGGAGUUCGAACCUCGAAACAAAUCUCCAUUCGAGAUUUGGGAAAUUACCAUAUAAAUCCCAAACCCCAAAAAUACCAAAUCUCUGCCAAGCUUACCUUGGAUAACUUCGAUUCCUCUACCAAGCUCGAGCUUUAGCUUCGAGCGUGGUAUCUAAAGCGGUGGCAACGGUUGGAUCCCGUGCCUAAACCCUAAAAACCUUUUGAUCCCAAAACUAGAUAAAAUUUCGCAGCGUUUGGAUUAGCGACUCAGAAGCUUGCGCAUCCGCUUCUGCCAAGCAGCUAGGCUGCUCGCUCACGUCUCUAUAGCGGCUUUGACUAUCAACUCCCAAGCAAAACGGGGCUCCACGACUUCGCUGCAUGCUUCUGGCGCCGCAGCUCAACAGAUCGGCGCUCCGUGAUGGCUUUCCACCCCCUCACGGUAGGGCUUCGUCAACUUGACGAGGGAUACAGACUCAAUAAUAUAACUGGUCUAUGUAUAGCUUAUAUCGUAAUAUCCCACAAUUUACGUUAACAAUGUAGAUAUGAACGUACGAUCACAAUUACACCGAAUCAACUAUACCGUAAUCUUGGAUCACACGUACUCGACUUAUGGUCCACUAAUUGGGAUAUACACAGCUUUCAUAUACAUCAAUACUUUCACAUCAUGUCACACUUGAUCUCAUAUCUCUUGAACAGUCUCUUGCUCACCGUAGAUCAAUUGUUACUUGUGUUUACUCACAGUAGAUCAAUUGUUACUUGUGUUUACUCACCGUAGAUCGACUAUAACUUGUAUUCUUGGAUCACAUCAGUUUUUUGAUACUCGAACUCAUAACCCUGCAGACUAAGCUGCUACUCUGGUUGAGAUCAACUAUCCUGGUCAAGCACUCAAGUCUAAUAUGAGUGUAUCGGACAGACGCGAACAUCCCCAGCGUGGGGUGUCCGACACGUGAGGCCUCAUAACAGUGAUCUCCCCGUCAGCGGUACGCGACGGACCUGUCAGUCACAUAGACAGGCGUCCGCCAGAGCCCCUUAUCAAGUCACUCCGAAAAGGGAUGCUCUGAAUAUCUGCACUCUAGCACAACGGCCUAACUAACGUACUAACCCAUUUCAUUAUUUGUUGGGGAUAACAACUCGUAUAUCAUACCAUCGAUGCUUGAAUUAUACUAGCUGUACGUACGUACUGAGAUCUAACUCCGUAUCAAUCUAUGAAUAUGAGUAUGAACGAAUCAGGAGCAAUUACGAAAGUUUAAGUAUAUAGAUAGAUGGACGUAUAGAUAGACACGGACAAAUCUGGAUCACCCUUCUAGCCGCCUCAGCCGCCGGCUUGGGUGACCCUUGAUAAGCAUCAAGAGUGAGGUGGGAUAACGUCCAGGCUCGAGCUCGCGGGGGCCACUCCUAGCGCCGUUCCCGCAUCGCGGGAUCCCCUUAAUCUUCUCCAAAUGAAAGGAUAAACGUAAUCUCAACGGGACAUAGAUAAAACUCUCAUCUAGCUACAUAUCCCACUCCAAAACCCUCCUAACAUAUAUAUAAUAUGUCCAAACCUUCUUGCGUUCAACAUGAAUUUACAUAAUUCAACUUACCUACAUUAUCUUAUCAAUUCAUAGAGAGAAAGUAAGUGAACAUACGAUAAUGAGCACUACGAACGAGAGCACAACAUAUCGUGACAAGCACGAAAGCAACAACAACUAACUAACACAUACAUAAGUUCAACAAAAGGACCCUUGAACAACAUAUGUUAGAGUAGCAAACUCGGAACCUGCCUGUCCCCUCUACGACAGGCAGGCCGCCAGGCAAGCGGCGCGGGCUUGGCACGGUUUAACCAUCACCGGAGCCCCGCCCCCGCACUGUGUAUGAUACAUCAUCGAGAACGUAAAGUAACUUAUACUCCGUAUCACGUACAACAUCUCAUGUAGGAUACAUCAUCGAGUAAGUUAACACAUAACUCUGUAUCAUAGUACUAAUCAUCUUAUAGUAACGAUACAAGUACGUAAAGUACUAAUGUUUCCGUAUCAUCGUACACAUAUAAAGUAAUGAUACAUCGUCGAGAAAAGUAUGGAUAUAUAGAUAGACAACGAAUACGGACGAAUCUGGAUCACCCUUCUAGCCGCCUCAGCUGCCGGCUUGGGUGACCCUUGAUAUAAAUAUAUCAAGAGUGGGGUGAAACAACGUCCCGGAUCGCCGUCGCAUGGCCGUCUCCUGGCACCAUUCCCGUAUCGCGGGAUCAAUCGAUCGUCGAAGGAAUACGUAAUCUCAAGCACAUGGGCUAACUGUACACUACAUUUACAUAAAACCCUCAACGAAUAUAUAAAACCUCUAGUUGAACAUAUAAGUAAAACUCCUUCAUUUACAUUAGUUCCAACAUUUACACUUACAGUUUACACUACAUUAUCGAUCUUGAUAGAGAGAAAUACGUAAACAUAUAAAUGAACAUAGAACGAGAACAACCAUAUCGUGAACACCACGAAGCAACUUAGUACAUACAAUUAACUCAAAUAAGACUCGUUGAGAACAUGUACUAACGAUAACAACUCGGAACCCGCCUGUCCCCUCCACGACAGGCAAGCCGCAGACUAGCUGCACGGGCCUAGGCUGGUUUAACCGCCCAGCGCCCCGCACUGUCUAUUUCACCAUAGUCUCGCAUUUCUCGUUCAUUUCUCGUUCAUUUCUCGUUCAUUUCUCUCUCAGAUCCUACUGGAUCCUCUGGGAUCCUGCCUUUUGAAUUCCUAUAUCCACGCACUCACUCUGCACCUGGAUACGCCUAUCGCUUUCAACUUAGCUAACCCAGUUCAAAACAUUUGGAGAUUCUGCUAUAAUCUCCAUCUGAGUUCCACACCAAAUAAGAACUGGUUCACACAAGUACAACCCGCUAGCUGUUGUACUUUGGCUCCCUACUCUUAUCUGCGAGAACGCACUGAAAGCGGACUAAACUCAACUCAGCUACAAUCAACAAUGCACGAGCUGGAUCUCCCAGCUCCGACUGGCACAACAGCGCCAAGUCUUUUACCACCGUGGCGCAUCCGUUAGAAACAGAUCUAGCCGCGCCCUACCCUGUUCAUUACAGGAACUCGUUAGGUUCCGCUCGCUUCUGAACCCUGAAGCGGCUCAACCACAUUGCUGUCGUCCUCCGACAGUACGCGGUCCUCCUCGCCUAAUUCCCUGAGGUUUUUUGCCAACUGGCUAACCACUGGCAUAGACAAAGCCGAGUAGCUCAUGCCGGCCCUCAGUUCCGCCUCCACAAAGGCAGCCCCAGCCUGCUAAGCUGAAGAUCGUGAAGUUUACACCUCCGCCACUCCCUCACUCGAAACCGCCGGGAGUACUAAAAGUUCCUUAAACUAGGCGGAUGGAAACUACCUCUCCUACAUCUAGGCACCUAACUAAGGUACCUUUGAGACAAACUCCUAGAUAUGAAUCACGCUCGCCCUCAAGAGAGCAUAGCACUCAACACAGGGUUUACACCACGCCCUACUGCCCUAGUUCGACUAGCGAACAUGCUCCUGAAGCCGGCCCCUAAAGGUUUCAACACGUAUGAGAAUUCAACGUUUGAAAACGGCUUCAGUACCUAACUCGCAACACCCGCCGGCCCGGUACGCGUUCUACUCGCAGCGACUCCCCUACUGGUCUGGGACCGCAACCGCUGACGGAAGAGGAGAGACUCUGUCGGACGCCCAUACGGUGGAUAUCGUAUCAGCCCUCUCACUCACUACUCCUACACCGCUGGCUUCCCAAGCGUCGCACACGGCUCACCGGUACUCCUGCGCUGGGUCCAGCUCCUCGUAACGUAAGUAACAAUACCAUACAACGAUGAUAAAUACGUAGUCAUAUCAUCCCUGGUCACCUGCCCAUCCACUUCUAUGGACCCGUACGAACGCUCACUCUCACAUCGCGGACGAACUCGUCCUUCCCACAGUGCGGGGCGCUGAUUGGCGGUUAAACCUGGCCCAGCGCCGCGACGGCUGUCUGGCGGCUUGCCUGGCCCUUAAGGGGACAUGCGCCUGUUUCAGAGGGGUCAUGCAGGUUCCGCAGCGUUAGGUUUGUUAGUUGCUUACAAGGUUGUUCCUUGCCUAUAGUUAGGUCUAACGUAUUCCUUCAUAGUUUAUGUAUUAGAUGAACGAUAAUGUUCGUAAGUAAAAUGUUGGUGAGAAAUGUAGUGUCAAAGUCAAAUGUAAAAUUGAAGGUUUAAUGUUAGAGUAAUAAUGUAGUCUCAAAUGUUCAAACUAUGUAAAAGAAAAGAACCGAAGAUCAGGGGAUUCGAUCUGACAGUGUCCCAUGACGAUGGAGCCAGAGACACCACCCCGCGAUAGAUGACUCGAUGCGGGAGCGGAGCGCGGCGGCGCGGCGUGUGCUUGCUGGACUUUUGUGGGGUUUUGGUGUGCCCCACUCUUGGUUGAGGUACCAAGGGUCACCCAUGCCGGUGGGUUCCCUUUUCGAGCUGGCUAUCCAGGCUCCUCCGUGACGUUGUAUAAUCAAGUUGUUAUAUGUUGUCUAUAUAUAUAAGUUAACUUUAUGUACGGUACGGAGUGUUAUACGCUAUACUUUUAGUACGUUGUUGAUCAUCUAGUAAACUUAAGAUGAAAAUGAACCGAUGAAAUCGAGUGUUGAAAUGAGAUUCCAAAGGUAAUGGAAUCCUAGUGUUGUGAUUGGUGAUCGAAGAUUCCAAAGAUAAUGGAAUCGAGUUCGGAGAUAGAGAUUGAGUAUUCCCAAGGAGAUGGGAUAGUAUCUAUUGGUGGGCUGAGCCGAAGCUCAGUUAGUAGACGCCUAUCAGGCGCGUGACCGACGAGUUGUCGGAUGACGUGAGAGAGACUGAGUCGGAGGAUCGACGCUUUAGCAGCGUGUGCGACUUGUGCCGAGCUCAGCGUACUGAAUAGGUAGCCACCGCUAGGGCAACGUGAAUGGGUCGCACUCGAGCUCUGUACUGUAUGUCAGACCGCCGCUUGCCCAGCGUGGUGUGGGUUGUUGCUAGUACAGUCUGAGUCAGUGGACCUCCGUGGGCGUAGCAUGAAUGGGUCGUACCUAAGUUAGACGAGUCCGCCAGACUAGGAGUUUACCGAAUUGGUAGGCCGCCGCUUUAGCAGCGUAUUUGCGGUUCUGUUACCAAGUUCGGGGCCCGCCACUAGAGGUACACUAGCGGGGGUUAGAUGGGAGCCAUGGUUCGAGCCGCCGCUUCAGCAGCGUGCUUGCGGGAUCGGACAUGGUCCCUGUAGUAUUCAGGACCCUAAGGCCUUAGGUGAAAUGGUGUCCAGCUCCCAGGUAUUGGUUGGGAUAUGACAGCUGGAUAGAGUAGGAUCACCGAUAUGGUGAUNNNNNNNNNNNNNNNNNNNNNNNNNCACACGCUUGUGAGGGUAGCUCCCUACAAGCCGGCACUCCGGAGUUGGCCUACGCGACAGUUGCUCGCCCGUGCGGGAUUGGGUGCCGAAGUGGAUUGCCGUGGAGAGUGUAUACUACCACGGGGCCAUUAGGCGCGGCGCAAGCUGGACUACCUUGAGUAGGUCCUAGUGAAUGAAAAUAAAAGUGAAAAUGAUAAUGAUAGUAAUGAAUGAGUACCAGUUGUAGUGUACAGUAGUAUUUACACUUCUGUGAUUAUGUUUAUGUUCAUGUUUAUAGUAGUUUCGAUACUUCUAUUAUUCAGUUGAUUCAUUACUGCAGAAAUCAUGUUUACAUGUUGAAUACAUGCCUGUUACCGGUUAGCACUGCAUAUUUCUAUAACAUGCACUUAUCGCUUUUACUUACUUUCAGUACAUCAUGAGCCUAGUGGUGUAAUUCGCCGAGGCUGGCGGCUUACCCACUGGGAACUAUUGUUAAUAGUUCUCACACCCUUUUGGUGGUUGUUUUUACAGAGCCAUCUACAGGAGAGGCUAGGGAUCGUGGCAUGGGAGUCGCGUCUAGCUAGACAUUGCUAGGAGCAUGCUAGUCGAUCACCUUGCUACUCGGGCUACAACCGAGGGUGAUGUCCCUUUGUAUAGAGAAACCACCAUUGUAUCUAUCCUAUUUUUGUAUACCCGUGAUGUAUAUGUACUCUUUGGACCGUGAACAACAGUUGUGAUACUUCUCUUCUGUCGAGAUUUUGGAUUGUAUACUCUUUGUUCUUUAUAUGUCGACUUGUACAUUGCUCUGAUAUCAGGAUAGGACUUUCUUUGUUUUACUUCCUAUCGACUUGCUUUCUUCGUAGACGCCUUAUAUACUGCAGGUGUAUGGCGGGUCUGUACACGUACCGGAUAUGCUUCCGCUGGUACUCGGGCGUGACAGAUUAUAGUGGUAUCAGAGCCUAGGGUUGAGUCUUAGUAGGCCUAGCAAACCUUAGGCUGGUUGGACUAUAAGGAUAGGCUCGUGAGAGACGAUGUCUAGUCGAGGUUGUUGUUAGCGAAAGUACUUUGAUUGGGUACUUAUAAACUCCGAAUAGUAGGAGUUUGAUCGGGAUGUGCAAUUACUAACGUUGCAGAGGGUCACGUCGGCGGCCGACAACGUGACAUCGGAAGUUAGUAUGCGUUACCUCUCAUUGCUUUCGCUUAAUUAGCUGGUUUAUAUCCUCAAUGAGGGUUCAGUAGUAUAGGAUUUAUUGACCUAUGUUUGUUUUGUGCUGUAGUUUAAGAUGCCGUUGACUCGUUCGCAAGCCGCCGGGGCAGCUGAGGUAGUGGAUGCAGAGGAAGUGGGGACUUCUGUUACUUCGGGAUCUAGUGGGAUCCAUGAGUUGCAGGAUUAGCUUGCGAAGCUGACAGAUUUGGUUGCUCAGCAGGCUGCGGCCGCGCGGCAGCAGAUGGAUGCCGCGCGUCGGCAGGAGGACAGGAUGAAGAGGUUAGAGGAUUUACUACUGCGACACACGACUGACAGGGAGAUUCCGGAUCCUAUACCUACAGUACCGGGCAGGGAUGCGACAGUGAGAGCACAGUCACCUGUACUGGACACACCCCCAGUAGCUCCGAGGGCAGAGACCCGACAGGAGACAGUAGUACCACCACCAGUACCUGUGGCAGCAUUAGGGACAGUGUUACCCGAGAUGGUGGGGGUUGAGGAGCGAGAGCGGAUGAUGGAACAACUGAAUGAAUCCCGUCGCCGCAACCCUCGUGUCUUUGACGGGGAGAAAGCAGAUCACUGGGUGGUCGAGAAAUGGUUAAUGCACAUGGAGAAGCUAUUCUAUGAUACCUUUGUUGAGGAGCGGUACCGGGUUUGGUUUGCGACACACCACCUUGACGGCGAGGCUUACAGGUGGUGGAUAGACAUUCGUGAGGAUCCUCGUACUGAUUUGUCCGCUAUUACCUGGACGCGGUUCAAGGAAUUACUGUUGACUACCUAUUUUUCCCAGAGUGUAAAGAGACAAAUGGAAAGGGAUCUGAGAAACCUAAGGCAGGGGGACAAGACAGUGGCAGAGUAUGAGCGAGAGUUCUCCCGAUUACUGCGCUGCGUUCCUUUGUGGUUAGAGAUGAUGAGGACAAGGCUCGCAUAUUUGAGGUGGUUUGCGACCUGCGAUUUUUCGAUUGGUCCAGGCGUCAAACCUAUCUACUACAGGGAUGUAGUGAACCGGGCCUUGAUUGUUGAGAAGGGGGCAGAGAUAAUAAGGAAAGGGAUAUUGUGGAUCGGAGAAGGAAAAGAGACCAGCAUUGAGAGCAGUGUCAGCAAUCCUUUAGAAAGCCACACAAAGUAUCCGAGGGGACAGUCAGGACAGUCGAGGGGUCGAGGUUCUUCAGCACCCCGUGGAGCACCCGAGCGUCGUCGACCACCGCGCUGUGUUAUCUGUGGUGGACCUCACGUACCGCCACAGUGUCCACAGCGUGGGGGCAGGUGUUUUCUUUGCGGCCAGGAGGGCCACUUUCGCUCAGAGUGCCCGAGAGGUUCUUUGCCUGCACCCUCGUCAGCUUCUGUACCUGCAUCUUCAGCUCCGAGCCAGGGGACCCCGACAGCACCCUAUCAGUCUAGGCGACCACCAGGACAGCGGCAGUCGGAGAGUUCGCAGCAGGGUUCGAGUGGGCGGAUGUAUGCCACCCAGACCGAGGGCGCCGCAGCAGAACAGGAGGUUGAGAUGUGGAUCGAUUCCAUGGAAACACUCUUCGAGGAUCUGUACACGCUGGAGCGAGACAAAGUGAACCUAGCCGCGCAUUACCUGAAACAAUCGGCGAAGGUGUGGUGGAAAGGUGUCAAGCGAGAUCGACCGCCUAGUCUCCCUCCUAUGUCAUGGGAAGAGUUUCGGGGAAUGUUGUUCUCGAUAUAUUUCCCCGAUAGCGAGAAGCGGAAACUUCAGGAGAGGUUUCUUAAGCUGCGGCAGGGAAGUCGCACGGUCAGGCAAUACGAGCGAGAAUUUUUCCGUAUCAUGCAUUGUGUCCCAAACGUGGUGCGGGACGACAAGGACAAGGCCGACUGCUUUGUGCGUGGACUUCGGCCAGACCUGUACCAGACGGUGCUUGUGCUAAAGUUGCAGACUUUUGCUGAAGUCCUGGAUCGGGCCUUGUGGAUAGAACAAGGCAAUGCAUUCCUGCGGGAGAAGCGUGAGGAACACUACAAGGAAAAAGGGAAAGAACGGCCAAUGAGCGGACACGAUGGUCAGUCAAGUUCCCAGCAGACCUCAGUGAGGACGCGCUCUCGAUCUAGAGCUCCGGGGACGUAUCACAUUCGGUCCUCGGCGAGAUGUGCAAUUUGUGGAGGCCCUCAUUUUCCACAACAAUGUGAACAGCGAGAGGGCAAGUGCUUCAAGUGUGGGCUGCCGGGCCAUGUGCGGGACGAGUGUCCACAAGGUGGUAACCGGGCCUUGACACUGGCGACGGCCCAUUCCUCUUUGGGACAGCCGGUGGGUGUGCCACCUGCGGCAUGGUCGGGGGAGCAGCCAUUGAGAAUGUUGCAGCCAGAGGGUUCGCGACGGGCGCCAAGUGGCCAUGGAUAAGCAACCCGAGCUGUGGUGCCUGCCGUUGCUCACGACGUUGUGGCAAGUAUGAGUUAAUUGAGCAAUCAUAUUUUGCAUAGUCCCAAGUUGGUGCAUAGCAUGCAUUCAGCAUUAGUCAGUUGCUACUACUAUUACAUUGCAUAGUAGGGACCGAGAGGUCGGGAAAGUAGGCACCCAAGCAUGCUAACAGGUUGAGAGCCGAUGGUACUAGCAAAUGGCUAGUGGUGAUGUUGGACAGGAAACGAGGCUCGCAAUGGAAACCGAGUGAUGAAAGGACUCUCAAAGCAAUGGGUUAGAGAUUACGAGAGUCGGGCCUUGAUGUUUGGGAACGCCCGAAUAUCCCAAAGUACUUCGGAUGUGGAUUCGGUAGAUCGAAUGGUGGAGAUGAACCACUGUCGCUAAAUUGGCCGGUUAGUGCCAAGUUUGGCCUGUGGGCCUAGUAGUACCUUGAGUUGAGGUGGACGAGUUGUGCCCGUGUGGCAGGUGUGCAUAGGCUAAGUUGCUUGAUGUUAGGCUUCGUGUGAGACGCUGUAGAGGCAUAAAGCGCUCGAGUAUAGAUGCUUGUAGAGUGCGGUUUCGAUUUAGCCGGUCGAGUGAAUUGGCAGUAGCACUUCAGCAGGGCUAAGUGUGAAGUGGGCCAUGGAUCACUCGUGAGGGCUGGUGGCCCGCACUAGGUGCCUAGGAGCCGAUAGAGUGUGUAGCUCUGUAGAGUAUGUCGUGUAGGACGACGUUGGCGGGUAGUGCUUGGGGACGGCCCUUGCCUGGACCACUUGUGGACUGUGGAGCUUGGACCCAUUGGGCAGGCGCAGUCAGCUGUAAGAGACAGCGAAGAGAGAGAUUGGCGCGGCGAGUGCCAAAACCCUCCAACUCUUUUGAGCUUACUUUUACCCUUCCAACCGUGUUGGUAAUGCCUAAUUGGGACUUGUCCAUUCCAUCUUCUCCGCAUACUUUAGGUCGAUUUUGCUAAAGUCGAUGAUUUCUUCAGAACUCGGGGUUACAUUCUCCCACCUUAAAGGAAUUCGUCGCGAGAAUUCAACCGAAAUCAACCGGCCUACCGAUUGUGCUGAGGGUACAUCAUUAACCGUUUCACUCCGAUUUCGACCACAGCAUCUGCAUAUCAAUCCAUAUCAUCGUGCUUCACCAAUCACCAGAGUGCUUCAAUCUAACAGAAUCUUUGACCCUAUCACGAGAUGCGACACUUCGGCACGUCUCACCUAACUACUCGCAGAGAGCAUCAUCCACUUGUUUCCAACUGAACUGAGCGGUACAAACUCCGAUUCUCCCGUGGCUUUAUUAACUUCGAGCCUUAUAUAGAGCCACUUAGUCGGUUUCUCCUUUAUUCUUUAAUACCAUAAGCCACGAUCAACGCACUCUACUCCGCGGUGAUUUGCACCGACCCUUCGUUCGCUGAAUUGCGAGCCUAAGCUCAUUUCACCACACAUCGGUGCACCGACAUCAGUCUCUACGAGUGGACCACAAGUCACCACACCUAACAUAGACCUCCGACUAAAUGUAUCAGACGCCUACAUCUCUCGCAUUCCGCAGCGUAGACCCAAUUAUCUUGGGCGACAUUCCAUUGGAAACUCGGCACACACGCCAACCAGAGCUAUCAAUGCCCAAUCACAUCUAAUUCUUGGUUGGGUCACUACACACUCGGUGCCGUCAUCAAAUCUCAUGAUGCUAAUCACUUCGUGCCAUUCCACGUAACUCGGUCUUAAGCUUCGGACUACCGUUUGACCAAAAUUACUCCGCCUUACCUAUAGGAUCGGGCNNNNNNNNNNNNNNNNNNNNNNNNNNNNNNNNNNNNNNNNNNNNNNNNNNNNNNNNNNNNNNNNNNNNNNNNNNNNNNNNNNNNNNNNNNNNNNNNNNNNAUGAUUUCUGCUUAUGAUGAAUUCUAUCGAUUAAUCCUCCUUUUGUUAUUUAUCAAAUUAAAAUUUGAUCCAAUUUUAUUUAUUAUGGCUUUGUCAUUUGAUAGCUCAGUUGUCGUUUCCCUGGUAUAUAAGCUUCUGAUAUCAACAGGAAGCAGGACUUUGAGUUGUUACAAACAACUUAGGUGAUGUUUUCUAUUGAAAGAUUGUUUCUCUUUGGAGUCAAUUAGUUAGUUUACAAAUACUACGUUAUUGGCUUUACUUAUGUUUCCCCGAUUUCCAGUUUGUGUUUGGUUAUGUAGAUUUUUUUUAUUGAUUUUAAUGCUUUUUUAUAAGGCGAUGAUGAAUUAAAAAUAUUUGCGUUAUUUCGUAUGACUAAGUAGAGAGUGGGACUUUAAUAACACAAUGAUGUGCAAAACAAUAAUUGCCAGAUGUUGUGGCGUAUCUAUUGAUGUUAUUUACAGUUUUUUGAUUAUAUUUUUUUAGCCUGCGUUUGUUGUUCGAUUUCAUUGUUUUUGUUCUUUGUGUUCACUAAUAUGUUGCUUAUAAGUGAACAAAGUUGCGGUGGCAUUUAAACUGUUCUCUAAACGGUACUUAUGUUUUGUAGCUUUGUUUUUUGUUGAUUAAUAUUAAAGUUUUGGGUUGUCUAUUUUUAAUGCUGACUUCCUACUAAUGUUUAGCAAGCUGUGUUUAGCGUUUUUGCCUAAAAGUUGUUUUUAUGAAGUUCAGUGGCCCAUUGACUUAUUUGUUCUUGUCAAUUUUUCAACUUUUUGGGAGACAUCUGUUUGCACCACUGAAUUUGUUAUAGUCGUAGUAGUUUUGAAUUUUUUUCCAUUUCUUUUUGUGUGGACUUCAAUAAUUUAUGGGUUGGUAACCGAUAGAGAAUUAAACAAUAGCUGGGGGCAGGUUUGAUGGCUCGGGGCACGUAUUUGCCUAUUAGUUGGGUGAAAAAAAUGGUGCAUAUGGGCAAGUACUUGAUGGGCCUCGCAGCACGUCUUGCACCUAUAUGACUUGCUGAAAAAAAUACGCCAAGCGACUGUGCGGCAAAAUAAAACGGAGAGAAAGUGCUCUUGUAUUUUACCUCUAUCUGAAUUUUUUUUUAACUGUUUGAGCCACACAUCAUCAUUUUUUCCCUGUCACUAAUUUUCGCAAUUGUUUUUAUUUAUAUUACUUUCAGCGAUGAAUUUUUAUUUGGUCUGCGAUCCUUGUAUUGCUGAAUAUACUUAUUAGGCAUAAACAGUCAAAGCUAUGAAACUGUAACACAAAUGCCUGGAACUUUGCAAAUUGUCGAGUGUUCGAAUGUGUUGAUCUGUGUGUCGAGCUUUUCAGACUUUCUGAAGGUCGUAGACGUGUUACGCCCUAUGGCUGCAUCCGGGAUUUGUGGUUUUAAGGCUGUACGUAAAGCCUAAAAAGAUUGGACCUUGGUCAGCUUCGGGUACCUUGCCAGCAGAGCUUGUACCGGCAAACAUAAUGGUCUUGGUACCGGUAUACGAGGUUGAUGGUUGUACCGGUACAGCCAAUCGGGCUUGUUACGGUUAAUGAGCGCGACAAACCCGCAACCGAGCCUUCGGUUCAUUUCGGUGGGCGCUGCACGGUACAAGGGCCGUUGUACGGUUAAAAGGUGGCAAGAUUUUGUAAGCAUUUUCUUUACUGCAGGGGGUUUUUUCGCGAUUGUAGACUUCUAUAAGUGCCCCACACCUAUGCCUCCGUGGCAGAGACCACAAGUGAAGUUGAGGUAGGAGGAGCUCUCUUCCCUUCCCUUGAUUUUUAACUCGCUUUUGCUUGGUUUUUAAUUGGUUUCUUCCUCUAUUUGCUAUCUUGGUGGCUUUCCACAUUAGUUGAAUGCUUAUGACUUGGGAGAGGAGCUAGUGGCUGCGGAGAUUCAACAUCAUUGGAGUGGAGUCUAAGUUUGGAGCUUCUUGAGGAGGUUGAGACUUGAUGUUCUGCCCUUGAUCCUUGAUUUGAGGUUUUGAGAGGAUAACCCUAGAAUGAAAAUUUAGGUUUAUUUGUGGCAUUUUCGUUAUAGGAGAUUGGAGGCUUGAUUCCUUGGAUAGACGUUCCUCUAGAUUGGAUUUGGAGGGUUUCUUAGCCUCCUUUUUUUAGGCGUGAAGAGAUUUUUCAUAGGUGAGUUUUUGCCCAUAGUAGAAUGGUUAAAUGUUUGAGCUAUUGGUUGUUCGUUUCAUUCGAGUAGUCCUUUUCCUCAUCCUUAGGGUAUUGGAGACUAGAGGGAUACCCUCGUUGAGCAAAGAGCGAGUUUCGUUGUUCGGUGGGUUUGGUUUUUGACACAAUGUGGAAAAUUGCCCUCUGCGUGUUAAUCGUUUUCGUUAUACUAUAAUGCAUGCAUAUUUAUGUUGAGUAGGAAAUUAUAUAUGAUUUUGUAUGCUUAAAGAGCACAUUAUGUGUAUGAAAAUUUUAACUCUAAUGUAGUAGAGCAUAUGAAAACAUGCAUGCAUGAGCUAGUAGAUGUGUAAUUGCAACUUGGAAAUUGCUUAUCAAGUAGAAAAAAGGACUAGAAUCAUGUUAGUUCUUGCACUAUUUGUACGCAUGAUUAGUGAGCAAAAGUGUCAUAAAGGGGCACUUUCGACUAGAAAAUCUAUGAAUGCAUAGCUUAAGACAUGAAUUAUGGCCAUUUGUACAUCUGCUAUAAUUCAUGUUAGAUGCAUGAUGACAUAGAGAUAUGGUCUUAAGAUACUUGAAUAUAUUUCAUGUCUGUUAGCAUAGGACUGGUAUUGAGACAGAUCAUUGCUUGUUGCCUUUGUGCUCAUUCGCACAUGCUUGUGAGGGUCGCCGCCUCAAGCUGCACUGUUGCCCGGAUGAUAGCCACCACGCACAUAUGACUUUUCGCCGUGCGGAGAUUUGGCGCCGUAUAGUGGAUUGCCGUGGGUGAGGCUCAUCCCUAGGUGGGUGUGAUACACGGGCAUUAGGCAAGGACGCAGGCCGGUAGACAGCCUUGGCGUGGGUCUUAUAUGAUUUGGCAUUAUGGUGACAGAACAGUCUACACGCUGCUAUAUUCUAAACGCUUAAGUAGACUUGACUAGAAUAGUAAAAUGAAUCUUUACUUACAUUGUGGAUUUUGGGUAGUUGGCAUAUUCAUGCAUUACAUGUUGGGCAUUCAUGUGAUAUAUAUAUAAUCUAGUACGUUGCCUUUCUUACUUAUGCAAAUCAUGCUAAGUAGAGAUAUCAUGAUUAUUGGGUACUCGUUUAUUUAUUUAUUUAUAGUGCAUUUAUCGCUUUUGUUAUAGUUCUACACUGACCCUCUUUUAUAGUUUCGGGCCUAGUGGUGCAUUUCACUGAAGUCAGUAAUUGCCCACUGGGAACUAUUAUUUAAUAGUUCUCACGCCCCUGUUUCUAUGUUUUUCUUUCAGAGCCUUCGGCACCGGCGGAGGCACGGGAUCGCGGCAAGGGUGUCGCUUAGCUAGCUCGUGGAGAGUUCUUUUGCGCUAGGUGGUUAUUCCUCCUUUUUGUAUUUUGAGAGAGAGAGAGGUUUUGUACCAUGUAUAGAGAGACUACCUUGUACUUCAUUUAGCACUUGUUAUGGGAUUCCUAUUGUACUUACUCUGUAUUUUUAUUUAGUGGAUUUCAGCUUUAUGUCCUUUUUCUUGUUAUAGAACUAGUUGUACAAUGCUCUGAUAUCACUAGAUCUCUUUGUAUUAUUGUUUAUUUAUUGAAAUUUUGUAGACGCCUUAUAUGUUUUAGACGUAUGGCGGGUCUGGACACGCGCCGGGUAGGCUUCCGCUGAGCCCCGGGGCGUGACAGAUUAAAUAGGUAUCAGAGCCUAGGGUUGAGUCUUAGGGGACCUAGCAAACCUUAGGCCGGUUGGACUAUAGGAAAUAGGCUCGUGAGAGACGAGGUCUAUUCGACUUGUAAGCGAAAGUAUUUUGAUUGGGUAUCUUGGAUAACUCUAGAAAGUGGAGUUAAAUUGAAGUGUAUAACUCCUAACUUCGCGGAGGGUUACGUUGUCGGCCGACAACGUAAUAUCAGGAGUUAGUUGUGAAGAACACUUCCUUACUUUCGCAUGAUUUGAGUAUUGCUUAUUGAGCGGGGAUGCGAUAGCGUGGGUUUUACUAACUUGCGCUUUUAUGUUUUGUAGUGACGAUGCCGAUUACUCGCUACCAAUCUGCCGGGGCGGACAAUGCGGCGAACUUUGAGGAGGUCGAGACCUCCGCUACCUCCGGAUCUGGCGAGAUCCGUGAGUUGAGGGGCCAGCUUGCGGCCCUCACCGAUUUAGUCACUCAGCAGGCGGAGGCGGCCCGACAGCAGACUGAGGCGGCGCGCCGACAAGAGGCGCGGAUGAAGCGCCUAGAGGACUUACUCCUGCAGCAGGCAGCAGCUUCUAGGGAGAUGCAGGGCCCUACACCGCCAGCACCCGUUGUGGACGUUGCUCCGAGAGCGCCGUCCCCCAUGCCCAGUUCUUCGCGUGCGGCGCCUGUGGCCGCACCCCAGGAGGAGGUUUUGGCAGCACCACCCGUGCAGAGGCCUCCGGUUGGAGCUGCUUUUCCUACUUUGGUUGAGGGGGCGGAGCGAGACAGACUGAUGGAGCGCCUCAAUGAGUUCAGGAGGUGCAGUCCCCGAGUCUUCGACGGCGAGAAGGUCGACCACUGGAUCGUGGAGAAGUGGUUGAUGCAUAUGGAGAAGCUCUUCCGCGACACCUUCGUGGAGGAGAGGGACAGAGUUUGGCUCGCCACUCACCAUCUGGACGGCGAGGCCUAUCGCUGGUGGUUGGACCUCCAGGAGAACCCCCGCACAGACUUGGUAGCUAUUACUUGGACGAGGUUCAAGGAGCUUCUUUUGGCGCACUACUUCCCGACCAGCGUCAAGAGGAAGAUUGAGAAGGAUUUGCGCAGCUUGCGCCAGGGUGACAGGACCGUAGCCGAGUACGAGAGGGAGUUUUCUCGGCUUCUGCAUUGCGUGCCUUUCGUCGUGCGGGACGACGAGGACAAGGCCCGCAUCUUCGAGCGAGGAUUGAGACCGUCUACCUUCCGGUUUGUGCAAUCCUCUAACCUCCAAACCUACCGGGAGGUUCUGACCGAUGCUGACCCCCCCAGUGCGUGAUCUGUGAUGGUCCACACAUUCCACCGCAGUGCCCGCAGCGGGGAGGGAGGUGUUUCCAGUGUGGCCAGGAGGGCCACUUUCGGACCGAGUGCCUGAGGGGAUUUUCACCGGCACCGUCGACUGCAUCGGCACCGGCUCUACCAGCCGCCAGCCAGGGGACUCCAUCGACACAGUACCAGCCUGGGCGGCCACCCGUCCAGCGCCAGAGCGAGGGAUCUCGAUAGGCUCCGAGUGGGCGUAUGUAUGUCGCUCAGACCGAGGAGGCGGCAGCAGCCGAGGAUGCGGUUGCAGGUAUCAUUUUACUCGAUGGCAUUAGAGUUCGUGCUUUAUUUGAUACUGGUGCAUCGCAUUCAUUCAUAGAUCGGUUGUUUGCCGAGUUGCAUGGCAUUCCAUUGGUUCCUUUGUUGCAUACGGGACAUGUUGUUGUACCCCACCACGUUUUGGAUAUUAGAGAGUAUAGCCCCAGUUGCCCUGUUCGGGUAGGAGAUUGGAUCAUGCCUGUAGAUUUGUUAGCUUUGCGCAAGCUGGGGGAUUUUGACGUGGUCUUGGGCAUGGAUUGGUUGACCAAGUAUUAUGCCACGAUUGACUGCAAAAAUCGCACGGUUACUUUUAGAGAACCGGGGCAGACUGAGGUGGUAUUUAGUGGAUGCCGGAGUUCGCUGUUUGCGAUGACGAUCAGCUCGUUUCGAGCUAGGCAGCUGAUCAGCAGAGGUUGUAUAGCCUACCUGGCUAGUGUCGUGCUGAGGGGCGAGGAUGACACCCCUAGGAUCAAGGAUAUCCCGGUGGUGCGGGAGUUCCAGGAUGUGUUUCCAGCUGAGCUACCGGGUAUGCCUCCUGAUAGGGAGAUUGAGUUUGUGGUAGAUCUUGUCCCUGGGACUACUCCAAUCUCAAAGGCACCCUAUAGGAUGGCACCGGCAGAGCUGAGGGAGCUGAGGGCACAGUUGCAAGAUUUGUUGGACAAAGGCUUCAUUCGACCAAGCGUUUCACCUUGGGGAGCACCUGUUUUGUUCGUCAAGAAAAAGGACGGAUCACUUCGCCUUUGUGUGGAUUAUCGUGAACUCAAUAAGGUCACGAUCAAGAAUAAGUAUCCGUUGCCGAGGAUCGAUGACUUGUUUGAUCAGCUUCAGGGAUCGUGUGUGUAUUCCAAGAUAGACUUGCAGUCGGGAUACCACCAGUUGAAGAUCAAACCCGAGGAUGUAUCGAAGACGACUUUUAGAACACGGUAUGGACAUUACGAGUUCACAGUUAUGCCGUUCGGGCUUACUAAUGCCCCGGCAGCUUUUAUGGAUUUAAUGAACCGUGUUUUCAAGUCUUAUCUAGACAGGUUCGUCGUGGUAUUCAUCGACGACAUCUUGGUUUAUUCCCGGAGUGAUGCAGAUCACGAGGAGCAUUUGAGGAUUGUACUCCAAGUACUUCAGGAAAAUGAGCUCUAUGCCAAGUUGAAGAAAUGUGAAUUUUGGCUUCGAGAGGUAGCCUUCCUUGGACAUUUGAUUUCAGGAUCAGGCAUAGCCGUGGAUCCCAAGAAGAUUGAAGCAAUCAAGGAUUGGCCAAGGCCGACGAGCGUCUCGGAGAUGCGGAGCUUUCUUGGCUUGGCCGGCUACUAUCGACGGUUUGUGGAGGGAUUUGCAAGGUUAUCUACUCCCCUCACGAGGCUCACGCACAAAGGAGUCAAGUUCAUUUAGAAUGACGCGUACGAGCGAAACUUCCAAGAGUUGAAGCAGAGAUUGACGACUGCCCCAAUCUUGACCCUACCAGUAGCUGGAGCAGGGUAUGUGGUUUAUAGUGAUGCUUCACUUAAUGGAUUGGGCUGUGUAUUGAUGCAGGAUGGCAAGGUGAUCGCGUAUGCUUCUCGCCAACUAAAGGAAUAUGAGAAGAACUACCCGACGCAUGAUUUGGAAUUGGCGGCUGUAGUGUUCGCAUUGAAGCUAUGGCGCCACUAUCUCUAUGGCGAGCGGUGUGAAGUAUACACGGAUCACAAGAGCUUAAAGUACCUGUUCACUCAGAAGGAGUUGAACCUGAGACAGCGCAGAUGGUUUGAGCUGCUCAAGGAUUAUGAUCUGACGAUUCUUUACCACCCGGGCAAAGCUAACGUGGUGGCAGAUGCGCUAAGUAGGAAAUCGAUGGAAAACUUGGCGAUGCAUGUUGUGACUCAACCGCAGUUGAUCGAGCAAAUGAAGCGGUUGGAGUUGGAGAUAGUGACUCCUGACACACCCUUGAGGUUGAUGACAUUGGUGGUGCAACCUACAUUGUUGGAUAGAAUUAAAGAAAAGCAAGCUUCCGAUGUGGAGUUGCAAAAGAUUCGAGGAAAAAUGGUUGAUGGUUGUACUGGCGACUUCCUUUUGGAUGAUCAGGGAUCGAUGCGUUUUCGUGGGCGGAUCUGUGUACCCGCGGAUUCGGGAAUUAAAGAGGAUAUUCUUCAAGAAGCGCACCGGGCGCCCUAUGCUAUACAUCCGGGUGGCACCAAGAUGUAUAAGGAUCUAAAGUUGCUCUAUUGGUGGCCCGGGAUGAAAAAGGACGUCGGCGAGUUUGUAGCUCGUUGUCUAACUUGCCAACAAGUAAAGGCUGAGCACCGAGUACCUGCGGGGAAGUUGCAGAGCCUACCUAUUCCAGUGUGGAAAUGGAAAAAGAUCACCAUGGACUUCGUGAUAGGAUUGCCUAGCUCUCAAGCAGGGCACGAUGCUAUUUGGGUGAUCGUGGAUAGGUUGACGAAGUCGGCGCACUUCGUGCCUAUUCAUACUUCUUGGACCGGGGAGAAGCUCGCACAAGUGUACCUUGAUGAGAUUGUGCGGCUUCAUGGAGUGCCUAUAUCGAUUGUAUCAGAUCGAGACAUCCGGUUUGUGUCUCACUUUUGGAGGAGUCUGCAGGACGCCUUAGGCACCCGAUUGGAUUUCAGUACAGCAUUCCACCCGCAGAGUGAUGGACAGUCGGAGCGCACUAUACAGACCUUAGAGGAUAUGCUCCGGGCAUGUGUGAUAGACUUUCAGGGAGGAUGGUCACAGCAUCUACCUAUGGCGGAGUUUGCUUAUAACAACAGUUAUCAAGCAAGCAUCAAGAUGGCGCCCUUCGAAGCACUUUAUGGAAGGAAGUGUAGAUCGCCGCUUCAUUGGAGUGAAGUGGGCGAGAGACUGGCUUUAGGCCCUGAUGUGCUCCGGAAAGCUGAGGACAGAGUACGCAUUGCUCGGGAGCGACUUUUGGUAGCGCAGAGCAGGCAGAGGAGCUAUGCUGACCGACGGCGGCGAGACUUGGAGUUCCAAGUUGGAGACCAUGUUUUCUUAAAGGUCUCGCCGACUAGAGGAAUAAAGAGAUUUAGGAUUCGGGGAAAGUUGAGUCCCCGUUUCAUUGGACCGUAUGAGAUUUUGGAGCGUGUAGGCCCGGUAGCGUAUAGACUUGCUCUACUACCGAGCCUAUCGGGUGUACACGAUGUCUUUCAUGUAUCGGUCCUCCGGAGGUACAUUCACGAUCCAGCUCACAUCUUGGAUGCUAUACCAGUGGAGCUGCAUGAGGAUUUGAGCUUCGAGGAGCAACCUGUGAAGAUUCUAGCUCGCGAAGUGAAGAAGCCGCGGAAUCGGGACAUUCCGUAUGUGAAGGUUCUUUGGAGCAACCACGGGGAGCGAUAGGCUACGUGGGAGCUGGAGAGCGCUUUGCAAGAGCGCUACCCUCACCUUUUUCAGGUGGAGUCUUGAGGUACGUUGCAUUUUGAGUUUCGCGGACGAAAGUCCUUUUUAGGAGAGGUGAAUGUAACACACUGGACCUUUGCAAAUUGUGAGGUUCGAGUGUUUGAUCUGUGUGUCGAGCUUUUUCAGACUUUCUGGAAGGUCGUAGAUAGUGUUCCGACCUAUAGCUCGCAUCCCGAGGAUUGUGGUUUUAAGCUGGUACCAAACGCCCAAAAAGAUUGGACCUUGGUCAGCUCUCGGGUAGCCUGCAGCAGAGCUUGUACCGGAACAAGACCGGUCUUGUACCGGUGCAAGGUUGAUGGUUGUACUGGUACAGCCAUCGGGUUUGUACCGGUACAGAGCCGCAGACCCCGCAACCCGAGCCUCGGGUUUGCAUUUUCGUGGGCCUUGUACCGGUACAAGGGCCCGUGUACCGGUACAAGGUGGCAGAUUUUGAGCAGUUUGAUACUGCAGGGGGUUUUUCGCGAUUGUAGCACUUCUAUAAGUGCACCCCACGCCGCUUAGGGCCUUCCCUGUGCAGAGACCAGCAGGAGUUGAGGUAGGAGGAGCUCUCUCUCCCUUCCCUUGCAUUUUUACUCCUUUUGUUUGGUUUUUAUGUGGUUUUCUCUCCUCUAUUUGCAUCUUGGUGGCUUCUCCACCAUUGUUGAUGGCUUAGAGCUUGGAGAGGAGCUAGUGGCUGCGGAGAUCUUCAACAUCACUUGGAGUGGAGCUAAGUUUGGAGCUUCUUGAGAGGUUAGAGACUUGAUUUCUCCCUUUGAUCCUUGAUUUGAGGUUUUUGUGAGAUCAAACCCUAGAAAUGAAAAUUUAGGGUUUAUUUGGGCAUUUUCGUUUUAGGGCAUUUGGAGGGUUGAUUCCUUGGAUUAGAACCUUCCUCUAGAUUGGAUUGGAAGGGUUCUAGCCUCCUUUUUGAGCUUGUGAAGAGAUUUUCCAUAAGAGGUGUGUUUUUGCCCUUAGUAAGAGAUGGUUAAUGUUUGAGCUAUUAGUUGUUCGUUUCAUUCGAGUAACCCUUGUUCCUACAUCCUUAGGGUAUUAGGAGACUAGAGGAUACCCUCGUUGGAGCAAACGAGGAGUUUCGUUGUCAUCGGUGGGUUUGGCUUCUUUGACAUAAGGGGAAAAAUGCCCCCUGCGUGGUUAAACGUUUUCGUAUACUAUAAAUGCAUGCAUAUUUAUGUUGAGUAGAAUUAUUAUGAUUUUUGGAUGCUUAAAACGCCACCAUUAUGUGUAAUGAAAAUUUUACUCUAUGUAGUAGAGCCAUAUGAAAGACAUGCAUGCAUGAGCUAUGUAAUCUGUAAUUGCAACUUGGAAAUAUGUCUCUCAAGUGGAAAAAGGACUAGAAUCAUGUAUUCUUGCACAUAUUUGUCACGCUAUGACUUAGUGAGCAAAAGUGUCAUAAAGGGGCACUUGAACUAGAAAACUAUGAAAUUGCAACUUAGAGAUAUGAUUAUAGGCCAUUGUACAUCUGCUAUAUUCCAUGUUAGAGACAUGAUGACAUAGAGAUAGGUCAUUGAGAUACUUGAUAUAUUCCAUGUUGUUAGACAUGAGGACUUGGUACUUGAGACAGAUCAUUGCUUGCUUGCCAUUGUGCUCAUUCGCACAUGCUUGUGAGGGCCGCUCCCUACAAGCUGGCACUCCGGAGAUAGCCAUCGCGACAUAUGCUCGCCCGUGCGGAAUUGGGCGCCGAAGUGGAUUGCCGUGGGGGAGGCUCAUCCCUAGAGUGGGGAUGUUGACUACCACGGGGCCAUUAGGCACGACGCAGGCCAGACAGCCUUUGGGUGGGUCUUAUAUGAUUGGGAUUUGGUGACAGAACAUGCUACGUAAACUUCAUAACUGUUAAAGUGGACUUGGACUAGAAUAGUAAACAAUGACAUCUUUAUUAUCACAUUGUGGACUUUGGGUAGUUGCAUAUUCAUGCAUUACAUGUUGGGCAUUCAUGUGUAUAUAUAUCUAGUAGUUGCUUUCUUACUUAUGCAAAUCAUGCUAAGUAGAGAUAUCAUGAUUAUUGGGUACUCGUUUAUUUAUUUAUUUACAGUGCAUUUAUCGCUUUUGUUAUAGUUGUACACUGACCCUCUUUUAUAGUUUCGGGCCUAGUGGUGCAUUUCACUGAAGUCAGUAAUUGCCCACUGGGAACUAUUAUUUAAUAGUUCUCACGCCCUGUUUUUAUGUUUUCCUUUCAGAGCCUUCGGCACCCGCGGAGGCACGGGAUCGCGGCAAGGGUGUCGCUUAGCUAGCUCGUGGAGAGUUUUUUUGCGCUAGGUGGUUACUCCUCAUUUUUGUAUUUUGAGAAAGGGAGAGGUUUUGUACCAUGUAUAGAGAGACCACCUUGUACUUCAUUUAGCACUUGUUAUGGGAUUCCUAUUGUACUUACACUGUGUUUUUAUUUCGUGGAUUUUCAGCUUUAUGUCUUUUUUCUUGUUAUAGAACUAGUUGUACAAUGCUCUGAUAUCACUAGAUCUCUUUGUAUUAUUGUUUAUUUAUCGAAAUUUUGUAGACGCCUUAUAUGUUUUAGACGUAUGGCGGGUCUGGACGCGCGCCGGGUAGGCUUCCGCUGAGCCCCGGGGCGUGACAGAAACCAUUUGGGUGGUCUAAUUAAAGUUCGGUAAGAAAGAGAAGCCCAGCUUAACGAGUCUCAAAAUAACUGUUUAGUUAUUCUAACUAAAUUUCAAUUUGGGCACUCUAUCUUUUGGUACUGACUUUAUUGCUAUUUUUCGCACGUACCAAAAAAGCAUGGCGGGAUGGCCGGCCUUUUGCCAAUUCCUGCAGCUAUCGGUUGUUACGAAUAUGGGUUUAACAUUUAAAGAAUGUGCAUCAAAUGUUUGGCAAAAAGGUUGUGUUCUUGGUGUCUGAGUUAGAUUUAUCUUGGGUACUUAACUUUCGUUACGAUAGUUUGGGUUAGAAGCAACACUUAGUGAAAGCUAAACAAAAUGUGAAUCAUAGCAUUAUGAAAGUAGUGUCGCAAAAGGAAAGGAUACCAUGUGGGUUUAAAUGGUUUCCUGAGCAACGAUAAUACAAAAUUUAAAAAAUAGGCCAAGUUUGAUGGCCUUAGGACAAGACUUGCACCGAUUGUUGGCUGAAAAAAUGUGCAUUGAAUAUGCGACGAAAAGAAUGAAAGCGUUCUUUCUAUAUGAGCUGAUAUGAUAUUUUGGAAUCAUUUGAAUCCAUUGAUUAUCCAUUUUUUUUUUGUCGCUACUUUCAUAAUGUUUUUUAUUUAUAUUUCUUCUAGCUUGGUUUCUGUUGAUUUCAUUGUUUCGUUCUUUGUGUUCACUGAAUAUUGCUUGUAAGCGAGCAAAAGUUGUGGGGCCAUUUAACUGUUCUAAAGUGUACUUAUGCUUUUUACCUAUUGCUGUUGUUGAUUAUAUAAAAUUUUGUGUUCUCUAUUUUUUACUACUGACUUUGUUACUAAUGCUUAGCAAGCUUUGUUUAUUUCAUUAAGAAAUAAACUUAGCUGGAAAUGUGAAUCAUCUAGGAUUCGAACUUGAGACCUCGGGUACCAACCACCAAGCCCUUCACCACUUGCUCUAGUGACUUAUUUGUUUGUUAUUUCUUAUAUCUUAGUAGUUUGAAUUUUUUUCUAUUUUGUUUUUUUUGUGUGGACUCAAAUAGUUUUAUGGGUGGUACUGAUAGAGAAUUAAACAAUAGGGCAGGUUUGAUGGCCUCGGGGCAACUCUUGCCUCUAUUGUUGGCUGAAAAAAUGGUCAUCAAUAGGGCAUGUUUGAUGGUCUCGCGGCAAAUCUUGCACCUAUUGCUCGCUGAAAAAAAAAACCCAUCAACUGUGCGGGAAAAAAAAGAGAGAGAGAAAGUGCUUUUGCUAUUUGACCUCAUCUGAUUUUUUUUAAACCAUUUGAGCCCACCCAUCGCCCAUUUUUUUUUGUGGCACUACUUUUGUACUUUUUCUGGGGGAGGGCCUCAACUUUCUUAAUUUUUUUAUCUGCAUAUCUUUUAGUGUUAUUUCUUUUUAUUUCAUUCAUCGAACCUCAAUGUUUGGUCAAUUUUCCUUACAUGUUUAGACUCAAUGGUCCGACUUCUAUACAGUUAGAGAAGACCCACGCUUGAAAGAGAAAAUCAAGAUUACUAACUUCGACCACAUGCAUGAUGAAGAAAAUACUUAAACAGUUUCUUCCCUUCAAUUACACCCGCACUUUGUAUCAAUAAAUCGAAAUUUUAAGUCAUGGGAGUUGUCGAUAUUUUAUUAAAUCAGGUGGGACUUGAGUUGAAUCAUCAGAUCGUACUACUUUCUAAAUUCUAUGCACGUCGCGAAGAUGUUCGCAUUGAUAUGGAGGGCGAGAUCUUUCCGGUGGAAGCGAAUGGAGCGGACACAAAAUAAUUAGGAUUAAAAUUAUGUUUUGUUAAUUUUCAGAAAUUUAUUUUUGGUAAUUUUGUUAUAAUGAUUUUUUCAGAUUUUAGAAUGUUUUUAUAUGGAAUAAUUUUGAAAAUUUGGGAAUAUGGUUUUACAAGUUUUAAAGUAAAACUAGGAUUAGAUAUAUUUGUAUUAAUAAAUUUGUUAAAAUCUUGAUAUUUGAUUUGGAGGAGGAUUUGAAUUUCUUAAUUUUAUUAUAAAUAGGAUCCAAACUUUUUGUAGAAGCAAAUUUUGAAGUUUACUAAUAUUUUUAUUUACUCUGGGAAGACAUUGUUUAUUCUUUUUUAAUCCUGGUUUUCUAAUUGAAUAUCACUUGAGUUUUUGGCUCAUAUAAUUCUUUGUAUUUGAUUAAUUAGGUUCUUUUUCUUCUACAAAUUCAGAUUGUCUGUCCAAAUUUGUUCCCAAGGUAUUGAAUUAUAAUUCUACAAAUUCAUAUAAUUCUUUUUCUCUGUUGAAAUUUUUUUCUCCUCCUUAAUUUGUCAAAUUUUAAGCAAUACUUAUAAUUUUAUGAAUUGAAAACUAGAAAGACCUCUCCGGCAUCCCAUGGGGCAAGUGGGGCCCACCAGAAAAAGUGGCGGGGCUCACCUGCCCAUCUUGCACGACCGUUGACUAAGAAGGAGAGAGAGAGAGAGAGAGAGAGAGCAGUAGACCUCUCUGUCUCUCUCUUUCAUCUAUAUAUAUCAUAUUAUAUUAUAUAUAUAGUAUGAUGAGUAGUAUAUAUAUAUAUAUAUAUAUAUAUAUAUUAUGAUAAAUACUGUUGAGGACUAUGAUACUUUUACAAGUAUCACUGCUAUUAGGUUUUAAGGCCAUUGGAUCUGUUUGAUUAUUAAUGGCGGCCCUUGGAGUUAAACCGCAUUCCAGCUACGAAGCCAGCCUACACACAGUCGAUCUCCAACCUCCAUCUCUCCUCCAAGGGCUAAAAACACUACACAGUAUCACCCCAUGAUACUUUACAAGUAUUCUCCCUACAUCUAUAUAUAUAUAUAUAUAUAAUAUAUAUAUAUAUAUAAUAUAAUGGAGAGAGAGGAGAGAGAGAGAGAGAGAGAGAGUGUUUUGGUUGGGUAUGCUUAUGGAAGCACGGAGGCCUCCGUGCUUUAAGUUGUUUUCGAUGUUAGACUUCGAAUGACGAUUGACUUUCCGUUAAAGUGAUUACUGAGUAUUUGAAGUACCUAGAAAAUAAUUUGCGAUUUUUCGAUAUCAAUUUGCCUAGUGAUUCGAAGGGGCUCAAAAUCAAUAAUUUAAUGGCCGUUGGUGAGCCGGUUGCAAGUUUAACCGGUCGUAGAAAUAUCCAAACUACGUGAAAUUUUAAUAGAAAUCUUUAUACUAUAUAAAAUAAGAUCAAUAUCUUUGAUCUAAAUUUUUAAUGUCAUAUCAUUACAUUUUGUGAGAUUUUUUAUUUUCCAGCCGUUAAUUUGAGCCCCUUCGAUCACUACGCAAAUGAUUAUCGAAAAAUCGCAAAAUUAUUUUCUAGGUAUUCAACAUACUCUAGAUCAAGUCUAACGGAGCCGAUCGUGAUUCGCAAGUCCAACAUCAAAAACAACUUGAAAGCACGGAGGCCUUCCCGUACUUCCAUAAGCAUACUAGCCGCACUUAAUAUAUAUAUAUAUAUAUAUAUAUAUAAUUAUAUAUAUAUAUAUAUAUAUAUAUAUAUUAUAAUUUAUUUUAUUUUUAUUUAAAUAUGUUGUUAUAUAAUAUUUUAUUUAUAAAUAUAUAAUAAUUUAUUUUCAAAAUCGAUAAAAAUAGUGUUUUUUUUCAAUUAAUUUUUUAUUUUUGUAUACUUUAGAGACCAAAAAUAGUACUUUAGUUUUCUUUUACCUAUCAAUUUUGGCCCCUAAAAUGUGCAAAAUUUUCACUUUAGUCUCCAAAUAUAAAAAUUCAAAAUUUUAAAUUUAAAUCCAGAAUUAAUCUUAAAAUUAAAAUUUUGAACUAAUUAGUAAUUAGAAUUUUGAAUUAUAAUUUGAAUUCAAAAUUUAAAUUGAAUUUUAAAUUAAAUCUAAAUUUUGAUUUCAAACUUAAAUUUUUAAAAUUUUGAUUUCAAACUUAAAUUUUGUAAAUUUUGAUUUCAAAUUUUAAUUUUUUUGUUUUGAUUUUGAUCUUUGAAUUUGCAUUCAAAAUUAAAAUUUUAUUUUAAAGUGAUAUUAAUCGCUAUAAUAAUUUACUAUUGUAUUUUAUCUUUCCGCCGCAUCGAACUUAUUAAUCGGUAACCCUUACCGAUUAGAAGCAUUAAUAUUUAAAAAUAUUAAUGCAUAAUAGGAAAAAAAAAGUGAUGUUAAUAGUUAUAAUAAUUUACUGUUGUAUUGUCUUCCCGCCACAUCGCGCGGGUCCGUAACUAGUACACAAUCAAAGUAGAGCUUUAUGAAUCAGACAUGUAGAUAGCGCAUCAUGCUCCCUACUUCCCCAUGAAUGAGCACAAGGGCACUAAAUUCAAAUAUUAUCAAUAUGACACACAAUUGCUAAUGUGAUAUGCCGCAAUGUGCCCAAAAGGAGAUUAUAUCAACUUCAACAAGAAUUAAACAUGUUAAAUUUAGUGGCAUAAUUGUAACACUUCGUACCUUCAUUUAUUUUAUUUGAAUAACAAUUCCUUUGAAAUUUGAAUUUUUUCGUAAAUAUUAACAGUUUAGAAGCUUGGUAGCAUUUAAAUCUCUAAUUUCAAUUUCCUCGAUUACUAGUGUCACCCAGCCACUCCCUCUCUCGUGCCGUACAUCCCCGACAACGACUCGUCACCCCUCGCGCGUCGCGCCUCACCCUCGCAUGCAGAUGCACUCGCGAGACCCCGUUUGUGUUAGGGAAAAAUCGCAACGAAAUUCGAUUGUCACUAAUUCUAACUAAUUUUGUAAUAAAAAUAAAUAUAUUUAACUUACAGAUAAUUGCUAAAUUCUAAAAUAUUGUGAAAGAAGAAUGCCAAAUAAUUUGAUUCGGAAGCGUGCGAAGUACUGCCCUAAGAUGUAUUCCCGUCUUUCGUGUGGAAUAAAUCGGAAACACCACCCUAAAAUACGACCGGAAUUCCUCCUUCUACGGACACGAACGCGAAAGGGAUCUCAAAGUAAGACAAAUUUCUUCUCACUGUUCUUCGUGCAUAUGAAAAUAUCUAUGUCACUAUACACUGACCACAGUAGAAGUAUAUAUAUAGAUAUAUGCAUGAAGGUAGUAGAGUUGAACGUUGGAAUUCCCAACGUUCACUUCUCCUUAAUUAGUUUCUAACAAAACGUCCGCCGAGAAUUAGACGCGCACAUGGCGCGGACGCGCACAAAGCGCAAACGUGCGCAACGUCCGCGCACGUUGCGGACUAAAUGAAAAAUAUAAUAAAUAAAAUUAUAAUUAAAAUGUAGAAAAUUAAAAAUUAAAAAGAAGUAAUUAAUAAUUAAAAUAAGAUGUAAGAUUUUGAACUUUCAUCAAUAAUUUCCUACAAAAUUCAAAAUCAGAAAAUGAGGAUUAAACUUGAAAGUCAAAUAAAUUAACAACUAAAUCAAUAAAUCACUAAAUCACUGGGUGUUUAUACUAUACAAUAGGUAAGGUGUCUUUAAGGACUUAACCUCACUUAGGGCUUGUUUGGUUCAAUGGUGGAAUUGGAAUGGAUAAUGGAAUGAGAAUGAAUUGGAAUGGUAAUUGAAAUGGCUCACUCCCCCAAAACGUUUGGUUUAUUUGUGGAUUGAGAAUUGGAAUGAGUUAUUUACAUUUUAUUGUUUGGUUCAUAUAAACUAAAAAAAUUAUAGGAUACUAUAAUACUAAUUUUACUCUCAAAUAUAAAUUUAUAUUAUUUAAAAUUUAUAAAAAAUAUAAUACUAUUCUCUAAUAAGUUUUCCAAAAAAAAUAUCAAAUUUAUUUUUAAAAACUUUUAUUGAUGUGGGUUAAGGAUAGGGUUUUGAGAGAGGAUAGAUUUUUUUUUUUUUUGAUGAGAAAGGGGUGAAGAGAAGGAGGGUGAGAUGGUCACAUGGGCUUCGAGAACUUAGUGGGCUUCCGGAAUGAAAUCUCAAUCCGGGUUAGAAGACCGGAAUCAAGUUGAAGGCUAAUGAGCCAUUCCCAUUCCAGUCCGGAAUAGGAAUCCCAAACCGAUUCAUGCGAACAAAACAAAAUUAACCGAAUUUGAUUAAACCGAUUCCCAUUCCAUACCAAAAAUGGGUGAACCAAACAAGCCCUUAGUGUAAAUAGUUUUCAUCAGAAGGAAUCGGAGUGAAUCAGGUCUUGAACUACGUUCCUUUGACCCUAACUUCAACUACCACACGCACAGUACAGAAUUCUCCGUCGCGGGUCUGUACGUUAAUGGCCAUGCACAGUACCUUAAUUUUUUAUAAGAGUUUCUAUGGACAGCCCACAUCUCAUAGCCGCGGCCACAUACGGAUACUCUUAUAUAGGUCGUUUCCUCCAAGGAUGUGUGUAGAGUCACAUCUCGAAAAAAUUAUCGCCUCGGAUCCCAUUAAGAGCUAUAAGCUCAACCUCAACCACUACACAGAGCCCUACUCACCAUAGGAAUGGAAUUGGAGCUAAAAGCUCCCCUAUAUAAAUUGUAGAAAGUGCUCUUUGGCCAACCUAGCAGCUUAUUUUUAACACAUUGAACCUUCUUCAAGAGAUCUACUAUCACAAAGGUUGGGUUCCCACUACAGGAAGGCCCUUUACGGGCAAAGUCCUAUCCCCCUCGAUGACUCCAGGACCUUAGUCCUAUUCAGACCUUUCGUCAAGCAAUCUGCAAGAUUCUGAUCAGAUCUGAUAAAACUCAAAGAAACAAUAUCAUGAGAGGUUAGCCAUCUAACAGACUUUUGUCUCAAUUUAAUAUGCCUACUAGCUUUAGAAUUUACCAAUUUCUUUUUACAAAAAUCAAUUGCAGCUCGAGAAUCACACCUAAUAGAAAUAGGUGGAAUAGGAGAAGAAAUCAAAGGAAUCGAUGAUAGUAGAUUCUUGAGCCAUUCAGCUUCAAGACAAGUAGUAUCAAGAGCAACUAAUUCAGCCUCCAUAAUACUUCUGGCUAUUAUAGUCGGUUUGGUAGAUUGCCAAGAAACUGCACAUCCACGAAGAAUAAAAACAUAACCAGAAGUGGACUUAAUAUCCAAAGAAUCAGAAAUCCAGUUAGCAUCGCUGUAUUCCUCAAUUACAGCAGGAUAGCCAUCAAAACGAAGAGAAUAUGAGAUAGUACCUUUAAGGUAACAAAAUACUCUUUUCAAAGCAAUCCAAUGAGUUAUAUUAGGGUUACUAGUAUAUCUACUCAAUCUCGAUAUGGCAUAGGCAAUAUCAGGUCUAAUCCUAUUGGUUAGAUACAUCAAGGAACCAAUAAUCUGGGCCUGAUUUACAGAAUUACCAAUGUUCUUCACAACUUGAAUACUAGGAUCAAAAGAAGUAGAAACAGGAGAGCAAUCAGAAUAUCCAAAUUUAUCAAGAACCAUUUGGGUAUAAUGAGAUUGGGUCAGAAGAAUAGAAUCAGAUGAUCUAAGAAUUUUCAUUCCUAAAAUCACAUCUGCAUCACCAAGAUCCUUCAUAUCAAAAUGAGUCAAUAAAAAGAAUUUAACUUGAUUAAUCAGAUUAAGAUCAGGUGCAAGGAUCAGGAUGUCAUCAACAUAGAGGCAAAGAAGAACACAACGAUCAUCAAAUCUCUUGAAAUAAAGACAAUUGUCAAAAUCGUUUGUCUGAAAUCCAUAUGAUUCAAUAACACUGUCAAAUUUCUCAUACCACUGCUUAGGUGCUUGUUUUAGUCUAUACAAAGAGCGGACUAAUUUACACACCUUAGUUUCUUGACUAGGCACAGAGAAACCUUCAGGUUGAGUCAUAUAGAUUUCUUUUUCAAGAUCUCCAUGAAAAAAAGCGGUUUUGACAUCCAUCUGAUGAAUCAAAAGCUUAUGAAUAGAUGCUAAUGCAAGAAGGACUCGGAUAGUAGCAAUGCGAGCAACAGGCGCAUAUGUGUCAAAGUAAUCAACUUCGGCUUGUUGUCGAAAACCUUGAGCUAUAAGCCGCACCUUACACUUCUCUACCGAUCCGUCAGUCCUAAGCUUCUUUUUAAAGAUCCACAUAUAUCCUAAAGGUUGGUUCCCAGGAGGUAAAUCAGUGAGAAUCCAAGUGUUAUUGCCAAUAAUUGACUCGAUCUCACUAUUUAUAGCCUCCUUCCAAAAAGAAGCUUCAGAAGAACUCAUAGCUUCAUUGUAUGAUGAAGGUGUACUUUCAACUAAGAAAGUAAAGAAAUCUUCACAAAAGUUCUUCUCGAUACGAGCUCUCUUGCUUCUUCUCAAUUCAGCUGGUGGGCUAGAUUCUACAGGAUCUAAACUAUAUGAUAAAUCAGAUGCAGAUAAAUGAUCGGAUGUAGAUGCAUGAUCAACUGUAUGUAUGAUCAACGUCCGCGCACGUUGCGGACUAAAUGAAAAAUAUAAUAAAUAAAAUUAUAAUUAAAAUGUAGGAAAUUAAAAAUUAAAAAGAAUUAAUUAAUAAUUAAAAUAAGAUGUAGGAUUUUGAACUUUCAUCAAUAGUUUGAUCACCGUUAUCAUCGCCAUCAUCCGUGGCUACCGCCGCCGCCGCACACCUCAUCUAUCAGCAUUUUUCGUUAGCCAUUGGCCCAUUGAUGACCUCGUCGUUUCCGUUUUUGGGAAGAUUUUUUUUUUCCAUUUUUUUUCCUACACAUAUUUUUGAGAGCAUCAAAUUUUCUUAUUCAUAUUUAUGUGGUUAUUUUUGGGUGUUCUUUUCUUGAUGUUUAGUAUUAAAAUUAUUCAAAUUUGAUUUGUAUUGAUCUAAUUUAAUGUUGAUUAUACUGUUAUUUUUUAUUCUAUAUUCCCCACAUGAUUUAGUUGUAUAAUUUCUCUACAUUCUAUAUGCUAUUCGGAAAAUGCCUAAGAGAAAGCGAAUAUCGUUUUUAUUUCUAAUUUUGAUCCCAUCUUAGUGCAGAUUGUAAAAUUAUGUUUCAAAUCCGAAAAUUGUCUUUUCAAACACUAGAAGCUUUGUUUAUUAUUCGAAAUUUCAUUUACGUUACCUUGCUCUUUUGAACAGUUUAAUUUUGAAAACUUUUCAUCCUUUUGAUUGAUAGUUGAGUUUCGUUAUGUUUAUUAUUCUAAAUCUUCUUCGUGCUCCGUCUCAACCUAUUUGAAUGUAUUUAUAAUUGAUCUUGUCAACUUAUGUGAGUCUAGCUAUCCGAAUUUAAUUGUUUAUAUAAAUUUUUCAUUCUAAAUGAUAUUGUCAUCUUUAUAAAUUUAUUUUUAGUAGUUUAUAGAGAAUCAUAGUAAUAGUGGCAUUACAAAUCAAAUACAAUUUUUCUUUUUUUGCUAACUAUUUCUGAGUAAUUAGCUGUUUCAAGAAUAAAAGAAUUAUCUCACUGUUCAUUAUUUCCGAACCAAACUGGGCCGGAGGUGCAGGAGAGAGCAAUGCCGUAGGAGAGAGGGGGAAUAUAUAAAAAGAGAGAGUGGAGAGGAGGGAAGAGUAAGAGAAAAGAAUGAGGGAGGAGAGCCGAAGAAGAAGAAAAAGAAGAGAGAAAAAAAAAAAAAAAAAAAAGGAAAAAAAAAAGAAAAAAGAGAAGGGGAUGUUCUUGUAGGAGGGGAAAGAGAGUGGGGCGGACUUGUGCUGCGGCCACGUAGGCAGCGUGAGGCGGUGAUACAAUGAGGGGAGUAGGAAAGAGAGUCCCAGAGGUAAGGCGUGGUCGGUCUCACGGUCAAUAAUACAUGUUGCAAUAAUAAAUCAAACUUAAUUAAAAUAUAAUUAUAGAUAAGUUUAAAUUUUUUAUUUGAUUAUGAUUAGGAUAUGUAAUAUAAUCCAAAGUAAAAUUAGAUUUUAUCAUCUAUUAUAAUUUGAUAGCUAUAUAUAGCUAGGCAUGAAUUAAUUAGAGAAAUAAGCUAUAGUAAAUAUGACUGUAUGAGUGUUACCCGUGUUGUAAUUAAAUAUUUUUUAUUGAUAAAAUAUUAGUUUAGUUAUCAUUUUUCUCCUCCAAAAUUAGUUCUUCAUAUUAUUUUUUUUCGAUUUUAUAUCUUGGACUAUAUAAUCAGUAUCAGUACAAAUACCAGUUCCAACAAUUGAUAUUAGAGAAAAAUCACGCUUCCAAUAAAUAUUAUCAGGGCGAAUCACGUUUACAACAAAUACAGGAUUCCACAAAUAAAAAUAAAGUUCGACAAAAUAUUCAGCCUUAGGUACCAGAUAUAACAAUGUUAUUUUGUUUGCUUCCGUUUGUAGGUUCUUUAUUUUUUUUUUUUAUUUAAACCAAUUUUCAACCGAAAGAAAUAUUUGACAAAUAUUAUUAUCAACUAUUUUUCAUAUUGAAAUUUCAUCUCAAUUUUUAUCCUCCACACCAUUUUACUGCCUCUCUCUUUUACCAUCAUCUCUUUUACCUUCAACAUGAUGGCGUAUAUAUCCAGUUAGUGGGGCAAAAAUUUUAUGAAUAUUGUGUCCAGAAAAAAUUAAUUUGGGGAUACCCUAGAUGGGCGCCACGUGUUUUGAGCCACUUCCCGACGGGCACCGUGUGGCAUCCAAGCCAUGGGGGCCAACUGUCACUAGGGGUGAAACUGGGUCCCAGCCUAAACAAGGCCCGGCCCGAUGGGCCAUGUUUGGGCCGGACUUUGGGUAUUAAAAAUAUAACUUUGGGUUCGGGCCGGGCUUACAAAUUUUGGCCCGAAAAAAUUUUGGGCUUAUUUGGGCAUGUCCAAGCCCGGCCCGAGCCAGACCCAUAAGCCCGAUAUAUUAAUUAUCAAAAUAAAAUAUUUAAUUAUAUAUAUAUAUUAUUUAUCUAUUAAAAGAAAUAAAUGAUAUAGUAUAUCAUAUAUAGUAUAUAUUGUUAUUAAUGAUAUGUACUUAUAUAUAUGAGGAUAUAUUAUAUAUUAAUUUAGUUUUAUAUUAGGAUAUAUUUGUUGUUAGAUAUUAAUUUCUUUGAUGUGAUCAAACUAAAACUAGGUAUUUUAUUUUAAUUUUAUACAAAUAAAAGUAUUUAUGUAUUAUAUGAUAAAUGCAUAAAAUGGGCCUCCACAAAGCCCGAUGGGCAUUGGGCUUGGGUUGGGCCGGGCCUUAAUUUGCAAAAAAUAUUAGGCAAAAGUCCGACCAAAGCCCAACAUUUUCAUUUGGGCCGGGCUUUGGCAUAGUAUUACCCGACCCAACCCGGCCCAGUUCCACCCCUAACUGUCAGACUUAGCGUUUUCGCCAUAAAAUUAUUCUAAGUUCCUGACACAUCGUCUGUUGCACUCCCAACAAAGGGGGCAACAGUAUUUUUUGGUGCACUGGUGCACUAUUUUUUCUUUAAAAUUUUAUUUUAUUUUUAAAUUAUAAUUUAUAUAUAUAUAUAUAUAUAUAUAAAAUAAUAAUAAUAUUUUAAAAAUAUAUGUAAAAGAAUUUAGAAUUCAGGAUUCAAAAUUAUUUUAUACAUAUUUUUUAAACAUCAUAGUAUAUAUCUCUAUUAUAUUAAAUUAUAAUUAAAAAAUAAAAAAUAAAAUUUUAGAAAAAAAAUGGUGUACCGGGUACGUGCACCAAAAAAGUCCCACUGUUCUCCCAAAAGGAAGAGCAGCAGGGGCGAUGAGCCCCGUGUGGCUCGCGUGCCACGCGGCGCCGAUCCAGCGCGUCCUCAAAUUACACUUUAUGAACAUACUGUCAAUAAAAUUUUAGUCCCAGUUAGCCUAUUCAAUAGGGUAACAAAUGUUACCAGCUUUCCUAAUAAACGAAUAUAUGCUCUGUAACUAUACCCUUUAAAAAAAAUUAAAAAUUAAAUACUGUCAUUUAUAGAUAGGGAUCGAAUUGUUAAUUUACUUAACUAUAUUAUAUCUCUACCAAAGUAAGGCCUGUUAAUAUCAACUUUCAUUUAUUACCAAUGCUAAGCUCUCGUUUGAGAUUGUAAAGAGAUUGUAUUACAUCCUAUGAGAGAAAAAUAAUUUAUUUAUAUAAUAUCGAGUUUUCCAUAUCGUAAUGAGUUAAUUAUAAUUUAUUUUUUACGAUCAUAUUCGAGAAUGGAGAAGCAUAUAUUUAUAUGUCUUUAUCCCAAUUUUAUUUUAUCUAGUUAACGUUAAAUAGGCUUCGGUACUAUAAUUUUUGGGCCAAACAUAUGUGGAUUGUGUGCACUAACUAAAAGGGCUAAGUGAGCCCAAUCAGCCCAACAUGGAAUCAAAGCGGUCCACUUACUAAUUAAGGGUUUUUCGGAAAUGCUAUUAGAUAUAAAAGAGCUUGAGGAAAAAUAUAUAAAAAUAAAAUUUUUUUGUGUUUACAGAAAGAUUUUAUCAUCACUUUUAUUCAUAAUAUACAAAAAUUAUAUUAUAACGAUUGAUUGUAAUUUACAAUUAUAUAAUUUUUUUUUUUUUUUUUUUUUUUUUUUUUUUUUUUUUUUUUUUGUGUUUUAGCAUCACUUUUAUUUAUUCAUAGUGCGUCCGAAGAAAUAAGCUUCCCACAGUAAAGCCCAUAUAUUUUGUUAUCUGUCCACAAGAAUGGUAGAGCUCAUCUGGAACACACAAUUUGAGAUGAUCCACCGCUGAUAAAUCGGGCAUUUUGUGUAUUUUAGUUCCCUCAAAAUUUUUAUUUUUACAAAUAGUUUUAACAAAUUUAUAUUUGUAUAAAUAGUCCUCUGUUUACCACGCGAGCGUCAAGGUGAUAUUUUUAUAUUGAACACGGUGAUUCAAUCACCGUGUUUUAAUACGGUAAUUGGAUCACCGUAUUCCUUUUUGUAUUUUUUUCGUCCCCAAGUUAGAAAGGAGGGACUAAAGUUUGGAUAUGAAUAUGAUAAUUCAAUCACUAUGUUUAAACACGGCAAUUUAUUUAUUGUAUUUAACUUAAAAAUAUAAACAUGACGCUUGUAUGGUAAGAAGAGGACCAUAUUGCAAAUAUAAAAUUAUUAGAAUUAUUUAUGAAGUUUUUUUUUGUUGCAGGGGUUAAAUUUGAAAAAAAUCCUGAUAAAUCAAAACAGCGAACAAUCAAAAUUGACUUACAAAUUUUGCCACUUGUAAUUGAGGGGAAACAUUGUAAUUAUACUCUGCUGUAUGCCAUGCAGUGGUUAUCCACUCCAAAUAGGGCUACAAAUGGAUUGCCGAUGGAGCUCCUGUCUCAAUUUAUUCUGAAUGGAAUGGUAAGUAAAAAUAAAAGAAUUAUAUAAAAACACAAUUCGUUCUGAAUAGAAUUAUAUAAAAAAUAAUUUGUUCUAAAUUCAUCCCACUUUGCUAGCUAAAUAGAGCGAAAGGUGGAAAACUCUUAUCUUAUCUUCUUUUGAUCCAUUCCAAUCAACCAAAACCAAAAACAAUCCGAUCCGUUCAAAAAAGACAUAAUAAAUAAAUAUAAAAAAUAAAAAUAAAAUUAAACAGAUCCGACAACAAAUGGAGGGAAAGGUUGCGGACGCCUCUCAGCCACCGGAUGUGCAUUAUUUGCAUCCCUAAUUCCAAGAGAUAUUUUCUUGCUCGCAAACAAGCGGCUGUCCCUACGUGUACAGCAGAGCGAAGCUCUAGAUUGUUCCAUACAGAACCGACACGUGUCCAUUCAGCUCGGCUCACGACGUUUUUCUUACCACAAUUUUUUUUCUUCUUUAAAGUAGCUCAAAAUUCGAAUUUAAGCCGAAAUGUACUGGUCAUGGUCAAGCAAGUUUUAAGAGCUAAAGUCCUCUUCUAAACUAAUAUUUAAUCUAAUCAUUUCAAAAACUAUUUUCUUCUGGUCAAUGACUUGUCUAAAUUUCUAGAAUAUAUAAUGACAUGCCAAGUAUAAAGUUUGAAAAAUAAUUUAUAACUAGACCGAAGUAUUUUUUUUCUAGAAUAUAUAAUGACAUGUCAAAGUGAACAAUUAAUAUAAGUUUCCAUCAAAUAAUUUAAACUAGAUAAAUUAAAAAAAUUUGAUACUAAAAUUAAAAUAUUGAAAGAUUCAGGAUUAAAUUAUAUUAUAUAUAAUAAGUUUAAAAUAAGUUUUCUGCAUUCUUAUUUAUUAUUAUUUAUUAUUAAUAAUAAUUAUUAUUAUUAUUUAUUUUUGGCUCGCCGAGAGUCAACCGGGUAGAGCCGGUAGCCUCCUCGCCCCUCUUCCCGUUCUAUAUAAGGCAGGCCAGCAGCUCAUCUGCCUGAUCAUGCUUCAGGUUAAUGCAUCACCGCUCGCUUAAAAUAUUUCCAAUCUGACGCACGGCUUGCAGCUCAUCUGCCUGAUCAUUUUUUUCUGGUUCUGCCGUUGAAGCGUCCAGAUGGGCAUCAGGCUGCAGGCGGCGGCGGCGACGCUGCAGGGGAGCAUGCGGGUGGCGUCGAAAUCGGUUGCCGAAGCCUCCUCGAAAUCGGUUGCCGAAACCUCCUCCGCGGGGUCGAAGCGAGUGAGACGAAUCCCCGGCAGGGUCGUCGCCGGCGCUGAGGAUCAGCAUGACCAUGAGCGGAGGCGGUCCGAGGAGGCGCUGCGCACCAUCAUGUAUUUGAGCUGCUGGGGGCCCAAUUAAUUAAGCUAAUUAAAUAAAUUUACAUGCCUGUUUAAAUAGCACAAGGAGCAAAUGAACUGGCACGGUACGCUGGAAAUUAAGUUCGUGUUUGUGUGCGCGCGCAUGUAUGUACGUAUAAUAUAUAUAUAUAUAUAUAUAUAUAUAUAUAUAUAUAUAUAUAUAUAUAUAUAUAUAUAUAUAUAUAUAUAUAUAUAUAUAUAUAUAUAUAUAUAUGCCAUCUAUGUUUCAUGUGUGCGUGUAAUUUAGUAUAUGUAUACAGUAUGCAUGCUGUGGUAGAGUAUGCAUAAGCUAUUAAUCUUGAUUACUUAUUAUUAGGGAACUGUGAUAUAUAAACCCUUUGUACAAGGUUUCGCUGGCUUGUUCUAAAUUGUAGUUGAGUACUGAGGGAUAUUUCAGCCUAUCCAAAAGUAAUUAAUUGUUCCCAGCCAGUUUAUUUUAUUUUAUUUUAUUUUAUUUUAUUUUUUUCAGUUCUUUUCUUGAGGUGAAGUUCACUUGUAGUAUUGCAAUAAAAAGUAAAUUAAGCUUUACUGUAUUCUCAUGAUGGAGUUCUAGGUUGUUGUAUAGUUUUUCAGGAAGGCGAUGAUCGAGCAAAAUCCAGUGCAAAUUAAGAAAUUAAGAGAAAAUCAUAGUAUUUCUUAAAACCAAGCAUACAGAAAAUAUAAAUGACAAUAAUUCAAAUCUAUGUAAGAAAGGAGAAAGGGGAAGAUAUAUUUAUCGGUUUUCGGAAUAUAAAUAUCAAGCCUUCAAAAAAUUAAGUUUAUAAUGGUCAGGAUCCAAACCCCACGGUUCGAGUUGAGACCACUACAUCUCCAUAAAAAUCAAAUUUACGGGUGUACAAGAUUUUUAAUAUCACAACUCAACUAACGACAAUAUAGAGUUUACAUGGGUAAACCGUAGUAUAGCAAGAUCUUACAAGAUAAAGCUCGCUUUUAUUUAUUCCUGAUCUUUCUCUUCCUAUUUGGGCAGAUGUAACAAUCACCCCUUCUUAAUUCGAUCCUUGUACCCAAGGAUCAAAAGAAGGGAAUUGGCUCGUAAGAACCCCAUAAUCUUCCCAUGUAGCGUGCUCCUCAAAAAGAUUUACCCACUUUACUCGCACCUCGGUAGCCGCCUUGUCCCCGCGCCUUACCAUUCUCCUUUCCAAGAUUUUCUCAGGCUCUGUCAGCAGCUCGUCGUUCUCGUCCAUAGUUGGUACUCUCGGGGAUACCUGGACUGCUAUUGGGGGACUUUUCUUUAGAAGGGAGACAUGGAAUUAACACUGGGUGAACUCUUGAUCCUUCAAGUAAUUGUAAAUUAUAAGCGACUGGCCCGACGAGCUCCAAAAUUCUAAAAGGCCCAUAAUACCUUGCAGCAAGUUUUAUAUGUCUCCUUAUGGCCACAAUAGUUUGCCUGUGUGGCUGUAAUUUGAGAUAUACCCAAUCCCCCACUGCAUACACCUCCUUCCUGUGUCGGUCCGCCUGUUGUUUCAUUCUGCUUUGAGCUACCUGUAGCCAAUCCUUCAACUCCUUAGUUAGCCUUUCUCUGUCCUCGGCCCAUCCCUUAAAAUCCUGAGAGGUAACUGAAUCGACAGUGGCCACCAGGUAAUUUGGAAGGGAAUGCCCAUAUAAAGCUUCAUAUGGGGUCAUGCCUAUAGACAAGUGGAAGUUGGUGUUAUACCACCACUUGGCUAAGGCUUAACCAGGAAUGCCAUCUUUUUGGAUGUUGAAAGCACAUACACCGUAAGUAGGUUUCUAGACAUCUAUUAACUCUCUCCGUUUGGCUGUCGGUUUCAGGGUGGUAAGUCGAGCUCAUGUGCAGUUUGGUGCCCAUCGACCAAACAGUUCCUUCCAAAAUUGACUUACGAAUAUUUUAUCCCUAUCUAAGACUAUCCUCUUUGGGCACCCGUGUAGCUUACAAAUUGUUCCCAUAAAUGCUUUAGCUACAUCUGAGGCAGAGAAAGGGUGUUUCAAUGAAGUGAAGUGAGCGUACUUCGUGAGUCUAUCUAGUACCAACAUAAUUGUGUCUUUCCUUGCAAAUUUAGGUAACGAUUCUAUGAAGUCCAUACUUACAUCUUCCCAUACUUAGUGAGGGAUAGGUAAAGGUUGCAACAACCCUGAAUAAGGGGUUUCAUCCACCUUAUUUUGAGCGCAUAUAGUACAUCCUUUCACCUACCCUUCUACCUCUCCUUUAAUCCAGGCCAAAACAAAUGUCGUUUAAUCCUUCUGUAAGUAUUAUGUAUACCUAAAUGGCCACCCAAUGCGAAAUUAUGCAUUUGAUCAAGAAUCCUUCUUCUCAACUACCCCAUUUCUCCAAUAUUUAACUUGCCUUUGUACCUUAGUAGUUCAUUGCCGUAAAAGUGGUGCCCCUGGGUGGUUGGUUGUAGAGUUAAUGCAUUUAUCAUUUUCUCAUAGUGCUGGUCUCCCUUAUAACUCUCCACCACCUCUUGUAUCCAGGUUGGUAUCACCGCAGUUAUGGUUAAAGCAAUCCCUUCUUCUUCCCCCUCUCCUAGAAAGUGCAUCUGCCGCAGCAUUCUCUUUACCUUUCUUAUAUUGAAUGGUGUAAUUAAGGCCCAUUAGUUUCAUCAUCCCCUUUUGUUGCAGUGGUGUUGAUAUCCUUUGCUCUAAAAGAUGUUUCAAACUUUCAUGGUCUGUUUUAAUCACAAAGGUUCCCGUGCUUAAAUAAUGCUUCCACUUUUGUACUGCCAUGAGUAUAGCUAGGAAUUCUUUUCGUAUGUCGACUACCCAAGAUAUUUACCCCCAAUCGCUUUGCUCAAAUAAGCUAUUGGCCUCCCAUUUUGGGACAUUACUGCCCCUAUUCCUAUGUUGCAUGCAUCCAUCUCUAUAGUGAAAGGUUGAUCAAAGUUGGGCAUUGCUAAUACUGGAGCCCUAAUCAUUGCAGCCUUCAGCUCUUCAAAUGCUAGUUGGGCCACUUAGUUCAGUCAAGGGUUUACUAAUUUUUCAUAUCCUUUAAUGAAUUUCCUAUAGUACCCGGUCAUAGUAGCCUUCAGCUCUGCAAAUGGUGUCUUUACCGCCUUUGCUUUACUCAUGCCAAACUUGUAUAUCAACUUUUCUACAAAUCUCUUUUAUGAAAGUGACAAUGUGCCAUUUUGCCUAUCCGGCCAAAUCUCCAUGCCAAGAAUUUGACGUGCCGGUCCGAAAUCUUUUUCUUCAAAGGCUUUACUGAAUUCAUCCUUGAGUUCAUUGAUCUUAGCUUGUCCUUGCAUACUAUAAGCAUGUCAUCCACAUACAACACCAAAACCAUAAAGGUACCACUACAACAUUUUGUAUUAAAGGUGGCUUUUAUGGAUACCUAUAGUAGCUUUAUGAAAAGCCGCAAUAAAAAGUACUGACUUUUCUAAAAAAGCCACAGAAAAAGCUGGUGAAAACUGAGUCGGUAUAGGUCUAUGUCAAUAUAACGACAUCUUAUAAAAGCCGCAUUUUAGUGCCUAUAGCGGCAUAUUGAAAGCCACUAUUAGCAUUUAAAUUGUGGCACUAUUUGUAAUGUACCAGAUUUUAAUACAAAAUUAAGUGUAAAUAAAAAUAGUGUAAGAUACUAUUUUUAUUGGACUUGAAGAAGAAAAGUAUAAGUCGGAAAUGACUUAUGCUGAAAUCGGAAUAAAAACAGGAGAUUUAGAAUUUUCUGUGAGAAACGGAAUUGGUAUUUUUAGCAGAAAAUUCAAAGUGUCAGAAAAUUAUAAAAAUCUGAGAAUAUGUCAAGAUUAUUUUUAUGAGGUUAGAUUUAAAGUUUCAUAUCAUUCUGACACCCAGAAAGUAAAAAAUAAAAUCUGACUACUAUCUGCUAGAGAUUACAGUUCGGUAGGAUUUUCGGUGACCAAAAAUGGUCCAAACUGGAAAGUUAAGAUAUUUUCUUUCUUAUUAGCUUAAACUGAGCCUGACUGUCAAAUUUGAGCGCAAACGGACAUUCAGAAGGGCUCCGGUAAAAAGGAACAGAUUCUGAGCUGCUAAACUGCUGGUUGUAAUAGUGUUUUGAGGGUGUUUACUAUAAAUGGAGCACUUGUCUCCUUCUUCUCCUUCAGCCGAGCACCACCAGCACCACCACACACACACGUAUGGAAUGGAGGAGAGAGAAAUCCUCCCUUUCUCUUUCUAAAUAUCUCCCUCAUCUCUCUAGAUCUCUCUCUCAAAUUCGCGGCGUUGGCGGAGAACGAGCUUGGGAACGCGUGAGUAGCGUCGGAUCGGGUCUUCAUGCGCCCGGUUGAGCGGCGUGCUUCCGACUCGGCGUUCAAUAUUUGGUAAGUGUUAGGAUUUUGGUUAAAUCCUUAAUACUUGAUGUUCUAGUAGCCUCUAAUGUGAUGUUAACAUGUUUUCUCCAUUUAAUUUGGGUUAUUUGGAGCGUUGGUAGAGGCUAGGGUUAGAAAGAGGGUUUGAAAAUUAGAGAGUUUGGAUCUAAUAAAACCCUAUUGUUCUCUAAUUGAAGGUUAGAGACGAGCCGUUGAUGACCCUAGGUCGCGGAUUAACGGACGUUCGGCGAUCGAUUGCGUAUUCGAGCCGAACCGGGUAUCGUGUGCCGCGGGAGCUCGAUUGCUAGUGUCGACAAGCAAUCGGAGAGUGUUGCGAGGUGGGUUGUGCUCACUGAAAUGUUCAGCUCACUUCCAUGUCGAAGCGAAGUAAUGUUUAUUAUUGAUGCAUAUAAUGAUAGUUGGUUGAAGAACAUAUGAAUGCAUAAGUGAAUGCUAUGUUAGACUACCAUUGGGUAUAUGAUGAUAUAUUGUAAAAGUGCUAGAUGGAAUGCAUGAUUACAUAAUGCUAAAUGAAUGCAUGAUGAUAUGUUAUAGAAUAUGCUAGAUGAUAUGCAUGUUGACAUAUAUGGAUUAUGUUAGAAGAACUAUGCAUGUUGACAUAUAUGGUUUAUGUUAGAAGAACUAUGCAUGUUGAACUUGGGUCGAUAACUCUAGGUGGAUUUGAGAAUUCGACUGUCACGCCCCGGGACCCGGCAUAGGCCCGCUCGGUGCGCGCCCAGACCCGCCAUAUGUCUACACAUAUAAGGCGUCUACACAAAAGCGGAAGAGUAAAGCAUGAGAAGAUCUACGACUAGAGAUAUCAGAGCAAGUAUAUAGCUAGGUUCUAACAUUAGGUAGAAUCAAAAGAAAAUCAUACUACUAAGCAUAAANAGCAAAAACCACCUAAAAACCAAGAAAAAGGAAGAUGAAAUCCAAAAUGAGGCAAGGAGGAGCUCUCUCACCUGUUUCCUCUGAGUUCUGGGCUCAGGAAACCAAAGGGGAGGCGUGGGGUAUCAUAUAGAGGUGCAACACUGCAAAAACACCCCUGCAGUUCGAACUGUUCGAAAACUGCCAAAGUGUACCGGUACACGGGAAAGUGUACCGGUACACAUCCUACGAAAAUGCAAAACCGAGGCUCGGGUUCGAAAUUCGCCGCAAGUGUACCGGUACAACCAUCAGAAGUGUACCGGUACAAAAUGUGUACCGGUACAGCCAUCGACCUGUCACCGGUUACACCUCGUGCAGAAUGCAAUCCGAGGGUAGGCUAAGUCCAACUCUUUAGUGACCUUAGCGCUACAUAAAAAAACUACAAUUCUCGGGAUUCGAACCAUAGGUCGGAACACUGUCAACGACCGACCAGAAAAUCUGGAAAAGCUCAGGACACAGUCCAAAUACUCGAACCUCGCAAUUUGCAAAGGUCCAAUGUGUUACAUCGACAUUGGAAAAUAAGGACAUAUGAACUAUGAUACUCGAUGUGAACAAUUAGGAUGUCAAUUAGAUCGAGUGGCAUUUGGAACUAGUGUAGUAAAAACAUUAUGAUAUGAACAUAGGGAUAAAAGAAUUCCCGAGUCGUUGUGAUAUGACUUAUGAAUCUAGUGUAGUAGAAACACUAUGACAUGAACAUAGGGAUAGUAGAUUUCCCGAGUUGUCAAGGUGGCAUUUGAAUCUAGUGUGGCAGAAGCACUAUGACCCUUGUAGACUGGGUAUCCUCUGUAGACGAGGAUUAGAUCAUACUCACUUAGUCUGUUUUUCGCUUGGGGUGGUCGCUUCACACAAGCAGUGGUCUCCGGAGAUGUCACACUAGGGGAAGACGUAGUUGUCCCGGAAACGGUCUCGGUGUGCGAGUGCAGAUUCUCCUCACCUAUGAGAUUUUCAAAGUGAGUCGGGGCUUAACCUUUUGGUUAGCCAGUGAGAUUGAGUGACAUUCUUGUGAGUGAAUCCCAGCAGAGUGGAUUGGCAUCCCAGUUGGCGUCCCAGUUGAGUGGAUUGAAGGCUGAGGUGCAUGUGAGACGUCCUUCACCUCGAGCCUAGUUUUACGCGGUAUUCCGCAAAUGAUUGACUCAAGACCGAGUCAAGUAGAUAGCUUGGUAAAGGUAGAUGAAACCUUGUGAGCAAACAGUAAAGAUAGAUGAAACCUUAUGAGCAGAAUUGUAACUGACAUGAAUCUAAGAUAGAGGAAAACUUAGAUGUUAUUUGGAUGAGCUAUGGAUAGCGAGACAGAAAGUAGAAGCAGUUGAUCUACUUGUAUUCUUGCACGUUGAGUUGCAUGACUUACAUUGAUGCAUGUUGAGUUGCAUGAUUUCCAUUGUUGCAUGUUGCGAGGCAUGAACGUGAUAAUGUUAGUUGUAUAAAAUAUUUAAUGAAAAAGAUGUAUAGCUGUGGAUAUCUGUUGGACUAACAUGUUUGCAGUGCCUCCUUCGCACCUGGUGGAUUGAGCUCUUUCUUUGGGUGGCCGUACCCACUGGGAACUAUGGACAAUAGUUCUCACCCCACGUGGUUUUGGGGUUUCAGGUUCACACGCAACCGGCGCCGUGGCGCGAGGAAAGGGCGUAGCUUCGUAGAUAGCGCCCUACCACUGAGACCAGAGAUAGCGGUACCCCGAGUCAGCCUACCUAGGGGUGUAGAAAAAGAAGGAAAGCAUUAAUUGUGUAAUCUUGAUUGUAUUUGAAAGAAAAGAAAAUGAAAAUGUAAUAUAUAAAUAGCAUAUGAUGUGAAUGCUCGUAAUAGUUUAGUUGUUUUAUGUUUUUGAUACUUCCUUAUGCAAUUUGUGAUUGAAUAUUUUUCCUAGUUGGAACCUCUUGUAUUAUAUUGAUUGCGACGCCUAGGACAUAGAGGGAAAACUCUCUCCGUUCGGCGGUCUGUCGGCGGGCCCGAAUCCGACCAAAUAGACGGAUCUCGAGGCGUGACACUAUUACAGCCGCCUUUGAUUAUCUAUAGUGGCUUUUUGCCACAAUAUUGCAAUUUCUACCAUUUUUAAGAGCUAUGACAUUUAAAAAGCUGUGACGCCCUAGCUUCCCAGGAGGUCACCCAUCUUAGGACUACUCCCAUCCUAGCACGCUUAACUCUCUUAACCUCUUGGGGCUUGCCACCACCCAAAAUGCUUAAGCCGGGUUAAGAGUUUAGCCCUAUUAUAUCUCAUAUAUAGGACUAUCUGGGGUCUCACAAUCUCCCCUCCUUUAAGCCCUGACGUCCUCGUCAGGCUCAGACUCACAAAUACCAGGCGAUGUGAGACUCAUCUCGCUAGCCCGUCAUCCAGACCCUGGCUCAGCCGAGACUCAUCUCACACUUCCAGCUGGUAAUUGGCUCUAAUACCAUCUGUGACGCCCCAGCUUCCCAGGGGGUCACCCAUCUUAGGACUACUCCCAUCCUAGCACGCUUAACUCUCUUAACCUCUUGGGCCUUGCCACCACCCAAAAUGCUUAAGCCGGGUUAAGAGUUUAGCCCUAUUAUAUCCCAUAUAUAGGACUAUCUGGGGUCUCACAAAAGCCGUCUUUAAUUAGUAUAGCGGCAUUUGGUGUGCCACAAUACUAUAAUUUUUGUGGCUUUUUUUAUGCUGUUAAUAGAAUUAUGUUGUGGCUUUUUGAAAGUUGUUAAUAUGCAUAUACAAUGACUUUUUAUAAAGCUACAAUUGAUUGAAAUAUAUGUACUUUUUAAUAUGUAUAUUAGCUAGGGAUAGUAGUUGUAUGGAAGAUACAAUAUAAAAAUGACACAUUCAUAGCAAAAAAAGUUGUUUCAUUCAUAUAUAAGUCAAGAGUAUCGAAUGAAGCCAAAAUACUAAUUGUUCCUCACAUCCUCAGCAUCAAUAAAAUGAUAAAAAACUAUAAGAUCCAAAAUCAGGUUGUUAGAAAUGACACAGUAGCUCUAAACAUAAAAUGAUGCUAAAGGGCAUAGUAGGUCCAAAUACAAAAGAAAUGAUCAAGUAUCAUGUCACGCCCUGGAUUACUCAUUUUUCCGGGCACGCCAUCAGACCCGCCGUAUACAUAGGAAUUUUUUUCGUACACGAAGCGAAGCUGUAACUGUACCUGUAAUAAUACAACACUACAACCAGUAGUAUAGAACUGCUAGGAAAAAUGAACAUGGGUAUAUAAUAAAAAUGGAUCAGCACAUACACAGUGUCCUGGUACAAAAACACUCGCUCCAGUGAGGUAUAACAUCAGUAUGUAAUGAACCAAAAACUACAACUACCGGUAGCUGGUACUCUACUAGCUCUGGCUCGUCUGGUAGGGCUCUAACUCGCGACGCCCUUGCCACGAUCAGGAUGAGCAGCAGCCGACAACGACGGCUCUGCAAAACGAAAAAGAACAACUGGGCGUGAGAACUACUGUAAAAACAAGUAGUCCUUAGUGGGUGCCGCCCUCAACAUCAUCGGUCCACCCACUAAGUCUACAGAAGGGAGCUGGGAUAGUACAUAAUGCUGGAACAAAUCUACAGCUAAGAACCAUCAUACUAUCAUGCUCUAACACUAACAAUCUGUAGAAAAUGUCAAUUCUGACGCAAUCUCACUCGGGACUGUAACCGUACCCGUCUCAGGGACUGUGAAAACACCCGUCCCGCCUGUCGAAGCUAAAGCUACCUCCACACUAAGCAGUCAGUGGAUAGCAAGUCCAAACAGGACACCUCGACAUCAACGCAGAAGCACUAAGCCCGACUCCGGAGUGGCACUCGUGGGCGCUACUCAACCGAGUAUGCAAGCGUAUCUCUGUCGAGCUCAAUCAGGCUCUCGGAGACUAUAGUCAAGUAUACCGGGUCCAACUGGUCUAACAACCAACGAGUCACGUGCCCUCGACACAAUUUGAUGCCAAAACGGCAAUCUGAGUCCACCAUCAAUCCCGACCGCCCCCAACAGUCCGGAACAGGCUCGGCAUCCCAGCACGAGCUUAACAGCAAUCUACACUAUCUGAGGUAUCCACCACACUGAUACUGCGGCGAUACUAAAUAACAGCGGCUCCUAAAGCUAAAUCUAAUAGUGUAAGCAUAUAACGGGUCAGAAUCGCGGAUUUUUUCCUAAGCCAAAUCCAAGUCCGCAUGUAUAAGUCAUCCACCAAUAAUAUUAUGCUCCAAAUUCAGUUUAUAUGUCAAAGACAUGAACAAUCCACGAAUUCGAGCUAUCACACAUGAAAUGCAUAACAAAAAAUAUACAUGCCGUUAACCGAGACUUUAGGAGUAGAAAUCCGAUGUUAAACCCACCUCAAAAGCUAAUCCAACUCCGGCGCGACGUCGAGAAUGGCGGAAUCGCACCCUCGCCGGACCUCCUCGCGAUGCUACGGCAACAAACGUGCGCUCGAACGGCUCCGCGACGCGACGUCGGUGACGAAACACUCUACCCGAGCUCCUCCUUGCUCGGCCGAUGCUAGAGAGAGAGGGAAGAAGAAACACAUUAACCUUCUUUCUCAGCUCCUCUCAAUCCUAUAUAAGCGAUGGAGGGAAGUGGUGAUGUGAACGAGGCACGAAAUGACCAAAACACCCUCUCACCUACCCUGGUGUACCGGUACACGAGCAAGUGUACUGGUAGAAAUGGCAACUCGAGAGCAGCUGCGCAAAAUCUGUCGAAGUGUAGCGGUACACCCCUGAUGUUGUACCGGUACAGAAAGUGUACCGGUACACCUUGAUGGUUGUACCGGUACAACAAGCAGAAAAUCUGCUGUUUGCAGAUUCCAAUGCCAAGUCCUGCUCUCGCGUCCCCGCUGAGUCCGUUUUGCGUCUAUUUCGCGCCAACGUGACUCGUACUUGUCCCGACACUCUCCAGAGCUGUCGACAAGCCUCUUUUGCUGAACACCAGGGAUACCACAUCCUCCCCCACUAUAAAAAGUUUCGUCCUCGAAACUUAAACAUACCUCAGCCCUGGGCAUCGAACAGAUAGGGAUAGGACUCCCUCAUCACCGUCUCAGGCUCCCAAGUCGCCUCCCGCUCCUCGUGAUUACUCUACUGUACUUUUAUAUACGGGAUGACCCGAUUCUUUCGUCUCCCGAGCAAGAAUCCGCAGCGGUCGCUCCUCGUAUCUCAGAUCCUUGCCAAUCUCUAGUUGAGUGAAGUCGAUCACGUGAGAAAGAUCGAACACAUAUCUCCUCAAUGCCGAGAUGUGGAAGACAUCGUGGAUACCGGCUAGUCGAGGAGGUAGAGCAAUCCUAUAAGCAACCGGUCCUACUCGCUCCAAUACCUCAAAAGGGCCAACGAAACGUGGACUGAGCUUUCCACGUACUCCGAAUCUACGAAUCCCUCUGGAUGGUGAGACUUUGAGAAAAACAUGAUAUUCAACCUGGAACUCUAAGUCUCGUCUCCUGGUAUCGGCGUAGCUCUUCUGGAGGCUCUGGGCUGUUAAAAGGUGUCGUCGAACAAUGAAAGUUUUGAGGAGCCCAAGGAUCUAUCUAGGUUGUAUCUAUCACCUAGAGGGGGGUGAAUAGGUGAACUAUAAUUAUACAGCUAAACUAGAGGCGAAGCGAACCUCAAGAGAAGGAACCAAAAGAUGCUAUGAGGAUUCGCUUCCUAGUGGUAUUAGUACUACGAGAAGUACUUGCCGCAGCACCUAAGCCGCACUUGUUUCCGCCAAGCACCUAAGCCUAGCAACCGAGCACCUAAGCUCACCGCAGCACCUAAGCCGCACUAACUUCGAAGCACCUAAGCUUCACCUCCGCAAGCACCUAAGCCUGCACUCCCGCACCUGUUGGGCCUCCCAUCGCGCUUCUAAGUAUCCUCCAAUUCUCUCCAAUUCAAGCACCUCAGCCAUUAGUGGAACAUUAGAAAAGAAAAUCACUUAACAAAAAGCGCACAACCAGGGCACCCAAAAAGAGGUUCAACCUCAAAGGGGUGCAUUUAGAGCCACACGAAAAAUAAAAGGCGUAAAUAAAAAUAACGUAGCUCUAAACACCAAAAACCGGCNUUUGAUGAAAUCUGAGCCUCUAGGGUUUCUCAAUUAUGUAUUCUUGUGAUGCUUAAUCAAUUAGAGAACCCCUAUAGCUUAUUUAUAGACUUUAGAAUCAAAACAGAGUAGGAUUAGAAAGUUUCUUUCCAAAAUCAGCACCUUGUACCGGAACAAGGAAUGUUGUCCAGGGUACAGCAUGACGGAAGAUUUUUCUGCGAAGCUCCUGUACCCUGGAUAGGCUGUUGCUUGUUCCGGAACAGGGCUUGUACCGGUACAGCAUGAAGCUUGUACCGGAACAACCAUCAAACUUUCUGCGCAACGUUGAUGGCUGUACCCUGGACAGAAAAUCCUUGUACCGGUACAGCAAUGCAAUUUUCGCUGAAACUGCAUUGUUUUGGAUUUUACAAACUCUUAGAAACUUUCUUAAUCAAUUACAACUUGAAAACAUGAUUCUAAGAUCUAUAAUUAAGUAUGAAUCACCAUAAACAAGAUUUAAAGCUUACCUACGCAUUGUGAUUCAUGUUUUACGUGUUUUGCAUCCUUUCCGAUUCUUCGAAGUCUUGGAUUGUUCGAUCUUCAAUACUCCGCUCCGAACUUCUUCAAGACUCCGACUCGACCCACGAAACUUGCCAACACAUAGGACCUAACAAACAAUUCUUAUCUUUUCCUCAGUCUCAAGCAAGAUCUCAGGCCCUAGUGUCCUCCUCUCACCUACAUCACUCCAAAACAAAGGGGAUCGACAUCUGCGUCCAUACAACGCCUCAAAUGGAGCCAUCUGGAUGCUUGUUUGAUAGCUGUUGUUGUACGCAAACUAGCCAGUCUCAAAUGUCGAUACCACCCUCUUCCAAAAUUCAGGAUGCAUGCCCUCAGCAUGUCCUCCAGAGUCUGUAUGGUCCUCUCUGACUGACUAUCUGUCUGUGGGUGAAACGCCGUGCUGAAAUGCAGCUGUGUACCCAAGGCUGUCUGAAGACUCCGCCAAAAGUGUGAAACAAACCUCGGGUCCCUGUCCGAUACAAUCGAUAUCGGCACACCAUGCAGCCUGACGAUCUCAUCCAAGUAUAACUGCGCGAGUCUCUCUUUGGACCAGGUGGUCUGAACUGGUAGGAAGUGAGCAGACUUAGUCAGUCUGUCCACUAUCACCCAAAUAGCAUCGAAACCACCCUGUGCUCUAGGCAACCCCACGACGAAAUCCAUUGUGAUCUGCUCCCAUUUCCACUCGACCACUGACAGACUUUGCAGCUUGCCAGCAGGUACCUGAUGCUCUGCCUUUACCUGUUGGCAAGUCAAACAAUGAGCCAUAUAUCUGCCAAUGUCUCUCUUCAUUCCAUUCCACCAAAAAUGUGCCUUUAAAUCCUUAUGCAUCUUAGUUCCACCAAGGUGAACUGUGUAAGGUGAAUAAUGAGUCUCUCUCAAAAUAUCCUCUCGAAUCUCAAAAUUCAUAGGCACACACAGUCGGUACCUAUAUCAUAGUACUCCCAAACUGUCCACAACAAAACCCUCUGCCUGUCCCGUAUCCAACUGCUCUCGAAUCCUCAACAAGUGUGGGUCUCCACUCUGUUUCUCUCGGAUCCUAUCCAACAGAGUGGGCUGCAAGACCAUAGACAUCAGUCUUGCAGUAGGCCCCGGGGACACAAUUUCGAUCCUCAACCGCUGCAGUUCCUCGAGUAACGGUCUCUGCUGUGUGAUCAUCAAACUCAAGCUCUGCACUGCCUUCCUGCUCAACGCAUCUGCCACCACAUUCGCCUUGUCGGAAUGAUACUGAAUACUAAUGUCAUAGUCCUUCAGUAACUCCAACCAUCAGCAUUGCCUCAAGUUCAACUCCCUCUGGGUGAGCAGAUACUUGAGACUUUUAUGAUCAGUGAAAACCUCACAAUGCUCGCCGUACAAGUAAUGACGCCACAACUUCAAAGCAAAGACUACCGCGGCAAGCUCCAAGUCAUGCGUAAGUAAUUCUUCUCAUAAUCCUUUAACUGUCGUGAAGCAUAAGCAAUUACCCUACCAUGCUGCAUCAGCACACAGCCCAGCCCGCUGUGCGAUGCAUCACUGUAAAUCACAAAUCCUUUCCCCAUCACAGGUAGGGCAAGAAUAGAAGCUGACGUCAACCUCUGUCUCAACUCAUCAAAGCUCCUCUGAUAAUCCUCACUCCAGAUGAACCGAACCCUCUUUCGAGUCAAUCGAGUGAGGGGUGUGGAAAGCUUCGCAAAGCCUUCCACAAACCGACGGUAAUAACCAGCAAGUUCCAGAAAACUCCUCACCUCUGUCACCGUCGUCGAUCUGGGCCAAUCCCGAAUAGCAUCGAUCUUCUUCGGGUCCACUGCUACUCCCUCUGCAGAAAUCACGUGGCCCAAGAAAACAACCUCCCACAACCAGAACUCGCACUUCUUUAACUUGGCAUACAACUUCUUCUCUCGCAGAAGUUGUAGCACAGUCCUCAAGUGCUCCUCAUGCUCGGCAUCACUCCGGGAGUAUAUCAAAAUAUCGUCGAUGAAGACUACUACAAAUCUAUCCAAGAACGGCUUGAACACUCUGUUCAUCAAAUCCAUAAAUGCAGCAGGAGCAUUCGUCAAUCCAAAAGGCAUCACCGUAAACUCAUAAUGCCCAUACCAAGUCCGAAAAGCCGUCUUGGGAACAUCCUCGGCCCUCACCCUCAGCUGGUGGUAACCUGACUGGAGGUCAAUUUUCGAGAAGACACAAGAUCCUUGCAGUUUAUCAAACAGAUCAUCAAUGCGCAGCAAAGGAUACUUGUUCUUGAUGGUCACUUUAUUCAGCUCCCGAUAAUCCACACAUAACCUGAGCGAACCAUUCUUUUUCUUUACAAAUAACACCAGCGCUUCCCAAGGUGACACACUGGGUCUCACAUACCCCGUACCCAUCAGAUCCUAAAGCUGUGCCUUUAGCUCUCUCAGCUCCGCUGGUGCCAUCCGAUACGGUACCUUUGAGAUUGGUGCAGUUCCAAGAACUACAUCAAUCACGAACUCAAUCUCCCUCUCCGGCGGCAUCGUCAUCAACUCUAGGGGAAACACAUCUGGAAACUUGCGGACUACAGGAAUAUCCUCGAGUCCCGGCGCCGCCGUAGAUACCUCUACAACAGUUACUAGAAAUGCCACACAUCCUCUACUCAUCAUCUGUCGAGCACUCGUUGAAGAUAUCCAAGUGGCAAACAACGUGCUCCUGCAGCCCCUAAAAGUGAACUCCUCCUGGCCUGGCUCGCGGAACGUCACCAUCCUCGCUCCACAAUUAAUAGUAGCAUAGUACCGCGCCAGCCAGUCCAUACCGAGCACAACGUCAAAGUCCUGCAGCUGCCCUAACACCAACAGGUCUGCGGGCAUGAUCCACGAAUCCAACUGCACCGAACAUGACCAACAACACUCUGCAACCUAUAACACAUGGUCGGGGAUCUGCACCUCUCGUGCCUGUGACAACGCCCCUAACUCUAGACCAUGCAACAAUGCAAAUGCUCGGCUAACAAAGAAAUGUGAUGCACCGGUAUCAAAUAGAGUGCGAACUCUAAUGCCAUAAAUCAAAGUAAUACCUCCCACUACUCGGUCGGCUGCUGUAGAGUCCUCCACCUGGGCUGCAUAGAACCGCCCACUCGGCGCCUGCUGCCUCCGCUCACUCUGACGGGGCAUGGACGAUCUAUCCUCCUGGCGGAAACUCCGAGCUGCUCCAAAAGAUUGCGGAGGUCCUGGCUGUGCUGAUGUGAUCGAUGGUGCUUGUGAUGCUGCUCGAGGACAAGCUGAUCUCAUAUGCCCGGGCAGUCCGCAACUGUAACACCUGCCCUCUCUCUGCUCGCACUGCUGGAGCCAGUGGGGUCCCCCGCAGAUCACACACUACGGUAUCCUUGGUGACUGUCCCUGCUGACAGGGUCCCCCAGAAUGCUGACGCCCUGAAGACCCACGACCCUGAGAGCGCGAUCGGGGUGGUCUCGGCGGACGCCUACUGCUCGACGGUCCUGCAUCAUUUAGAAAGGGGCGCUUCCGGUCUUGACUCUGCCUCACUGCCUGAGUCCUCUCCUGAAGCGACACCUCAUCUCUCUCCACCCAUAAGGCCUGCUCUAUGGAUGCAGCCAGGGUUCUCGACCUCUGCGCCCGCACAAACCUGAAGAUGUCGGGUCUCAGCCCCUGCUCAAAUAGAUAAACCCUGUGUGCCUCGUCCCUGGCCACAAAUGGCACAUAGUUCAGGAGUCGAGUAAACUCCCGAAUGUACUCCUGCACUGGCCGAUCCCCCUGCUGAAUCCUCUUCAAAUCCUCCUCGAGCUUCUAUUUCACACUGUUGGGAAAAUACAUCCCAAACAGCAUUCCACAGAACUCAUCCCAUCUCAUCUGCAACGCUACCAAUCCCUGAUCUCGCCUCACUCUCCUCCACAAGGCGUGUGCAUCGCCUGCCACGCAAUGGCCUCCCAACGAUACCUGCUCCCACUCAGGAAUGAACAGAUCCUCAAAAAGCUUCUCCAUCGCACUGACCCAUCCCUCAACGACCCAGGCCCCAGUGCCACUGCAAUCGAAGGUCGACGGAUCAAAACGGCGAAAACGAGCCAGCCUCUCGGUCAUCCGCUCCCGCUCGGCCUCGGUCAACUGUCCUGGCCCUCUAGAAGGCGCAACCGGCGCUGCGAGAAUAUCCAUAAGCGGGGGUACAGCUGCGGUUGGUGCUGCAGCUGAAGUAGUCGGAGGUGGAACAACCGACUCUGGUGCUCUCGGUACUGUACUCGGUGGCGGAGCUACCCUCUCGCACAACCUCUCCAACAACUCCCCCUGUCGCCUCGUCACCUCAGUCAGGGCGGCUAUCUGUGCACUCAUGUCAGGGGAUGCACUCGCCUCCGGUCGAACACUCUGCUCCACAACAGGAGGUACACUCGGCUCCGCCUGCUCCAGCAUCUCGGAAGGUCCUGCACGAUCCUGUGUCAACUGGGCACGCUUCCGCAACGACGGUCGACCUCGGCGAUGAUACUGUGAGAAACAAAACAGGGUCAGCAACUCAAGCACUCUCGACCGAAUCAACGAAAGUCUGGAAUGCGGCCCCUGUUUCUCCUCAAAAUUAUGUCGUCUGCAGCCAACAUAAUUUCUCUGGAACGAAACAGACACUCCUUCAAUCACUCACUCCACUCUAGGAGGAGUUAAAUAAUUAAUCAUUGACUUUCGCUAUAAAUCACGCCUCUCGCAUCUUGCUUUCCUAAGGUUUGCCAAACUUAGGUUUCCUAGGUCCCAACGACCUAAUGCUAAGCUCUGAUACCAACUUAAUCUGUCACGCCCCGGAUUACUCGUUUCCCCGGGCACGCCAACAAACCCGCCGUAUACAUAGAAAUUUUUUUUGUACACGAAGCGAAGCUGUAACUGUACCUGUAAUAAUACAACACUACAACCAGUAGUAUAGAGCUGCUAGGAAAAAUAAACAUGGGUAUAUAAUAAAAAUGGAUCAGUACAUACACAGUGUCCUGGUACAAAAACACUCGCUCCAGCGAGGUAUAACAUCAGUAUGUAAUGAAUCAAAAACUACAACUACCUGUAGCUGGUACUCCACUAGCUCUGGCUCGUCUGGUAGGGCUCUAACUCGCGACGCCCUUACCACGAUCAGGAUCAGUAGCAGCCGACGAUGACGGCUCUGCAAAACGAAAAGGAACAACUGGGCGUGAGAACUACUAUAAAAACAAGUAGUCCUCAGUGGGUGCCGCCCUCAACAUCAUCGGUCCACCCACUAAGUCUACAGAAGGGAGCUGGGAUAGUACAUAAUGCUGGAACAAAAUCUACAGCUAAGAACCAUCAUACUAUCAUGCUCUAACACUAACAAUCUGUAGAAAAUGUCAAUCCUAAAGCAAUAUCACUCGGGACUGUAACCGUACCCGUCUCAGGGACUGUGAACACACUCGUCCCGCCUGUCGAAGCUAAAACUAUCUCCACACUAAGCAGUCAGUGGAUAGCAAGUCCAAACAGGACACCUCGACAUUAACGCAGAAGCACUAAGCCCGACUCCGGAGUGGCACUCGUAGGCGCUACCCAACCGAGAAUGCAAGCGUAUCUCUGUCGAGCUCAAUCAGGCUCUCGCAGACUAUAGUCAAGUAUACCGGGUCCAACUGGUCUAACAACCAACGAGUCACAUGCCCUCGACACAAUCUGAUGCCAAAACGGCAAUCUGAGUCCACCGUCAAUCCCGACGGCCCCCAACAGUCCGGAACAGUCUGAACACUACUGUAAAAAUAGGCUCGGCAUCCCAGCACGAGCAUAACAGCAAUCUAGACUACUUGGGGUAUCCACCACGCUGAUACUGCGGCGAUACCAAAUAACAACGGCUCCUAAAGCUAAAUUUGGUAGUGUAAGCAUAUGACGGGUUAGAAUCGCGGAUUUUUUCCUAAGGCAAAUCCAAGUCCGCAUGUAUAAGUCAUCCACCAAUAAUACUAUGCUCCAAAUUCAGUUUAGAUGUCAAAGACAUGAACAAUCCACGAAUUCGAGCUAUCACACAUGAAAUGCAUAACACAAAAUAUACAUGCCGUUAACCGAGACUUUAGGAGUAGAAAUCCGAUGAUAAACCCACCUCAAAAGCUAAUCCAACUCCGGCGCGACGUUGAGAACGGCGGAAUCGCACCCUCUCCCGACCUCCUCGCGAUGCUAUGACAACAAACAUGCGCUCGAACGGCUUCGCGACGCGACGUCGGCGACGAAACACUCCACUCGAGCUCCUCCUUGCUCGGCCGAUGCUAGAGAGAGAGAGGGAAGAAGAAACACAACAACCUUCUCUCUCAGCUCCUCUCAAUCCUAUAUAAGCGGUAGAGGAAAGUGGUGAUGUGAACGAGGCACGAAAUGACCAAAACACCCUCUUACCUACCCUGGUGUACCGAUACACGAGCAAGUGUACCGAUACAAAUGGCAACCCGAGAGCAGCUGCGCAAAAUCUGUCGAAGUGUACUGGUGCACCCCUGAUGUUGUACCGGUACAGAAAGUGUACCAGUACACCUUGAUGGUUGUACCGGUACAACAAGCAGAAAAUCUGCUGUUUGCAGAUUCCAAUGCCAAGUCUUGCUCUCGCGUCCCCGCUGAGUCCGUUUUGCGUCUAUUUUGCACCAACGUGACUCGGACUUGUCCCGACACUCUCCAGAGCUGUCGACAAGCCUCUCCUGCUUAACACCAGGGAUACCACAUAUCACUGGAAGGAUUUGAUGAUGCUGAUGUAUAGCAAGUGCCCGAAGACACAGGAUCCUGCAACAAAAACAAAAAUUUCUUUCAAUAAAAUAAGAAUAUAGUUAACAAUUAAAACAUAGUUAUAAAAUUGAUAAAAUUAUCUAGAUAAAGUCAUUUUUCCUACCUGACGACUACCACCAAGGUUAUAAUUUGGCAUUUUUAGUCUUAUAAAUUUCAUAACGGUAACUAAUUGUGACUUCUGUUGGGAAACCAUUUUUUUAUUCUCUUGCACUUCCCCUCUUAACUUUUGUACUUCUUCCAUUGAUUCCGAGUUAUAACACACACAACUUUCAGAUGGGAUCAAUCCUAGCCCUCCCACUCGGCCACCAUACUUUUUUCUUAUAACUUCGAUAUAAAUUUUGUUUUCCAUUGCAAUCACAUCCUCUCGAGAAGAUUCAGAUGUUCCCGAGCAAUUAGCCAAUUUGUCUUUAGCAUCAACCUAUACAAUAAGUUUUGUUAGCACAUUUAUAGAAAGCAUCAACUUAUGAAAGAUAAAAUGACACGAGCAGCAUUCCUACAAACCCAUAGUCCCAAAAUAUGAAACAAUAACAAAAAGAAAAUAGUUUGCUCCACGAGUCCCAGCAAAUAUUCAAACAGUUGAUAUAGGCUACCAGAGAUACACAAUUCAACUUAGACUUUCAACAUUUUCCUUUCAGAAUCAUUUAAACAGAGAGAUGAAAACAUUAAAGGAUCACUUUCUAACUUCACAAUGCAUGCGCAUCGCAUGAAUUAUCAAAAUUACACAUUACCUUUUAAAGAUAUACUACAAAUUUAUAUAGAAAUUAUACGGACAUUACAUGAUAACAACAUUUAGGUUAAAAUGAGAGGUGCAACAUCAUAGCCAGUUUGGCACACUAUUAUUUACUCAUUACGGGGAAUAAACAUCAUGAUAUAAAAGCACAAAUAUAAUAUGUAACAAGAUUUGAUGCUCCACAUAAGUAAAACUAUCAAAUAAGUAUUGCAAGCUUAGUUAUCAACACAUUUAUUCAGCACAUAAGGAUAAUAUCCAAGAGCUCUAGGAUGUUUCAUGUUUAGGAAUUUAAAUUAAAAAAAGACAACGAUUUGACCAUCGACUAUCUAAACGAAUGUUGCAUGGAACUAUACUAAAAGAAUCCAUUAACUUAGACAUGCUAUCUAGCUAGAUUAUAGACAUAUAGUAAAUAUAGAGUUUAAAGCUAACAAACAUAGUAUUAAAAUUACCUUUAAUUUUUUCGCAUCGUCACUUAUAAAUGAUCCAUUUUUUUUCGUGUGAGUUAGUUCGAACAUCUCAACAAGUCCAUGUACUCUGCCAGUUGUAUCUUCCUGCAAAUAUCAUAAUAUAGACAAGUAUAAGAAUGUUGCAAUAACAUAAGUUUUACGACAAUCAAUAAAAUAAAUAGUUACAAUUUCCUCCACACCACCACAUACAACAUCAUAGUAACAAACCAUUACAUAAGAAACAGGGCAAAAGCUAGCAUGAACAUAUAGUGUGUCAUGUUUAGGAUUUGAAACAAUAGAACUAAUUGAUAUAGAAAAGAUAAAUGAAGAAGACGAUGACUUCUUUCUUAGAUUAUUGUAUCUUGGUGUGGCACAAACCAUUAGUUAUCUUUAUAUAGAUUCUUGAAAUGCAUACUGAUAAGGAAACAAUAAGAUAUAUAAACAACCCAUAAAGAAGUGGUUGAUCACAUUUUCGGUAUUCAGAAUCAUCAGAUACCUAACUGAUUUGAAUUCCAAACUAAUUCGUAAUUUUGAUCAUUCUUCAAAGGUGUAUUUAUCUAACAAACAUAGGGAGUUAUAUAUGCAAAAGAUUGUAAAACCUCUCUUAGUAACACCUCCACCCAUCCUUUAUUCUUGCGAAGCCACCAUUAGUUUAAAAACCCAGAAAAGCAAACCAUUAGUAGUAGUAGUAGUAGUAGUAGUAGAACUAUAGUAGUAGGUACUAAGAGGGCCUAUUUUAUAAUAUUUUGCUCUUUUCUUAUCUUUUAUAUAGGCAGUAGAGGGCCUCUUUGUAAUUACCAUCUUUUUUUUCUAAUAUUUUUCCUGCCACAAAACAUAAUAAUAAGCAUCAUUAGAGCUCUUAUAGGUUAUCAUUUGAUUGAGAGAAUGAGAAAAAAACAGAAAAACAAAAACAAAAACAAAAACAAAAUAAUGGUGCUGUUAUUUCCAAGUAGAGAUUACAAUGUCUUUUUCGUGUGGAUUCGGUAGAUUGUUAUUUCCUACUAAUUCCAUGGUGCCUUUGGACUAAUUUAUUUGGUCCUUGAGGUAACAGCAAAUUAAUUGAAAACGUAUUAAGAAAAGAAAUUAUCUGAAAUGGAUUGUGAAUUUACUAUUCUCCUUUUUUUUGUCUUCUUCUCUCUCAUACAUCAAUCAUUAAAAGUCAACCAGAGUAUAGAAAGCAUUAUCUAGAAAUAAAGCAUUGACACCAUUACAUAACAAAAAUAAAUCAUACCUUGGCAACAUCAGAGUAUAAAAAGUCAACCAGGCUCAACCACUGCUACUUUACUGCACCAGGAAGCACAUUCUUACUAGUCUCUUCUUUCGGUUUUGUUCGGUCAAAAUGCUUGGCCUUCAAUUCAGCUUUGUAGUCUUUCCAUUUCUUGUUUAAAGAUCUCAUGACAAAGGCUCGAUACUUUUUUUGAUUGAAAUUGAAAUUUUGACUGCAAAGACAAUAUACACAGAAUUAAAAGAAAUAUAAAUAAUAAGAUGGUUAUAUAAACACAUGUAAACAGUGUAAAAUGUGUCAAAUACCAUGACAAAAGACAAAGCUUCAUUUUUCAGUGCAAUUGGCAUUCAUCUCCAAUUAAUGUAAUUUAGAGGGCAGAAUUGACCAUUUCAUGCAACUAUUCUGCAAAAACCAGCGAGCAACCUUGCCUCCUUAUUUAUGGGUUGCCCUCUUUUGUUAAAUAGAACUUGAAUACGCCAACUCUCAUUCAUUUCCCAUAUCUCCUUUAAUGUUGUGUGACCUCUCUUUCUUUCUCUUUUUCCAUCGUCAUGAACUACAAAAAAGCCAAUGUUAUAAUUAGGCUUUAAUUACGUAUAGGUUAGCUUUAUAGAAAUAGUAUCAUCAAAGUAAAAUGAACCACAAAAAGAAAAAUAUAAGAUAAUACAAAAAAUAAAAAUGAAACAAACCGAUUAGUAGAGCAGUGUAUACAAUUCUCAAAAGGUUAAUUGGGAGUGAAAAAAAAAGAGUCACAACAACCAGCAUUAUAAUGUUGGUAACAAGUACCAUAAGCAACACCAUCAGCAACCAAACUUCCAGAACAAGAUAGAGAUGGAAGCUAUACCUAUACACAGAAGACUACCUCAGAGCUUAAACAUUGGAAGAGGUCUGCACUUCGAUUGCUUGCGUAAGACUUGCAAUCCUCUGCGCUUUACGCAAGCCUAAGCCUGAGUAUAUUUGACAACCUUUUUUUAAUAAAAUUUUUUUUAUUAACAUCACUGAUGGUUUAUAAGAUAUUGGCUAACUUGCCUGAGUUGUCCAACAGGGUCUUAGCCCGGCAUGUUAACUGUUCAGUUCCCACAUCUAUACUUUUGGGAAAGAAAUUGGUAGCAAACCACAAUUCUAAGUGCUCAAACUCUUGUAAGCACAACCAGGACUCAAUAGAACGAAGUGUUAAUGUUUGCAUAGCCUAACAUCUGCCUAACAUCUUGGAGUCAAUAAAAUACUAAGAUCAUGCACAGAAAUGAAAAGAACAAGUGGUUUCUAGAACUGCAAGUUCUGAUCCACAAACUGAUGCAUAAUCUAGCUAAUUUGCAUGAUUGGACCACUCAUUAAUCAGAUUUAAUUUUCCAGUGCCCAAUAGCUCAGCUAAACACAAGUACCAAGAUUUUAAAAAAAUAUGACAACCAAACCAAAGCAGCAAAACUGCAAUAUAUGAGAAUGUUAGAUAUCUCAAAACCGAACCAAAGCAGCUACAAAAAUUUUUCUUUCAGAGUGAGACUUUUACACAAGAAUGGAAUACAGAUUCCUAUAUUAUGAGGUUGGUUAGAUAUCUCAAAUCCUGACUAUAAAUGAUGGCAUUCAGCCUUUUCAUUUUACUCACAUCUUGCCUAUUUCAUGCCUUUAAGGUUAGAACCGUGAGUUUCCUGAAUGAGAUCCUCAUCAAAGACAUGUUUUAAUAGCGUGCAAAUAGUAAACUGGAAGAGGAAUAGAACAUUCUUCAGUCACAAGGAAGCGUAAGCAACUAAACUUGUAAAGUGCCUUCUUUUGUCUCAUAAAACUAAUUUAAGAAAUCAAUACUCAGAUUGAAGCAGAUUUUAUGCAUGCUUAAGCUCUGCAAAUUUGCUACACCAUCGAAUCACAUGCACUACACAAUCCCCCAGAGAGUAAAGCAAAGAGCUAAGUCAUUUAAUGCCUAGUUCUUUUAUAAAAUACUAUUAAGGUGAUAAGAUUGAUGAAAAACAACCCUGGCCUACAUAUGAAGAGUAUAGCUAACUAAAUCCAAUAGAAGCAAUCAACUUUUAGCUAUGGCUUACAUAUAGAAAACUAAAAGAAACAAAUAGAGAAUUUGCACUAGCUUCCCAUAUAACCAAUUCUCUGCCACCGGUCACCUGUGCUUAAAGAUAAAUUAAACAUUACCAUGCUAUCAAACAGAGAAUUUUUGAUAAAUCAAAUUCAACUGGUUAUCAUGAUUACUAAACAAAUACUAUCAAACAGAAAACAAAGUGAAAGGCAAGGACAAAUGACUAGAAUGAUUCCCAGCAUUUACAUAUUAUAUGAGCCAACUCUAAAAUCCCAAAAAAAAACCACGUAGCUGUACUGUGGUCCAUUACUAACAACAAAAAAAAAAGAGAAAGAAGCUAAGUUUGGCAUUAUCUUUUUUGCAUAAUAUGUAACUACCCUAAAAUUAUAUAGGUCCCUUUAUAUUUCAAUAGUAUUUACUCAACAACCCAACAAACAAACCCAGAAUAGUUAUGUAGAUUAAGGGCAUCAAGUUGGAUGCAAUUGCAGAUUAACCAAAAAAUAAUAUAUACAAGCAAAGAGCGCGAACCCACCGAAAAACUAAACACUCGUUGCAAUCAAUGAUAAGUUUUCUUGCAUAAUAACAAAAACAGAACUUCAAUUACAUUACAUAGUCAUUAACAUUUCCUGGUCCAGUUUCCUAUUUAUGGAGCAACAAAAGGAGAAUAAUAACCUGAGAAAAGGCUUCUUUUACACCAAAACCCUAAAAAGAUCACCUACAUUACCAUCUCAACAUGAACGCGACAUGUAAAUUGAAUCCACACACAGAUCAUCAAAAGAUCAACAAAAUGAAGUGCUCCCAACAACAGGGCUACUAGAAACCGUAACAUUGAUCCCACCACAAACGAAAUCCAAGAAACGUAAACAACAACAAGUAUCAUUAAUCCACGGGUUAAACAAAGACAAAACCCUAGACACAAAAACCCUAAUCCAAAACCAAGACAAGCAGAUUAAUCUAAAAGAUAACCCAGUUGAGCAAAUCACCUGAACACGUCCUAGGCGGCUUGUCGUACCUUCGCGUGCGACUCGACGAAGGUCCUCCUAAGCUGCGAUCGCGUGUGACUCGACGAAGGUCCUCUUAAGCGAUGAUCGCGUGCGAGCUCAAGAGGAAUCACCUCGGCGAAGGUCCUCCCAAGCGACGAUCACGUGCGAGCUCAAGGGGGAUCGCCUCGGUGACCGAUCCUUCCCAAUCCAGCCAUCGUGUGUGAGGUUGAGAGGAGCGGACGAGUCGAAAACCUUAGAAAAUGGUUGAGGAGAAAACCCUAGAGGAGAAGAGGUUGGAGGAGACGAUGUGGGAUUCGAUCCGCGAGGGAGAAAGGGAGAUGUCGGGUUUUGGGUCUGUGUAGAAGAGGGAGAGAGGGAGAGAGAGAAAAAGAGAGAUGGGUAAUUUGGGCCUAGAAAGAGAGAAAGAGAAGGAGAUGGCUAAUUACUUAUGAGCUAGGCCCAGAUAAAGAGAGGAGAAAUAUAUAGUUUGGGCUACUAUUUUGGGCCGGCCCAAUUCAAAAAGCCGCUAAAUAAGUGUCGCCUUUUAACUAAUUUCCUGUAGUGUACCAUCUUUGAAGAAUUUUAAGUAGACACAAUGGUCAUACUUACUUCUUUGGAAUCCACAGCUUAGCAUAAAAGUGUCAAACUUUCGAUACCAUUGUCUUGAUGCUUGUUUAAGUUCAUACAAUGAUUUCUUGAGCUUACAUACAAGAUGUUCUUUAUCCUUCUCUAUGAAGCCUUGAGGUUGAUACAUAUAAACCUCUUCUUCUAAAUCUCCAUGUAAAAAUGUUGUUUUAACAUCUAAUUGCUCAAGUUCCAAAUCAUUCAUAGCAACAAGACUAAGAACAAGCCGAAUAGAAAUCAAUUUAACAACAGGAGCAAAUACUUCAAAGAAAUCCAUACAUUCCUUUUGUGCGAAGCCUUUAGCAAUCAAUCUUGCUCUAUACCUUUGAAUUGUCCCAUCGGUUCCUCUUUUGAUUUUGUACACCCACUUGCAACCAAUUGCUUUCCGGCUCUUUGGUAACUCCACCAAAUUCCAAGCUUCAUUCUUGUGAAGUGCCACAAUUUCUUCCUCCAUUGCUUCUUUCCAAUGCUUUGCAUCAAUAGAAUUUAUGGCUUCUAGAAAUGUGCAUGGCUCUUCUUGUUCCACAAUUAGUGCUCGAAAUGUAUUUGGAUCUACAAAAUCCUUCAAAUGCAAAGGUGUGUGUCGCUCUCUUGUAGAACAUCGAGACAAGUCAUGUAUUUCUCCACCUUCAUUAGAACUUUCUUCUUCAUUGAAAUUUUCAUGGGUUUGAUCAUCGACCUCACCAUAUUCAAUCGGUGUAUCCUCCCAUUCAAUGUCUUCAUUUGGUGAGAAAGUUGAAGAUGGAAGUUCAAAAUUUUGAGUAUCAUUCCGGACUUCUUCCUCCUCGAUGCUUUCAUGUUCUACACCCUUUUUCAACACAUUUGAUUCAUCAAAAUAAACAUCACAACUUGUGAUAAUUUUGUGAGCCACCGGAUCCCAUAACCGAUAUCCUUUCACACCUUUUGUAUAACCAACAAAUAUGCAUUUUCUUGAUCUUGGAUCUAGCUUAGUUCUUUGACAACUAGGAACCAAUGCAAAAGCAUGACAACCGAAUAUUUUUAGAUUAGAAUAAUCACAAGGAGUUCCGAACCAUACCUCCUCCGGUGUCUUUCCAUUUAUAGCCAUGGAAGGUGAGCGGUUGACAAGAUAACAUGCCAUGGACACGGCCUCCGCCCAUAACUCGUGCUCCAAAACCGGCAUUGCUCAACAUACUACGAGCCCGCUCUAUCAAUGUACGGUUCAUCCUCUCGGCCACCCCAUUUUGUUGUGGAUCAUACGGAUUUGUAUAGUGUCUUGAGAUGCCAUUCUCUUUACAAAAGAGCUCAAACACUUUAGAUUUGUACUCCAAACCAUUGUCCGAUCGGAGAACUUUAAUGCGGCGUCUGGUGAGAUUCUCUAUUUCAGCCUUGAAGGGUCACGCCCCGAGCCUGAUCCUUUUGGCCGGUUCGAGAGCGUCAACAGACGCCGAACGGACAGAGUCUCCCCUGUCUGCCCAAGGCUCAACAACAAGUAUCAAUAGAGUAUAAAUUUGCAUAAGCGGAAACAUACAAAAUGGCUUGCACGAGGGCAAGCAAUAGCCAAUAGUGAAAGUAAACAACUAUACUUAGGAAUUUAAUUACAAUUUGCAUCAUUUCUUUUUACAUCCCAAUCUUCCAAAAUGUAACAUUGAUAUUAAAUGAAUUCUUUUACAUCAUUCAUGUCCUUUCAUUAAACAACUAUAAUCAUCAAAGUACAAAAGAUGAUAUAUCAAAAGGGGUAUGCAACUAUGAAAUGAAACAUCUCGGGCGGUCUCUACCUAGGGCGCGAUGCCCUUACCACGGUCGUCAGCCGGCUCGCUCGGUCCUGGCUCUCUGGAAAUAGGGGUGUGAGAACUACAACAAAGUUUCCAGUGGGUUCGGCAACCAACCACGCCGACUAUCCCACUAGGUCUAAUCAGGCAUAAUAGAAUAGAAGAAAGAAAGUAACCAACUAACAAAUGCAACUAAUAUGCCUGAACAAUAUAAAAUGCGAUGCUCGAUAUAAUGCACAUGAUGAAUGCAGGAUCACGAUUACUUUACCCAAUCUCGUGGCUAACCCGUAGGUGUCGCCCUCAACAAACUCACAAAUCCAAAAUCCUAUUUAACCGGAGAGAGACCCGCUACAACCCGAUAGGACUGUCCUCUGGGGAGAUACCCGCUACGACCUAGUGAUGUCGACUCCGGAGCACAUCGCCCGAGGGGGAGCUACCACCCUCGAGCAAGGACUAAAGGUGAGUACGAUCAAUCCUACAUUGAGGAUUCCAAGUUCAAUCCAUUCCUUAACUUUAAGGAAGACCAUGCUCAAAUGACUUCGAACUCUAAGGUUGAAAUAUCAUAAUGUCCCAAUCAUUCUUUUCUUUGCAUUCUUUACUAUCACUAGUGUCAUAUACACUACCUAGUUUUGUACUCAUGCCACACUUGUUUUCUAAGCGCUAUGUUCUUGUUCUCAUGCCAAAUGCCACACUUAUUUUCUAAGUGUUCUAGACUCAUCAAUGUCACCCACUAAAUCUAUGUCCAUGUGUCACUUUUGUUCACUAACCCUUCUAGAUUCUUGUCACUUGUCAUGCAUACAUAGGGUUACAAUUCUCACAUUCUUAUCAAUAUUUCAUACGCAAUUAAAUUUACAAUCAUGCAAUAAAGCUCACAAUUAACCCUACUAUGCAAGAUGCUCAAUAUAUAUUUAUAUGUUCAAACAUGACACUUUAGACAUAAAGAAAUUUCCGAGGUCCUUGGAAUGCACCACCCACCUCAAGUGGUCGUGUGGGCGUAGAAUAUGACGACUCCCGAACUUUACGAAAGCCGAUACCGUGACCUACAACCAAAUAGUGCCAUAUUAGGCCAUUUGUACAUGAAUCAUACUUAAACAUUUUCGUAACGUCGAACGGAGUUGUCCAACGUGCCGAGGACACCCCCAAUUAGGUUUCUACAAGGUCAAUUUGUCUUAGAAACACUCGGGGCCAAAAGCCCCAAAUUUGGUGCCCUAACCAAACCCAUUGUUAAACCCUAGGUUUUGAUCUCUAAAACAAGCAAAAGAGAGCUUGUCUAACCUCUAGGAGCUCAUUUAGAACCAUCCCAACCAUCUCUAGGGCUUAAAAUGCAAACCCUAGAAAUCCCCCAUUAGAGCACCAUGAAGAAAACUAGGGUUUCAUGGUAUUCAAAGCUCUACUACUCUUCUAAAGCCUCUAAAGAGACCAAAACUCCAAAAUCUAAGGUUAAACUCCAAACCCUAGAGCUCUACAUGCUAAAAACUUACCUAGGCCCAAGUUCUAGUAAGCUCCUUCUUGUUGGAGAGCUUCUAGGACCACCAAAGCCACCAAAAAUCCCUCCUCAAGCUUCUUCUUCUUCUUCUCCUUCAAGCCCUAGGUGAUUUCUAGAGAGAGAGAGGAGAGGAAAUGAGAGGGAGAGGUGUGUGUGUGUGUGAAUGGCUGUAGAGGGAGAGGGGGUUGGGUAUAUAAGGUGUUGUAACAUUUACAACAAGACCCCUCCACUUUAUUCCCUGUGCACUGCCCAAACUGGACAUUUUUCACAGUGAAGGACCGGUCUCCCCGACUAGGGACCGGUCCCCGAGAGCUCCUCCUGCGGACAGGGCAGGCUACGGGCGAUGCAACCGGUCUCCCUCAAUGGGACCGGUCUCUCCUCGCAAGGACCAGUUCCCGAGAGCUGAUUUUUCAGGACUUAGUCGAUUCCUCGGCCAUCUCGCUGCCUACGCGUUCGGGGACCGGUCUCUCCUACCAGGGACCGGUCUCUCCCACCAGGGACUGGUCCCUGAGAGCACAAAACCUGCAGUUUGCAAAUUUUGAUUUCCAAAGCUCUCGAAAGUCCCCCGUAAUGUACUUUUGCAUUAUUCGACGCCUUCGGCCUCUCCGAAGUAUACCAAUCUCGCACUUUGGUCAAUUUGACCAAGGUUCGAAUUUAAUUACCGAGGUUUCGGUAUGUUACAUGAAGUGCUUAAAUGCUUGAAAUGCCUCACCUUUCGACUUAAGAAAUUUCACCCAAACCUUUCGUGAGAGGUCGUCAAUAAAUGAUAUAUAAUAAUUGGCACCACCAUAUGAAGUAGUAGGAGAACUCCACACAUCCGUGUGAAUGUAGUCAAGAAUAUCUUUACUUGUAUGACUCCCGGCUUUGAAGCUCCACUUAUGAUGUUUUCUAUAGACACAAUGCUCACAAAAUUUCGAGUCACUAAAAGUAAUAUCCGGUAUAAGUUUCUUCUCUACUAAAAUCUUUAUACCCUUCUCACUCAUAUGCCUUCUAUGCCAUAGUCAAAGAGAAAGGUCAUCAUUUUCCGUCGCCGCAUAAGUUUCAUCCGUCAUUGUACUCCCCAAUAGCUUGUACAAGUUUCCAACCCGAAUGCCAUUCACGACAACCAAUGCACCUUUGGAGACUUUUAUAACUCCACCUUGCCCCGUAAAUUUGUAGCCUUUGUUGUCCAAUUCGGAGAGAGAGAUCAAACCUUUCUUCAAAUCCGGAACAUGUCGAACAUUUUCAAGUACCUGGAUCAUUCCAUCAUACAUUCUCAAGCGUACCGAACCAACUCCCACCGUUCUACUAGUUGAGUUGUUUCCCAUCGAAAUGGUACCACCAUCGCAUUCCUCAUAGGUAAUGAACCAUGAACGAUGUGGGCACAUAUGAUGAGUAGCGCCACUAUCAAGAAUCCAAUUUUGAUGAAACACCGAACUAGAACCCGCCAUUAAGACCUCAUCAUCAAUAACACCCAAUGUUGUCUCUUCAACUUAAUGUGCUUUAUUGUUCAAUUCCGAGUUUUGUUUACCACUACUUGAUUCACCAUUGUCCCUUCCGCCAUUUGAGCCUUUUCUUUUUAGACAAUCUUUCUUCAUAUGUCCGGAUUUGCCACAAAACCAACAAAGUCUUUUGUCAUUCCGAUUUCUAGACUUUGAUCUAUUCUUUAACUUGCUUCUUGAAAAAUGUUUUGACAUAUUUUUCACGUUCUCUAUAAUGACCUCUUACUACAAGUGCUUCCGUUUCACCCUCCGAACUUCCCAAAGUUAUUUUCUUUCGAAGUUCAUCGGCUAACAAUGCACUACAAAUGGUAUCCAAGUCAAGAGAAUCUUCUUUAGUGCAACUUAAACUUGUAAUCAAAGUCUCAUAGGAAUCCGGCAAUGUGCAUAACAAAGUGAUGGACUUAUCUUUGUAAGAUAUGGAUCCCGAGGAUCUAAAAGGUAAGUAACACCUAGAGGGGGGUGAAUAGGUGUAAAUCCGGCAAACUUGAAAAAUCUCGAUGCAAACAAAACACAAUAGCGGAAAUUAAAAUAGCACACCGAGAAUUAAACGUGGGAAAACUCCAAUUUGGAGUGAAAAACCCACGGGACUGAUCACGCAAAGAAAAUCCACUAAGAAAACUUGAGUACAAGUGAUUUCGACCAAAAACACACGACUCAAUUUACCGAUUUCUCGUUGACGGUGAUCUUUGCCGGUCCUCGAUCGAUAGGAAUCCACCAAUCGACCUUGCUGCAACUCCUCGCAGCGUCAACGCCUCAACUCCUCGAAGCGUCCACCGAAUCCUCGGCUUCACGCGAGAUCCACGCGCCGAACCUCCUUCCGGAGCUUGUAGAAUUGAAGAUUUGCGGUGAUUUAACUUUUGAAAACCAUAAGCUAUGAGGGUUCACCUUUAAUCAAUCAUCUACUUGAUUCUCGUAAGAAGUAUCGAGUAAAAACGAAGAAUCAAGCCGAUGUUGAUUGCUAGAAACUCAUCAUGUAAAUCGAAGCAUUGAAACGGGAAGAAAACAAGUUUCUAGGGUUUGGAAUUGGUAAAAUAUUCAAAGCCUUAAUUUUAGAUGACCCACAUAGCUUAUUUAUAUGUUUAGAAGACUUAGAAGUAGACUAGGAUUGCAAAAAGUCGAUUUCAAAAACCUGUGUCGUCCUCAGAGACCGGUCCUGUCGAGGAGACCGGUCUGUGAGAGACCGGUCUCUCAAGUGAGGAACCGGUCCCUCCCUGCGUGACCAAAAACCCCACGUUCGGGAACCGGUCUCUCAAACUUGAGACCGGUCCCUCGCUGCGCGACAGAACCACCAAGGUUCGGGAACCGGUCUCUCAUCACAGGGGACCGGUUGCAUCAAGGUUUACGCAGUGAGGACCUUGGGGGAACCGGUCUCUCCAUUUCAGAGACCGGUCCCAGAACACAAGAAAGUUCAGAAAAGUUGUUUAAAAACAAUCUAAGCCUUCUGAACUUAUUUUAAUUAUGUAUCUUCACCACAAAUGAUCUUUUCUUCAUACCUUAGGUGUCGAUCUUUCCGAAUGAGUCUUUGUCCUCCAAUUUGAAUCUUUUCUCAAAAACUUCUGCGAUCAACUCUUCAAGACUCCAAACAACUUUAUGAAAUUCGCCAACCUAUAAAAUCCUUAACAAUCUCCCCCUUUGGCGAUUUCGUGACAAAAUAUACUACAAAGCUCGUAUACAACCAAUAAGUCAUAAAAAGAAGAUCAUCGCAAUCACCAAUCGAUAAUCUCCUGCAUAAUCAAUCCAAUAAACAAAAUUUACACUUUUACAACCUUAAUACAAACUCUAUGACUUAGACUUGGAGUCUUGAAGUCUUGAAUUAUUCCUGCAAAAACAUUCUCAAAGCAUAAUCAAGAUUCAAGUAUCAAGAAGUAUCAAGAAGAUCAAACAAUCAACUAAAGUUCACACUUCAUAGUUCAUAGUUAAACUAAACGAAAGCAAAGCCCUAAGCUAAAUGCAUCAUCAUCAUCAUCAUCAUUAAAACCAUCCCAUAUCAUCUCCCCCUUUUUGUCAGAAAGCGCCAAAACGACAAAAGGAGAAGCUCGGCAAAUCCUAAUCAGAAUUAUCUCCCGGAGGCAAAUCCGCCCGACAACAUCCUAACUUGUCAAAAAUCAUAUUCAACAAGCGCUUCAUCUUGCUCACAUCCUUACGAAUUGCAGCUUGUUCUGCAGACAACUUCUGAAGCUCCUCAGAUAGACGUUGCUGCUCGCGAUACACCGAAGAAACGGAAAUAUCCUCCUCAGAAAUGUCCAUAGAAGGACGUGAAGAAGUAGCAGUAGCAGGAGGUGGAGCUGCAGGAGGCGAAGAAGCACGUUGAGACGGCGUACGAAGCUGCACCGAGGACUUUACAAACGUCCUUUCAUUGAUCCCACCCAAACUGUGCUCAUAUGAGGUACACCUAACAUCCACCUCACGAAGUCGCAAAAUCCGCAUGAUUAUCAUAGGAAAUGGUAACCUCUCAUUUUGCCCAGAGGUUUUGAUAUCCUUCGCCAUCCGCCGCCAGAUCAAAAACGGAAUAUUCAUGUUAAUGUUUUUCGCACUCACAAUAUCUGGCCUACCCAAGAGAUACAUGUACAGAAUCCGAUCCCAUCUCAAGAUUUUCGUGUUCGCGAGAGGCAUGAUGUUGUAGCAAACCACAAAGUUCAGAAAUCUGUACUCCAUUUUAAAAUCCUUGGACAUAACCAUAAUUCCGUUUGAAUCAGUACCCGGCAUGCAGAUAGUGUUCACGACACGGUUCCAAUCGCGUAGUGAGUCGAACCCGGCCUGCAAAUACUCCACUCCAUCAGUCUUAGCUUCCAUCUCAAGCACCGAAGCUAUUGUCGCAGGAGUGAUGGAUAACUCAACACCACGGACAGAAGUCUUAGAAGUCAGUCUAACUUCAUCACAGACAAAACCUCAAAAGGGGGGCUCCCUCUUCUUCUUCCCUCUGUCACCAAAUACAGAAAAAUCUGAUAAUCUCUCAAAAGGACUCCACAAAUAGAGAGGAAAAGCGGCUGAAGGUCAACAUCCAUGCUACACAUCGUACGGGGCUUUGGGCAUAAUAGCGUCUGACUGCCUAUAUAAAAGUCUUGUAAAAACGAAAGCUAUUGCAAGCCUACUAUUGGACGACUCCUCAUCCUGACGAUCUACUUUCGAGCGAAGAGGAUGUAAUAUGCCACGCACUGUUUGCACCACGGAUUCAACUUUUCAUCGUGUCUAGCAUCUACUCGACCUCCGAUUUUCUACGACAUCUAUACAGAGAAGUCAUCUUCGGAAACCUCAUCGGAUGAUGAUAUCGGACGAAAGAUGACAUGGUCCUGCAGCAAUAUCACAAUUAGUGUUGAAUCAAAGAAGAUGGCUAAACAUAACAAGAAAUUGCCGGCCGUAGCUACAUGAGUUGGAACCAAGAAAAGUCAAAGUUGCCUCUCUAACAAAGAUUUAGAAAGAGAGAGAUUGGGUUGACCAAGGCUUACAAAUUCUUUGCUUGAGAAGUGUUCGUUAUUGGAAAAAGAUAUAGGAGACUCAGGUGGAUGACAUCAAGUAUCUUAACCAAACAAGAUUCAGAACUAGGAAAGCCAAAUAUGAAUUCACCAAUGACGAUCAUCUCACUGAAGUCGGACUUGAAAAUUUAUCUGGUUCGAGCAAACUAAUAAGAUGCCUUGACUUCGGUCAGACAAUAACCUUGGUACUUGGUUACGCACGACAUAUAUUGAUUAAGUCUACGAAGAAGGAUGAUGGAAUGCUCCGUGCAACGUGCUGUACCUAAAACUUUAAAUGUAGUUUGUCCUCCAAGAAAUAAUUUGGCUCAAACCUUGUCUAUUGUGGUGUUUUUAGGACACAUAAAAAAUUCUGCUACCAAAAGGGAAAGAGCUCAAUAGCUCUCUUUAAGAGUAACCCUCAAAAAUGACAAUGAAGUCAAUGUGACUCCAAAGAAGAUUAAAAAAAGAAGAGCCAAUUCGAACACCCAAACACCUCGAAGCCAAAGGCAACAAGCUGGAAACCAAGAAGGGGAUAUGAAGAGAAGUCAAUUCAAAUCAUCAGACAAGCCACGAUCACAACAAAAGCAGCGAACUGACACAACCAAACACGUAAAGGUUUGGGUCCGCAAAAGUCAUCAUUUCCCAUGACUACAGUCAUUCACACUUCACUUCAUGCUUAAUAACUCAUCUUGUAUCUGGAUAGUGGCGUUCUCGUCACAUGACUGCGCGAGAUAAAAAUUGGGUUUACUUCUUUGACCAAAAUUCCGGAGACUUGUUGUCUUUGGGGACGGUCAUCCGUCCCAAUAAUCGUUGGAAAAGGACAGUGACUUCUCAGACGGCCCUACGUUGAAUGAUGGUUUUUUUAUGUUGAAGGGCUAAAUCUAAUCUCGCUAAGCAUAAGUCAAUUGUGUGAUUGACGGGUAUUUCAGUGACUUUUCCUGAUAAAGAUGCCAUGUGACUCGGAUGACAAUCAUUUUAAAGGGCAUUAGAGUUCUAGAAUAAUUGUUUUACUGUAGUCCUAGUUCCGGCCACUGAACAUUGUUUUAAAACCUAGCGUCAUUAGAACGAAAACUUUAUUGCAGAACGACUAGUCACAUCAAUUUUAAGGAGCUAUCUAAAUAACAAGAAAGUAGUUAGAGUGUAGCCUAAGAUUGACUAUAAUAGAGAACACUGCGUGUGUGGGGGUUGCCAAUUAGGGACACAAACUAAGAUCACACAUAAGAACUUGAACCCACUUGGACACUAAACUCUAGAGUUACUUCACAAUGGACUUGAUGGGACCAUCUAGGAUUCAAAGUUGGGUGGAAAAACGUUAUAAUUCUGCCUCUUGUUGAUGACUUUACUCGCUAUGUAUGGAGUGCUUUCUAUACGAGAAACAAGCUGAUACUUUUAAUUCCUUUUCUCGAAAUCCCGUCUCCGUCUAUGACUGAAGAAUGAUAAAAUUGUACGCCAUUCGACGGUCAAGGGGGAGAAUUCAAUAUAAAUUCCUAAUUAUGUGAUUUCUGUGUUUCAAAAUGGUAUAUAAAACAUGAAUUCCUCGGCCCCCUAUUACACCAAACAAAAUGGAGUGGUUGAACGUAUAGAAUCGGGUAUGUACAGAGAGUAUGCUCGUGUUGCUUCAUAGUAAGAAAUUGCUUUACAUUUUUUGGGCCGAAAGCGGUUAACAGCUGUCUAUGUCAUCAAUUGCGGAUUAUAUGUACGUCUCCGGGCACGUUGAAACACCUUAUGAACUUUGGCUUGGUAGAAAACCUAACAUUAAACUUUCGUGUCUUCGGGAGUAAAUGGUUUUAUCCUUCGGGAUUCGCUGAAAAUCUUGGAAAUUUGACUCUCGCAGUGACGAAGGGGCAAUAUUUCUUGGUUAUUCUACUACAAGUCGUGCCUAUCGUGCUUACAAUUUACGAACUAAGACGGUGAUAAGUCUAUCAAGUAUAAAAGUAUGAUGCAAGCUUCUUUGUAUUCUUUCUGUGAAUGGUUUCUUCAAAUUCCUUGAUGAAUGACGAUGAAUAAUGAUCUCCGUUGUAAUACCUGUGAAUAUAAUAUUUCUAUACCUGAUAAUUCCAUUGCAUCUUCUGAAAACAUUGCAUCAAUGAUUCAUCUGAGCAACAAAAUAUCACGCCUGAAAUCCCUAGCGGUAUCUCCUGAAACUAUUCCCUUUGACUGAGUCAAGAGAUCAAUCCUUUGUUCAAAUGUGAUCUGGGGGAUCUAAUGUUUGGUGUGCGAAAGGAGUCAGUUAACAAUGUGAAUUUGCAUGUUAUGUUCUUUGAUUUGACCAAAGAAUGUUGACCGAAGCCUUUUGAUGAAUAUUUGGAUAUAAUAUGCCUAUGCAUAGAAGAACUUGGCUCAAUUGUUUCGCAAUAUGUAUGCGGAAUUGGCUGCCUCGUCCUGAGCAACAAACACAUUAUUGGUACGCAAAGGAUCUUUAAGAAUAAAGAAUCAAUAAAGAUGGUACUAUCGUACGGAAACAAAAGUAGACUUGUGGCUCAGGGGUAACUCUCCAAAUUGAGGGGUAUAGACUUUUGAAGAAACUUUCGCUCCGGUUGCCGUCUUGGAGUCUAUUCCGUAUCUUGUUCCCCGAUUGCUGUCACUUUUAAUAACCUGCUCUUUCAAAUGGAAUCUCCAAGUGCGUUUUUAAAUGGAUUUUUAAAGUAGGAACGUUUAUGUUACAACCGAAAGUUUUAUAAUAGACUCAAAAUUUCUCAAAACUCACUGUUUUUUUCGACUCUGAAAAAAGCUACUUUAUGGUAUUAAAACAAGCCUUCCGCGAGGCAUGGGUACGACACGUUAACAAAAUAUCUUUUGGAAAAAGGGCUAUAACCGAGGAGGAGAGCAGAUAGAACUCUUUUGUGGAAAGCAUCUGAAGAAAAAUUUCAUUGUAGCAACAAUAAUAUGUGGAAUGACAUAGUUUUGGGGCUACUAAAGAUAGGAUGCCGCUGAUUUGCCAAAGUUAAUGACCAGUGAGUUUGAGAGUCAAUGAUGGGAAACUUAAUUAUUUCCUCGGCCUUCAGCAAACAAUCAAAAGAUGAAUUCAUUUGUCACAGACAAAAGUAUGCGAAAGAACUAGUUAGAAAUUCGAAUUAGACAGUGAAAAGGAUUUUGCACUUCCGAUGGUCACAAGCAACAAAGGAUUGGGAGUGAAUCAGAAGGUCAGAGUGUGGAUAAGAAACAAUUACAGAAGCAUGAUUGGUGCCUUUCUGUAUCUGACUGCGAGCAGACCUGAACAUUGCGUUUAGUGGUUGAGAUAUGUGGCCGUAUCAGGCUUAAUCCUAGGAAGUACAUUUUGAAGCAGUUAAAAGGAUUAUUCGAUAUUAUAAAGGAACAAACGGAGUAUUCGGACCUAUGGUAUCCUAUGGGGACACGUCUCUUGACCUAAUCGGCUACUCGGAUGCUGACUGGGUCAGGCUCCGCAGAUGAUCGGAACAAGUACUAGUGGGCUUGUUUUUACAUCGCCAUCUGUUUGGUUGCUUGGCACAGAAGAACAAAAUUGAGAUCUGCUCUUUCCACUGCAGAAGCUGAAUACAUAUGCAGCUUGGAAGUUGCUUCUACUCAAUUAAUUUGGAUGAAAAAGCUUACUAAGCGACUAUCGGAUCUCCUCUACCACUCGACUAUUUUGUGUGACAACAGAGUUGCAAUUAAUAUUCCUAAAAACCCUGUUUACAUUCUCGAACAAAAUACUUGAAUUAAAGAUAUCAUUCGUUUUAAGGAACUGGUGAAUCAAUGUUUUAAACUUGAAUACAUUUUCAUACUGAAAAUCAACUUGCAGAUAUUUUAAACCAAACUUGGAUAAAACGUUUUCUGCAUUUGAGGAAGGCAAUUGGUAUGACCAUCAAUCUAGAUAUAUAUUCUAUUGAGCCAACAGAUCAUGUGCACUGGUGUCAUAUUUGUUUUCUUUUCUUGCAUGAUUUUUCAGUAUUUACAUAGAUUUGAAUUUCAAGAUAAUCUUGCCUGUUCUUUGGAACGUGUUAAUUGGUACUAUGAUCUGAAUUUUUCAUAUAUUUUAUUUUUUGAUUGAUUCACUGUCAGGGUAUUCUUCUAUUGCAUCAAUUUUAAAACGAUUCAAUCAUAGUAAGAUCUCUAGUUAACAUGUCUGAACUAUGUAUUCACAUCACCUGUUACAUUGCGCUUCGACUUUGAAUGUGCAUAUCAUUUUGUUUGAUCAUUAUUUUGAAGCAUGAUAAAUCUUUCUCUGUUUUGAAAUAACUAUAAAUCAUUUUUAACAUUGAGGGUUGCACUAAUUUAAGGGGAGUCUGUUCUAAUUUCUACUUGAAUAUUUCUUGAAAAUCAAAGUAUGUGGACAAGAAGUUAACAUCCCUGCUGGGUAGUGUGAAAACAUCAACUCACACCUGGAGGAAAAGGAGCUACCACCCGCGUCGCCGGUUAGUGUGCUGCAGCUACCACAUGUUAUUAAAGUAUCUAUUGAGACAAUAAGACAAAUAGCCACUCCUGCAACAGAAAAAAAAUAAGGAUACAAUAUGCUCAAAAAUGCUAUACAUUCUUGUGUGGUGAUAUAAGUGGAAAUGUUAUAAAAGAGCUGCAAUAGAGGCCACUCCUGUCUCCAGACGAUGUGCAUAACUCAUUUUAUGCAUAUAUAGUUCAAUUCACAAUUUUGAGAAAUAUAUUAUUUCCAUUUUCUUUAAACAAAAUAUGAUGAUAAUAAUAUACAAAUUUAUUUCUAAAGAUACGUUCAAUGAUGUGUGGGAAUUUUAAUUUUAAUAUAGCUAUCAAGAAUUCUUAUUGAUUUUCGGUUAAAAAAUUUUGCAAUUUUGAAUAUCCCUGAAAUUGAUUUUUCAAAUUUCAUUUAUCGAAUUCUUAUUUAAAUUUGUUUUGCGAUGAAAAUAAGUUUUUUGUGAUGAUAUAAAAUAUUAAAGAAAUACCCUUAUAAUUAUUUUAUUGAAUUUUCGGCUGUUUUGAAAUUUUUGAAAAUUUUCGUCUCGGAGACCGUCUCAGGUAGAGAGACCGGUCCCUCCCGCGCGAAACCGAUAUAUAGGCCUUUGCGGUUUCUCAUCUUUUCACUUUUACCCAUCUCGAGCUAGGUUUUUUUCUCCAGAGCUUCUAAGUUCCCAGGGUGUUUUUGCCUUCAAAAUCUUCAUCCCAAUUUCAACUGAAUUUUUGGUAUAGUGAUUCUCGGAUUUUAUUCUUAGUGUAUCCCUAGAAUGUCCGGUUAUGCUUUAUUUCAAAUUUUUUGAGAAAUUUGUUUUAUUAUGAUUUUAGAUCUAUUGCCAUUUUGUCCCUGAUUAUCGCCCUCGAACGUGUAGUAUAACAUUUUUCAUGCAUUGUUCUCAUUGAUUUUGAUACAAAUUGUUUGGUUUUGUGCUCUUAUUGUUUCCAUCAAGACCUAAUUUUUCAAAAUUUUCGAAAAAUUGGGUUUUUAACUGAUUUUUUGAUGCAUGAAAUUUAUAUGUUUUUAUGAUCAUGUGGCCAUAGGAUUAUCUAAUAAUUUAUAUACGCAAUUGCUGAAAUUUUUGUUUUUAAGGAAAUUUUAUAUGCAAAUUCAUAUAUAUGUUUCAACAGUAAUGUUUCAAAAUGUACUCGUCGGUUCUCGUGCUAGUGUCCUUUAUGGCUGGGGGGGUCGGAGUAGCUAAGCGACACUGGGCGCCUUCGCUAAUGAGGCCGGUUGAGCAACAACCGAAGAUGAAGGUAGUGACGUAUGCCCCGGGUGAUUGAAUCUAGAGGAAGACAGACAUGAUUCGGGUAGAACUUUUGUUCCUGAGCUUGUUGCUAAGAAGAAUAGGACGCUGGGAAAGAAGGGAAACGGAAGAACUGUGGAUAAAGGCAGAGACUGCGCUAGUCGUCGUAAGUCGGGGUGUUGAAUUCGAGAAACGCGGGCUCUGAACCCACCACGGGUCGGCAGUUUAGCAGGUAUGUUCCAUGCUACACGGACCGGUCAAUGUAUUGUCGACAACACUGUAUGCGCCGAGCGACCGAUGUUGGCGGGUGGCCAGCUAUAUAGUUGUGCUCCCGGGGUCUUUCCAGGAAUUUGUUUGACACCGGGAAUCUUCAAUCCAGAUUUGUGAAUCUUCCGCGAGCAAACCCGGUUAUUGCUUGCCGAUGUCAGAGAAUUCUAAAUCAGAGCAGGUCACGCUCAGUGUUCCGAUGGGGGUCGUACGUAUUCAACGACUUCUGCUUCCCNNNNNNNNNNNNNNNNNNNNNNNNNNNNNNNNNNNNNNNNNNNNNNNNNNNNNNNNNNNNNNNNNNNNNNNNNNNNNNNNNNNNNNNNNNNNNNNNNNNNCUCCCGAGGUGCGGUCGCCGGUGCCGCACGUGAGGAACUGGGCGCGGGGGACUGCGCCCUCGGUGCGACGUCCACCACGGGUGCUGGCGGUGUGGGACCCUUGGUCUCCCUCGAAGCUGCUGCCUGCUGAAGUAGGAGUUCCUCAAGAUGCUUCAUCCGGACCUCCUGCCGCUGAGCCACCUCAGCCUGUCACUGCGCCGCUGCCGUCUGCUGCACCAACAGAUCGGUGAGAACCGCCAGCUGGGCCCUCAAGUCACGGACCUCACUGGAUCUGGAAGUAGCGGAGGUCUCGACCUCCUCGGGGUGUGCCGCAUCAUCCGCCCCGGCAGACUGGGAGCGUGUAACCGGCAUCGUCACUACAAACCAUAAGAGCGCAAGUUAGUAACCCACGCUAUCGCACCCCCGCUCAAAUAGAUAAAUCCCAAAUCAUGCGAAAGUAGGAAGUGUCAUUCACUACUAAGUCCCGAUGUUACGUUGUCGGCCGCCAACGUAACCCUCCGCGAAGUUAGAAGCCAUACACUCCGAUCGAACUCUAACUUUUUAGAGUUAUCAUAAACCCAAUCAUAAUACUUUCGCUAACAACUCAAUUAGAUCUCGUCUCUCACGAGCCUAAUUCCUAUAUUCCAACCGGCCUAAGGUUUGCUAGGUCCACUAAGACUCAACCCUAGGCUCUGAUACCAAAUUAAUCUGUCACGCGCCGGGACCGGCGGAGGCCCUCCCGGUAGCGCGCCCAAACCCGCCAUAUGUCUACACAUAUAAGGCAUCUACAAUAAAAGUGGAAGUAAAGCAAGAGAUAGAAUAAAUAGAAUGAAUAGCAACUAAUGAUAUCAGAGCAAGUAAAGUUCUAUCAUCUAAACCAGAGUAAAAGAAACAUAUCUAAACAAUAAAAGUAACCAUAAGUAAUACAAUAUCUGUCUCAAAGGUACACAAAAGGGGAGGUCUCUAGUACACUGGUACAGCUCUCAACCUCUCCAAAAAGAAAUACAUUGAGAGGUAGACCACCUAAACUCGUCACUCGUUGAAGGGCUAACUCGAAGCAGCGCCCUUCCCACGGUCCCUAGCCUCUCCCGGCGUGGAAAGCUCUGAAAGAAAUCAUGAAACAGAGGGCGUGAGAACUAUAAUUUAUAGUUCCCAGUGGGCAAUUACUGACCUCAGCUCAAUGCACCACUAGGCCCCAAAAGGAAAGGGUAAGUCGAAAGCAAUAGUAAUAACGAGUAAUUCACAUUUAUGAAAGCAUAAUGAAAAUGCUAAACUAUUACUUGCAAUUAAACAUGGCAUUUAUGUAAUGCACAAUUAUCUUGUCAUGAAGGAUAUGUCUCUACUUAGCCAUAAAUAAUGUCAUGGUUUGCUUAAUGAAAUUAUGAGGAUUAUCCUUUAUCAUAGCAACAUUGUAUAUAUGAAUGCAAAUAAGCAAUGUCUCCUAGCAUACUACAUGUAUGUAUGUAUACCCAAAUGUCCAAAUCUAUGCUAGAAGCAAGUCCGAGUAAUCCAACUACUACUCUCUAUCUAGUAGUGAUUAUAACAAACUCAUCCCGUGUCGAUUUUCAUUUCCAAUUAAGGACCUACCCAAGGUAGUCCAGCUUGUGCCGCCUAAGUGCCUGUGGUAGCCCAACAUCCCUACUCUUGGAAUGUGUCUGUCCCACUCGACCCCGUAGGCUUCUCAAUACCGCACGAGCGAACAUAAGUCGCGUAGGCUAACUCCGGAGUGCCGGCUUGUAGGGAGCGACCCUCACAAGCAUGUGCGAAUGAGCACAAAUGGCAAACAAGCAAGGUCAAUGUCUCAAAUAUCCAAUCAUCAUGUCUCUAACAUGGCAAUAAUCACUAGCAUCUCGAAGAUCUAGUUCUAUGUCACAAUGUGAAAUUCUCAUAUUUACUAAGUCUAGUGCCCCUUUAUGACACUUAGACAUUUCGAUGUACAAGCAUGUUCCAAUUCUCUCAAUGGCACUAUCCACUAGGUUCGCACAUGACCGAGCUCAAUGCCCCUUUAUGACAUUAGCCCAAUUAUUCACAAGUAGUACAAGUCCCCAAGCCUCUUUAUGGCUUACUAAGGUUCUGAUGUCACGAUUAGGCAUAAAGGUUAAAUGCAUAAUAGCAAUGUCCAAUUUCAUAAUGGGAAUCAUAGUUCCAAAUCUCAACUAGGAUGCUAUAUCUCACAUGCAUGCACUCUACCACAUAGAGGUCCAAAAAUUUACUAUACAUUACAUAUGCAUGUUAAGCAUUCAAAAAUUCAUAAUAAAUGUAUCUAACAUGAUUAUGCAUGCUUUUCCAUUUUACAACACUUAAAACAUCAACAAUGAGAUUUUCUCAUUGUGUGGCUAGGUCAAACCCACCGAACCGUCGCGUGCUCCUUCGAUUCGCCGAACGGGGUUGUCCACGAGUCUCAAAAUACCCUAAAAGUAUUGAGCGAAGAGAUACACGGGCAUUACGAUCAACUAUAAGAUCAAACUUUAACAAACUUAGCAAAAGGGCUAAAACUCACCUAAUGUGUAGGAAAUCUCUCUCAAGCUCCAAAAGGGAGCUAAAUCCCUUCCAAUCCAAGCCCAAGGAAGGUUCUAAUCCAAACAAUCUAGCUCCAAAAGCCCUAGAUUUAAAAUGCCCAAAAUCAAACCCUAAGUAUCAAAUCUAGGGUUCCAUCUCAAAAACUUAGCAAAACAUGGAACAAAAGCUCAAAUCAUGUUGCUAACCUCUCUAGAAGUCUCAACUUGGGCUCCAAAUCAAAUGGGGUGGAAGAUCUUUCCUCCAACAAGCCUCUAUCAAAGCUCCAAGUCCUCUCCAAUGGCGAAAAAGCCUCCAAGAUGCAACAAGAAGCAAAAUGAGGCAUUAAUCCUCAAAAAUCUCUAAUAUAACCAAGGAAAAUAAAAAGGAGGGAAUGGAUGGGCUCCUCACCUUGUUUCCCUGUGGUUCCAGCACAAAAAAAGCUCUAAGGGGCGUGGGUGCUGUUAUAGAGAGGCUACAAUCGCGAAAAAUUUCCUGCAGUUUCGAACUGCUCAAAAUCUGCCGCCUUGUACCGGUACACGGGCCCUUGUACCGGUACAAGGCCCACGAAAUCCAAACCCGAGGCUCGGGUUGCGGGGUUCAGUUGCUCUGUACCGGUACAAGCCCGAUGGCUGUACCGGUAUAAGACCUCCAGUAAGCAAAUCCGAGAGCUGACGAAAAUCCGAUUUUUUUGGGUUUUGGUAUACAGCUCUAAACCAUAAUUCUCGGGACACGUGCCAUAGGUCGGAACACAGUCAACGACUCACCAGAAAAUCUGAAAAAGCUCAGAGCACAGCCAAUCACUCGAACCUCGCAAUUUGCAAAGGUCCAGUGUGUUACAUUGCUCCUCGAGGCAAAUUUGGGCAACUUCGUUUUUCGAUUCAUCAUCGCUAGAUUCGUCGGGGGCGUCCCAAUUUAGUGCAUUGAAGGCUUUCUUUUUCUUAUCUUUCUUAAAAGUUUUGUUUGGAAGAGUGCAUUCACUUUUUAAAUGUCCCGGUUUAUUACAAUUAUAGCAAAUGAUUCCUUUCUUGAAUCCUUCACCUUUGAACCCGUCUCGUUUAGGUCUCCUCAAGUUGCGCUUCUUGAUUAGUCGAUCGAGCCUUUUUGAAAUCGUAGCGAUUUCUUCACUCGAACCUUCUUCGCCAUCUUCACUCUCGGAAGUAAUGACUCCCUUAAGUGCAAGGCUUUUCUUUUUCUCAGGAGCCUCUUCGUUGUCAUAUUCUUUGAGGCGUUGUUCAUGCGCCAUGAGUGAUCCAACAAGUUCAUCAAUUUUUACUUUGUCCAAGUCAUGAGCUUCUUGGAUAGUCGUAACCUUAGGUAUCCAACUUCUUGGUAGUACACGAAGAAGUUUUCGUACCAAGUCCGAUUGAGGAAAAUCCUUACCUAAGGCUUUCAAGCUAUUUAUAAUGUUAGUAAAUCUUGUGAACAUAUUCGAAAUGGAUUCACUUUCCUCCAUUUUGAAUAGUUCAUAGUUUGACAUAAACAUGCUUAUUUUAGAUUCCUUCUGUAAGGUACCGGACUUCAAAAAUCAUGAAGUUACGGUGUACAUUUGGUUGGAAAGCCAUUUGAAUCGUCCCGGUGAAGUUCGGUGAGGUUCGGGAGCAUUCGGGCGUUUCGGUGCGCGUAGGCACGGAAACGGGACCCGAAAGGCUAUGUUGGUCCAUGGACUAAAUCCGGCAUUAGCGUGGAUGAAAAGAUGAUGAAAACACGCUUGAAAACAUGUUUGGAAAGUUUCGGUUCGAUUUGAAAAGAAUUGGAGGUAAAACGAAGGAAAACCGACGAAAACGGGCGAAAAUGCUGAAAAUUUGGCUAAGUCCUUGAGGCUGAGUUCUGGACCUUCGGGGACCGGUCUCUCAGCCAAGGACUGGUCUCUCAUCGUAAGGACCGGUCCCCGAACGCGAAAAUGCCCAUUUUGGGCUGUUGCGAGAAAUGCAUUGUUGAGGGGUUUUUAUGCAAUUUUGCACUCAUGUGAGUGUAUAGAUGAGGGAAAUAGGUCUUUUCUCUCUUCCCUCUCAUUCUUGCAACCCCAACACCAUCCCUCUCUCUCUCUCUCUCUAAAUGAAAAAGAAAAGAAAGGAGAAAAGAAAAAAAAAAAAAAGGAGAAGAAGAUGGUGGAGAAGAAGAAAAGCAAGGUGGAGCUUCAUCUUCUCAUCUUCUUCCUCUCCAUUGGGCUAGCUUACGAGGUAAGCUUGCUACUCCCUUUAAUGGUAGAUCCCUAGGUAUGGGGUUUUGAUCUCUAGAAAUGGUUUAAUUGGAUUCCUAGCAUGCUAAAUAGGUGAUAAACGCUCGAAUCUAGAGAUUUAAAGAUAGGUUUUUGCCUAAUUGGAAUCUAGGGCUCCGAAAUGGGAUUUUUGUAAAUAUAGGGGUUUGAUCUCAUUUAGACCUCUGUAAACCUAAUUGCUAGGUAAACAAACGCGUUGGCGAAGUUGGUUCGGCGAUCUGUCGAGCCGUUAUAAAGAUAGUGAAGAAACAAGCGAUUUAGCUUCGUUUCCGCCUGGAGGGCCGAGGCGACGUCGUAAAAUCGUGGAAAUGGAUUUGGAGCACCGUGGCACAUAACCGAAGACCUAUAAUUUUCGGGGCUGCGAAGCGGAGCACGGUUGAGGAGCAGUUGCAAUAUCGGGCCGUGUCGGAUACGGGUGCCGUGGGAGGCCGAUUGCAAGUGUCGACAAGCAAUCGGAACGCGAGUUAAGGUGGGUUGUGUUUACCGAAGCGACUAGGUCGCCUUUAUGUCUAAGAAAGUUAAGAAUUCAUGUUGAUGCAUAUAAAUGUAAAUGAGGCAUGUAAAUGAUGCAUGUAGCUAAUGCUAAUUAGUGCAUAUUGGUAAUAUGAUGCAAAUGCUAAGUAAAUGCAUAUAAAAGAUAUAGAGAUCAUAGAAUGCAUAAUGAGCAAGUACAUAAUACUAGAUAAUUGCAUAGAUGCAUGAUUAGUAUUGUGAGAUUAUGUAUGCAUGUGAACUAGAUGACAUAUGCAUUUAAAAAUGAAUGUUAGAUGAAGUGCGUACUGAUAUAAGAUAUCAUGCUAGAUUCACAAGAUAUGAACUUGGUUGAUAACUCUAAAUUGAGUAGAGCACUCGACAAUGGGAAAUGGUAAUGUAGAAUGCUUAAUUGAACAAUUAGCAAUGUGAACUAGAUCGAGUGGCAUCUAACCUAGUGUUAAAGAACAUAGGUUGUGAAUGAAUCUAGUCAUAUGAACUAGAUCGAGUGGCAUCUAACCUAGUGUUAGUAAACAUAGGUUGAAUAGGAAUGAUAUCGAACCUAGUAUUAACAAACAUAGGUCGGACAUAGUGAUAUUGAACCUAGUGUCAGUGAACAUAGGUUGAACUAGUAAACCUAGAGUUUUGUAAACUAGGUUGUGAUAUAGUAAACCUAGAGUGGCGUUGAACCUAGGUUGUUGAGUAUAGUGGUAGCAACCACUAGGAUGCUUUAGGUCGACAGCAUAGGGUUGGUUAUGGACCCUCGACCUGUGGAAGUGGAUUCCGGAAUCCCAGGACCUGUGAUGACUUUGGUAUCAAGGCUAGGGCGUGUGCGACGACUUCGCCGCCGAGGUUGAUACCAAGGAUGGAUUGGGGGUAAAUGUGCAGAGAUCACCGCCCGGGGCUUGAACCAUUGUCGUGGCGUAUGCGACGAUUUCGCCGCCGGAUGGUUAAGCCAGUUUGUGGAUUAUGCCGCCAGAUCGACUCUAGCCAUUGUUGGGUGAGGUGCGAUUCGUUCGCCACCAGAUGGCCAAGUCAAGGGACUUGAACCAGUGUUCGGCGUGUGCGACGACUUCGCCGCCAGCUGGUUAAGUCUUAGAGGGCGGCCAGUGCGCGGACUAUUCGCGGAUGAUUGACUCGAGGCCGAGUCGGGUGGUUAGCUUGAUUAGGUUAAUAGAAACCUUGAAAGCUAGUGAUAAAGGUAAGAGCUAAGGUAAUAGAGACCUUAGAAGCAAGUUGAACUUGAGUUGUGGUGAACUAAGGUAGUAGAAACCUUAGAGUCAAAUAACAUAAGCUAAGAUUAGCAGAGUUAAAUGUAGAAUCAAUAGAUCUACUGAAUGGUUGCUUAAUUGCAUAGAACUGCAUAAUAUUCAUAUUGCAUAUUGUGAGGCAUGUUAUCUGUUAGUUGCAUAGUAAAACUAUGAUAUAUAUCUAUAGAUAUUUUUGGACUAACAUGAUUGCAGUGCCUCCUUAGACCUUUUGGUCGAGCUUUUUCCUUGGGUGGUCGUACUCACUAGGAACCAUGGAGUUGGUUCUCACCCCACGUUGUUUUGGGGUGUUACAGGUUCGCACGUGAGCGGCGCGGCGGCGCGAGGAAAUGGCGUAGCUCCAUAGAUAUCCCCCUACCUAGAGACCAGAACUAGCAGUACCCCAUCGACAUAGCUUAGGGGUAUGGGGAAUGAAAAGAAUACAAUGUAUCAAAUUGUAAUAAGUAAACGAUGUAAUAACUUAGAUUGUAUUUGGAGGAAUCAAAUGAGGAACUGUGAUGUAAAAAUGUAUGAAUGUGAAUGCAUGUAAUAACAUAGGAUGUGUUAUGUUGUUGAUACCUUCCUUAUGCAAUCUGUUUGUUGAGUACUGUUCUUUGUUGGAACCUUUGUAUUGUAUUGAUUGCGAUGCCUUGAAUGUGCAGGGGAAACUCUGUCCAUAGUACAGGGGAAACCCUGUCCAUUCGGCGCUGUUGGCGCCGCGACCUCGGCCAAAUAGGCGGGUGGUCGCGGGUCGUGACACCUGCACCCUAGAAGUACCUUCAUGAGUAACUUCUAAUUUAUCCCAAAUCUCUUUAGCCGUUGUGCAUGUAGAGAUUCGGUGAAACUCUUCUCUACUAAGAGCGCAAAGGAAUGAAUUGAUAGCUUUAGCAUUCAAUUGAAAGCGAAAUUUUUCGGCUUCAUCCCAUUCCGCUCUUGAUUUUGAUGGAGCGAUAUAACCACUUUCGAUUAUAUCCCAAAUAUCAAAAUCUAGAGAUUGAAAGAAUAUCUUCAUUCUAAUCUUCCAAAAAGGAUAAUCAGUUCCAUCAAAAAAUGGUGGCCGAACAAUAGAUUGUCCUUCGAUAUUCUUUCCCGUGGAUGCCAUUCUCACUUAGAUUUUAAUCUAAAUAAUGUGAGACCUCGCUCUGAUACCAAUUGAGGAUCAAAAUGGCAACCUAAGAGGGGGGGUGAAUUAGGUUUCAAAAUAAAAAUCCAAAUAAUUAAGCAAAUUAAAAAUCCGAUGCAAAUAAAAAUGAGGAGUUUAAAGAAAUGCAAACUCGAAAACCACACGAUCGAUUUGUUUCGAGGUUCGGCACUUUGCCUACGUCCUCGCCAACCUCUCAACACUAGAGAAUGUUGGAUCUCCACUAGAUGAUGCUUUUGCGGGCAAGCACCAAGCCUUCACACCAACUCUUUCUUUUCAAGCUUCAAGACUUUGAUUUUCUCUCUUUUUACAAGAUUAAAUCUCACUACAAAUUUCACUCAAGUAUAGAGAGAGAAUUGAGAGCUAAGAGUAUUAGAGACACUGAAUUUUUAAGCUCAAAAUGAACUAUCUAGUUGCUGCUUAGAAAGGCCUCAAUACCAUCUAUUUAUAGCCUCGAGCAGCUUUUGUCCGUUGUACUUUCGGGCGCCCUAAACCUGUUUCCGAGAGCCCAGAAGUUGUGCACGCAAGCUGCCUGUCAGACCACGUGCGCCGCUUUUCUUGACUUUGUAUGUUCGGGCCGUCAAAAGUUGUGGGCGCCCAGAACACGAGGAACAACUUUUCUGACACGCGCCGCUUCCUCUGGAUUUGGGCCAUCAGAAAUUGUGGGCGCUCAGAUCUCGAGGGACAACUUUUUCUGACAGCCGGAUUUUCCUAGAUUCGGGAUCAUUUUGGGCUUCCAGAACAUGUGGGUGCCCAGAUUUUCAACGCGCGCGCUGCCUGCGUCAGAACUUUUUGGGCUGAUAUGCAACCUGUCAAGUCAAACACUUUCGGUCGCCCUAAACUGAAAUUGGGGCGACCAGAUCCGGUAAAGAAGUUUCUGAACCACCCGAACAGCAAACAGGCAUGAUCCAAAAAAUCUCAUGAGAUUCGGAUCCACUUUAGGGCACCCGGAACAGGGUCCAGAAAUCGCAACUUGACAGAACACAGAAUUUGAGCAGUUUUUGAAUAUUUAAAAAUCCUAUGCACCUAAUUAGAAGUUAGAAAAUGUUUAAGUGAUCUAUAAGGUGAUAAGAUGAAUAGUUUUAAACUUAGCUCAAAAUUUCUCACUCUAAUAGAGCAUCAAAUAAAGAAUAGAGAGAGUGAGUUUGUCUUUUUGACAAAGAAAGCAGAAAUAGCUUCAAGUGGUGAGGCUCGGUGCUAGAAGAUUGCCCAUCUUGAGUCCUUUUUGAAGAUAUAAAGAUCUAAAACACAAAAACUCAAGAUAAAGAAUUAGUCCAAUAAUCGUAAUUAUUUGUUAUCAUCAAAAUCUAAAAGAUUAGGGCCACUAGGCCAACAGUAGGAGUGUUUAGCUGUAUUUUGGUUGUUUUGUUAGUUUGUGCUAAUUUUGUGGACCAAGUAAGCUGUUCGUUAGUGGGCAAAGUGUGAAGCUCCAGUCUCGAGUUUGUAAUUUUUUUUAAGCAAUUUCAGUUUCUAAAAAAAGGAGAGAAGGUUCCCUUCCAAAAAAAAUAGCUUUUGCUUUCUAUUCUCCUUUUUUCUUUGAGAAUCAACAGAAUUAAAACAUACUAAACUAGAAAAAAUAGUAUAAGCAUGAUUAAUUUUAUCUUUGCAUCUUUAAUUCGGAGAUAGUAGUGGUUAAACUCAAAGCUGUACAUAACUUACAAAAAUUCAAUUUAAAUUGAAUAGCACUCAUUGGAGCAGACUCUUCUCUUCUAAUGUGCUUAAUCCCACAUUCUUAUUUUAUUCUUUGGAGAAAGCUCCUCUAGGGAGGAACAAAUCAAUCAAGACAUAGAGGAAUCACUCUAUUUGGUUAUCUCUAAUUGAUAAGUCUAUAGAUUAUUUUGAAAGACACAAUAAAAGUAUUGCUACUGCCACUACUAUCAUGUCCAGAGCUACAGCGUAAACCUUUUCCGGAAUACGCACAGACACGCUGUGACGCACUGGACCUUGCGAAUUGUGGGGUCCGAGUGAUUAUUUGUGUUUUGAACUUUUCCAGACUUUCUGGUGGGUCGUGGAUAGUGCUCCGACCUAUGGUUCGAGUCCCGAGAAUUGUGGUUUAAAGCGGUGUACCAAAAUCCAAAAAGUCGGAUUUUUGGUCAGCUCUCGGGUAGCCUUCAGCGGGCUGCGUACCGGUACGGGCUCGCUUGCUGUACCGGUACGGGCUCGCUUGCUGUACCGGUACGGGCUCGCUUGCUGUACAGGUACGUGGUGGUGUACCGGUACACAGACCAUUUCCGAGCAAACCCGAGGCUCGGGUUUGACUUUUCGUGGGUGGUGUACCGGUAUACAAACCCGUGUACCGGUACACAGUGCAGAGUGGGCUGUUUUCGUGGAGGGGUGUUUUUGCAAUUGUUGCAACCCUUUAUAAACAACCAACCCCGAUGCCUUGAGAGCUCUUUGACCCUACACCAGUGUAGAAAAGAUGAGAACCUCCUCCCUCUAAUGUUUCCUUCUCCUUUCUUGUGUUUGCGAGUUUUUAUCUCUUCGCGUGCCCUUCUGCUUUUGUGGUUCACACAUUGGACUGAAUCUGUGAUACUUGGUGAGCUGUGGUUUGGACAACCUGCAACCGCUAAGAGGACUCUAGCUGGUUGAAGCUUCUAAGAUUUGUAGCUAUUCCCUCUAACGAUUUUUGGAUAUCACUAGAUCAACACUAAUUUUGAUUUAGGGUAAUUGGGGAUUUUCGUUUUGAGGCUGACCAAAUUAUGUGUAGAACCUUUGUUUAGGUUAAUGGAAAGCUCUACUCCCAUUCUGAGAUGUGAGAACUCCCUUCGCAAUCGUGAUCUCGUCUACCCUUAUGCCCUAUACGCUUAAAGAAUGAACAUAGGUCAUCGUCGACUAAGAUGACACUUGGUUUCUAUCCCUGCGUACUAGGACCUGAGGACAACCCUCAACGUUGAGCCACGAGGAUUCUCCGUUCAUCGUGGGUUGCUUCGUGGAAGGCACAAUGGCCCAUAUCUCUUUCUACUUCGUAAAUUUAUUAUUAAGUUCAUUUCUAGAAUGGAAAUUUAUAUGAAUUUAGAGCACUUAAAACUGCAUCCUUGUAAUUAUAAAAUUUCACUUAAGUAGACUAUAUAUUAAAUGCAUGGCAUAGUGAAAAGUGUUUAAUAUGCAAUGAAAAAUACAUCCAUAGAUAGACUUGAUUAUGUCCUUAAAUAAUACUGCCCAUGUUUUACCAUAAGAACAAGAAUGUCUAAAGGGCACUGCAAACAGUAAAAUAUAAAAUGCAACCUAGAGACAUAGAAUAGGCCAUUUGUAACAUCUGCUAUAUCAAUUGCCAUGUUAAACGACUGAUGACUAGGAUAGCCUUGAGACUUCAUAAUAUUCCAUGUUAAUUAAACAUUAGCACUUGUCUAUCAAGAUCGUUUGACUACUUGCCACUUGUUCUAUCGCACAAGCUUGUGAGGUCGCUCCUACAAGCCGACGUCCGGAGAGGCAUCGCCGAUACAUAAUUCGCCGUCGGAUGCGACGAAGGGAUGCCGUGGCAGCUCAUUCCAGUGGCGGAUUAUGACUACCCACGGGGCCAUUACGCGCACCGCGGCCAAUAGCAUCGGGUGGGCCAGGCCAAGACACCUUUCGCCGGUGUUCUAUAUUCGACCUGAGAGUCGUAAUGACAUGUGACAGUGACUGACUAGAGUAAUGACAUUGAUAGAAUACGUAAACAAGAACUUUACUAAUCGCAUGUGAACAUUAUGAAGUUAGACUUUUACAUUCAUCAUAUUCUCCAUACUUAUGCUAUUUAUGCUAAAUAGAGAUAUCAUUUGUAGUAAGCUACAAUUUACUUACCUUCUGUUCUACAUUAUAGUCCACUAACCACGCCCCCCCCCCUCCUUGUACUUCCCUUGGUGGCACUUCACUGAAUCAUAAUUGCCCACGGAACUAUUCUAAUAUCUCACCCCCUGUUCUAUUUCUUUCAGAGCCUUCUGCACUACGGGCGAGGCACCGACGCUGCAAAUGGAUCGCUAGCCUAGCUAUGAGGCUACGGUAACCUUGGCCUAGUGGUUAUACUCCUUUCUAUUGUGAGUAGAAGAGUGAGAGAUUUCUGAUCCAUGUAUAGAGACCACCGAUUACCUACUUUUAGCACUUGCUUCUUGGAUUUCCUAUUAUUCUACUUAUUCUUAUUAUGUUCACGUUUACACCUUAUCCUUAGCUGUAGCAUUAACAUUAUAUCUCUGAUCACUCUAAUUCUGAUUAGCGUUUAUAUUGUUUUUUAGAACCCUUAUCGUUAGACUAUGCGCUCUCGCAGUCGCGCGGGGCUUCGCUGGGUCUGGCUACAAUUACAUUGCUAUCCAGACUAGGGUUGAUCUUAGGACAUAAUGAGCAAAACCUUAGGCGUUGGACAUAUAGAAAUAGCUCGUAGAGACGAGCAUCUGACUUGGAGCGAAAGUACAUGAUUGGCUGUUAUAUAAUCUAUAAAAUUUAAGUUGAUUGAGUCAAUGCCUCUAACUUCGCGAAGGUUACGUUGCGCGACAACGAACACGGAUUAGUAGAAGCAACACUUCUUACUUUCGCCAUGAUUGGGUUGCUAUUUGAAGGCGCCGACGAUAGCGUGGUUCACUGACUACGCCUUAUGACGUUGAUGACGAUCCAGAUUACUCGCUCAAUCCUGCCGGGUGAGCAAUGGCAACUUUGAGGAGUCGAGACCUCCCCGCUACCUCCGAUACAAGCGAGUCCGUGAGUAGGCACUUCGCCCUUCACUAUUGGUUACCAGCAGCGGAGGCGCCCGAAGCAGACAGGCGCGCGCCGACAGAUGCGGGAUGAAACCAUGGAGACCUACUAUGCACACGCACUUCCAGGAGACGCAGGGCCCCACACCCGCCAGCACCAUUGUGGACAUGGCAUGGAGAGCUGCCGUCCCCCGUCCCGUUCUCGCCGUCGGCGCCUCGCGGCCUUGACCCCAGAGGAGGUUGGCGGCGCAUGUGCAGAGGCCCCCGGUUAAGCACUUUCCAUACCUUGUGAGGGCGGAGAAGGAAUGACGCAUGAGCGCCUCAAUGAGUUCAGGAGUGCAGCCCCCGAACGUCUCUCGACGCAAAGCCGGUGACCCACGAUCCGUGGAGAAGUGUUGAUGCAUUUGAGAAGCCUUCACACACCUCGUGGAGGAGAGACAGAGUUGUCCGCUCACCACCACUGGAGACGGCCGCCUACCGCGUGGACUUUCAGAGCACCCGCAGCAACUGACUUGGCCAAUCUAUCAUUGGAAAGUUCCAAACUUCUUUGGACUCAUAUCCUGGCCAUCGUCAAGCGGAAGCAUAGGACAGGAUCUGCCAACUGCGCAUGGCACAGACUGUACCGAUACGAGAGGGAAUUUCUCCGACUUCUGCAUUGGCGGCCCUGUGGCGGACGACGAGGACAAGCCCUCAUCUUCGACAGAGGGUUGCGACCGUCGAUUCCGGGUUUGUCAAUCCCUAACCUGGUCCCAAACCUUACCGGAGGGUGGACGCGCGCAAUAUCAUUACCGUGAGAACGGCGCACGAAGGUCCAGAGCAUGCGUGAGCUAGAACAGAAGGCCUCAAGAGCCUGCGGCUGAGGUGCCAGCCAACUCACUCUAGAGGCCGCCAAGCAUCCGAGAGCCAUCAGCGUACGUCGCGAGCACACAUCGAGGAGGAUCCCGAUCGGCCCGGCCUUACCCGUGUGUGAUCUGCGUCGUCCCCAAUUAUCCACCCGAGUGUCACAGGACGGGCGGCAAUGCUUCCAUUCCAGGAGGGCAACGUCCUACCGGACUUGCACCGAGAGGCUCUUCACCGCACCGUCGCACGCAUCGGCACCGCUCUAAUCAUGUCGCGUCAGCCAGACCCGUCGACACACGUGUACGACCGCGGCGCCACACCGUCACGCCUGAGUGAGUAUCGCGACCGGCCUCCAGUGGCGCGCAGACUGGCCGCCAGACCGAGAAGCGCAGCACCGAGGCAUUGCCAGGUAUCAUAUUACUUGAUGCAUUAGAGUCGUGCUUAUUUGAUACUGGUGCACACACUCAUCAUAGAUCGCCUGUUGCCGAUGCAUGCAUACCUUUAGUUCCUUGUUGCCAUACGGACAUUAGUUGUACCGAGCCAGUUGGACAUUAAAGAGUAGAGCCCCAGGGUUGCCACAUUGGAUGCAGAUUAUUAGCCGAUAGAUUGUAUCUUUCGCAAGACUUGGUGAAUUGAUGUUGUUUGGCAGGAUUUGACCAAGUAUAUGCACUGAUUGAAUGCAAAAUCGCAUCUACUCUUAGAAAAAGAACCUGGCACCACCGAGGGGUAUUUUGUGGAUCCAAGUUCGCCGUGUUUCGAUACGAUCAGCCUGCCGGGAGCAGGCAUGAUUAUUAACAGGUUGUGUAGCCUAUUUGCUAGUGUGUGGCUGAGGCGAAAUAACACCCUAGAUUGAUGAAUAAUCCGGUUGUGCGCGGAGUUCCAGGACGGUUUCCAAGCUGAGGCUACCGUAUCCUCCUUAUAGGAAUUGAUUCUAUUGGAGAUCUCGUCCCUGGACUACCCCAAUCUCAAAGGCACACUAUAGGAUGGCACCCGGAGGCAAGACUAAGGACUGAGGCAAGCUGCAAAGGAUUUGUUGAACAAAGGCAUCAUUCACCGGCGUUCACACUGGAACACCCGUGUUACGUCAAGAAUAAAGACGGAUACUUCGCCCUUUGUGUGGAUAUCGUGAAACUGUAAUAAAGGUCACGAUCAAGAACAAUAUCGUUGCACGAUGACACGCCUGUUUAUAAAUUUCAGGAUCAUGUGAUACCAAGAUCGAUCCUUACAUCGAACCCACCGAGUCUAAAGAUUAAGCCUGAGAUUAUCGAAGACGCUUUAACACGAUGGAACAUUAUGAAUUUCACAGAUAUGACGUUCGCUUACAAUGCCGCCCGCAAGCUUUAGGAUCCUAAUGAACCGGUUUCUAAGCCUUAUCUAACAGUUCGUCCGUGGUUUCAUCCGACGACUUUGAUUUACUCUGAAAUGAUCAGAUCACGAGAGCAUUGAAAAUUGUAAUCUCCAAGUACUUCGGAAAGAGCUUUACCAAGUUUGAAAACUGUGAGUUUGGCUUCGAGAGUAGCUGUCCUCGACACUUGAUUUUCGUGAUUCGGUAUAUGCCUUGACUCCAAAAGAAACAUCCAAGAUUGCCGAGACUGACGACGUAACCGAGAUACGACCUUCCCCGGAUUGCCGGUGACUACGGAAUACUCUUGAGGAUUUGCAAGGUUAUCUCCUCCGCUCACGAGCUCACGGCAUAAAGGAUUCAAGUUCAUUUGGAAUGACGCGUGCGACGAAGCUUCCAAAGGUAAGCAGAAUUGACGACCGCCCGCAUCUUGACCACCAGUAGCUGGUGCGGGGUAGUUGGUUUUAUAUGAUCCCUAAUGGAUGGCUUGUAUUAUGCAGGAGGAACGUGAACGCGUAUGCUUCUCACAACAAAGGAAAUAAGAAGAACUACCCGACCGCAUGAUUGAAUGGCGCUCGUAGCUGUCCAUUGAAACAAUGGCGCCACUAUCUUAUGGCCGAGCGAUGUGAAGAUUACACGGACAACAAGAGCUUAAAGUACCUAUUACUCAUAAAGAAGUUGAACUUGAAGGCAGCGCAGAUGUUGAGCUACUCAAAGAUAGAUCUGACGAUCCUUUACCACCCAGCAAGGCUAACGUUGGCGGAUAGCGCUAAGGUAGGAAAUCGAUGGAAAACUUAGCGAUGCAGGUGACCAACCGCAUGAUCGAGCAAGUAAGCGGUUUGAAUGAGAGUUACUCUGACACACAUCCCUUGAAUUGAUGACCUUAGUAGUGCAAACCUACCUUUUGCUGAUAGAAUAAAGAUAAGCAAACUUCCGAUGAGGCAGUUGCCAAAAGAUCGAGUAAAAUGGUUGAGGUUCAUAACACGCGUAAUUCCUUGGACAACGUAGGUUAAUGCGCUUCGAGGACACUAUGUUUUCCCGGACUCGGGAAUUAAAAAGACAUUCUCAAGAACGCGCACCGGCGCCCUAUGCAUCAUUCCGGAGCAACAAGAGUAUCAUAGGACUAAAUUCUCUAUUGGUGGCCCGGGAUGAAAAAGGACGUUGGCGAGUUCGUAGCUCGUUGUCUAACUUGCCAACAAGUAAAGGCUGAGCACCGAGUUCCCGCGGGGAAACUUCAGAGUUUGCCUAUUCCAGUAUGGAAGUGGGAGAAGAUCGCCAUGGAUUUUGUGACAGGUUUGCCACGCUCUCAGGCCGGGCAUGACGCUAUUUGGGUGAUCGUGGAUAGGUUGACGAAGUCAGCGCACUUCAUACCUAUUCAUACUACUUGGAUUAGAGAGAAGCUCGCACAAGUGUAUCUUGAUGAGAUUGUGCGGCUUCAUAGAGUGCCUACAUCGAUUGUAUCUGAUCGCGACACACGCUUUGUGUCCCACUUUUGGAGGAGUCUACAGGAUGCCUUAGGCACCCGAUUGGAUUUCAGUACGGCAUUCCACCGGCAGAGUGAUGGACAGUCGGAGCGCACUAUUCAGACUUUAGAGGAUAUGCUCCGGGCUUGUGUGAUAGAUUUCCAGGGAGGAUGGUCGCAGCAUCUACCUAUGGCGGAGUUUGCUUAUAACAACAGUUAUCAAGCAAGCAUCAAGAUGGCGCCCUUCGAAGCACUUUACGGACGGAAGUGUAGAUCGCCACUUCAUUGGAGUGAAGUCGGCGAGAGACUGGCUUUAGGCCCUGAUGUGCUCCAGGAAGCUGAGGACAAGGUUCGAAUUGCUCGGGAGCGACUUUUGACGGCGCAGAGUAGACAGAGGAGCUACGCCGAUCGUCGACGGCGAGACUUGGAGUUCUAAGUUGGAGACCAUGUUUUCUUGAAGGUCUUGCCGACUAGAGGAAUCAAGAGAUUUGGGAUUCGAGGAAAGUUGAGUCCCCGUUUCAUUGGACCAUAUGAGAUCUUGGAGCGUGUAGGUCCGGUAGCGUAUCGACUUGCUCUACCACCGAACCUAUACGGCGUGCACAACGUCUUUCAUGUAUCGGUGCUUCGGAAGUACAUUCAUGAUCCAGCUCAUGUUUUGGGAACUAUACCAGUGGAGCUGCGCAAGGAUUUGAGCUUCGAGGAGCAACCCGUGAAGAUUUUGGCUCGCGAGGUGAAGAAGCUGCGGAAUCGGGAUAUUCCGUAUGUAAAGGUCCUUUGGAGCAACCACGAAGAGCGGGAGGCCACGUGGGAGCUAGAGAGUGCGCUGCAGGAGCGCUAUCCCCAUCUUUUUCAGAUGGAGCCUUGAGGUAUGCUUUUGCUUUUGAGUUUCGCGGACGAAACGCCUUUUUAGGAGGGGUGAAUGUGACGCACUGGACCUUGCGAAUUGUGGGGUCCGAGUGAUUAUUUGUGUUCUGAACUUUUCCAGACUUUCUGGUGGGUCGUGGACAGUGCUCCGACCUAUGGUUCGAGUCCCGAGAAUUGUGGUUUAAAGCGGUGUACCAAAAUCCAAAAAGUCGGAUUUUUGGUCAGCUCUCGGGUAGCCUUCAGCGGGCUGCGUACCGGUACGGGCUCGCUUGCUGUACCGGUACGUGGUUGAUGGCUGUACCGGUACGUGGUGGUGUACCGGUACACAGACCAUUUCCCAGCAAAUCCGAGGUUCGGGUUUGGCUUUUCGUGUGUGGUGUACCGGUACACAAACCCGUGUACCGGUACACAGUGCAGAGUGGGCUGUUUUCGUGGAGGGGUGUUUUUGCAAUUGUUGCAACCCCUUUAUAAACAACCCCAACCCCUUUGAGAGCUCUUUUGAGCCCUAGACCAGUGGAGAAAAGGUGAGAACUCCUCCCCUAUGGUUUCUUCUCCAUUUUUGUUGGGUUUUUUGCUAGUUUUAUCUCUUGUCUUCUUCUCCUUCUUUGCUUUUUGUGAUUUUUCAACGCAUUGGAGAAGUGUGAACUGGUUGGAGCUUUUUGGGGAGUCAACCUCAACCCUAGGAGACUUUGAGCUUGGGUUGAGCUUCUAAGAGGUUUGUAUAUUUCUCUCCUCUAGAUUCGGAUUUUGUGAGUAUCACUAGAUCAAACCUAAGAUUUCUGGAUUUUAGGGUAAUUGGGAAUUUUCAUUUUGAGGGCUUUUUGUACCAAAUUGAUGGUUUAGAACCUUUGUUUAGCGUUAGAAUUGGAAGGACUUAGCUCCUCAUUUGCGAGAUUGUGAGAACUUACCUCUUCGCAAUCGUGAGUUUUUCGUCUACCUAGCCUAUAUCUUAAGAUUAACUUAGUCGUCUUCGUCUAUCGACUAGAUGACACUUGUUUCUAUACCUCUAGGGUACUAGGGACUAGAGGACACCUCGUUGGAGCGGCCACGAGGAGUCUCGUUGUCAUCGGUGGUGUUGGCUUGUGGAAUAUGGGCGAAAUGCGCCCGGCUUGCUCUUUCUACUUGUUCCGGUAAAUUAUUUUUAGAGUUCUUUCUAUCUACAUGGAAUUUAUAUGAAUUUUAGAGCCACUUACAAUGCAUUGCCUUGUGUAUUAUAAAAAUUUCACUAUAUAGUAGAGCUAUAGAGUAGAAUGCAUGCAUAUGAACAAAGUGUUUAUUUGGCAAGUGGAAAAUACAUCUCUUAUGAGGAUUAUGACUUGGAAUAUGCUGCGCUUGGACAUAGUUGCCAUGUUUUGCGACAUAGAAAACAAGAGUGUCAUAAAGGGUGCCUCGAAACUACAGUAAAGAUAUAAAUGCAACCUAGAGACAUGAUGAUUAGACCAUUGUAUAUCUGCUAUAUACAUUCCAUUUGAGACAUGAUGACAUAGCGAUAGGCCUUUGAGACUUCGCAUUAUAUUUCCAUGUUAUUAGACAUGCAGACUUGUACUUGCGACAGAUCAGUUUGACUAACUGCAGCUGUGCUCAUUCGCCAUGCUUGGUGAGCGGUCCUCCCACAAGCCGCACAUCCGGAGAUGGCCAUCGCGAUACAUAUUCGCCGUGCGGAUUGGGCGCCGAAGUGGAUUGCCGUGGCCAGGCUCAUUCUAGGGUCGGAUGUUUGACUACCACGGGGCCAUUAGGCUGCGGCACGGCCAGAUCGCCUUCGAGUGGGUCUCAGGGCCAUAGACACGGCCUUCGGUGGUCUCUUCAGAUUCGACUUGAGUAUUCUGUAUAUGACAUGUGGACAGUCGAUGACUUAGAGUAUUAUUUGGACAUUGAUUUAGAAUAGUAAACAACGGAACUUUAGUAUUUCGCUGCAUUGUGAACAUUAUGAUAGUUGGAAGACUUUUACUUCAUGCAUAGUUGCUUCAUACUUAUGCUAUUUAUGCUAAGUAGAGAUAUCAUGUUGUAGUAAGCUACAUUUUACUUACCUUUCGCUUUUCUACAUUAUAGUCACUAACCUCUUUUGUAGCUUUGGGCCUUGUGGUGCAUUUACUGAAGUCAGUAAUUGCCCAUUGGGAACUAUUCUUAAUAGUUCUCACGCCCCUAUUUCUAUGUUUCUUUUUCAGAGCCUUCUGCACCGGCGGAGGCACGGGAUCGCGGCAAAGGGAUCGCUUAGCUAGCUAGUGAGGAGCGGUACUCUGCCUAGGUGGUUUACUCUUUCUUUUUGUGAGUUGAGAGAGAGUGAGAGAUUUCUGUAUCCAUGUAUAGAGACCACCUAUGUACCUACUUUUAGCACUUGCUUUUGGGAUUUCCUAUUGUAUUUACUUUAUGUCUUAUUUAGUGGAUUUACGUUUUAACCUUAUCCUUUGCUGUAGCAUUUAGACAUUUAUUAUGCUCUGAUACUCCUAGAUGUCUUUUAUUAUUGCUUUUAUUAUUGUUGUUUUUAGACGCCUUAUACGUUUUAGACGUAUGGCGGGUCUGGGCACGCGCCGAGCGGGCUUCCGCUGGGUCCCGGGGCGUGACACACGCCAUGUUUACAAGAACACUCUCAUACACAUGAAACGUCAACAAUCAAUCAAUAUAAUCAACCUUUAUAUAACAUUGCAUUAAAAAAAAAAUUGCGAGUUGAUGGGUAUCAAAACAAGUAAAGCAUAACUACUCUUAGAUUUACAACAACUUUCCAUGCAUACCCAAAAGGUUUUAGUAUAUGGAUUACAUAACUUUCUUUUCAACAUCUUAUCCAAGUCUAUCUCCAAAAUGGACUUGCAUAAUAUUUUUCAUGAGUUCUAGUUUCUAAGCAUAUAUUAUAUCAUCAUCUUUUCUCUCUAAGUAUACCACAUAAAUACACACAUAGGGUACAACCUCUAUAGCUAUCCAAAAGGGUGAGAAUGCUCUUGAUAUCACACGACACUUUUUCAUGAUCCUGAGCUUCUCCCACAGAAGACGGCUCUGAAAAUAAAUACACUAAAUACAAGAAUGCAAGAACUACAAGAAACAGUUCCCAAUAGAUAUCGUUGUUGAAAAGGGUGCUCUAUACUACUAAGUCAAUUGAGGCAUAUAUAGUGAAAAGUAGGAAGUAAGUAACAUCGAUAAGACAAAAAUGCUAGUAAACUUGAUACUACUACUACUAUGCCUCUAGAACAACAUGAAGUAAGCAAGGAAAUAUCUAACUGACUUUAUUAUACAUCAAGUUACAAUACGAUAUCGCUAUUCAAUAUUUUACCCAUUCACUAGAAAACUGGCCCAAAAGUCAGGUCCUAACUUGUGUCACGUCUCAUGGGCCAUGUGAGCAUCCCACUACGAAGCCAUGCCUCGCACCCACCACCCAAUCUGUACCAUAGUAAAAUUUUAUAGUUGAGUAGAUAGUGAAUGGGCUAUGUGGUGUUAUUUGGAAGGAUUUUGAAAAAUAAAAGAUGAGUUAGUACCUACGGAAGAGGUUUGGUGUAAGGUACCGGACUUCUAAAACUAUGAAGUUACGGUGUACAUUUAAAUGGUUCCGGUGAGAUUGCGGUGGAAUGUAACAUACCGAAUUUUAAAUAUAAAAGUAAAAAUAAAUAAAAAUAGUAUAAGAUACUAUUUUUAUUGGAUUUAGAGAAGUGAAAUAUAGGUUGGGAAUGACCUGUGCUGAAAUCGGAGCGAAAGCAGAAGAUUUAGAAUUUUCUGUGAGAAACGGGGCAGAUAAAUUAGCAGAAAAUACAUAGUGUCAGAAAAUUAUGAAAACUGGUGGAUAUGUCAGAAUCAUUUUUAUGAUGCUAGAUUUAAAGUUUCAUGCCAUUCUGACACCCGAAAAAUAGAAAAUAAAAUCGAACUGCUAUCAGCUAAAGAUUAUAGUUCGGCACAGCUUUCGGUGACCAAAUGGGGUCGAAACUGAAAACUUAAGAUAUAUUCUUACUCAGUAUGUUAAACCGAGCCUGCCUGUCAAAUUUGAGCGCAAACGGACGUUCAGAAGGGCUUCGACUGUUCCGAACUGCUAAACUGCAAGUUGUAAUAGGUGUGAGAGGGGGUUUUGUGCAAUUGUUACAGCCCCUACUAGUGGCCUGGCAGCAUGCGCACACACACACACCCGCACACGUCUUCUCCCUCUCCUUCACACUUGCAACCGAAGGAAGAAAACCCUCACUUUCUCUCUCUUAAAGGUGGGAAAAAGGAGAAGGAUUGGUAGAGAAGAAAGCUUGGAGGAAAAGUUCAUCUUCUUCAUCUUCCUCAAUGGACCAUUAGAGCAAGCUUUGAGGUAAGCUUCUUGGAGCAUCCAUGGUAGAACUCUAGAAUAUGGAUUUUGAUCUCUAUAAAUGGUAUUUUUGGAAUUUUAGGAUGCUAAAUAGAUGAUUGUUGCUUAAAUCAUGGAUCAAUUUAGUUAUUUCUUGCAAUAGUUGUAAGCUAGGGCUCCAAUGGCAUUUUUGCUAGUAGAAGGGUUUGAUCUAAAUUAACCCUCCGUAAACUUAAUUGCUAGGUAAACGAACGCAUUGGCGAAGUCGGUUCGGCGAUUCGUCGAGCCGUUGUGAAGUUAUUAAAGAACAAACGUUAGGCUUCGUUUCCGCCUGGAGGGCCGAGGCGACGUUCAAAAAUCAUGAAAACGGAUUUGGAGCACUGUAGCAACAAAACGAAGACCCUUUUUGCCCGAGGCUGCGAAGCGAUGCGCGGUUGGUGAGCAAUUUUGAGUUCGGGCCGAACCGGGCACCAGGUGCCGCGGGAGGCCGAUUGCAAGUGUCGACAAACAAUCGGAACGAGAAACGAGGUGGGUUGUAUUUACCGAAGCGACUAGGUCGCCCUUUAUGUCUAAGAAACAUACGAAUUCAUAUUGAUGCAUAUUAAUAAAAUGACAUAGCUAAUGCAUGUGGACAAUGUGAUGCAAAAUGCUAAGUAGAUGCAUAUAAAAUGAUGUAAUAUAGAAAUGCUAGAAUACAUGAUGGCAUUUGCAUAUUAACGUAAAGUAGAAUACAUGCUAGUGAUAAUGCAAGUGAUAUGUAUGUGUGCAUUGGAAUGUAUGCUAGGUGCAUGUAACAUCAUGUGAGCAUGUUAGACAAGAUGCAUGUGCAUAUGGACUCGAUAUGACAAAUAAGAUGUCAAGUAGAUCGAGUGGCAUUAACCUAGUAUUAAUAAACAUAGGUUGGACAUAGAUGAUAUUGAACCUAGCGUUGUUGAACGUAAGAUAAAUAACGAGUGGCAUCUAACCUAGUGUUAAAGGACAUAGGUUGAGUAUGAACCUAGAGUCGGGAUCUAGGUGUGUGGCAGCUAACCUAGUGUUAAAGAACAUAGGUUGAGUAUGAACCUAGAGUCGGGAUCUAGGUGUGUGGCAUCUAACCUAGUGUCAAAGAACAUAGGUUGAGAACUGAACCUAGAGUUAAAGUAAACCUAGGUUGUGAAAUUGAGGCAUUAAACCUAGAGUUAGUUGGACCUAGGGUGGAAAGUGCAUUGUACCUAGAUAGGUCGACAGUAUAGGGUUGGAUAUGGACCCUUGACUUGUGAAGUGGAUUCCGGAAUCCCGAGACUUCUGAGCUCAAUAGUUCUUGGACCGCAGGUAUAUGUGGCAUGUUCCUCUCCUACUGGAAGAACUUUGAGUAUUGUGACUGAGCAAGAAUAGAUAGCGCUAGGGUGUAUGCGGCAUGUUCCUCUCCCUAUCGGGGAUCUUGGCUAUGGGUGUAUGCGGCAUGUUCCUCUCCCACUGGCAGAUCCCUGACCACGGUGCAUGGACCUUCGGGCGGACCGUUGGGCGAUGUGGUUCUUGGCUUGCAGGCUGAGGUGCAUGUGACAGGGUCCUUCACCUCGAGCCGGCAGAGUGCGGAUUAUCCGCAGUUGAUUGACUCGAGGCCGAGUUGGGUGGCUAGCUGGAAUAAGGUGGAUAGAACCUUGAGGGCUAGUGGUAAAUGUGAUAACCUAAGGUAAUAGAAACCUUAGAGUUGGAUGACAUGAGCUAAGAUUAGCAAGAUUGAUUGUAGAAUCAAUAGAUCUACUAGUUGUUGCAUAUAUAUUCAUGUUGCAUAUAGCAUGGCAUCGUUUCAGUUGUGAGGCAAAGCAAGGUAAAGUUAGUUGCAUGUUUUUUAUAUAUAUAUCUAUCUGUUUAUUGGACUAACUUGUAUUUGCCUCCCUUGGGUGGCCGUACCCACUGGGAACCAUGGAGUUGGUUCUCACCCCACGUUGUUUUGGGGUGUUUCAGGUUGGCACGUGAGCAGCGCGGCGGCGCAAGGCAAGGGCGUAGCUCUAUAGAUAGCACCCUACCCCAGAGACCAGAGAUAGCGGUACCCCGAGUCGGCAUAGCCUGGGGGUAGAGGAAAAUGAAAAGAACAAAUGUAUCAAACUCGUAAUGAAUAAAUGAUGUAAUAACUUAUUUUGCAUUUGGGAGUUGAAUGUAAUGUACAAAUGAAUCUCAUGUGAAUGGUUGUAAUAACAUAGGAUGUGUUAUGUUUUUGAUACUUCCUUAUGCAAUCUAUAUGUUGAAUACUGUUCCUGGUUGGAACCUUCAUAUAUUGUAUUGAUUGCGACGCCUAGGACGUACAGGGAAAACUCUGUCCGUUCAGCGGUUUGUCGGCGUGCCGAACCUGACCAAAUAGGCGGGGCUCGGGGCGUGACAUUUGGACCAUGAGAAAGAUGAGCUCAAUGGAUGAGGAUCACACUAUGGUUUAAUUGGUAAAUUGUCGACUAAGGAUCACGUCUAGAAUGUCCAAUUGAUGCUUGCAGGAGUUUGAAGUCGUAGAAGUAAUUGUCAAGUUUCGGGUGAAGAAGGAUGAUAGAGGUGGCUUGUGUGGUGCGCUGGACUUCGCAAAUUAGUGAAUUUCCAGUGACAAAUAGUAAUUGAUACUAUUUAGAUAGUUUUAGUGGUUUUUGACAUGUUGGACUAAUUUUAGUGUGAAUAUUGUAAGGUGCCGAACUUCUGUAGUUAUGAAGUUGCGGUGGAAUGUAAUAUACCGGAUUUUAAUAUAAAAGUGAAAAUAAAUAAAAAUAAUAUAAGAUACUAUUUUUAUUGGAUUUAGAGAAGUGAAAUAUAGGUUGGGAAUGACCUGUACUGAAAUCGGAGCGAAAACAGAAGAUUUAGAAUUUUCUGUGAGAAACGGGACAGAUAAAUUAGCAGAAAAUGCAUAGUGUCAGAAAAUUAUGAAAAUUGGAGGAUAUGUCAGAAUUAUUUUUAUGAGGCUAGAUUUAAAGUUUCAUGCCAUUCUGACACCCGGAAGGUGGAGAAUAAAAUCGAACUGCUAUCUGCUAAAGAUUACAGUUCGGUAGAGCUUUCGGUGACCAAACGGGGUCGAAACUGAAAGAUUAAAAAUUCUUUCGUUAAGUUGAGUGAAACCGAGCAUGACUGCCAAAUUUGAGCUCAAACGGACGUUCAGAAGGACAGGCGAAAAAUAUCUAUAUCUGAGCUACAAACUGAAGUUGAAUAGUGUAUAGUUGAGGGGCUAACUUGUAAAAAGGGGAUUAAUCCCUUUCUUCUCUUUCCUCCUCAACCGAACACACACACACACACACACAACACACAGACGAAUGCAUGGAGGGAGAGAGAAACCUCCCUUUCUCUCUCUAGAUCUUUUCCAAAUUUGAUGGAUUUGGUGGAGAUUGAAGCUUGAAGGUGCAUUUUCAUCUUCAUCAUCUUUUUCCUCUCCAUUAGAGCUAGCUUGAGAGGUAAGCUUUGAUGCCCUUUAAUGGUAGAAUUGUAGGGCUUGAAUUAUAUGCUCUAAGAAUGAAUUUAGUGGAACUCCUAGAUGCUAAAUAGAGGAUUAAUGCUUGAAUCAUGAAGCUAAAUGGUGAUUUCUUGCAUAGUUGUAACCUAGGACUCCAAAAUGGAGUUUUUCAAAACCUAGGGGUUUGAUUUAAAUUGAGCAUGUAUAAAUCUAAUUGCUAGGUAUUCUGAUGCGCUGGAGAAGUCGGUUCGGCGAUUCAUCGAGCCCGUGCGAAGUUAUUAAAGAAACGGCGUUGUUGGUUUCGUUUCCGCCUUGAGGGCCGAGGCGGCGUCUAAAAAUCAUGGAAACGGAUUUGGAGCACCGUGACGCAUAACCGAAGACCUAUAAUUUUCGGGGCUGUGAAGCGGCGCGUGGUUGGUGCGCAAUUGCGAGAUCGGGCCAAAUCAGAUAGCGGGUGCCGCGGGCGACCGAUUGCAAGUGUCGACAAGCAAUCGAAGAGCGAAUCAAGGUGGGUUGUGCUUACCGAAGCGACUAGGUCGCCUGCAUGUCAAAGUGGAGUUUAGUUUUAUUGUUGAUGCAUAUGUGUAUGCAUGUAGUAUUAUGAGAAUUACGCUAAGUUGAGACUUGCAUAUAGAGGCAUUGAAAAUACAUGCUAGACGAUAAUGUAUAAUGACAUAGAUUAAAAAUGCUAAAUGAAAUGCAUGAUUGCAUGUUAGUAUAUAUGCAUAUUGGGAUGAAUGCUAGGUGCAUUUAGUUUUAUGAGAUCAUGCUGGAUAAAAUGCAUAAUGGCAUCAUGUGAAUACAUACUAGAUGAUAGUUGAUUAUGCUAGUUGACAAUGACAUGUUGAUGCAUUGGAAAUAUAUGCCAGUGAUAGAUCCAUGAGAUCAUGUUAGAGAACAUGCAUUUUAACGUAUUGUUGAUAGUUGCAUAUAAACAUUAUGUAUACUAGUUGAUAGUGGCAUGUUGAUGCAUUAGAAAUGCAUGCUAGUUGAUAAUGGCAAUUUGCUAUGUUGAAAUAUAUGCUAGAUGAUAAUUGCAUAUUGACAUGUUAAAAUGUAAGCUAAAAGAAUGCAUUGGGACAUCCCUCAAAAAAAAAAAAGGAAAAAAAGAGAAUGCAUCGGGACAUGAGGUAGAAAAGCAAAGUGAAAUGCAUGAUAACCUUUUGUGGAAUACAUGCUAGGUACGGGUUAGCAUUGCAAGAUCGUGUCAGAGAGCAUGCAUAAUAACAUGUUAUCGAUUAUGUUAGAUAAGAUGCAUGUUGGCAUCGUAAGCACGAGAUAGAGAACAUGUAAUUAUAGAAACUCGAUAUGGACAAUUAGGUGUCGGAUAGAUCGAGUGACAUCGAACCUAGUGUUUGUCACGCCCCAAACCCCACUACAACAUAAUUGGGUUAUAGAGACACAUAUUUGGGACACUUUUAUACAAGUGUCCCAUUUAUGUUCAAAAUUAUUUUUAAAAGAAAUUAUCAAAGCCCAAACAUAAAGCCCAAUUCGAAAAUAAAAAUAAAAAAUGUUACACUGCUUAAUCCACCAACUUGGCCUAGUUAUGAAAAAACAAAAGAAAGAGAAAAAACUGAUCUCUCUCAUCCUCCUAUCUCCUAGGUCAUCUCUUCCUUCUCCCCUCACUCAAACCCUUAAAACCCUAGACGAAGAGCCCUUCGAUCACUAUCUCCACGAACCCCUCCCACCUCGACGCCCUCCAACUUCGCGACCUCCUCCUCUUCUGCGGCCGUUCCGAGCCCGUCGAUGCAUGCAAGCUUCGCCGCGCCCUCGCCCACAGCGUCGUCGUCAUCUCCAUCUUUUGCAGGGCCCGAUUCUUAGACCGGGAUGACGAGCGCGAUGGUCUAGGGUUAGGGUUAGGGUUUGAAGAGCUUCUGGAGAGGGCGUUCACCGGUUGGUGGGGUUUGGGAGGGCGGUUUCGGAUGGCGGCCUCACCGCUUCGAUUCAUGAUGUCAUGGUAAUAUUUUGCUUCAGAUCGCACUUAAAAUUUGUCCAAUUUAUACUGUUUUUGGUGACGAUAUUUUGCUUAUUUUGAGUAUGGUUGCUGGAAUUGAUCGUUUCUAGAGAGUUUCUGUGGAUAGAUUUUGAUGAUUAGUUAUGAAAUUUGUGUAGUUUGAGGCAUAAUUCGUAAUAAAGUGGCUAUCUUAACAUUGUGCAAAAAAGUGCUAUGUUGUGCUUCUGAAAAUAAGGUUCAUUAAAGAGUAAACCCUUUGACUAACUGUAUUGUGUGGGCUCUUUGAUUUGUCCUGUUUUUGUGAUAUAGUUUAAAAGAUAAUUUAUGUUAUUAGCCACAUAACCAAUAGGGCAUGUAAACAACUUAUCUGUAGAGAGCUUUCUGCCUGAACUGAGAGACUAUGCAUGCCAAAAGUGAUGAUCAAGGUAACUUAUGACCAAAAAUAUAAGUUUAUAACUAGCCAAGAAGAGAAUCUUGUUGUUGCGAACUAAAAGAUUGUAGAGCAAUUGAUAGUGUUUGUUUACGUCUAAAUUUUUUCAGUCCUACGGAUGUUUUUCUGUAGACAUAUCAUUGGCAACACUUUACAAUAAUAAGGCAUUGUAUGCAUGGGUUGGUGAAGAUGUAGUGAAAAUGAUUGCUAUUUGUAUGUUUUCAUACAUGAAAACUGAAGCUCUCUAUAGAUCUUUUCUAGUAUGAAUUUGAUUAUUAAUUAUUUUAUUUUGUAACUUAUAUGAUUUUCUCCAUGGUUGCUUAACUGCUCUGCUUCGGUCAUGGACUAAACAACAAUAGGAUGCAGCAGAACAAUGUACUAUGGUGGAGUUUCUUCUACUGGAUCCCAAAGAGGAAAACACACCGAGGGCAUGUUUGUUUCAUUGAAACAGGACUUUGGGUUGAAGUGAAGUUCAGUAAAUACUUCUUCCCCAUUGUUUGUUUCGUAGUUAUAGAAGUAAAGUUUUAUUAGUUCUGUUGUUUGUUUUGUAGGAAGUGUAUGAAGUAAAAUUAUAAUUUAUAUAUAAAUAAUUAACUAAUCAAUUUUUAUCAUAUUUUAAAUAUGUCAACUGAAUAAAAGAGUAAUUAGUACCAUAAUUAAAUAUAUUUAAAUAUAACUAUCUUUACCUAGUAUAUUAUUUUAUUUUUUUUUCUUCAUCUCUCUUCACCGUAAUUGACUUCGGUCCACGAUGGGCCGAAGUCAAUUACGCCGUUUCAGGUUAACCUGAGUUUCGACUGUAACUUAUUUACGGCGAACCAAACAACAAAAGUGGUCAUUUAUGGCAAAAACGACUUCCCUCCUCUCCACUUCCACCCCACUUUCACCCAAACAAACAUGCCCCGAAUGAUGCUUCUAAGGCACUUAGUAGAUUUGUAAACCAACUGUGUGAUCUUGAAAACUGUAUGAUCUUAAAAAUCAUACAUAUUUGUGUUGAAUAUAUCGAUGACUUUUGAACUUAGUAGCAAUAGACUGAGCUUGAUUCAUUUCACAUUAUUAUGAAGCAAAUGAUGUCAGCUAAAGCAGAUUAUAUUGUUCCCAUGCAGAUCAAUCGGUGUAGUUUGUUAUAACAAAUAAAAUAGGUUCAGUGUAGUUUUGUUAUAACAAAUAAAAUAGGUUCAAAACUAGCUUGUUUCUUCAUCAAUAAAUUCUUUUGUUUGUAUGUACUUAUGAACUAAACAAGUAUAAACGACUUUCAAGGGCAUUGCUAGCCAUGAUAUUUAAUUUCAUAUAGCCAAGAUUCCUUAUUAGGCUUGGUUAAGAAUGAGAUGAUACACUGGUAAUUUCACUGAUGUGCACAACAUACAUGAAGUUAUAGGUGUCUUCUUUAUGCUUUAUACAUAUGUUAUAGCUAAUCCUUAAUUCUUUUAUGCAUCCUAUUGAGUGUACUGAUGACAAAGACUGCUGUCCAUAAUUUUGAAAGUAAUUCCUAAAAGGGAAUUAUUGCUUGCUCUUGGAUAAAUACAUUUGUAAGGACUGAGAUUUUUUGCAGUGUAGCUAAACUCUCAGUUGACGAUGUUUUUGUGUGUAUUUUAAUUACAAAAGCACUCGUCAAGUUUCGGGCGAAAUCGAGUUAAAACGGAAAUUCUACGCGAUUUCCAAGUUUCACUUAAAGUGAAUAGUAACUCGAUUUUCCGGAGAAGCCGCGGUGAGAAGUUGGCUUCUGGCCCUCAGCGUGCGAGCGGAGCCGGGCUCGCCCAGACCCCGCCGACGCCCGACCGGCUCCGCCGCGGCCGACGCGCGGCCCCGCCGCCGCUGGCCGCCCUUCCCCGCGGGCCCGUGCCCCUGCAGCCGCCCUCUCUAUAGUCCGCCGCCGCCGCGCGACCGCCGACGCCGUCGGGCCGAGCCGGUCCGAGCCGGACCCGACGACGUCCGCCGACCUCGCCGACGCCGCCGCGUCCGCUGCCGCCGCCAGCCGCCCCUUUCAGCGGCCUCGUGCCCCACUGAGGCCCCCUCCCAGGCUUCCACCGCCGCCAGAGCCCAGAGGAGUGUUGGGCUCUCCUCUCUCCCUCUCUCUUUCUCUCCCUCCCUCUCUCCUCAUCUCCGACGCCGCCGCCAACCGGCCGGCCCCGACUCAGCCGCCGCCGGACCCGCGCACGUCGUCCACGUCCCUUUCCUCUCCCUCCGCCGACCCGAUCCCGUUCCGAUCCCAAUCCCAAAGAUCAUCGUUUGGGAUUCUCGUUGAUAUUUAUGGCUCCGCGUUGAACGUUUUUCUAGGUGGUUUGUAGCCUUAAAGUUAGGCUCGGGAAGUGGCUUGCUGAUUUUGCGUACUUGCGGGGAGGUGCACGCUAGAGUGCGUUUUGCCAUGUAUUUUACAGCGCUGAAAGCGCUUUUAUGGUAAAACGGUGAUGGCUGGAGAGGAGCUAGUUGCGCGCUAGAGACGUCUAGGCAGGCAGUCUAAACGCUUGCCUAACGUGGCCACGCUAGUCGUGGUGCCUCUGUUGUUUCGAUGCUAAAGCAAAGCAGAACUAGCUGGUGCCCAAGUGCUGUUUUAGGUUGGAAGGAAAGUUCUCUUCUUUUGUGUGGCUUUAUGUAUAUCUUAUACAUAAAAAUCUAAAAGAGCUUUAGGCACGCAGUUUGAGUUUUAGGCAGUCGCAGUAAUCAAGGUCUUGUUGACUGGGCCAGCUUUGCUCGAUAACCUGACGAUACUUGUCUCAGGCCAUGCUNNNNNNNNNNNNNNNNNNNNNNNNNNNNNNNNNNNNNNNNNNNNNNNNNNNNNNNNNNNNNNNNNNNNNNNNNNNNNNNNNNNNNNNNNNNNNNNNNNNNNNNNNNNNNNNNNNNNNNNNNNNNNNNNNNNNNNNNNNNNNNNNNNNNNNNNNNNNNNNNNNNNNNNNNNNNNNNNNNNNNNNNNNNNNNNNNNNNNNNNNNNNNNNNNNNNNNNNNNNNNNNNNNNNNNNNNNNNNNNNNNNNNNNNNNNNNNNNNNNNNNNNNNNNNNNNNNNNNNNNNNNNNNNNNNNNNNNNNNNNNNNNNNNNNNNNNNNNNNNNNNNNNNNNNNNNNNNNNNNNNNNNNNNNNNNNNNNNNNNNNNNNNNNNNNNNNNNNNNNNNNNNNNNNNNNNNNNNNNNNNNNNNNNNNNNNNNNNNNNNNNNNNNNNNNNNNNNNNNNNNNNNNNNNNNNNNNNNNNNNNNNNNNNNNNNNNNNNNNNNNNNNNNNNNNNNNNNNNNNNNNNNNNNNNNNNNNNNNNNNNNNNNNNNNNNNNNNNNNNNNNNNNNNNNNNNNNNNNNNNNNNNNNNNNNNNNNNNNNNNNNNNNNNNNNNNNNNNNNNNNNNNNNNNNNNNNNNNNNNNNNNNNNNNNNNNNNNNNNNNNNNNNNNNNNNNNNNNNNNNNNNNNNNNNNNNNNNNNNNNNNNNNNNNNNNNNNNNNNNNNNNNNNNNNNNNNNNNNNNNNNNNNNNNNNNNNNNNNNNNNNNNNNNNNNNNNNNNNNNNNNNNNNNNNNNNNNNNNNNNNNNNNNNNNNNNNNNNNNNNNNNNNNNNNNNNNNNNNNNNNNNNNNNNNNNNNNNNNNNNNNNNNNNNNNNNNNNNNNNNNNNNNNNNNNNNNNNNNNNNNNNNNNNNNNNNNNNNNNNNNNNNNNNNNNNNNNNNNNNNNNNNNNNNNNNNNNNNNNNNNNNNNNNNNNNNNNNNNNNNNNNNNNNNNNNNNNNNNNNNNNNNNNNNNNNNNNNNNNNNNNNNNNNNNNNNNNNNNNNNNNNNNNNNNNNNNNNNNNNNNNNNNNNNNNNNNNNNNNNNNNNNNNNNNNNNNNNNNNNNNNNNNNNNNNNNNNNNNNNNNNNNNNNNNNNNNNNNNNNNNNNNNNNNNNNNNNNNNNNNNNNNNNNNNNNNNNNNNNNNNNNNNNNNNNNNNNNNNNNNNNNNNNNNNNNNNNNNNNNNNNNNNNNNNNNNNNNNNNNNNNNNNNNNNNNNNNNNNNNNNNNNNNNNNNNNNNNNNNNNNNNNNNNNNNNNNNNNNNNNNNNNNNNNNNNNNNNNNNNNNNNNNNNNNNNNNNNNNNNNNNNNNNNNNNNNNNNNNNNNNNNNNNNNNNNNNNNNNNNNNNNNNNNNNNNNNNNNNNNNNNNNNNNNNNNNNNNNNNNNNNNNNNNNNNNNNNNNNNNNNNNNNNNNNNNNNNNNNNNNNNNNNNNNNNNNNNNNNNNNNNNNNNNNNNNNNNNNNNNNNNNNNNNNNNNNNNNNNNNNNNNNNNNNNNNNNNNNNNNNNNNNNNNNNNNNNNNNNNNNNNNNNNNNNNNNNNNNNNNNNNNNNNNNNNNNNNNNNNNNNNNNNNNNNNNNNNNNNNNNNNNNNNNNNNNNNNNNNNNNNNNNNNNNNNNNNNNNNNNNNNNNNNNNNNNNNNNNNNNNNNNNNNNNNNNNNNNNNNNNNNNNNNNNNNNNNNNNNNNNNNNNNNNNNNNNNNNNNNNNNNNNNNNNNNNNNNNNNNNNNNNNNNNNNNNNNNNNNNNNNNNNNNNNNNNNNNNNNNNNNNNNNNNNNNNNNNNNNNNNNNNNNNNNNNNNNNNNNNNNNNNNNNNNNNNNNNNNNNNNNNNNNNNNNNNNNNNNNNNNNNNNNNNNNNNNNNNNNNNNNNNNNNNNNNNNNNNNNNNNNNNNNNNNNNNNNNNNNNNNNNNNNNNNNNNNNNNNNNNNNNNNNNNNNNNNNNNNNNNNNNNNNNNNNNNNNNNNNNNNNNNNNNNNNNNNNNNNNNNNNNNNNNNNNNNNNNNNNNNNNNNNNNNNNNNNNNNNNNNNNNNNNNNNNNNNNNNNNNNNNNNNNNNNNNNNNNNNNNNNNNNNNNNNNNNNNNNNNNNNNNNNNNNNNNNNNNNNNNNNNNNNNNNNNNNNNNNNNNNNNNNNNNNNNNNNNNNNNNNNNNNNNNNNNNNNNNNNNNNNNNNNNNNNNNNNNNNNNNNNNNNNNNNNNNNNNNNNNNNNNNNNNNNNNNNNNNNNNNNNNNNNNNNNNNNNNNNNNNNNNNNNNNNNNNNNNNNNNNNNNNNNNNNNNNNNNNNNNNNNNNNNNNNNNNNNNNNNNNNNNNNNNNNNNNNNNNNNNNNNNNNNNNNNNNNNNNNNNNNNNNNNNNNNNNNNNNNNNNNNNNNNNNNNNNNNNNNNNNNNNNNNNNNNNNNNNNNNNNNNNNNNNNNNNNNNNNNNNNNNNNNNNNNNNNNNNNNNNNNNNNNNNNNNNNNNNNNNNNNNNNNNNNNNNNNNNNNNNNNNNNNNNNNNNNNNNNNNNNNNNNNNNNNNNNNNNNNNNNNNNNNNNNNNNNNNNNNNNNNNNNNNNNNNNNNNNNNNNNNNNNNNNNNNNNNNNNNNNNNNNNNNNNNNNNNNNNNNNNNNNNNNNNNNNNNNNNNNNNNNNNNNNNNNNNNNNNNNNNNNNNNNNNNNNNNNNNNNNNNNNNNNNNNNNNNNNNNNNNNNNNNNNNNNNNNNNNNNNNNNNNNNNNNNNNNNNNNNNNNNNNNNNNNNNNNNNNNNNNNNNNNNNNNNNNNNNNNNNNNNNNNNNNNNNNNNNNNNNNNNNNNNNNNNNNNNNNNNNNNNNNNNNNNNNNNNNNNNNNNNNNNNNNNNNNNNNNNNNNNNNNNNNNNNNNNNNNNNNNNNNNNNNNNNNNNNNNNNNNNNNNNNNNNNNNNNNNNNNNNNNNNNNNNNNNNNNNNNNNNNNNNNNNNNNNNNNNNNNNNNNNNNNNNNNNNNNNNNNNNNNNNNNNNNNNNNNNNNNNNNNNNNNNNNNNNNNNNNNNNNNNNNNNNNNNNNNNNNNNNNNNNNNNNNNNNNNNNNNNNNNNNNNNNNNNNNNNNNNNNNNNNNNNNNNNNNNNNNNNNNNNNNNNNNNNNNNNNNNNNNNNNNNNNNNNNNNNNNNNNNNNNNNNNNNNNNNNNNNNNNNNNNNNNNNNNNNNNNNNNNNNNNNNNNNNNNNNNNNNNNNNNNNNNNNNNNNNNNNNNNNNNNNNNNNNNNNNNNNNNNNNNNNNNNNNNNNNNNNNNNNNNNNNNNNNNNNNNNNNNNNNNNNNNNNNNNNNNNNNNNNNNNNNNNNNNNNNNNNNNNNNNNNNNNNNNNNNNNNNNNNNNNNNNNNNNNNNNNNNNNNNNNNNNNNNNNNNNNNNNNNNNNNNNNNNNNNNNNNNNNNNNNNNNNNNNNNNNNNNNNNNNNNNNNNNNNNNNNNNNNNNNNNNNNNNNNNNNNNNNNNNNNNNNNNNNNNNNNNNNNNNNNNNNNNNNNNNNNNNNNNNNNNNNNNNNNNNNNNNNNNNNNNNNNNNNNNNNNNNNNNNNNNNNNNNNNNNNNNNNNNNNNNNNNNNNNNNNNNNNNNNNNNNNNNNNNNNNNNNNNNNNNNNNNNNNNNNNNNNNNNNNNNNNNNNNNNNNNNNNNNNNNNNNNNNNNNNNNNNNNNNNNNNNNNNNNNNNNNNNNNNNNNNNNNNNNNNNNNNNNNNNNNNNNNNNNNNNNNNNNNNNNNNNNNNNNNNNNNNNNNNNNNNNNNNNNNNNNNNNNNNNNNNNNNNNNNNNNNNNNNNNNNNNNNNNNNNNNNNNNNNNNNNNNNNNNNNNNNNNNNNNNNNNNNNNNNNNNNNNNNNNNNNNNNNNNNNNNNNNNNNNNNNNNNNNNNNNNNNNNNNNNNNNNNNNNNNNNNNNNNNNNNNNNNNNNNNNNNNNNNNNNNNNNNNNNNNNNNNNNNNNNNNNNNNNNNNNNNNNNNNNNNNNNNNNNNNNNNNNNNNNNNNNNNNNNNNNNNNNNNNNNNNNNNNNNNNNNNNNNNNNNNNNNNNNNNNNNNNNNNNNNNNNNNNNNNNNNNNNNNNNNNNNNNNNNNNNNNNNNNNNNNNNNNNNNNNNNNNNNNNNNNNNNNNNNNNNNNNNNNNNNNNNNNNNNNNNNNNNNNNNNNNNNNNNNNNNNNNNNNNNNNNNNNNNNNNNNNNNNNNNNNNNNNNNNNNNNNNNNNNNNNNNNNNNNNNNNNNNNNNNNNNNNNNNNNNNNNNNNNNNNNNNNNNNNNNNNNNNNNNNNNNNNNNNNNNNNNNNNNNNNNNNNNNNNNNNNNNNNNNNNNNNNNNNNNNNNNNNNNNNNNNNNNNNNNNNNNNNNNNNNNNNNNNNNNNNNNNNNNNNNNNNNNNNNNNNNNNNNNNNNNNNNNNNNNNNNNNNNNNNNNNNNNNNNNNNNNNNNNNNNNNNNNNNNNNNNNNNNNNNNNNNNNNNNNNNNNNNNNNNNNNNNNNNNNNNNNNNNNNNNNNNNNNNNNNNNNNNNNNNNNNNNNNNNNNNNNNNNNNNNNNNNNNNNNNNNNNNNNNNNNNNNNNNNNNNNNNNNNNNNNNNNNNNNNNNNNNNNNNNNNNNNNNNNNNNNNNNNNNNNNNNNNNNNNNNNNNNNNNNNNNNNNNNNNNNNNNNNNNNNNNNNNNNNNNNNNNNNNNNNNNNNNNNNNNNNNNNNNNNNNNNNNNNNNNNNNNNNNNNNNNNNNNNNNNNNNNNNNNNNNNNNNNNNNNNNNNNNNNNNNNNNNNNNNNNNNNNNNNNNNNNNNNNNNNNNNNNNNNNNNNNNNNNNNNNNNNNNNNNNNNNNNNNNNNNNNNNNNNNNNNNNNNNNNNNNNNNNNNNNNNNNNNNNNNNNNNNNNNNNNNNNNNNNNNNNNNNNNNNNNNNNNNNNNNNNNNNNNNNNNNNNNNNNNNNNNNNNNNNNNNNNNNNNNNNNNNNNNNNNNNNNNNNNNNNNNNNNNNNNNNNNNNNNNNNNNNNNNNNNNNNNNNNNNNNNNNNNNNNNNNNNNNNNNNNNNNNNNNNNNNNNNNNNNNNNNNNNNNNNNNNNNNNNNNNNNNNNNNNNNNNNNNNNNNNNNNNNNNNNNNNNNNNNNNNNNNNNNNNNNNNNNNNNNNNNNNNNNNNNNNNNNNNNNNNNNNNNNNNNNNNNNNNNNNNNNNNNNNNNNNNNNNNNNNNNNNNNNNNNNNNNNNNNNNNNNNNNNNNNNNNNNNNNNNNNNNNNNNNNNNNNNNNNNNNNNNNNNNNNNNNNNNNNNNNNNNNNNNNNNNNNNNNNNNNNNNNNNNNNNNNNNNNNNNNNNNNNNNNNNNNNNNNNNNNNNNNNNNNNNNNNNNNNNNNNNNNNNNNNNNNNNNNNNNNNNNNNNNNNNNNNNNNNNNNNNNNNNNNNNNNNNNNNNNNNNNNNNNNNNNNNNNNNNNNNNNNNNNNNNNNNNNNNNNNNNNNNNNNNNNNNNNNNNNNNNNNNNNNNNNNNNNNNNNNNNNNNNNNNNNNNNNNNNNNNNNNNNNNNNNNNNNNNNNNNNNNNNNNNNNNNNNNNNNNNNNNNNNNNNNNNNNNNNNNNNNNNNNNNNNNNNNNNNNNNNNNNNNNNNNNNNNNNNNNNNNNNNNNNNNNNNNNNNNNNNNNNNNNNNNNNNNNNNNNNNNNNNNNNNNNNNNNNNNNNNNNNNNNNNNNNNNNNNNNNNNNNNNNNNNNNNNNNNNNNNNNNNNNNNNNNNNNNNNNNNNNNNNNNNNNNNNNNNNNNNNNNNNNNNNNNNNNNNNNNNNNNNNNNNNNNNNNNNNNNNNNNNNNNNNNNNNNNNNNNNNNNNNNNNNNNNNNNNNNNNNNNNNNNNNNNNNNNNNNNNNNNNNNNNNNNNNNNNNNNNNNNNNNNNNNNNNNNNNNNNNNNNNNNNNNNNNNNNNNNNNNNNNNNNNNNNNNNNNNNNNNNNNNNNNNNNNNNNNNNNNNNNNNNNNNNNNNNNNNNNNNNNNNNNNNNNNNNNNNNNNNNNNNNNNNNNNNNNNNNNNNNNNNNNNNNNNNNNNNNNNNNNNNNNNNNNNNNNNNNNNNNNNNNNNNNNNNNNNNNNNNNNNNNNNNNNNNNNNNNNNNNNNNNNNNNNNNNNNNNNNNNNNNNNNNNNNNNNNNNNNNNNNNNNNNNNNNNNNNNNNNNNNNNNNNNNNNNNNNNNNNNNNNNNNNNNNNNNNNNNNNNNNNNNNNNNNNNNNNNNNNNNNNNNNNNNNNNNNNNNNNNNNNNNNNNNNNNNNNNNNNNNNNNNNNNNNNNNNNNNNNNNNNNNNNNNNNNNNNNNNNNNNNNNNNNNNNNNNNNNNNNNNNNNNNNNNNNNNNNNNNNNNNNNNNNNNNNNNNNNNNNNNNNNNNNNNNNNNNNNNNNNNNNNNNNNNNNNNNNNNNNNNNNNNNNNNNNNNNNNNNNNNNNNNNNNNNNNNNNNNNNNNNNNNNNNNNNNNNNNNNNNNNNNNNNNNNNNNNNNNNNNNNNNNNNNNNNNNNNNNNNNNNNNNNNNNNNNNNNNNNNNNNNNNNNNNNNNNNNNNNNNNNNNNNNNNNNNNNNNNNNNNNNNNNNNNNNNNNNNNNNNNNNNNNNNNNNNNNNNNNNNNNNNNNNNNNNNNNNNNNNNNNNNNNNNNNNNNNNNNNNNNNNNNNNNNNNNNNNNNNNNNNNNNNNNNNNNNNNNNNNNNNNNNNNNNNNNNNNNNNNNNNNNNNNNNNNNNNNNNNNNNNNNNNNNNNNNNNNNNNNNNNNNNNNNNNNNNNNNNNNNNNNNNNNNNNNNNNNNNNNNNNNNNNNNNNNNNNNNNNNNNNNNNNNNNNNNNNNNNNNNNNNNNNNNNNNNNNNNNNNNNNNNNNNNNNNNNNNNNNNNNNNNNNNNNNNNNNNNNNNNNNNNNNNNNNNNNNNNNNNNNNNNNNNNNNNNNNNNNNNNNNNNNNNNNNNNNNNNNNNNNNNNNNNNNNNNNNNNNNNNNNNNNNNNNNNNNNNNNNNNNNNNNNNNNNNNNNNNNNNNNNNNNNNNNNNNNNNNNNNNNNNNNNNNNNNNNNNNNNNNNNNNNNNNNNNNNNNNNNNNNNNNNNNNNNNNNNNNNNNNNNNNNNNNNNNNNNNNNNNNNNNNNNNNNNNNNNNNNNNNNNNNNNNNNNNNNNNNNNNNNNNNNNNNNNNNNNNNNNNNNNNNNNNNNNNNNNNNNNNNNNNNNNNNNNNNNNNNNNNNNNNNNNNNNNNNNNNNNNNNNNNNNNNNNNNNNNNNNNNNNNNNNNNNNNNNNNNNNNNNNNNNNNNNNNNNNNNNNNNNNNNNNNNNNNNNNNNNNNNNNNNNNNNNNNNNNNNNNNNNNNNNNNNNNNNNNNNNNNNNNNNNNNNNNNNNNNNNNNNNNNNNNNNNNNNNNNNNNNNNNNNNNNNNNNNNNNNNNNNNNNNNNNNNNNNNNNNNNNNNNNNNNNNNNNNNNNNNNNNNNNNNNNNNNNNNNNNNNNNNNNNNNNNNNNNNNNNNNNNNNNNNNNNNNNNNNNNNNNNNNNNNNNNNNNNNNNNNNNNNNNNNNNNNNNNNNNNNNNNNNNNNNNNNNNNNNNNNNNNNNNNNNNNNNNNNNNNNNNNNNNNNNNNNNNNNNNNNNNNNNNNNNNNNNNNNNNNNNNNNNNNNNNNNNNNNNNNNNNNNNNNNNNNNNNNNNNNNNNNNNNNNNNNNNNNNNNNNNNNNNNNNNNNNNNNNNNNNNNNNNNNNNNNNNNNNNNNNNNNNNNNNNNNNNNNNNNNNNNNNNNNNNNNNNNNNNNNNNNNNNNNNNNNNNNNNNNNNNNNNNNNNNNNNNNNNNNNNNNNNNNNNNNNNNNNNNNNNNNNNNNNNNNNNNNNNNNNNNNNNNNNNNNNNNNNNNNNNNNNNNNNNNNNNNNNNNNNNNNNNNNNNNNNNNNNNNNNNNNNNNNNNNNNNNNNNNNNNNNNNNNNNNNNNNNNNNNNNNNNNNNNNNNNNNNNNNNNNNNNNNNNNNNNNNNNNNNNNNNNNNNNNNNNNNNNNNNNNNNNNNNNNNNNNNNNNNNNNNNNNNNNNNNNNNNNNNNNNNNNNNNNNNNNNNNNNNNNNNNNNNNNNNNNNNNNNNNNNNNNNNNNNNNNNNNNNNNNNNNNNNNNNNNNNNNNNNNNNNNNNNNNNNNNNNNNNNNNNNNNNNNNNNNNNNNNNNNNNNNNNNNNNNNNNNNNNNNNNNNNNNNNNNNNNNNNNNNNNNNNNNNNNNNNNNNNNNNNNNNNNNNNNNNNNNNNNNNNNNNNNNNNNNNNNNNNNNNNNNNNNNNNNNNNNNNNNNNNNNNNNNNNNNNNNNNNNNNNNNNNNNNNNNNNNNNNNNNNNNNNNNNNNNNNNNNNNNNNNNNNNNNNNNNNNNNNNNNNNNNNNNNNNNNNNNNNNNNNNNNNNNNNNNNNNNNNNNNNNNNNNNNNNNNNNNNNNNNNNNNNNNNNNNNNNNNNNNNNNNNNNNNNNNNNNNNNNNNNNNNNNNNNNNNNNNNNNNNNNNNNNNNNNNNNNNNNNNNNNNNNNNNNNNNNNNNNNNNNNNNNNNNNNNNNNNNNNNNNNNNNNNNNNNNNNNNNNNNNNNNNNNNNNNNNNNNNNNNNNNNNNNNNNNNNNNNNNNNNNNNNNNNNNNNNNNNNNNNNNNNNNNNNNNNNNNNNNNNNNNNNNNNNNNNNNNNNNNNNNNNNNNNNNNNNNNNNNNNNNNNNNNNNNNNNNNNNNNNNNNNNNNNNNNNNNNNNNNNNNNNNNNNNNNNNNNNNNNNNNNNNNNNNNNNNNNNNNNNNNNNNNNNNNNNNNNNNNNNNNNNNNNNNNNNNNNNNNNNNNNNNNNNNNNNNNNNNNNNNNNNNNNNNNNNNNNNNNNNNNNNNNNNNNNNNNNNNNNNNNNNNNNNNNNNNNNNNNNNNNNNNNNNNNNNNNNNNNNNNNNNNNNNNNNNNNNNNNNNNNNNNNNNNNNNNNNNNNNNNNNNNNNNNNNNNNNNNNNNNNNNNNNNNNNNNNNNNNNNNNNNNNNNNNNNNNNNNNNNNNNNNNNNNNNNNNNNNNNNNNNNNNNNNNNNNNNNNNNNNNNNNNNNNNNNNNNNNNNNNNNNNNNNNNNNNNNNNNNNNNNNNNNNNNNNNNNNNNNNNNNNNNNNNNNNNNNNNNNNNNNNNNNNNNNNNNNNNNNNNNNNNNNNNNNNNNNNNNNNNNNNNNNNNNNNNNNNNNNNNNNNNNNNNNNNNNNNNNNNNNNNNNNNNNNNNNNNNNNNNNNNNNNNNNNNNNNNNNNNNNNNNNNNNNNNNNNNNNNNNNNNNNNNNNNNNNNNNNNNNNNNNNNNNNNNNNNNNNNNNNNNNNNNNNNNNNNNNNNNNNNNNNNNNNNNNNNNNNNNNNNNNNNNNNNNNNNNNNNNNNNNNNNNNNNNNNNNNNNNNNNNNNNNNNNNNNNNNNNNNNNNNNNNNNNNNNNNNNNNNNNNNNNNNNNNNNNNNNNNNNNNNNNNNNNNNNNNNNNNNNNNNNNNNNNNNNNNNNNNNNNNNNNNNNNNNNNNNNNNNNNNNNNNNNNNNNNNNNNNNNNNNNNNNNNNNNNNNNNNNNNNNNNNNNNNNNNNNNNNNNNNNNNNNNNNNNNNNNNNNNNNNNNNNNNNNNNNNNNNNNNNNNNNNNNNNNNNNNNNNNNNNNNNNNNNNNNNNNNNNNNNNNNNNNNNNNNNNNNNNNNNNNNNNNNNNNNNNNNNNNNNNNNNNNNNNNNNNNNNNNNNNNNNNNNNNNNNNNNNNNNNNNNNNNNNNNNNNNNNNNNNNNNNNNNNNNNNNNNNNNNNNNNNNNNNNNNNNNNNNNNNNNNNNNNNNNNNNNNNNNNNNNNNNNNNNNNNNNNNNNNNNNNNNNNNNNNNNNNNNNNNNNNNNNNNNNNNNNNNNNNNNNNNNNNNNNNNNNNNNNNNNNNNNNNNNNNNNNNNNNNNNNNNNNNNNNNNNNNNNNNNNNNNNNNNNNNNNNNNNNNNNNNNNNNNNNNNNNNNNNNNNNNNNNNNNNNNNNNNNNNNNNNNNNNNNNNNNNNNNNNNNNNNNNNNNNNNNNNNNNNNNNNNNNNNNNNNNNNNNNNNNNNNNNNNNNNNNNNNNNNNNNNNNNNNNNNNNNNNNNNNNNNNNNNNNNNNNNNNNNNNNNNNNNNNNNNNNNNNNNNNNNNNNNNNNNNNNNNNNNNNNNNNNNNNNNNNNNNNNNNNNNNNNNNNNNNNNNNNNNNNNNNNNNNNNNNNNNNNNNNNNNNNNNNNNNNNNNNNNNNNNNNNNNNNNNNNNNNNNNNNNNNNNNNNNNNNNNNNNNNNNNNNNNNNNNNNNNNNNNNNNNNNNNNNNNNNNNNNNNNNNNNAACUAAACCAAGAGGAGGCAGAAGAUGUUUAUUUCAAGCAGGCAGCUUUAAUCUCUUCGAAAAAGCUUUUGUUGAAUGCAUCCUCGUUUUGUUUAUUAUUUUGCACUUUGUUCUUAGCUCUACUUUGGUCCUCAUGACCUCUAUUGUACAAUUUUGCUAACUUUAUCUAAUCUUCUUUAGUCAUUGCUGAUAUAUUUCUGGAGAAGAGCCAAAAAUCACGAUGUGGAAGAGGAUAUUUUUGGAGAAGAGCCAAAAAUCAUAGGUCGUCGGAGGAGUGGGCGCCAAACGUCGAAGCGGCGGCGGCAGUGGGGGAGCAGGAGUUAGGUGACCACUUCCUGGAUGUGCUUAUGGCUGGCGUCGAAGGCGCGGAAGGAGGAGACGGAGAAGAAGGUGAGCAUCACAUGAGCAGAUGUCGGUGCAGUUGGUGGACUAUAUUGUCGAUGAACAUCACAUAGACAUUGAUGCCAAUUGCCUUAAGAUAGUUAAAGUAAGAUCACUUUUAGCGCUAUCUCUUUCAAUGAACAAUAAAUUAUGUGUAGAACGAUUUAUUGAUUUCUCUUUUCUCCUUUUUUUUUUUGGUCAAUAGCAUUUAUAAACGAAAACUAUCUGCUUUUCCAUUAACACUUUAGUGAUGUUCUGCUCUUGUCACACAUUCCAUGAUGAUAAAGGAGUAUGUAUCUCUGCCAAAGUUGUUUCCUAUUUAAGUAUAUGCUUCUCUAUAUAAGCUCUAUGAUUUGUACCUAUGGUUGAGAUUGUGAGUUGAAAAGAUCAUUUCUAGACCAGGAAGCAUGGCAAAGAAAGAGGGAAAGGAUAAUUAAUUCUCACAGUACUCAUAACUCGCCUAUAAGAAUCGGUACUGUAUCUAGUAUUGAUAAAUCACUGCAGACCAGGAAGCAUGACGAAGAAAAAGAGAAGUGUAUCUAGUACUAGUCAGCUAGACGGAAAAGUACUAGGCUUCCUUAAUCGCCUUCUGAACCAUCUUAAGUAACAACAGUCAGACCACUGUUAGUUAUAAAAAAGAACUGUUGAAAUUGUGAAAUGUAAGAUGCUACUACUUACAUAUCAGCCCAUUGUCCUGAAUAAGGAGAUAAGGUUUCCAUUUUGUAUAAAAUAGGGCAGUGAAACCCUUAUAUUGGUUAAAAGAUCUAAAUACUAUUGUCUUGGAGAUUUUUAAUAACUUUUCAUAGUUCAACUAUUUUCUUGAUGAUGCCAUAAUAUUACCUCUAUAUUUCAGUAUACAUGCAUGUUAAUGUAGUGAAUUGAUGAAUGGAGUAAACAGCCAAUGUUCUAUUUUUCCUUAUCGUUCUUAUGUAUUAUUAUACGGGCAAUAGGCCAGUUUAAGAUGUGGUGUUUCUUUUCCUCAAUUCUUUCCUAAAAAACUUGGCUACUUAAAUCCUGCUUGCUCAAAAGAAAUUCCCUGACGAUUAAAUAAUUACUCUCUGUAAGUGCAAUAUUUAGGAUACUCAACGACUUGUUGCUUGAAAUUUUCUACGCAGGAGAUGAUAAUUGCCAGCUCUAAUAUUGCCAAGGAAAAGGUAUGUCCUUCUCCCUCUGCUUCUUGUAUUUAGACUAGAAUAGAUGUAAAAUAUCAUGUUUUCCUUUUCUUUCUUGAUAAAACUAUGUUUGUACAGAGUGCAAAGGAGAAACUUUUUCUAUAUGACAUUGUUGCUAAUGGUCGUACUGGAAUAGAUGUUGAUAAGUAAGAAACUUCUCUGAGCAAAUCUUGUUUGAAGUUUUGUAUGGUAACACAUGCUGUUAAUUUGGCUCAAGUUCGUAUUUUUGUAUCUACUGAUGCAGCUAUCCAUAAUCUAUAGGGAGAAGUUUGUUUUAUAUUAGCGGUCUUCUAGAGAAGGCCAUUUUUUGCAAGUACAAGGGUAUAUAUGUGAAAGUAACUUUUGAAGUCAAUGCAUAAAAAUUUGCAAUUUGCAAGGAUAUAUGUAUAUAGAUAGUUAUGCAGGGUUACUAGAGCUUGAGAGCAAUCAAUGGACAUUUGUUAGUCAAAAAUUGAAUGUAAGUUACUAUUAAUAUAAUUGAUGCCAGAGAUUAGUAUAGCAACAUGAAUUAGUAUAAAAAGUGAUGUAAUUGCUUCUUAUUCUUCUUCAUUAUAGUGGAGAAGGCACAAUUAAUCAGACUUUAGUUUCAAUCUUUUUGCUAACCUUUGUUUUGAAUAUUAACCUCUCUUGCAGAUUAUUAGAAAGCAUGCGUGUUAUGGACAAUGAAAUAAAGAAUGUAAUUAUCAUGUUGAAAAUACUCGAAAAUUAUUUUUGUGUUUGUCGAGUUACUAAUGAUUUCAGGACCAGAUCUUACCAUCCAGAAAUUGUUUGCAACUCGUGCUGACCUUCAUCGCACCGUCUACACCCAUGCAAAAGUGAAGGUACUCGUAUUUUUUUAGGCAUGCAUGUCCCAAAGAUAUGUAAUACAAAUCAUGGCUGGUUUAACAUUUGUCUUUCUAAAACAUAUUAAAUUGUUCUAGUGAAAAAAAAUGGCUGGUUCAACUAUACCGUCAUAAGUUUUAAAAAUCAUAGAUGCCCCUUCGGAAGGCAUUCUGAAAUUUCAUUUAUGUUAUUUAUCCUAAGGGUGUUCUCGAAUUUCUAGAUAUAAUGUGCGGGCAUUUAGGAAAUUAUGGAUUGGCACGGGUAUGUAUGUGAUUUUCCCUAAGACUUAUGUGGUUGUUGCUCGGUAGUACCAAUCCAUUAUGCUUUCUUCCACUUUGUAUUCAUGCUAAAUGCGCACUUAUAGUUAAGAAUACCAGCGCGUUUUAUACCCUAUUAUCCCCCGAAAAUUUCUGGCUGUGGAUCUCUGUUAGAGUUCCUUUUGAUGAGAGUGUUGUGCACUAAUUAAACACUCUUAAAUAUUUUCUUUAAAUUUCUAUUUGCUCUACCAAUAUUACCAUCAAAAGGAACUCUAACAGCUACUGUUAUGUCUUAAUUUUAAGUUUUAUAUCUCUACCAAUAUUACCAUCAAAGAUUCAUUUCUUUUUUCAAUGUUACGUACUAAACUGACUAUUUAAAUUAGCUUUUUUUGAUACUAAUUGUAGUAGAUUUACUCUCUUAGGCUUCAAAUGCAUCCGCUUCUCAUUUAUGAUAUUCAUUUAUGCGCUUAUUGUUCAUUAGGUAAAUUUAGUCAUCUUAAUCUUAUUAUAUAUUCAAAAUUUAUUCAUUGAUUAAUAAUUAAUUCAAAUAUUAUUCAAUGUGCAGGUCCAAGUAUAUAGUCGUGGAGUGGAUUAAAAUGUGUUCAUACACUUUUUGAUUUUGUUAUUAUGUAAUUUUUAAUUUUUUGUAACUUUUUUAGUAUAACAUGUGAGUGGAUAUUAUUGUUGUGAUGUGUGGAUAUUGCUUUUUAGUUUUAUCAUUUCAACAAGAAUUUAAAAUAAUUUUGUUGAUUGUGUUUUCUCAGUCUCAUUGAUUUAAUGUAAAUGCGAUUAGCUUAACUAAAGUUUAAUAUUGGAUGUUUAAAUAAAAUAUUAUACUUUGAAUGACAAUCGGACACUUAUAAAGUGUCGCUGUAAAAAAUAUGUUACUUUUUUUUUCAAAUUAGGGACACUUAUGUGUGUCACUAAAACCAAAAAAAAUGUUACUAAAUUGCAGCACUUAUUUUGGGAUAUACGGACACUUUUAUUAUGUGUCGCUAUACCCCUAGGGACUGCAUAUAUAGCGACACUAUUUUUAUUGUCGGUAUUUUUACCAGUAGCACUUUUUUUAGGUUUUAGGGACAUUUAAAAGUGUCGCUAUAGCUUAGUUUUGUUGUAGUGCCCGAGGCGUAACAGACGCCGCAUACAUGCUAAACUAGCAAAUAUGCAAGGCUACAGAAUCAGACGGAAACUAGCAAAAAGAUGAUUACCAAUUUUUCCACUAAAUCCAAAGAAUCAUAAGAUGAGACUAAGAAAUUGAAUUUCAACUAAAAUCAAACGGAAUUCUAACAUCUAUAAAACUAAAGCUUACUACGAAUCACAAGAGAGAUUCGAUCUACAAAAUACCAUAAGUGACAAAAGUGGGUACGAAGAAAUAACGAAACAAAAUAGAUAACAAACGAUCAUAGAUAAUCCGAAAAUACUAGAUGUAAAAAACAAAAGGGACUAAAAUCAAAACUAGCUAUGUCUAUCGUUCACUCGGUCUCAGUCCCGCCCGGCAAAUCAGUCUCGGUAUCUGGGUAAGCAACCAUACACCACAUUAAUCGGAUUAAGCAUAUAAAUAAAUAAAUACAAAAAUUAAUUUAACCGACUGGUUUAUAAUUUGCAAAAUUUCAGAAAAUAAGACUUUAUCAAAACUUAAAAUUCAUAUCGGAUCGAAACUAUAAAUUUACAAAGCAUUUCUCUUUUAGCAAAUAAACGAAAUAAAUAUUAAGUCUCCGGCACCUAACUAUAUCAUAUGAUCUGUUGGCGAGAUCCAUAGACACCCGAAGGCGUAAACAAAACAGAGGCACCCGAAGGCGCAAACAGAACAGAGGCACCGGAGGUGCAUGUACAAAACAUAGGCACUCGAAGGUGCAAACAAAAUAGAGGCGCGGAUAGGCGCAAGCACCCGAAGGCGCAAUACAAAGACGAAGCUCGCUUCUAUAAUAAAAUACAUGUCGACAUGGCCAACAUUAGCAAAGCAGAAUACCAAGAGACAUCAUACUUCAAAAAUUAUCCAGUCACUAAUUUACAGAACAGAUUAUCAAGUUUCAAAAAUUCAUUUUGCUAAAAGAACUUGUCAAUCACAGUUGAAGUUCAAUUUACAGAAAUAUUUAAUAAUAUGCUUAACCCUUAAUUUUAAAAUCUAAAAAAUAAGAUUUUCAUACAAUCGAAAUAUUUUUCUAAAUUAUCUUACGAAAAACUAACGGGUGUCUGGUUGCUUACCUCAAAAGUGGCUUCUAAGCUAAGAAGCUAUCCAGUCGAAAAUUGCACGAAAAAUCAAUCACCGGAACCUAAAAUAGAGAAAUACGAUUCUUUAUAAGCUACUUAAAAUAAACUUACAAAGAUGACAUAUAUACAUUUACAAAGCAAGCUUAUACAAAAAUCUGAAUUCAGAUAGGUUCACAUAGGUUGACAAAUUCGGCUACAAAUGCAUGCAAAAAGGUCAAGACGGAGCACGAAAGAGAUUUAGAAUACAUUCGACUAAACUCAAUUAGCAAUCAAAAGGAUGAUGAGUUUCAAAUAUUAAAGUUUUCAAAGAAGUAAGAUAACAUGAAUGAAGUUUUAGAUAACAAACGAAGGAUCUAAUGCUCAAAAAGAGGGUUUUCAGAUGUUGAAACAUUGAUAUGCAAAUCAAUAAUUAGAUAGAAUCAAGAUGGGAACAAAAACAAUAUAUGCCUUCUUUUAGGCAUUUUGUCGAACAUAAAGCGGACAUUCCAAUAGGUGUGUACAAUAUGUGAAGUUUUAUGCUACUAGAUCAUACAGAGAAUACAAGAUAUGAAAUUAAACGGUUCGAACGACGAAGAUUAGAUAUAACGAAAUCAGAUUUUGAUGGUUUCAAAUUUCAAUUAUUAUGAGGCGAGUAUUCAAAAUAAUAAUAAAACGAUAAACAAAAAGGUUGGAUGAUCAUAAGAUUCGAUAUAGAGGUAAAAUGAGAGAAAGAGAAAAACCUUAUCGAAAAUAGUGAAGACGACGGCAAGAUGCCGACGAUAGUGAACCAAAAAUAACGGUCAAGGAGGAUUGCGACGGAGGAGGCUACGGAUGACGGCGGCGAUGGCGGUGAUCAGAGGGCGUCGCGCGCGCACGGGCGAAAUAGUGGAGGCCGUAUGGACGUGGAGAGGAGAGGGAUCGAGCGGGAGAGAGGUGGUCGAGUGAGGAAGAGAGAUAGGUGGAUCGGGUGAGGGUUGGCUAGAAUGAAUAGAAGGGAACUAAUUAAUUAGGGACUAAUUAAGCAACAAUAUGCCGCUGAGUCCCUCGAAGGUCUGAAUUUACGAAAAGGUCCAAACUUAAUAUGAAUAGGAGUCAAAACAAGGAGUUUAAAAGUAUGGGGUGUUACAGUGUUAUUAAACAUAGGUCGGAUAUGAACCUAGUGACAUGAACCUAGGAUGGAUAAGAAUGAUAAAGAACCUAGUGUUAUGGAACAUAGGUUGAUAGUGAACCUAGAGUUAGUUGGAUCUAGGUAAGUGGCAUGUGAAAUACAAGUGUACUAUGAUAUGAACAUAGGGAUAGAGGAUUUCCCGUGUUGUUAAGAGUGACGUUUGAUAUUGGUGUAAAGAAACACUUUGAUGCAAUGAACUUAGGGAUAGGUGGAUUUUCCCUAGAAGUGAUAUAUUGCACGAGAACUUAGUGUAGUUGAGACACCAUGAUGUUGAACAUAGGGAUAGUUGGAUUCCUGUGUGGAUGUUAACCCUAGUUGAUAGGGUAUUAUCAGUUGACGGGAUUGGAUCAUACUCACAUAGAGUGUUUGCGCUUGUCGUGGUAGCUCCACACAAGCUGUGCACUCCGGAGUUUUGUCACACGAGGGGGCUAACGUACUUGCCCAUGGACUAACGUACCUGUCCGCAGGCGGUCUCGGGGGUAGUCGAGCGUUUAAAGACUCCUCCCCUAUGAGACUUUGAGACGUGAGUUGGAGGCGAACCUUCGGGUUAGCCAAGUGAUUGGGUGACAAGUACAUGAGCUAUAGAGUGGAUUCGGUAGCCUAGUAGAGUGGAUUUAAGGCUGAGGUGCAAGUGAGACGUCCUUCGCCUCGAGCCUAACUUUGUGCGGUACUCCGCAGAUGAUUGACUCAAGACCGAAUUGGGUGGAUAGCUUGUGAAGGUAGACGAAACCUUAUGAAUAGAAUUGAGAUUGACAAGAAUCUAAAAUAGAGGAAAACUUAGAAGUCAAUUGGAUGAGCUAUGGUUAGCAGGAUUGGAAGUAGUAUCGAAUGAACUACUAAUUGGUUGCAUAGUUGCAUUAUUGCAUGAUUUGCAUAUAGCAUAUUCAUAUUGCAUGUUGUGAGGCAAGGCAUGGUUUUGUUAGUUGCAUACUCUAGAUAUCAUAUCUAUCUGUUUAUUAAACUAACCUGCAGUUUGUAACGCACUGGACUUUUGUGAACUGCGAGGUUCGAGUGAUUAGCUGUGCUCUAAGCUUUUCCAGAUUUCCUGGUAGGUCGUUGACUGUGUUCCGACCUAUGGCACGUGUCCCGAGGAGUGUGGUACAAAGCCUUGCACCAAAACCCAAAAAUUUGGAUUUUGGUCAGCUCUCGGAUUGGCUGUCUGGCGGGCUUGUACCUGUACAAGGUUGGGCCUGUACCGGUACAGAGCCGCGAACUCGCAAACCCGAGCCUCAGGUUUGCAUUUUCGCAGGUCUUGUACCGGUACAAGGGUGGUCUUGUACCGAUACAAUGUUGAUGGUUGUAUCGGUACAGCCAUCGGGCCUGUACCGGUACAGUGCCGCAGGACCGCGCACCCGAGCCUCGGUUUUGGAUUUUCGUAGCUCUUGUACCGGUACAAUGACGGCAGAUUCUGCACAUUUAUCUGCAGGGGCUUAUUUGCAAUGUGGGCUUCUUAUAUCAGCACCCACGCUCACUAGCUCUCCCCUGGGUUGAGAAGCAGUGAGAACCAGCUAAGGGAACCUCCACACCAUCUGCUUUUGAUUUGAUUUCCCCAUUUUGCGAUGGUUUUGAUGAUUUCCUCUCUUUUUUUUCCUUUUCUGGAAGCUAUUCCACCAAUUGUCUAGGACCUUGAACUAUGGAUUGGAGUUGAUUGAGGGAAAUAUUGAAUUUGAGGUACUUUGAGCCUGGUUGAGGCUUCUAAGAGUAGUGCAAGAUCCUUUUCCCUCUACGUUGGAUUUUAAGCUUCUUUGAGAAGAACCUAGUUUGGAGACUUAGGUUGAUUUUGGGCUUUUGAACCCUAGGGCUUUUUGAGGCUUGAUUGUUGGUUUAGAAACUUCCUAGGGCUUGGAUGGAAGGUUCUAGCUAUCUUUGGAGCUUAGAGAAAAUUCUACUCUUAAGUGGAUUGGCCUUUGCUUCUAGGUUAAAGAUCGAGCUUAUUGCUCUUUCGUAUCAGAUUGGAUGACACCAAUUCUUUGAAUGUCCUAGUGCUAUGAAUCUAGUGAUACCUCCAUCAGAAGACAAACGAAAGCUCGUUGUCGUCGGUGGUAUUGAACGCUAGCCUACAUUGAAAAUUCUCAUAUAUGGUUAUUUAUGUUCGCGUAAAUUAAAAGCAUGCAUAAUUCUUAUUGUAUACAUUUAUUAUACAUUUUAGAAUGCUUAAAAGGCCUAUGUUAUGUAGUUAAUUGGACGUCUAAUGUAGUAAAUAGCUGUAGCUAUAUUGGCAUUUUAGCAUUCUAUAUUGAGAACGUGAGUUCAAGCUUCUAUAGUGUAAAUAAGCUUUGAUCCAUCAUCUUAAACUAAGUUUAUUUUGACACAUGAAAGAUGAACAUAAAUUGCCAUAUAGAGGUAUUGAACUAGAAUGUAUGUAACUUAGAGCUAAUGUCAUCAAAGCGCAUUGAGCUCAGGACAUUUGUGAACCUAGUGAGUAGGGCCAUCGAAGGAACUUGUUACAAGUUGACAACCAAAUGCCUAUAUGCAUCAAGGGCACUAGGCGUGGCAAAUGCUAAAAUUACACGUUGUGACUUAAACUAGAUCUUCGGCGGAUACUAUUAUGAUACCCAUGUUAAGACAUGGGAUUGAUAUUAGACUUGGACUACGCUGCUUGGCCAUUUGUGCUCAUUCGCACAAUGCUUGUGAGGUCGCUCCCUACAAAGCCGGCACUGGUCACCGGAUUAGCCUAUGCGACUUAUGUUCGCUCGUGCGUAUUGAUAGCCUACGUCAAGAGUGGAACGGACACAGUUUCAUUCCAAGAAAGGAAUGUCGGGCUACGCACAGCACACGCACAGCUGGACUAACACUUUGGUAGGUCCUUAAAAUGAAAUGCAAAUCAUACGGUGGGAAUGGUUAAUCAACUUACUAAUAGGUGAUAGUCGAAUACAUUUAUAUGCUUUAGGCAUGUUGUUGAACAUGUAGUAUACUGAUAGUUCCCUUUUUGCAUAAAGCAUGCUUGGAUGCCAUGACAUUAACUGCAUACUGUAUUCAUAAAGAUUUAAUGACAUAUCUAUUUUGAAUCGAGAUUAAUCACCAUGACAUCGUUAUACUUGAGUUUUAGUAAGUAGCAUUUUUUUAUUAUGGCCCUUAUAAUUGGCUAUCAUUAAAUGUACUUACGUCCUUUUCUUUCUGUGGCUAUGGUCGCGAAUGAGCUGAGGUCAGUAAUUGCCCACUGGGAACUAUAAAUUAUAGUUCUCGCGCCCUCUUUUUCUCGAUGUUUUUCAGAGCCUUCCACUCAGGCCGAGGCCAGGGACCGCGGGAAGGGGGUUGCUUCGAGCUAGCUUCCCUCGAGGACGAUUCGCUAGGUGGUCUACCUCUCGUUGUGUUUUAUUUUGGAGAGGUUGAGAGUUUUACCAGCGUACUAGUGACCACCAUUUUUGUACUAGAGACUGAUAUUGUACUACUUAUGAUUUCUUUUAUUGUCUAGCUUUACUUCUUUACCUUGGUGUAGAUGUUAGAACUUUACUCGCUCUGAUAUCAUUAGCUGCUUAUUAUUUCACUUCUUCUAUUUGUUUUAUCACUUGCGUUUACUUCCGCUUUUAUUCUAGACGCCUUAUAUGUGUAGACAUAUGGCGGGUCUGGGCACGCUACCGGGAGGGCCUCCGCCGGUCCCGGGGCGUGACACAGUUUGCCUCCUUUGGACCUGUUGGUCGAGCUUUUCCUUUGGGUGGCCGUACCCACUGGAAACCAUGGAGUUGGUUCUCACCCCACGUUGCUUUGGUGUGUUACAGGUUCGCACGUGAGAGGCGCGGCGGCACGAGGAAAGGGCGUAGCUGCGUAGAUAGCGCCCUACCACAGGACCAGAGAUAGCAGUACCCCGAGUCAACAUAUCCUAGGGGUAUAGAGAUGAAAAGAUCAAUGCAUCGAAUUUGUAAUGAAUAAAUGGUGUAAUAAUUCAGAUUGUAUUUGGAUGUAAAAGAAUUGUAAUUGGGAUGUAAAAGCAUGUACGAGAAUGCUUGUCAUAACUUAGGAUGUGUUAUGUUGUUGAUACCUUCUUUAUGCAAUCUCUGCUUGAAUAUUGUCCUUGUUUGGGAUCUCUUGUAUUGUAAUUGAUUGCGACGCCUAGGACCUACAGGGGAGACUCUAUUCGUUCGGCGGUCUGUCGGCAUGCCCGAACCCAACCAAAUAGGCGGGGCUCGGGGUGUGACAGAUAAGAUGGUAUCAUAGUAUAAAGUAGAGAAUGGGAAUGGUUUAGGCAAACCUAGGAGACUCUAGGAUAGUAAACCGUAAGGACUUAUGCUCGUAAGUGACGAGGACUUGAGACUUGCGGCGAAAGGUUAAUUGAUUGGGUCAAUUUUUAGUAAACCUCGAAGAUGGAUAUUAGAGGCAGAUUCAAGAUUCAGUUUAUUCUCAGCUAAGUGAGUUCAUGUUGGGUCGACACAACAUGAACCCGAGUGAUGUGAAUAGACACCCUUGCGUAACUUUCGCCCGAUUUGAGUCGGUGUCAGUUGUUUCGCGCUCGACCCUGAGGGUCGAGAAUCGACCGAGUUGUCGUGUCUUAGGAAGCUGUCACGCCCCGAGCCCGAUCCUUUUUGGCCGGUUCGAGAGCGUCAAACAGACGCCGAACGGACAGAGCUUCCCCUGUCCGCCCAAGGCUCAACACUAGUAUCAAUAGAGUACAAUUUGCAUAAGCGGAAGCAUACACAAUGGCUUGCACGAGGGCAAGCAAUAGCCAAGGUGAAAGAAUUAGCAAUUCAAUAUACAAGUAAAAUGACUAAUUUAAAUCACAUACAUGCAUCAUUUCUUUCUUUUUUUUUUUUACAUCUCAUUUCUCCCAAAAUAUAACUUUUGACAUUUAAAGUAAAUAUCCUUUACAUCAUUCAUUAAAGCAAGUUCGUAAUACUAAAAUCAUCAAAUACAAAAGAUGAUAGUAAAGGGUGUGCAACUACAAAAUGAAAUCCAUCUCGGGCNCUAGUUUACCAAGCAACUAUUAAUAACCACAAGAUACUGCCACUUUAAAAGAUGUCAAGUACUUACAUUUUGACUAUAGUAAAAUACCACUAAUCAUCCAUUACAUGAAUAAGGAUACUAAAAGUACAAUCAACAGCCUCAGUUGUACCACUGCAGCACAAAACUGACUAAACCAUGUAUAACCAACAUGCAGCAGCCGUAAUAAACAAAUCAACGGCGAGGAGAUCCGUGCUAAACGGCUCGUCGUAAAAGGGAUCAGCGGGGAGGAGCUCGUUGCCUAUGAGCUCGCCGGCGAGGAGCUCACCGGCGAGGAUGAGCGGGUGAGUGUGAGGAGAGUGUGAGGUUUGUGGGAAGGGGAGAGUGUGAGGUUUUGAGGGAUUUUUUUUUUAACAAAGCAGUUAGGCUGUAAUUAAAUAAAUUUAAAAUUUUAUUUUAAUCAUAUUUUAAAUCUCUAAAAUAAACUUAAAAAUUUUGAAAGCUCUAAAAAAGAGAGCGUGGCAGUGUGUGCGUGGAGAAAAAAAUUUGUACAUUUUCUAUUGUAGAAAACAUUAGUUGCAUCAUCUCCACCGUGUCACUUAUAGACCCUCCAACAAAAAUUAGUUGCAUCAUCUCACUACUCACUACCACCUAAUGAAAACCUUUUAGGUGACGUGGCGAACAGGGUCCAGAGAACCAUCUCUCAUAUUCACGUUAGAGAGAGAGAAACGGGGACUGGCCCGCGUGAUUAUUUUAUUCACCAUAUAAUUUUUAUUUGGAGAUUAAAUUUUAAUCAAAUUUAGUCAUUUUAAUUUAAUUUUAAAUAAUUUAAUUUAACUUUAAAUUUAAUAAGUUAAUUUUUAAAAAUUAAAAAUUAAAAUUUAAUUUAAUUAAUAGUUUGUAAUUAAUUAAUUAAUUAAUUUAUUUAAGUUAAAUUUAAUUAAUUUUAAAAAAAUAAAUGAAAAUAAUUAAUAGGUAAACACUAAUUAAUAAAGCUCUUGAAUUUAAAAAUUUAACUAAAUUAACUAAAAUAAAAUAAUUAAAAAAAGUUCAAAGGUGUGAAUCAAAAUAAAAUUAAAAUUCAAAGAGCAAUUUCAAAAUGAUAUGAAGUUGAAGGUGUCUCUCUACAUUUUCACCCUCAAUUUUUAACAACUACAGUUUUUUCACAUUCACUAUACAUUAUUUUGAUAUAAACGUUUUAAAUAUUUUAUUUUUAUUAUAAUUUUAUUAAUAAUAUGCGUCAAUUUUUUUUAUCAUCAUUAUAGCUAACCAAAUAGUGGUAAAAAAUUAGUCAUUUAGUGGCGAAAGUAGUAUUGCCACUUAAAGUUAAUUAAUUGGUGGCUAAAUUUUUUUAUCGCCACUUAAAGUUAAUUAAUUGGUGACAAAAUUUUUUAUAAUGGCGAUAAAAUAAUCAUUUAGUGGCGAAAGUAGUAUUGCCACUUAAAGUUAAUUAAUUGGUGGCAAAUUUUUUUUAUCGCCACUUAAAGUUAAUUAAUUGGUGGCAAAAUUUUUCUAUCGUCACUUAAAAUUUUUUUUAUCGCCACUAUAGGUAACCAAAUAAUGAAGAUAAAAUAAUCAUUUAGUGGCGAAAGUAAUAUUGCCAUUUUAAGUCAAUUAAUUAGUGGCAAUAUUUUUUAUCGCCAUCAUAAAUACCGAUUUAGUGGCAAUAAAAUAAUUAUUUAGUGGCGAAAGUAGUAUUGCCACUUAAAGUUAAUUAAUUGGUGGCAAAAUUUUUUAUCGCCACUAUAGGUAAGCAAAUAAUGGCGAUAAAAUAAUCAUUUAGUGGCGAAAAUAGUAUUGCCACUUAAAGUUAAUUAAUUGGUGGCAAAAUUUUUUAUCGUCACUUAAAGUUAAUUAAUUGGUGGCAAAAUUUUUUUAUCGCCACUAUAGGUAACCAAAUAAUGGCAAUAAAAUAAUCAUUUAGUGGCGAAAGUAGUAUUGCUACUUUAAGUUAAUUAAUUAAUGGCAAUACUUUUUAUCGCCAUUAUAAAUAACGAUUUAGUGGUGAUAAAAUUAUUAUUUAGUAGCGAAAGUAGUAUCACCACUUUAAGUUAGUUAAGCGAUGGCCAUUCUUUUUAUCGCCACCGUAGAUAACCAAAUAGUGGCAAUAAAAUAAUCAUUNGACUUUGAGCUGGUUUUGAGGCUUCUAAGAGGUAGGUGGCAAGAUCCUUUCCUCUAGGUUUGGAUUUUAAAGCUUUCUUUGAGAAGAAACCCUAGUUUGGAGACUUAGGGUUUAUUUUGGGCUUUUUGAACCUAGGGCUUUUGAGGCUUGAUUGGUUGGUUUAGAACCUUCCUAGGGCUUGGAUUGGAAGGGUUCUAGCUAUCUUUUGGAGCUUAGGAGAAGAUUUCUACUCUUAAGGUGAGUUUUGGCCCUUUUGCUUCUAGGUUAAAGAUCGAGCUUAUUGCUCUUCGUAUCGAUUGGAUGACACCAUUUUUGAUGUUCCUAGGGUGCUAGGAAGCUAGUGGAUACCUCCAUCGAAGCAAACGAAAAGCUUCGUUGUCGUCGGUGGGUUUGACCUAGCCUACAUAUGAGAAAUUCUCAUAUAUGGUUAUUUAUGUUCCGUAAAUUGAAAAAGCAUGCAUAUUCUUAUUGUAUACAUUUAUUAUGAAUUUUAGAAUGCUUAAAAGGCCUAUGUUAUGUAUGUUGAAAUUUUGGACCUCUAUGUAGUAGAGAGUAGCUUGGUAGGCCUAUAGUUGCAUUUAGCAUUCUAUAUGAGACGUGAGUUCAUGCUUCUAUAGUGUAAAUAAGCUUUGGAUCAUGCAUUUAAACUUAAGUUUAUUUGAGACAUGAAAGAUGACAAAAUUGCCAUAUAGAGGUAUUGAACUAGAAUGUAUGUGAACUAGAGAGCUAAUGUCAUCAAGCGGCAUUGAGCUCGGGACAUGUGUGAACCUAGUGAGUAGGGCCAUCGAGGAACUUGGGUUACAAGUUGGACACCAAAUUGCCUAAGUGUCAUCAAGGGGCACUAGGCGUGGCAAAUGCUAAAACUUCACAUUGUGACUUAGACUAGAUCUUCGGGAUACUAGUUAUGAUACCAUGUUAGAGACAUGAGGAUUGGAUAUUUGAGACUUGGACUACGCUUGCUUGCCAUUUGUGCUCAUUCGCACAUGCUUGUGAGGGUCGCUCCCUACAAGCCGGCACUCCGGAGUUAGCCUAUGCGACUUACGUUCGCUCGUGCGGUAUUGAGAAGCCUACGGGGUCGAGUGGGACAGACACAUUCCAAGAGUAGGAAUGUCGGGCUACCACAGGCACUUAGGCGGCACAAGCUGGACUACCUUUGGUAGGUCCUUAAAUGGAAAUGAAAAUCGAUACGGGGUUGGGAAUGGUUAAUCACUACUAGAUAGGUUGAGUAGUCGAAUUACAUUUAUAUGCUUUUAGCAUAGUGUUGAGACAUGUAGUAUACUUGAUAGUCUCCUUUUUGCAUUAAAAGCAUGCUUGGAUGCCAUGACAGAACUUGCAUACUGUAUUCAUAAAGAUUAAUGACAUACUAUUUUGAUAUCGUAGAUGUACAUCACCAUGACAUCGUUAUACUUGAGUUUAGUAAGUUAGCAUUUUUUUAUUAUGCCCUUAUAUUGCUAUCAUUAUUGUACUUACCCUUUUCUUUUGUGGCCUAGUGGUGCGAUGAGCUGAGGUCAGUAAUUGCCCACUGGGAACUAUAAAUUAUAGUUCUCGCGCCCUCUUUUUCUCGAUGUUUUUCAGAGCCUUCCACUCAGGCCGAGGCCAGGGACCGCGGGAAGGGGGUUGCUUCGAGCUAGCUUCCCUCGAGGACGAUUCGCUAGGUGGUCUACCUCUCGUUGUGUUUUAUUUUGGAGAGGUUGAGAGUUUUACCAGCGUACUAGUGACCACCAUUUUUGUACUAGAGACUGAUAUUGUACUACUUAUGAUUUCUUUUAUUGUCUAGCUUUACUUCUUUACCUUGGUGUAGAUGUUAGAACUUUACUCGCUCUGAUAUCAUUAGCUGCUUAUUAUUUCACUUCUUCUAUUUGUUUUAUCACUUGCGUUUACUUCCGCUUUUAUUCUAGACGCCUUAUAUGUGUAGACAUAUGGCGGGUCUGGGCACGCUACCGGGAGGGCCUCCGCCGGUCCCGGGGCGUGACACAGUCUUGCGUUGGUAUGGUAUAACCAUUACCAAUCCCACAUGGAGGGAUUGUCGUCGAGUACUUCCGGAGUGUCGUGCGACUAGGACCACUUGAGAGGUCCGGACCACAAUAGAGGUCCGCAGACGGCCCGGGCUUGGGUGCACUUGGAGCUCCUCCCCACUUUGGGAUUGAAAGGUGAGUUAUUGGGCGAACCUAGGGCUUCGCUAGCAGAUUGGGUAAAAGGAACAUGUGACAAUGUCAUGAAACAUUACUAUUGAACAUGGAUUGAAUUCGUUAGCAUAAUAGUAAACCUUUACUAUUUGAUGCAUUACAUGAUGUUUUAAGUUGCAUCCCAGUUGAGUGGAUUUAGGGCUGAGGUGCAUGUGAGACAUCCUUCACCUUGAGCCUGACUUUGUCGGAGUUUCCGCGUGUGAUAUGACCAAGACCGAGUCGAGUGGAUAGCUUAUAAAAGCAGGUUAACCCUAUGAGCAGAAUUGUAAUUGACAAGAAUCUAAGAUAGAGAUAAAACUUAGAAGUCAAAUUGUUGAACUGUGAAUAACAGGAAUAAAAGUAGUAUCGAUGAACUACUAGUUAGGUUGCAAUGGUUGCAUAAACGCAGAAUUUCAUAUUGCAUUUUGUGAGGCACAACAUGUAUUUAAAAUACUUGAAUAUAUAUAUCUGUUGGAUAUUUGUUGGACUAAUAUGUUGCAGGCCUCCUAGACCUAUUGGUCGAGCUUUUCCCUGUGGGUGGCGUACCCACUGGGAACCAUGGAGUUGUUCUCACCCCACAGUGUAUUGGUGUUACAGGUUCGCACAUGAGCGGCGCGGCGGCGCGAGGCGAGGGCGUAGCUCCAUAGAUAGCGCCCUACCCGAGAGACCAGAGAUAGAGGUACCCCGAGUCGGCAUAGCCUAGGGGUAGAGGGAAAAGAAAAAGAGCAAACUUGUAAUAAUAUUGUGAUCAUUAAUUGUAUUUGGAAGAAAAUGUAAUGUAAUAAUGCUAAUGUGAUGUAAAAUGAAUCUAAUGGGAAUGCUUGUAAUAACAUAGGAUGUGUUAUGUUGUUUGAUACCUUCCUUAUGCAAUCUUGCUUGAAUACUGUUCCUGGUUGGAACUUCUUGCAUUUGAAUUGAUUGCGACGCCUAGGACAUACAGGGGAGACUCUAUCCGUUCGGCGGUCUGUCGGCGGCGCCGCGACCCGGCCAAAUAGGCGGGUGGUCGCGGGUCGUGACACUAGCUAUCACCCAAAAUGUUUAAGCCGAGUUAAGAGUUCUAGUCCAAUUAUAUCUUAUAUAUAGGACUAUCUGGGGUCUCACAUAUAUAUAUAUAUAUAUAUAUAUAUAUAUAUAUAACUAGGCUGGAAUACUAUUAAUAGCACCAAGCUAUUGGUGCUAUUAAGUUUUCCGCCCUUGGAUUGAGAAAUGUACGGUUAGGAUGAUGUGGGCCCCUAGGGUUGAGUAAGUGGUUGGUUGAAUAGUAUAAUCUAACGGGUAAAAAUAAUCAAAGGGUUUAAUCUAACGACAGAAAACUUGAUAGCACCAAGUGCUUGGUGCUAUCGAUAGUAUAGCAGCCGGACUCUCUCUCUCUCUCUCUCUCUCUCUCUCUCUCUCUCUCUCUAUAUAUAUAUAUAUAUAUAUAUAUAUAUAUAUAGAGUUGAGCUAGAAUACUAUCGAUAGCAAACGGACUCCGUUGUCACCCACUUGUUUUCGAUGAUAGAGCCUCCAAAUCGACGAUCGGCACCGUUGAACAUGAUCUAUAUCACUUGAAGUUUUUAGAAAUCAAAUUUUAAAUCUUUUCGACAUCAUUUGCCUAAUAAUCAAAGGGUUUCAAAAUUUGUAAUUUUAAUGGUCGAUGUGAGGCGUUUUCUCGUUUAACGGCGUAAAGAAAUCCAAAUCAAUUGAAUUUUUGUUAGAAAAUUUUUUAAACUAUUUAAAACAAGAUCUAUACUCUUGAUCUUGAUUGCAAGAUUCCUAUCAUCAUUUCUUAAAGAAUAUUCAUUUUCAGCCGUUCAUUUUUGUGUCCACUUAAUGGAUAAAAGAACAAUAUCGAAAAUGUAUGAAAUUUAAUUUCUAAACACUUCAAGUGGUAUAGAUCAUGUUCAACGGUGUCGAUCGUUGAUUUGGAAGCUCCAUCAUCGAAAACAAAUGGGUGGUAACGGAGCUCGUUUGCUAUCGAUAGUAUUCUAGCUCAACUCUAUAUAUAUAUAUAUAUAUAUAUAUAUAUAGUCUACUAUACUAUUAAUAGUACCAACCACUUGCUGCUAUUAGGUUUUUGGCCUUUGGAUGAAGGGAUGUGCGGCUAUGAUGAUAGUGAUCCCCUAGGGUUGAGUGGGUGGUUAGUUGAGUAAUAUGAUCCAACUGGCGGAAAUGUUCAAAAAGAUAGAUCUAACGGCACAAAAUUCGAUAGCACCAAGCAUUUGGUCCUAUCGAUAAUAUAGUAGUCGGACUCUCUCUCUCUCUCUCCCUCUCUCUCUCUCUCUCUCUCUCUCUCUAUAUAUAUAUAUAUAUAUAUAUAUAUAUAUAUAUAGCAAGGCUGGUAUACUAUAGGUAGUACGGAGGCCUCCGUGCUAGCAAGUUGUUUUCAAUGAUGUGGCUUCCAAAUCAACGAUCGGUUCCAUUAGACUUGAUCUAUACUAUUAAAAGUAUUUGGAAACUAAAUUUCAAAAUUUUUCGACAUUAUUUGGCUAGUGAUCAAAAGUCUCAAAAUUGACAAUUUUAAUGGUAGAUGUGAUGUGUUUGUGAAUUUAAAGGUGUAAAACAAUUCAAAACUGAUGAAAUUUUUAUAGAAAAUUUUUUUUACUAUUUAGAAUAAGAUCAGUAGCUUUGAUCUUAAAUUCAAGUCUUUUAUCAUUAUUUUUUAUGAGAUUUUUAUUUUCAGCCGUUUAUUUUUNUAUAUAUAUAUAUAUAGUCCGGCUACUAUAUUAUCUAUACUAUCGAUAAUAUUAAGCGCUUUAUACUAUUGAGUUUAAGUUUUCUGCCAUUAGAUCUACCUAUAUAUAUAUAGAGUCCGGCUACUAUACUAUCAAUAGUACCAAGCAUUUGGUACUAUCGAGUUUUCUACUGUUAGGUCUAUUCCUUUGGCCAUUUUCAUCCAUUAGAUCAUACUAUUCAACUAGCCACCCACUCAACCCUAGGAGGCUACUAUCAUCCUGACCGCACAUCCCUUCAUCCAAGGGUCGAAAAUCUAAUAGCAAGCGGUUUGUACUAUUAAUAGUAUAGUAGGCUAAUUAUAUAUAUAUAGGCUCCGGCUACUAUACUCUUAUAAGUAUAGACUCUUUUAUACUUUUAAAUUUUCAGCCGUUAGAUGUGCGAUUAGGAUAAUAGUAGGCUCUAAGAUUGAGUGGGUGAUUCAUUGAAUAGUAUGAUUUAACGGAUGAAAAUGAUUAAAAAAUAGAUCUAAAGGUCGAAAACUUAUGAGUAUAAAGAGGUUUAUAUUCAUAAAAAUAUAUAUAGUAGCCAAACUCUCUCUCUCUAUAUAAUUAUAUAUAAUGUAUAUUUUAAUUAUAUAAAAUAAUAUAUAUAGAGUUGGACUGGGGUACUAUUAGUAGCAAAAUCCCAUUGUUGCUACCANCCACUCAACUCUAACCGACUAAUAUCAUCCUGACCCUACAAUUUUUCAUCCAAAGGUUAAAAACUUGAUAGCAAAAAGAGCAUUUUACUAUUAAUAGUAUUCCAGCAUAAUUCAAUAUAUAUAUUAUGUAUUUUAAUUAUAUAUAUAUAUAUAUAUAUAUAUAUAUAAUUUAGAUUAUUGAGCCCACAAAAUCAAACCAGCAAAAUCCUACUAUAAUUGCUCUCUUAAUUUCUUUCUUUUUCACUUCCUCGCAUAGUCGCUUUUCCUAAUUUUUUUAAUAUUAUAAUAUCGUAUUUCAUACAUUCAUUUUAUAUAUUGAACUAUUAGAUAUUUUUUGUAUCAAAUUUUAGAUAAUGUUUUAUAAAAAUUAAACUAUAGAUUGCACGAUGUUAAGAAUUUCAAGGGGCUCGUUUAGGCCUCGAGCUCGCUCGACUCGAAGUUAGGCUCGCUCGAGCUCGGUCUAAUUAAUUUCAAGCCAAUAAACUUGAGCCUAAAUUUAGGCUUGAAAUUAAUUUCAAGCCAAACUUGAGCUAAGAUAAGCUCGCUUGAGCUCGGCUCGAUUCCACCCCUAUCCGACUCAGCAUGCACCGCAUGCAUGCACACCCAAUCUAAUUAAUAUUCAACCCAAUCCAACUCAUACCACACAAAGAUCAGAUUGGACUUACUCGCUAUCACUCUAAUAUGUCACCAUGCAAUAUGCCAUACUAUCCGAUCAGUGUGUUAACAACAAUUCUAUUUUGUUGUAUACAUAUCGAUCUAUAUUAAUUAGCAGUCAUUAUUAUAAGCAUAAAUCAAUAGAUAUAUCAGCCAAGCCUAGGAAAGAUGUCAACUAGAUGGAAAAAUAAUCUACUCCCGAUAACUAUUUAGAUUUGAACACGAAAAAGGCAAAUACUAUGAUCAGGAAAAUACGGCAAUUUGUAAUCGUCAGUAAAAUAAAACCAUGAUCAGAAAGGUGUAUAAAAGGCUAACUCAGUGGGAGCACAUCCUACUCACAAUUUGUCGGCGCCCGGGGGUCGAUAAGUAUCAAGAAAGUGCUUCCUAUAGCCUAUGGUCAACACUCGAUCGCGCGACCUAGAUCGAGUUCAAGCUUGAUCAACAGCUAGCUCUAUACUGUUGACUGUGCCGGCCCGAACUGGCUGACUGCCAUGCCAUGGCUUGAAGCCAUCCACUGUUACGUAUGAUGGUCGACCGGGCCGUUCCACAACCACAAAAACAGCACAAAAAUGCAUCAAAUCAAAGCCAAAAAUGGGCCAAAACACUCAAAAGGAUCAAAUCUAGGGAAUAGCUAGAGUAACAUGCACAAUAAGUUACUCGUACGUAUUUUAAGACUUAAAUUGAAGAAUAGACGGAAUCUGCCGUCUCGAUCUCUGCCUUUAUGAUUGCUGGUUCUUGGGCUUAAUUAGCCAGAGUUCGAGGUACGAUGGUGUGGAAUGAGGAGAAGAGGAGACAACCUGGUGGACCGGCCGGACAUUAUAUAUGCUCGGUUUACAGUCUGGCUGCUCUGAGCUAGAUUCAAGUACUAAAUCAAAUUUGACGGUGCCCCUAGUUAGUUUGAACCGCGCGGUUCCCGUCUCAAAAUAUAAAAUAUCAAGGAAAUGGAUUAAAAGUGAGAAUUUAAAUCAAUUUGAUGAAGGACCAGUGGGUUACAAGAAUAUUGAAAAUAGAGAUUUGUGUGGUAGAAAAAAAGGGGUAAGCUUUGAUUUUUUAAAUGUUAUUUUUAAAGGUUUCUCAGUACUAUAUAACUAUGUUAAUGUUCAUGGUGUAUGACAUAUCUUUCCUUAAAAUUCGUUUUCUCAAAUUUUUAAGUGUUUAAUCCUUCUCUAAGCUAGAUUGGAGUUGUCUUCUUUUUUUUCAUGCAUCACAUUUAUACAUUUUAUGUGUUUGUAUUAUCCAACUGUUUUGGGCCAUUUUAUAACAAAUUUGAAACUACAAUAGUUGAAAUGAAAUGAAUUAUAGAUGGAAAGAGGGAGAAUAUCACUGCAACAAAAUAUAUUUUAGACAACACUUUAAUUUAGACGACGCUUUAAUUUAGACGGCAUUUUAUUCUAGCGUCUUCAAUAUUUAGCAUGUUUUGACAUCAUGAUUAAGUAUCGGCAAUAAAUAUAUUUUUAUCAAAUACUAAUAAAAAUUUCGGACGCUAUAUUGAAGUAUUGAUAUAUUUAUCCUGAUAUGUUUACUUAACGACUUUUUUUUCGAUAUUUUUAUAAGUAUCGAGAUUAUUCUUACCGACGCUUUAAAACGUUGCUAGUUAUUAUUUAAAGUAUCCUUAAAUGCAAGUUUUUUGUUGUAGUGAAUGUGUGUUAUAUAUGUACCUUUCUUAAUACUAAACUUGAUCCUAAAGAGAUACUAUUUCUUUUAAAUGUGGUUCAUAAGCGUUAACCACUUAUCCCAAAAAUACGUGUCGAUAAAAAAAGACGCAUUUAUCGUAUAUAUUUAAGAGCUCAACUAUAGUACUUACGGAUUUCGAUUUGACUUAAUAUAUUUAGAUAUUAAAUCUAUUGUGGACCGCACUCUCACUCAUUAUAUUAUGCUCAACAAACUUAAUUUAUUAGUCUUAUAUAUAUAUAUAUAUAUANAUAUAUAUAUAUAUAUAUAUAUAUAUAUAUAUAUAUAUCACGGGGCAAGAUUGGACCUAUAUAUUUUAGCCAAGAAUAAAUAGGCAACAAUUCCAUAGUGAGGAAUCAAGCUUCAAGUAGGUAGGCGAAUAGUAAGUAUCCACAUGCAACUUUGAUUUUAGCCUGUAAUUAGUCAACGCGAGCCCUUCUCUGGUUUUUAAAUCACCAUCAUGCGGCGUUAAUUGGUAUCCUUUGACCUGGCAUUGGUCAUCUCGACGCCGAUGCGGACGUCCUUGUCGGCAACGAACCGGCUCCAGAACCAGUGUUCCUUCCAUACUAGGACCAUCUCUUCGAUGGGCACGCUCUUGGUCUCCGGGAGGAAGAGCGCGACGAAAAUGGUCAUGAUGACGACCCACCCCGCGAAGAAGUAGAAGAUGCCGAACUUCAUGUGGCAGAGCAUGGGAAGGAAGGCCUGCGCAAUGGCGAAGGUGAAGAGCAUGUUGACCGACACGGUGAUGCUUUGGCCGGCCGACCUGAUCUCCAACGGGAAGAUCUCACUGGGGACCAGCCAACCCAGCGGGCCCCACGACCACGCGAACCCGGCAACGUAGAUGCAGAUGAAGAGAACUACGAUGACCCCGUACCCCUUUGGGAUGCGGCCCUCUCCGCUGGUCCCGUACUUCAUGGCAAUUAGAGUUCCCACUAUGAUCUGCGACGACGAAUGAAAAUUUGUGUCCUUAAGUAAAAUCUACACCUACAGGGGACAUAAUUGAAACCAACGUGACGAAAAGAAGGAAUUGUACACGCGUAUAGUGUUCCAAUCAAUUGUGUUGUCGGUUAACCUAGUUAAUUAUUUUUACCUGACAUAUGGUCAUUUGAAAGCCACCCUGCAAGAAGAGUAUGCGCCGGCCGAGCCUGUCGACUGGGAAGGUGGAUAAGAAUGUCGAGAUGAGAAGGACGAGUCCGGUAAUGACGGCCGACAUCAACGACGCGUCUCCGCCGAAGCCAAGCGCCUUGAAGAGCACGGGAGCGUAGAACAUGAUCACGUUGAUGCCAGUGACCUGCUGGAAGAAGGGAAUGCAUAUAGCCAUCGUGAGCUGCGGCCGAUACUUGCGUUGCAGGAUGUUGGCCCACGGGUGCUUCACGUGCCUCGACUCCUCGCUCGCCGCGACGAGGUCGUCAUACUCCUUGGCCACGUCAUCGGUGCCUCGUAUGCGGCGGAGCAUGGCCUUGGCCUCGUCGGGGUGGCCGCGCUCGAUGAGGGAGUUAGGGGUGUCGGGAAGGAAAAGAGACCCGACGGUGAUGAUGGCGGCGGGGACGGCCGCGAGGGCGAGGCUGAGGCGCCAGCCCCACCCGGCCUUGAUCUUGUUGGAACCGUAGUUGGUGAGGUUGGCACAGAGGAUGCCGAUGUUGAUCAUGAGCUGGAAGCCGAUGUUCAGCAUCCCGCGGAGCCGCGCAGGCGCCAUCUCCGACAAGUACAACGGCACAGACUGUAUCAUCAUAGUUGUCAAAAGAUUGUGAGGCCAAAACAUUCAACACUUUCUGUCAGCCCCACUACAAUUUGGAUUUGGAUCAUAUUUUGACCUUGCUAAGCUGGUUCUCUGAUCUAAACGUUCAACACUUUAUGUUUAGAUCAUAACCCAGCGCAAGUACAGUCAAAAAAUAGGUAAAUUGCUAAUUUCAAUUAAGGAAGAGGGAACAAUUCUUAGCCUAGCAAACCAAAACCUUAGCAAAAUUUAAAGAAUAAUUUUAUGAAUACUCUCCUCACAGCCUAAAAUUUUGUAAAUACACUAGUCGUUGACCAGUAAGUUCCACACAAAUAUUUUCAAUUUUAUUUUUCAAAAAUAAUAAAUUUAUUAGAAGAAAAAAAUUAGUUUAUAAAAAUUUAUAGAAAAUUUAAAACCUGUUUAUUUGCAUGAAUAAUUUUUGAUCAGAUUAAAUAAUAUUAUAUAUUAGAUGCGACUAUAUAUAUAGAUGAUAUAUACUGAUUGCAUAUCGAAUCUCUCUUCUAUUUUUGUCUCUAAAUUAUAUUAAUUAUUUUAAAUAAGAUUGCAAUGUGUCAACUAUUCAGCAUACGAUUCGGGGAAACAAGAAUCUUUGUUUUUUAUUUGUAUAUAUUAUAUAGAUUUUCAAAGUUGAUAACAUUCUAAAUGUGCGUUCUACACUAAUUUUUAAGUAUUUGGAGUUGUUUUUAUGAGGAUCAACUAGUGUUUAACUCGUGCAAAUCAAUAGUUUACUAUAGGGGCAAUUGCUUACAUAGUUCUGAAAUAUUUCCUACUUUCUGAUUUAUCCUUAAAAAUUUUCCGACAUAGUUUAUCCUUCUUAGAAGACUAAUAUUGAAAAUAGCCUUUUUACGUCCAACCUAUUUCAAAUAUAUCCCAAGAGUUAAAUUCUGUUAGUGAACUAUUAACAAAAAAUAUUAUCUGUACGAAAUGAAUAUUUUGCCCUUUCAAAUAUGCCGUUCCACAAUUAUCGACUUUUCUUAUUUGCGCUUAAGUUAGGGCCACAAAAAGUAUUGAUUUUUAGACUUUUCAAAUAUACCCUUUUAUCAUCACUAACAUUUUUUAUUUGCCCUUAAGUUAAGGAUAAAAUAGGCAUUUUGAUUUUUUUUAACUAUAGUAGAUAUUUAACUCAUGUUUAAUCUGAGUUAACUUAACAAAUGGUAACUGUAGGGUAAUUUGGAAUAACGCAGAAAUAUAUGAUGGAUAUAUUAUAAAGAAAAAAAAAGUAUGAUUAAAUGAGAUAUUUUCAAAGUUUUCAAAAAGUAUAUAAGCAAUUAUCCCUUUACUAUAAUAGCGCCUCAUGACAAGAAUGUUGAUGAUUUGGGCCCUAUUUGGCCAAAAUUUUGGAAAAACAACAUUACCAAAGUGCUUUUGUAAAAGCAAUAGUUUUGUAAUUUGGUAGCCAGAAAUAUUAUUUUUAUAUUAUAAAGGUUCAAAAAUUCAGGAGGAUUUAUAACAUUUUCUCUUUUUUUAUACUAUAAAAUUGUAGUCCCAACCUUUACUAUAGAAGCAUGUGGCCACAUGCUUCCUAGAUGGCAGUAAAAAUCACAAUUUUAUAUGGAACGAAAAAAGUUAUAAAUAUUUUUACAUUCAUUGGGCAUUCUAUAAUAUAAUUUAAAUAGCAUUUCUAGCUUAUCACCUUACCAAACUAACUUGAGUCCAACGAUAAAAUAAUUUUUCUAAAAUUAUAUUAUAAAGCUGUCACGCAAAAUUUGAUAUUUAAAAUUUUAAAUUUAAAAUAAAAAAAUUAAAAAUUUUAAAAUUUUAAAAUUAAAUUAAAGUUAAAAUUUAAAAAUUAAAAANUAAAAAUUAAACUUAAAUUUUAAAUUUUAAAAAUAAAAUUUGAUAUUUAAAAUUUUAAAUUUAAAAUAAAAAAAUUAAAAAUUUUAAAAUUUUAAAAUUAAAUUAAAGUUAAAAUUUAAAAAUUAAAAAUAUAAAAUUAAAACAUAAAAUUUGAAUUUUAAGUUUUAAAAUUCAAAAUUUCUAACCAAAACUUGAAAUCUAGGGUUUAAAAUUAAAAAUUUUAAAUUUUAAAGUUAAAUUUUGAAAUUUUAAAACUAAAAAUGUUGAAAUUUAAAAUUUUACCUAAAUUUUAAAUUUUAAAAUUAAAAUUUUAAUUGAAAAUAAAAUUUUAAUUUGGAAAAAUAAUAAAACUAAUAUUUAAAAUUUGAAACUGAAAUUUAAAAGCUUAAAAUUUAAAAAUCUGAAAUUUAAAAUUGAAAAUUUAAAUUUAGAAAUUUAAAUAUAAAAUAUAAAAUUUAAAAUUUAAAAUUAUAAUUAUGAAAUUUAUCGAUUUUGAUAUUACAAAUUAAAAUUUUAUCACCGCAAGGUCCACUAUUGCGCUGGGGCAGCACUGGCAUAUCCGUUGCACACUGAAUGGUUCAUCCGGAGGCUAUCCAUUGACGCUCUCUUUGGCGGCGACAACACUUGGGCGGAGGCGAUAGCAUGGCAACGGUGUAAGAGAUUACACACUAUUUGACCAUAUGCACCUUUUUCAUAUAGUGUGGAAAUAACAAUAAUAAUGUACAGUAAGAAAAAACAAAAGGUAGAGAAGUAGAGAAAAAUGAAGAGGAAGAAGUUGUAUUAUUUGAGAUUAAGUUGCAUCAAUUAAGACUAAAUGCUACUAUUUUUGACUAGUCUCAAAUGGUGCAACAUAAUCUCAAAUGGUACAACGUAGUCUCAAAUAGUGCUAUCUUUAUGUUUUAUAGUACAACUUAGACUCAAAUGGUACAACUUAGCAUGAAAUAGUACAACUUAGCCUUAAAUGGUGCAACUUAGUAAUCGUUGUCGUUGAACAGGAUGGCUCUUUCACCACAACAAUUGAGGUUAAGGCCAUUGAAUGUGUCGCACACCUCCUUCCUCUCACGGUGGAGAGGAUGAAGAGCGACCCCGAGGAAAGGUCAUGCAUAGUGGAGUUGAGAAAGAGAAAGGUCAGCAUCGCACUUCUAAAGGCAGUAGGUGUUAGAGGCGGCGAAUCAGGGGAGGAAGGGGAGGAAGGUACAUUACAUUGUUGUCAGUCUGGAACUGAGCCGUUGUUGGUAUUGUCCCAUACAACAAUGCUUCAAACUGAGCCACCACCCAUGUCCUCACCUCGCGAUUCGUGUGGGCAUCUGAGCUCGGAUUGUUGCCGCCAACGUUGGCAGAGGUGUCGGUGAGAUAAGGGGGGAGCGCAAUGGCAACAUGUGGACAGUGGAAGGGGAGAAGGAGGGAAAGGAAGAUAUGGGAGAAAAAGAGUGAGGAACGUUGGAGGCGAAGUGAGCGGUGAUUAAGAUGAAAAAGGAAAUGUAAAAGAGAUUUUACAGCGCAAAGAAACAUAUGAGAGAUGGAGGAGGAGGGAGACAAAGGAGAAGGAGGAAAAUGAAUAAGCAAGAGAAAAAAAAGAAAAUAGGGAAUGGAGAAUAAAGGCAAUUUGGUCGGUUUACUAAAAAAUUAGACCAAAUUUGCAAAAAUAAUGAAAACACACAGUUAGUGAAUUUUUUUAUGCAAAUUGGAUUAAUUUAAAAAAUAGUAAUAAUGUAACAAUAGCAUGUCUUGUUUUGGCAUGGUUUCUUCUUUUAUUGGCUUCUUUGUUAGAAAAUUGCGUACGGUAAAACGCAGCGGAAAAAGAAAUCAAACAAAUUUGAUUUUUGAAAACUCUCGAGAUCCAAUCUCAAAAACCACGCAAUUAAGAUCCCUCAUGUUUUAAGAUUAAAGAAGAAAAACAAGAUCGAAUCUUUACCUUUUUCGCGGAUAGAUCUUCCUUGUUAAAUUUGAUGAUCGUGGAAUUCGGUUCUCUUGAAGCCGCACACGCGUCCGGCCUCUAUAGGUAUCCACACAAGNUUGGUCACGCUCGGUACCCUUGUUCUCUAACAACCACCUGCAUAUUCGCUUCAGUGUCCCCACACUGUCGACUCGAAACUCGUCUACCCUGAAAGGGAAGCGACUUAUGCACCAAUCUCAUCGGAUCAAUCACCGUCCCCGUGAUGAUCCAUUGAUCGGGAGCAUUUAGGAAUUAAUCACCAAUGACACAUGUCUCAAAUUCUCAACACUUGAGAAUAUAUGUCAUCAUCUUAUUAAUUCCUUGGACGAUUCAUGGACACAUACACAACAUGAAUGGAAAUAAAAACCCAAAGUUAUUCAUAAUAUUUUAAAAUCAAAUACAAAAUUAUGUCCUAGAAAGAAUACAUGUGUCGGCCUGGUUGGCUUCUAGGGCAUACAUCUAACAUUCUUUGCAUAAAAGUUCUAUUGGUUCUUUAUUUUUGCAAAAUCGGACAAUUUUUUAAAUUUUAUAGAUUCAGGUUGGAUUUUUGAGAAAAACUCCAAUUUCCUUUAUCCCUUCUUUCUUUCUCCUAUCGCUAUCUCUCCAUCCUCCUUCUCCACCUCCCUAUAUCCCUAUUGUGCUCCCCCCUACCUCACCCAUAUUUUCUCCACCGCCCCCGUUCUUUACCCGUCUAUCUCGUCUCCGAAGGGAGCGAUGAGGCCGUUUUGGACGAAGAGUUUGGCGAUGAGGCUGUGGUAGAGAGCGUGGCCAUGGACGGGGGCAGCGGUGGCGGUCAGUGCUCUGCAAUAUUUGAGGAUGGCGAUAAGGGAGAGCCUGGUGAGGUAAGGGGUGGUUGCGAAGCAUGGAGCAAAAGAGGUAGAGGGUGUCACAGCCUGGGACACAAUGGAAGCUCUUCAGGUGUGCUAACAGACCCACUGUAUGUAUGAGAGUGUAGCCCACACAUACGAAGCUUGCACAACCAACUUGUCUCAAUCACGAAUAACAGGUGUGUAUAAAAUAAACAUGUAUUAGAGUCUAUAAACAUCUAUACAAUAUAGCCAUCACCAUACGUAUUCAUCUGUAAAACCCAAAUACACUGUAUACAUCGCUACUAGCCAUGCUAGUUAAAAUACAUUUACAGUCUGCUAUAUACAAAAAUAUUCCCUGGUGGUUUUCAUCUACACAUGCACAUCUGGGUAGGAGAUACUAACUAUCCUGCGAUCCCCUUAUCUUGAUCAAUCAAUGCACUAAAGGAAUUGAAAAAAAAACAAAACAAAAGAGGGCGUGAGAACUACUCAAUAGUAGUGCCUAGUGAGUACAGCGACGACAACGAUAACCAACAUCGCUAGAUCUAUUAGAGGUAAUAAUAGUAAAAUGAGCUGUUAGAAUAAUAUAAUAUAACAAGUUACUAUAUUGGAAAUGAACUAUCACUCUCAUGUCACUAUGCUACUUUUGAAAGAUACCACAUGCGUCAACUAUAUAUUGAAUAAAUCAAUGUUGCAUAUGUGACAACCCAAGAAUUUAGAAUAGUCCUAUAUAUAAGAUAUAGGGUUAUUUGCAUACACAUCCCUACAAACAUAGUGAAUUGCAGAUAUAUCCCUGCAAAACGGAAACUCCAUAAGUUGUCCCUGCAAAAGUCACAAGUUAUGCAGAUAUGUCCCUACUGUUAGAGUUUGUCAGAAAAUUUUCGUUAACCAUGGUUAAAAUACUUAACCAUGGUUAAUUAUAUUGUGAAUUUACGGUUCUACCCUUCUUCCUCUUCCUCCUCUCCUCUUCCCUCUUCUUCGUCGCCAGCGAGGGAGAUGCGGCGGCAGCGGCGGAAGCGGCGGCAGACCCUCUCCUUCUUCCUCUCCCUGCUCCUCUUCCCCCUUUUUCUUUCUCUCCCUCUUCCUCUUCCCUCUUCUUCAUCACCGGCGAGGAAGAAGAUGCGACGGUGGCAGUGAACCCUCUCCCUCUUCCUCUUCUUCUUCUUCUUCCUCUUCCUUCUUCUUCUUCCUCUCUUUCUUUUUCUUCCCUCUUCUUCAUCGCCGGCGAGUCCCACCCGGGGCCGUUGCCGCCGUCCGCUCCGGCGGCCUAAAGAGGAAGAGAAAGAGAAGGGGAAAGAGGAAUAUUUUUGGAGGGACAUAUUUGUGAGGGUAAAAAUGUCAUUUUACAAAUUCGCUGUUAAAAAGUUAACAGUUUACUAACGGAUGUUAACCAGAGGGACAUAUCUGUAUAACUUAGAACUUUUGUAGGGACAACUUAUGGAGUUUCCGUUUUGCAGGAAUAUAUCUGCAAUUUACUAUGUUUGUAGGGACGUGUAUGCAAAUAACCCUAAGAUAUAAUAGGGCUAAACCUCUUAACCUGGCUAUAACAUUUCAGGUGGUGAAUAGGCCCAAGAGGUUAAGAGUGUAAACGUUCUAGGACUAGAGUAGUUCUAUGAUGGAUAACCGGCUGGGAAGUGGGGCGUCACAAUUGGUAUCAAAAUCAAUUACUAGCCGAAUGUUUGAGAUGGGUCUCAACUGAGCUAGGGUCAUACAGCAAGUAAACCGCGAUUCUCCGGCUGACGACCAUUGUGGAGAGAGCAUGGCUCCACAAGGUCGGCUAAGGCUAGCGAGACGAGUCUCACUUUGCCUAGUGCUUGUAAGUGUGCUUGGGCCUGAUGAGGAUGCUAGUGCUUAAAGUGAGGAAUGUGACACCCCCAGAAUUUAGAAUUGUCCUAUAUAUAAGAUAUAAUAGGGCUUAACAUCUUAAUUCAGCUAUAGCAUUUUGGGUGGUAGUUAGGAUCAAAAGGUUAAGCGAGUCAAGCGUGCUAGGGCUAGAAUAGUUUUAGGAUGGGUGCCCCCCUGAAAAAUGAGGCCUGCGCUGCCAACAAUUCGAUCAAGCCGGUGCUGCCUCGUAUCCAGUACCCACCUCUAGUGGUCUGCUAUAUGCAAGCUAUGUUUCAUUAUAUCGCUCAGCCAACAUUCGGAGUGGCACUCGCCAAAUGUGACCCUAACCAAAUAUCAUAGUGCAUAUCUUUGUCAAGCUUAAUAUAGCUCAUGCAAAUUAUAAUCAAGUGCAAUAAUCAAAAAGAUCGUAGUAGUACUGUUCAAGUGCCCUCCGACAUUAAAAUCUCAUAUCACACUAUCUAUCGUUGUCCAGUGGCCCUUUAGUAUAUUUCAUACUUUUAACAUUAACAGUACAUAAACCAUAUGUAGCAUGAAUAUAGACAUUAAAAAAGAAGAAGAUAUCUAUGCAUAGCUAACCAUACUAGCAGUGCUCUAUCUAACAUAAUCUCCUCACAUGAUUAUAUAGGUAUCCCAAUAGUACUAACUCAACAAAAAUCUUAAUAAGUGCUUCAACAGAUCCAUCAUAUAAGAAGAUAAAUGUAAAUGUUAGUUGCCGUUUUUUGCGAUAUGGAAUCCACCUUGAUAAGCUCCAAAAAAGAUGGAAGAAAAACACAUUCAAAACUUCCUACUUCCUCCUCAAAAUCAACAUCACUCAAAAACCCACCAAGGAAAUCAAAUCCAUAGCUUCUACCACAACGAAAAUCCAUUCCUAUAGAAACUCCAAUAAAUCCACAAUCAAAAUCCCAAAUUCCAUCUUUAUUAAUAUAUUCAUCACUUACCUAAAUAAUCAGAUAUGGAAUAACUAGCUCACUCCUCUCUCCUCACUCUACAAGAUCCUCCACUCAGCACUUACACCUCCUAGACCACCAACAAGCUAGUAACAGGACUUCACAAAAAGGAUUUCACCUUCUGGCUUACCUCAAGUCAAACUCUGAUCCAACUAAAGAGAGUAAGGAAAAAGAAAGAAGAGAAAAGAGGAGCUCAGGGAAACCAGGGUGUGAAAAGAAAUCAGAUAGGCACCUUAGUGGAAAAUCCCAACAUUGGGGUGCCUGGGACAAACUUUUGGGCAUCCAAAACCUCAUGACCGAGGAUAUUCGGGUGCACACAGAUUGAAAUGGUCAGCCCAGAACUGUUGUAUAGCUGCGUCCACAAUCUUUUAGGCGCUUGGACAUCCCUGCUGAAUCACUGUGCUGAGCCACGUGUUUACCACUUUACGCUGUAACUUAGUGAUACUUAUCCAACCAAUUUGGGUAUCUACAAUACUUUUGGGUUCCCACAAGCUUAUAAGAACAAUCAUUCCCACAUCCAAAUCCAUCUAUGACUCAAUCGGGCAUUUGGUAUCAUAUUCCAGAUCAACCUAACCUCAGCUCAGCACCCUAAACUACUUACAGGUGUUCGAAAAGGUUUAAAAAACAAAGUUAAGCUAAUUUCAAUCUCUAGAGUUCAUUUUCGCUCCACUUCAUGCCAAAACAGCUUCAACUUAGUCUAGUGCUCUUCAGAAGUGCCAACCAUCAUCUCACACUACAACAUUGCCUAUUUGCGAAGGUCUAGUACAUUACAAAGGGUGAGGAAGAUGGUGCCAUAGUGGGAGAGAAUGCGAAAGAUGGAAGGAAAAAAAAAAAAAAAAAAAAGAGAAAAAAACAAAGGUUUAAGAAAAAAAAGAGAAGACAUGUAUAUAUUUUCUCUUGAGAAGACCAUUACGCGCCGCGACUGUUCGAAAGAAGGCCAAGAAGUAGAGAAGAAAGUAAAAGAAGAAAAAAGUUGCUCCGUUUGAGAGUAAGUUACACUAUUUGUGCAACUUCUCAAAUAAUGUAACUUAAUCUCAAAUGAUACAACUUAAACUCUCAUGGUGCAAUUUAAUCUCAAAUAGUACAACUUCUAUCUCAAAUAGUAUAAUAUUUAUCUAACAUUCUAGCAGUGGCAUGACCAGUAUGUGAAUGGCGUACUUUCUCUUCCAAAGCUCGAAGGCGGCGUGGAGGUCAACGUUGUUAAUCCCGACCUCAAUCUUCCUUACCACCUUGAAUCGUUCCCGCUACGGCCUCAAACACCUCAGACGUUAUCUUUAUCCCACUUCACACAUCGCACCAUGCAAUCCCCGCGUAUAGAUACUCACGGGCAAGGUUGUAGCAAUAAUUUACCCCGGUGAAGCCACAAAGGAGGUAGAUGUUAGAUGUAUGCCCUAGAAACUAACCAGGCCGACACAUGUAUUCUUUGUAGGACAUAAAUUUAUAUUUGACUUUAAAAUAUUAUGAAUAAAUUUGGAUUCUUCUUUUCAUUCAUAUUGUGUAUGUGUCUAUGAAUCAUCGAAGGAAUUAAUAAGAUGAUAAUAUAUAUUCUCAAGAGUUUGAGAAUUUGAGACAUGUGUCAUUGAUGGUUAAUUCCUAAAUGCUCCCGAUCGAUGGAUCAUCACGGGGAUGGUGAUUGAUCCGGUAAGAUUGGCGCAUAGGUCGCUUCUCUUUUUGGGUAGACGAGUUUCGAGCCGAUAGUGUGGGGACACUGAAGUAAAUAUGCAGAUGGUUGUUACAAAAAAAGGGUACCGAGCAUGACCAACGUGAGAAGUCACUUGGAUGUUUACUCACUCGUCACUGACUUACUCAAUGUUGCAGUAGUGUGACUGGUCAUUUGACCUGCGGUGUCUCGGCUCUUCACAAUGAGAUUACUGUAGUUUGACUGUACAUACACUUGGUCCCUAGUCAUUCGGGUCCUUACGGUGCAUGUUGGCUGUAGUAGGUUCAUUGUAGGAAUAGGGUAUGCACUUAUAUGGAAUCUAUCUCCUUUGAUAGAUAGGGGCGUUAGUCAUAUAUGAUUUAUGAGACUGAGUUUAGAAGACCUUGGCAAGGGCAGAGUUAAUUCCGAAAAAGAGUUUUUGAUAUUAGAAACUCGAGUCGAAUAAAUUUGAUAUAUGACAGAUGAUGGGGUUUGACGAGUUAUUAUAUUACCUUUGUCUAGUCGGGACUCAUGAUAGAAGGACUGUAUCACACGGUAACUGCACCCAGAGGUUCAGUAUUUCAUUCUACUAGAAUGCCACUAUAUGUUGCUAGGUGUCACUGGUGGAUAGUAAGGCUCAUGAGAAUUAUCUAGAUGAUCGAUAAUUCUCAUUGGGCUGAAUUGGAAUUGUUCUGAUCCACUAAAAGGAGUUCCAGUGAUAUUGUUGAUAGUGAUCAAAAUAUAUAUCACUACCAGAUAGAAUAGAACCUAUGGGGUCACACAUAUAAGAGGUUGUGACUGAUCGGAUAGCUAGAUCACGAUUUUUAAAUUACCGGAGGAGCUAAUUAUCAAUAUGUUGAUAAUUGGACUAAUUUGUAAUUGUUACAAAUUAGUGGUAUUUGUUACAACCUGAUCUAUCUCACAGAUCCGAUAAUGAGAAGGAUAUGAGGAUCGGUGAGAUAGAGAUGAUAGAAACUCGAUUAAGAACAAGGAAGAUCAGAGAAAGGUUAGAGGAGAGGGAGGGAGAGAGUGGAGAGGAGAAGAGAAGAGAAGAAGAUAGAAGAUUGAGGAAGAAGAAGACAAUUCAAAUCAUUCAUAAUCCCCUUACACUUGACUCCUCAAGCUAUUUAUAACUACUACAUAAGGACUAAUCUGUAAUUCCCAUAUAAGCUGAAUACUAAUAAGAAAAUAUAAUUGCUCGGAUGGGCUAUCUGGGCUUCAAUCUGCAAGGGCCUGGACCGUAUGCCGCACCUCUGGACUUCGAGUGGACGGCCCACUAAGCAACCGUCAAGAAUGGAAGGCUUAGUGGGUUACCCUCUUUGUCGGAUGGUGCCCAGAUGGAAUCCCGACAACCCGACCCGCUAACUCUCAACUAUUACCACUUCGGCUUAUUCGCUGGAUCCCAUAUCUCCUUCGUUCUCUCCUUUUGACUUUUCUUCACCUGCCCUAAUCCCUCAGCUCCCUCGUGACCAUUACACCCCCUUCCCCUUCGGACGAUUCUUGUCCUUAAGAAUCGAAGGUGGGAAAUUGCGAUUUGAGAAACCAGUAAUCUUCCCAAGUCGUUUGAUCCUUCGGCAAGUUGCUCCAUCGGAUCAGCACCUGGGUAACCGCCUUCCCGCCGCGCUGUACCAUCCUCCUAUCAAGGAUCUCUGCUGGUUCUGCUAGCAGUUGGCCGUUGUCUUCGGUAAGAGGUACUGUGGCAGACGCGGUUCUCCCUUCUGGUGGGCUCCUUUUCAAUAAUGAGACAUGGAAGACGGGGUGCACCUUCGACCCCUCCGGCAAGCGUAGCCGGUAGGCCACUGGUCCGAUCCUUUCUAGGAUUUCGAAAGGCCCAAAGUAUCGGGACGAUAGCUUGAGGUCCCGUCGCACGGCCACAAUGUUUUGACGGUAGGGUUGUAAUUUUAGGUAUACCUGAUCACCAACCGUAAACUCCCGAUCCACCCUUCGCCGGUCUGCGAAUUGUUUCAUACGGUUCUGAGCCUUCUGGAGACGGUCCUUUAGUUCUCUGUUCAUCAUUUCUCUUUCUUUGACCCAAUCUGUCGCUUCCCCCUCUGUUCCUUGUUGUAAUCUAGUUAACAUAUAACUCGGUGGUGGUCUCCCAUACAGGGCCUGGAAGGGGGUCAUUCCCAGUGAGCUGUGAUAGUUCGAGUUGUACCACCAUUCUGCGUGUGUGAUCCAUUUAUGCCAUGCCUGAGGAUGCUGGAAACACAUGCAUCUUAGAUAUGUUUCCAGACAUCUGUUAAGCCGCUCCGUCUGCCCAUCUGUUUGUGGGUGGUAGGCGGAGCUCAUGAGCAGCUUAGUUCCCAUGGUUUUGAACAACUCUUGCCAGAACUCACUGGUGAAGAUCCUAUCUCUGUCGGAUAUGAUCUUCGCUGGUAAUCCAUGUAGGCGAUAGACCGUGUGGAAAAAAGCCUUGGCUACCUCCGAAGCAGUAUAAGGAUGCGUGAGGGAAAUAAAAUGUGCAUACUUAGUGAAGCGAUCUAUUACCACCAUUAUCGAAUCCUUCCCCUCUGAUCUCGGUAGCCCUUCUAUGAAGUCUAAACUUACCUCAUUCCAAGCUUGCUCAAGCACAGGUAAUGGCUGUAAUAAUCCGGCAUAGGGCUGAUUGUCGGACUUAUUCUGUAUGCACACUGUACAAUUCUUUACUAUCUCUUCGACAUCUUUCUUGAGUCCCGGCCAAAAGAAUACUUGCUUAAUCCUUCGAUAGGUAUGCUGCUGUCCCGAGUGGCCUCCUAAGGCAGAGGCAUGCAUCUGCUGAAGUACCUUCUGCCUGACCCCUUCCCCUGAUCCAAUGUAUAGCCUUCCUUUAUAGCGUAGCAAUUUUUGGUUAUAAGAGCAAUUCUCUUGAGAUUCAGGUUGCAACGUCAACUGAGCUAUCAAUCUCUGACAGUCUGCAUCUUCACAAUAACUCUUAAUUACCUCAACAAUCCAAGUUGGGGUAACUACUGAAAUGGCUUGGUUGCUCCUUUCUUCCAACCCCCUACGUGACAGGGCAUCCGCCACCUUAUUCUCCCUCCCUUUCUUGUAUUGAAUCACGUAGUUUAGCCCCAUCAACUUAAACAUUCCUUUUUGUUGUAUGGCUGUGCUUACCCGUUGUUCCAUUAAGUGUUUUAGACUCUCAUGGUCUGUUUUGAUGAUGAACUGAUUCAUACUCAAAUAGUGUCGCCACUUCGAUACAGCCAUCAAUAUGGCUAGAAACUCCUUCUCGUACGUCAACAGCCCAAGAUUCUUCUUGCUGAUGGCUUUGCUCAAGUAAGCUAUCGGCCGAUCAUCUUGCAUUAAGACUGCACCUACUCCUUGAUCACAUGCAUCUGCCUCCACUACAAAUGGCUUGGAGUAGUUUGGCAGGGCCAGUAUAGGCGUUUCUGUCAUCAGCCUUUUCAACCUUUCGAAGGCUUCUUGCGCCUCCGCUGUCCAAUGGAAGUUAUUCUUCUUCAAGAGGCCAGUGUGGGGUUUACUUAUAGCUCCAUAUCCUUUGACGAAUUUGCGGUAGUAUCCGGUGAGCCCCAAGAAUCCCCUCAAUCCCUUAAUGGACACUGGGGUAGGCCAUUGCUCCAUGGCAGCUACUUUGCUCGGGUCCGUAGCCACUCCUUGCUGGGUGAUGAUGUGGCCAAGAUACUCGACCUUCUCUUGCCCAAAAUAACAUUUCGAUCUCUUUGCAAAUAGUUGGUUCUUUUUAAGUAGGCUUAACACUUCCCUCAGGUGGAUUGCGUGGUCCUCGAGUGUCCUGCUGUAGAUCAAUAUAUCGUCGAAAAAUACUAAAACGUAGUGCCGGAGUAUAGGGGCGAAUACUUCAUUCAUCACGGAUUGGAACGUGGCUGGGCGUUGGUGAGCCCAAAGGGCAUUACUCUGAACUCGUAGUGCCCCAAGUGUGUUCGGAAUGCCGUCUUAGGAAUGUCGCUCGGAUUCAUCCUUAUCUGGUGAUAGCUUGAUCGUAGAUCUAUCUUAGAAAAAUACCUCGAUCCGCCCAAUUCAUCUAGCAGAUCUUCAAUAAUGGGUAUCGGGUAUUUAUCCUUGAUCAUAAGCUUAUUUAAUUGUCGGUAGUCCACGCAGAACCUCCAAGUUCCAUCCUUCUUUUUCACGAGAAGUACCGGUGAAGCGUAAGGGCUAUUGCUCGGCUGAAUCACUUUGUUGAUCAACAUUUCCUUAAUCAGCUUCUCUAUUUCAUUCUUUUGCUCCCAUGUAUAGCGAUAGGGUCGGAUAUUAACGGGAUGUGCACCGCUUUGCAAUGAAAUUUUGUGGUCUUGUGGCCGCAAGGGGGGCAACUCCUUGGGUUCUUAGAAGAUCACCUCGAAUUACAACAACACCUUUUCUACUUCAAGGGGUAUAGACUCCUGCUCCUCUUCCUUCAGGCUGAUCAGCCGAGCUACCGCGCAGCAGUGUCCUUCAAGGUACUCCUGAUGCCACUGUCUUGCAGUCAUCUCCUGGAGUUUGGCCUUCUCAGUCAUUCCCUUUAACUCCACCCUUUUUCCUCCCUUAGAGAUAGCAACAGUGUUUUGCGCAUAAUCAAAGGUGACUGGUCCGUGCUUCCUUAACCAAUCAAUUCCUAGUAUCAUGCUAGACCCCUCCAAUCUGAUUACUCUCAGUUCAGCUGUGUAUUCUUCUCCUUGCAUUCUCCAAGAGAAACUUGGGCAUUUCAACUUACUCAUCACUUGCUGACCAUUGGCAACGGUCACUAGCAGGGGUGUGGUGGUGUUAAUAACUGCUCGAAUCUCUUUGGCAGUUGCUAUAUCAAUAAAGUUGUGGGUGCUCCCUGUAUCCACUAAGAUAGAUAGGACUUUCUCAGCUGCUUCUCCUUGAAUUUUAAUCGUAUCUUGUGGGUUCUCGGCACUCAAGGCAUGAAUUGACAGCCCAAUCUCUUCUCUAUCCUCAUCCACCUCUAAUUCCUCUUGCUCUGCUAGUUCUCGGAGGCUGACUUCAUCAUAAACUUCAGUUACUUCUGGGGUAGCCGUCACGGUGUUGAUGCUUUGAGUCUUGCAUUGAUGUCCUGGUGAGUACUUAUCUCCGCACUUAAAGCACAACCCUGCUGCCCUUCUUUGUUCUAUAAGUUGCCUAUUCGGAAAUGCCCUCUCAGUGUUGAAUUUGUUGGCAUAGUUCUUGGGAGCUUCACUAGCUCUGUUGGUUGUAACUGAACUGUUGCCCUUGUAACUACUGGUUGUGGUGCUUCCUUGGCUCCUCAGUAGCAUCCUGCUCUUCCUCAUCAUAGCUGAUAUACUCUGCUCUUGUAAUCGAGCUUGCUCGUAGGCUUGCUCCAAGGUGCUGGGCUUGAACAUCUUAACAGAGGCCUUAAUCUCUUCUUUGAGUCCAUUCAAGAAGCUGGAUAAGAAAUAAUCUGGGGCAAAUUGGGACUUAGUGGUCAAUAAUCUAGAUCUUAGCUCUUCGAACUGUUCUUCGUAUUCCUCCACAGUUCCAUGUUGCACCAACUUAUUAAAUUCUUCUACUACAUCUCUCAACCCAUUGGAAUCAAAACGUUUACACAGGUCGAGGGCGAAGGUGUCCCAACUUACUUCUCCCUUCUCGGCCAAAUAACCAUGGAACCAAAUGUCUGCUCGUGGCUCCAAAUACAUGGUGGCUAUUUCUAAUCUAUGUGACUCCGUAAUCCCAUGAAUCUCAAAAUACUUUUCACAACGUCUGAUCUAGUUUCGAGGGUUAUCUCCACUAAAAUUGGGAAAAUCUAAUCGAGGUGUGGGUAAUGAAUUGUGGUUCUUAGUAUAGAAUUGAAUUGCAGAGCUAUCAUCUCUAAGUAAAGGAAUCGGUGGUGUGGGCAGUAUACCUCGAUCUUCUUGUGUGAUUGUGGUGGUCAUUCCCUUGGUUGUAGAGCUCUGUUGCUGGUUGGUGAGCAGAUCCAUGAGUUGUUCCCAUCUCUUGGUUGAAUUAGCGGCCUCCCUCCGCAGGAAUUCAUAGUGGCUCUGCUCCUCGGCUUGCAUAGCCCUAAUUCCUUGAUGCAGCUCCUCGAAUCUCCGAUCAUUCCCCGUUGCCAUCUCCUGUAACUUCUGCUCUAAGGCGUGAACGUGCUCAUCAAGCAAUUUGAGUCUGGUGCCCUCCGCCGUGGAUGCCUUACUGAUACAUUUGAAGCGAUUGCCUCGGUUGGACCCAAUGAUUCCCCAGUCGACGACCUUGAUCGGUGCGUACCUCCCUUCUCUCCUCGCCUAUGAUGUUCGCUGAGGCAAUGGUAUCUCUCCUUUCCCUCCUUGGUAGCCAACCCUUGUAUCCUAGAUUCAACAACCGUAGUUGGAAUCCGAGAUGUGGGUUGAUCGUUCCUGUGUAAUUUCUCGGAUCUCUCGAUCCUGGUAUUACUUGGAACUACUACCUUCCCUGGGACCGAUGCUGCUCUGAUACCAAGUUGUUACAACCUGAUCUAUCUCACAGAUCCGAUAAUGAGAAGGAUCUGAGGAUCGGUGAGAUAGAGAUGAUGGAAACUCGAUUAAGAACAAGGAAGAUCAGAGAAAGGUUAGAGGAGAGGGAGGGAGAGAGUGGAGAGGAGAAGAGAAGAGAAGAAGAUAGAAGACUGAGGAAGAAGAAGACAAUUCAAAUCAUUCAUAAUCCCCUUACACUUGACUCCUCAAGCUAUUUAUAACUACUACAUAAGGACUAAUCUGUAAUUCCCAUAUAAGCUGAAUACUAAUAAGAAAAUGUAAAUUGCUCAGAUGGGCCAUCUGGGCUUCCAAUCUGCAAGGGCCUGGACCGUAUGCCGCACCUCUGGACUUCGAGUGGACGGCCCACUAAGCAACCGUCAAGAAUGGAAGGCUUAGUGGGUUACCCUCUUUGUCGGAUGGUGCUUGGAUGGAAUCCCGACAACCCGACCCGCUAACUCUCAACUAUUACCACUUCGGCUUAUUCGCUGGAUCCCAUAUCUCCUUCGUUCUUUCCUUUUGACUUUUCUUCACCUGCCCUAAUCCCUCAACUCCCUCUUGACCAUUACAGUAUUAAAGUGUAAAUGUUACAGGAGAGGACUUACUAAUAGUUAGUAAAUUAUGAGAGGACUUAUGUGCAAAUAUUGCAUUAUUAAUUUGAUAUGAUCAAAUUAAAAUAAAUUUCAAGUUGAAUCAAAUUAGAAUUUGAUCGAUCUAACCAAUUAAGGAAAGGAUAAAUUUAAGUCUAAAUUUGUACUUAUCCUUAAUAGUCAAUAUAUUCUUAAAAAGAGAAUUAUAUCACUUUAUAUAAUAUACGGGAGUUUUUAGAAAACUCUAGCCGUCAUCUCUCUUCUCCUCUCUCUUCCAUCUACUAGCAAGAAGUACGUCCUUUGCAAGGGAGCUAGUACCCCGGAGAGAACAUCGAUCAAAUCACCAACCUUGUGUGGAUACCUAUAGAGGCUGGACGCGUGUGCGGCUUCAAGAGAAUCUAAUUCCACGAUUAUCAAAUUGUGGUGAAGAUCUAUCUGCGCAAAGAUAAAAAUUGAAUCUUACUUUUUUCCUUUAAUCUUAAAGAACAUAAGGGAUCCGAAUUGCAUGGUUCUUAAGAUCAGAUCUCAGGAGUUUUUUAAAAAUCAAAUUUGUUUGAUUUCUUUUUCCGCUACAUUUUUUGGUACGCAAAUUUUCUAACAGUAGAGCUAGCAUCGUCUUGUGGGUGGGGGCUGCUGAGGUUUUUUUUCCUCUUUCUUAUUUCUACUUCUUUGUCAUUCUUUUUUUUGUUCACCAUCGCACUUCUUACCGCAUCAGAGGUCGAUCUUGUCAUUGCCGAGAUUAAGCUCGUCUAUGCCAUAACAGUAUUUGAGAUUAAGUUGCACUAUAUGAGAUUACAUUGUAGGAAAUUGUAAAUUUAAAAUCCAGAAAAUAAAUAUUUAGAAAUUGCAAUUCAAAUAUAAAAUUGAAUUCUUGAAUUUACAUGGAGAAUUGGAAAGAGGAUAGGUUAUUGUUGCAAACCAAAGACAUUUCUGAUGAAGGAAAGAUCACCAGCAUAAUGGCCUGGCAAUGCCGAAGUCAUGGUGAACUCCGUUCCUAGAUUCUUUGAGGCAAAAGUGCUAUUUAAGCUAAAAAUUAAAAAGCUGCCAAUUUGAAAGAUUAGAUUUUUUUAGUAAAAGGUGCGACAUUUCAUGGGUUGAAUUGCAUGAAAAUUUAUAAAAAGUUACUAUUGGACGAAAUACACGCACUGGUGAGUUCUUGGUAAGAAACUUAAAGGUUGGAGGACUAAUUUAUAAUUUUUGCAAUGUGUGAAAAUGGAGCAAUGCGCGAAAAGGCUAUCAUUUUAUGUGAUAAAUUUUAUAGUUUAGAGAGCAGAAAUAGUCAUAAGAAAUAAGGCUAGAGGCAAUCUUGCGGAAUCAAGUUUGGCGAAAUUUGGGUAUUUCGUGCGAAACAACAAUUAUAGGAAAUUGAGAGAAAGAUAUUUGAUUGUGGGGUUUUUGGUGGAAACACGAUUUCGCAUGUAUCAAAACCCACAAAAUUUUGUGGAGAAGGAUUACUGCGUGAAAUGCACAUGUUGGAGACGCCAGAGUUAUGAAUUUUAUAAUUAUGGGGACUGAGCAGUAAUUCUGAAUUAUAUACAUGUAUGUGUAUAUUAGGGUUUCAAUAAAACCCUAGGCCUUCUCCUCUCUCCAACGUUGUCGUCUCUUUCACCACUGCCGGCCUCCUCUUCGGCCGGCAGGGGUGCCCGCAAGAUCUUCUCUCUCUCUCUCUCUCUCUCUCUCUCUCUCUCUCCCUCUCCCUCGGGAUUGUCUCUCUCGAGAUGGCACGCCACCGCGGCUUGACUCCAUACUAGUUUGGUGCCCCUUCCCACAAUACUGCCACCCCAAACCCCCCAUUGUGCUUGGGUUCCUAUUGGAACCUGAGUGGAGGAGCUCUUGCAGCUGCAGCCACAGCAACUUCUCGACGUUGUCGCCGCUCCUCCACCGCCGGCCAUGGCACCCAACGGUCCAAGGGUCACCGCCUAGCUGCUACAAUCCUUGGUCAUGCUGUGCAAGGUUAGGGGAGUCUCAGGCUGCCCUACUGCUCCAAAGUUGAGGAUCACAGGAUAGGGCUGAUCAAAGACGAUAUUGCUUUUCUCGCUAAUCUAGCCACCGACGAUGUCCCAACAAUGCAGCACGGUCAUCUAGGGCGCAUACAUCACCGUGCACACCUCAAAUGCUGCCAGGGGGCCUCCGAGUGUUGUUUUAGGAAUGUCGCUCCUAAGGGACCUUUCGUCUCGACGAACAAGUUGCCCUACUAUCCUCCUCGAUGCUCGGAUCCAUUUCGGACAGCAAGCACAUGAAUGUCUGAGACCUCGAAACCUUUCGGAUGGCACCUUUGCUGGGAUUCUAAAGUUGCGGAGUCAGUAUUAAAUCUUUAAGCACUCCAUUAAUAUUUAUAAUAUCGCGUGUUGGGUGUUCGGUAGGGGUAGAAACGAGCCGAGCUCGAGCGAGCUUAUGUCAGCUCAAAUUCGGCUUGAAAUUAAUUUCGAGCCUAAAUCUAGGCUCAAGCUCGGCUUGAAAUUAAUUCGAGCCGAGCUCGAGCGAGCCUAAUUUCGAGUCGAGCCGAGCUCGAGCUCUAAACGAGCUACAGACAAAACAAUCAAGAUAAUAAUUUUAUCAUUGUUUUUUUAUACGAUUGUUAAAUUAUCUCUUCCUUUUUUUUUAGUGUAAAAGAUAUCGGAAACAACGAAUUACGAUCCAACUGUUUAAUCUACUUUUUUUCAUUUAUGACAUACUUCUAUCUUGUUCUCCCUCGCGGAAGAUGGUAAGUUCUCGUUUUUCUAUCUACUUUACUGUUUAACUUAUCUCUAACUGCAAAAAGAGUGAGAAAAGGAAGAAAACUUAUCCAAACCUACACUCGAAAAUUUUUUUAAAAUUUAAAGCUAGUAAAAUCUGGUUUUUUCUUGGACCAGCACAGGGGGGGCAUAGAGGGGCAUAGGCAGUGCAUAAGCUCGGCAUAGGCUAUAAAAAAAUAAAAAAUUUUUACGUCCUAUGAAGUAAGGGCAUAGCCUGUGCAUAGCCCGCGCAUAGCCAUAGGCUAUGCAUAGGCUAUGCUCAUGCUGCACUUUAAACUUCAUAGGCACGAAGUAUUCCGUGUUAACAGCAUAUUAUUACCAUCACAAAGAACUUUUAUGAAGUACUACGUACUAAUUAUAACAACUAUCUAUGAUAUGGAAGCUUUUAGAAACUUAACGGCACGGAUUAGUGGAUCAAAGAACUCCACGUAGUAAUCAUCAGUAACAAACUCUUAGAACAUUAUCGUACGAAAUAUAAAAGGUAACAAUAGGAAAAUGGAACUUCAUCCGUACGAUUCUACUAUCUUAUAUAUUAGGUAACGAAAACCCAUAAUAAUGAUACGAUAACGUAAGAAAACUCAACUAUUUAUAACUCUAGUUCUAUUGCCUUAUAAGUUAACAACUCUAUUAUGAUAGCAAUUUAUCCUGUAAGAACUCGUACUCAUUAAAACUACUAACGGUUCGUACGGAACAUUUAGAGUCAGAAGUAGGCGGAAGAUGAUUCGUACAAUUUUGAUUGCUUAUAUGAAACAUACCAGGAUGCCUACAGCAUUGCAUUAUUAGUAAAAUCUACAACUCUUGUAUCAACAACCACUUUAUUAAGAACCCUACUGGAAUACUGUCCUCUACUGCUAACUCGUUCUCUUGAGAACACUAAUUAACACACACCAGGAAAACUAGUAUUCGUAUACUGAUUUCGAACGUUCCCGGUUUAACUCGAGUUGCUCGUUAAGCGAUCACCCCAAGCGAUGGGGUGCCCUGAUCCAGAAGCCUCAAGCAACAACUUACAGCUUUACCCGCUACCUACGCUAUGCGCUGGAACUCACUACCUACGUGUAGUGUUGGUGUAUCCUACUACCUGUGUUACCAGCACUGGGUAUUCCGCGCUGCGUUCAACCCUGAUCUGGAACGCAGUCAGGGGUUCUUUAACCCAUUUUAUAAUGACCAUAAAUUUUACUUGUUAACUACAUAUAUGAUUAACUCAAUCUAAACUACGGAUCCUAUAAUAAACUGUGAGUACCAUUGAGUCAUGUAUGCGACUAAAUCAACUUGUAUCACAACUAAUAUUAGCUAUGAGAGUACUUUGAACUACGUAUACAGUAAAUGUAAUCAGUAUAACUAUUAUGUGAGAGGUAAGAAAAUCUCCGUGUCAUCAACGUAACAUCGAACUGACAUAUAAUAAGAGUAAGCGAUCAAUAACAAAUAAUAAUAAUAGGAGGAAUGAUAAUACAGAGCAAAUCUGGAUCACUCACGUCUAGCAGGGAAAGCCGUCGACUUGUGUAACCCUUGAUAAAGUAUAUCAAGAGUGAGGAUAAACAACAAAAAAAAAUGUCUAGGUUGGUAGCCCCUCCACGCACUGGCACCUUUCUUUAAGGGCUUGAUCGAUUCGAUUGGAAAUAUAAUAAACCACUUUACCUGGACUUUGAUUCUCCGUCAUUAAUAUUAGGGGAAAAGUACAACAUCCCUAUUGGAUUUAACGUCAUUAAAACCUUACCAACUUCAAUCUACAGAUGAAGGAAUCAUAAAGAAAUCAACAUUAACGAAAAGAUGUACACAUACCAACUUUUGACUAACAUCUUCACAAAAGCGAAGCACGCCUGUUUUUUCUAGACAGGUACGUCACUCAGAUAUGCUUAGGCCAACCCGAAGGCGUGGCCCUGCACUGUUAUAACCAGGUUUAGCAAUGAGCUCUUCGUAGAUUGGUUACGAAGAGACCACCACUAAGUGUGGUGAUCCCGACCGUUUGCUCGCUCGGCCGAGCACAAGCCGAGCUAUAAGCCGAGCGAGCUCGAGCUGAGCUUUAAUUUACUCGGCUCGAACUUGUUUUAUUUUCCGAGCUUUAAGUAAAGUUCGGCUCGAACUCAUAAUGAGCCGAGCAAGCUUAAUGCGAGCUUUUCGAGCUUUUCGAGCUUUUAUAUAUAUAUAUAUAUAUCCGACCCCAAUGAUAUGAGAAUACUCAUAUCUGGGGGAACAUGAGUAUUUAAAAAUUGGCAACUAACUACCUUACACACCAAUCCUACUACCACCAGGGGUAAAUCUUACUAUCACCAGGGGAUCCCAACUCACCCAUCAAUCAAUUUAUCAUACUAGAUUACCUAUUUUUACUAAUUACCUUAUUUAGAUUCCCAGCUUUUGAAUACUCAUAUUUCCUCGGUUAUGAGUAUUUUCAUAUCGUCGACCUGAGAUAUAUAUAUAUAUAUAUAUAUAUAUCAUCCCGAUCUUAUGAAAAUGUUCAUAGUGGGUUCACUAUGAACACAUAAAAAUCGGGAACCUACCUCUCUACACUCCAACUCUACUACCACCAUCCACCACCAUCCACCUUUUCACAAACUAGGUUCCCGAUAAACAUUAGUUUUUCAUCUAGGUUACCGAUUUUUGCACUAUCGUUGUACCCCUACUAUAAAUAUUUAUAUUACGUAAAAUUAAUAUAUAUCCGAAAUUAAAUUAAACCCGGUAAUAACAACCGGGUAUUUUAUUUGGGUUGUUCAUGUUAGCAUGUUAACUCGGGUUGAGAUUUAAAUGUAUUGUGUGAGAGAGAAAGUCUGAAAAUGACAAAGUGUAUUGGGAUUUUGUACUAUUGUAAGUUUAAAGGUUUAGGGAUGAAAAAAAGGAGAGAGAGAGAGAGAGAGACUGGGAGUAGAUUAGUCCUUCAGUGGGAUCGAGUGUAAAGAAUAUUAAUAAAACAUAAAACUUGAUAACCUGUACAACGUAGUUUAACAUCCAUUACAAGAUAUUUUUAAUUUGAUAACUAAUAUAUUACAGUUCUUAAAGUUAGCNUGCCUAAAUAUAAAGCCCAAUCCAACCAAAAAUAAAAGAUUACUCUACUCAACCCACCACAUCCAGUCCAUUUGGCCCGAUUACAAACAGAAAAGAAAAAAAAAAAGAAAAAUUAAUUACCAUCUUUUCUUCUCUUUUCACUCAAUCUAUUGAAAUUCUAGACGAAGAGCCUUUCCUGUCGUCCUCCUCGGCCACCGCAGCCAACAAGAUAGAGUUUCGGCGGUUGCUAAAUACUUAAAUAAGUGUUGGUAAAUUAACAGUACUCUUUUAAGUUAUAACAACACUCUUUAACUGUCACUAUAUACCUAGCGACCCCACAUAUAGCAACACUUUUUAAAAGUAUCGGUAAUUUUAGCUAGAGCACUUUUUUGACAUGUACCUACAUUUAAAAGUGUCGCUAUAGACCGUUUUUGUUGUAGUGUGGGUUUAGGCACGAUUUUAUGUUGAACUAAACAGACCCUUAACAUUUCUCCUAUUAUAUAGGUGUAAGAUUUACACCAUACACUUUGUCUCCAUUUUGUCUGGCUACGAUUUACUCACUAAUCCUAUCAAUCUUUUUUCACUAAAAACCCUAAAAUAUUUUAAAAUCUUUGAAUGCAUAAGAUAUAAAAUAUACAUCCUAUAA